GGCCAAGUACGCGACCCAUAACUCGACGAGCCCAUAACUCGGGAGGCGGCCGGACGACAGAGGAGCAAUUCGCAGCCAUUGCCAACACAGACCUCCCCCUCGGUAAGCGCGCCCACGCCCUCAUCCUAACCUCCGGGCAAUGCCCAGAUCACUUCCUAAUCAACAAUCUCAUCACUAUGUAUGCGAAAUGCAGGUCGCUGACGUAUGCACGCCACCUGUUCGAUAAAAGUCCUGACCAAGACCUGGUCACCUGGAACGCCAUUCUAGCAGCCUACGCGCAAUCGGGUCGCUAUCUGGUUGAAAAUGUUUAAGAGGGGCUUGGUUAAUGUGUUGUUAUUUUUGUCAGUGGCAUGACAUGUAAUUUUUUAAAAGUUUAUGGGUAACGGUUUAAAGAAUUUAAAUAGGUGUAUUGUUUUAUCAUCAAGGAACAUUUGUUAACAUUUUUAUCAUUUAUUACUUCUAAAUGUACUAUUUUAUCAUUGGCCCAAUAAUUUUCCUACUUGUAGCAUUAUUAUACAUUUAAAAGUAACCAAACGUUUUUUUUUUCGGGAGAAACCAACCAUUAGUUAUUUGUGGUUUCCCAAUUCAUUAUAAUAAAAUAUCAAUUAUAGUCAUGUUUGAUCUCUCUGUUCUGUUUAGUUUUUGUUUUUCUUAACUAUAAGUGGGACACGUGGUGUUGUGGAAAUGGCUGGGGGGAUUCACAUUAUGAAAUAAACUCAUAUAUUGAAUGACUGAUCCCUGCAAGUAGUCUGCAACACAUCAGAUCAAAGAGAUCUGUCGGAAACCUAAGGGGGGUCGGGACCCCGUCGGGCCCGGACGUAGUUCCGCCCCUGUUCACUUGUCGUCCCUUAUAUAUGUCGCUGCUGCAUGAAAUGAAAAUCACAUUAGGAGAUCAAACUGGGGAAUCGAAAAAUUCCCAAAUGUACAAAAAAAUUAAAAGUCAAACCCCAUUUCAAUGACAAUAAGACUUUUGACCCCAAUUGAAUGAGAAAUUAGCUUAUUUGUGCCCAAAUACACAAAUCAUUAUUAAAUUCAUAAUAAAAUAAUAUUUUUGAGACACUUUUACUUUUGUGUCUUAUACACAUUUAGAGAUCGAGAGAAAAUAGAAGAGAUAGUGGACUUUGCCGGACUCCGGUGAUCGGUCCACGAACUCCAGUCACCGAUCGCCGGAAUCCGGUUGCUAGAAUAUUACUGACCCCCAGUAAACUUCUUAUCCACCCCAUAACAUAUUACUGACCCCAAUAAACUUCCUAUCCACCCCAAUAACAUAUUACUGACCCCUAGUAAACUUCUUCACCACCCCAGUAACAUAUUAUUGACCCCUAGUAAACUUUAUAACCUCUUAAGAACUUGUUUGUGUUAGGUUCCCAUGACAGAACCCGACCGAAAUCUCUCCAGUAGAUGGUCACUGGCAUCGGUGAUGGACUUCGCCGAAGAGAGAGAGAGAGAGAGAGAGAGAGAGAGAGAGAGAGAGAGAGAGAGAGAGAGAGAGAGAGGUAGGUAGGUAGGUAGGUAGGUAGGUAGGUAGGUAGGUAGGUAGGGUAGGGUAGGUAGGUAGGUAGGUAGGUAGGUAGGUAGUAGUAGUAGUAGUAGUAGUAGUAGUAGUAGUAGUAGUAGUAGUAGUAGUAGUAGUAGUAGUACGUAGUACGUAGUAGUACGUAGUACGUACGUAGUAGUAGUAGUAGUAGUAGUAGUACGUAGUAGUAGUAGUAGUAGUAGUAGUACGUAGUAGAGAGUACGUAGAGUAGUAGUAGUAGUAGUAGUAGUAGAGUAGAGUAGUAGUAGUAGUAGUAGAGUAGAGUAGAGAGUAGUAGUAGUAGUAGUAGUAGUUAGUAGAGAGAGAGAGAGUAGAGAGAGAGAGAGAGAGAGAGAGAGAGAGAGAGAGAGCAUAUCGUGAGUGAAUGAGAGGUGGAGGGAGAGGUGUGAGAGGUGGAGGGAGAGGUGUGAGAUAGUUAGGUUAAGGUUAAAGAAGUAAUUUUGGUAAGAUUAAUUGAAAUGGGUAAUGAAUAAAGUUUUUCAUUGGAAUGAGCAACAAGACCAAUAAUUAGUGCCAAAUGGGUAUUAUCCCAUCAAACUAUUAUGUAAUUGAUUCUUUUUUUUUCUGGUCAAUGGAAGCAAUGUAUUAGAUGGUCCAAAAAAUACAACCUAAUACAACACUAACCAGAGGUACAAAAGACCUCAACACAAGAGACACAUAGGUCUCAGGAUCGGGAUCCUCUCCUCAUAAUUCUCUGCUCAUACUUCCUCAUAAAUAAAUCUGAACCAUCCAAUCUUAAUAGAUGGUCAGGAUUUAUCUUACAUUCUUUAAGGUGAUUAGUCUAUCUUCCAAAUUCUCGUAUAGAUUUCUGAUCGCCGAUCUCCUCUCAUCUCUCUCUUCCCUCUCUCACCCCCAACCCCAAAGCUGAUAUCUUUCGCUCCAUAAUUCCUAUUGCAUAUAGUUUUACACUUUUACUAUCUCUCUGUUGUUUGAAUCGAAUCAGCAGCCGAAAGAGAAAGAAGGAUGCGUUGACGGGUCUCGAGGAUCGUCUGUUGUCGCAACCGUCACGAUGACCAUAACCGGUUAAUCAUGAGAAACCUCAAGGAACCGGUCAGGUAGAGCAACAUCCUCAUCCUGCUCGAGUAUGAGAGAGAAGCAAGAAGGUCUCGUUGAUGGGUCUUCGCUUUUGUUUUCAGCGAUCGAUGGAAAAAGCAAUGUUCUUUGCAUGUUACUGGGUUUAUGUUUUGUGAGAAAGACUGGUUCUUGUAGUGUUAUGGAAAUCAUGAUAUGAGAGAUCCCAGCUUGUUAUAAUUAGUUGCUAAUAUGCUGCAACUGAAGCCAUAUAUGAUUUGUGAUAAGAAAUAUUUUUAUUUGGGGAUGAGAGUUAAAACUAAAAAGAAAAAAUUUAAGGCCAAGUAGUUCAAUCAAGAUGAAGGAUAUUGAUCAAAGAUCGAAUAGAUACGUUCUAGAAAUAUGAGCAAUGCAAGAGGGAAGAAUGGAAAUAGAUGGGCAGUUGAAACUUGGCCUCACUUUGUGCAAAAAUUUAGCCGUGUGUUAAAUUUAGUUAUAUUCAAAGUGUUCCUUCGAAAUGAGAACUUUCAUCAUUUUGGUAUCGUCGCCGGUACCAAUAUCAACCCAAAAUUGAUCACCCUACUUCUGGGUUCAUAUCAACCUACUCUUGGGUUUAUACUCUGGGUCUGAAAUUUGAGGGAAUAAAGCCAGAGAAAUCCUGGCCAUCCAUUAAAAUUGGAUGGCUCAGAUUCAUUUAUGAGGAAGUAUGAGCAGAGAAAUAUGAGGAGAGAAUCCUAGUCCAUAGGUCUCAGCACAAAGAGACACGUUGGUCCCGGCGUAAAAAGGCACAUAGGCCUAGCAACAGAGGCACUUAGGCCCAGCAUAAACAAAAUAAAGCCCAUAAAAAGCUUAGCCACGACACAACACAGAAGCCCAAAACUAGAAGUAAGAAACUCUACAUCUAACAGCCUCCAUCGCUUCAACAUCAGCUGCACAGAGCUGCUGUCGCUACAUUCCAGUCCCCAUUUGACGUCAGUCCGCCGCUAAAGCACCAAAACAAACCACUUCCUCCACCGGUUGAGAACGCUGGGCACAAAAGCCCCCAAGAGAAACCAAGUAACCAUAGAAGGAGUGAAUACCAAGGUAAUUGAAACACAUUCUUUCAGUUGAACAAAAGUUCGCCGACGGACGAAAAUUUGCUUAGUAGAACCAGAAAAUCUAGCGAUGUGAUGGAAGAAGACAUCAUAUGAGAAGCAACAAUAGUAGAACCAGAAGAUCUAGCGAUAUGAUGGAAGAUAUGUGAAAUCAAGAUUGGAAUUGGGUUAUGGUGAAGAAGUGAGGAGAUUGAGAGGUGAUGAGAGCGACAUGGAUCUGAGUUCAAACCGUCAUGGGAAGACUCAGUAAGGCAGGGAAGUAAGGUGGGUAGAUGGGGAAAAUGGAUAAGGUAGAGGGAAGGGGAAGAUGAAGAAAAGGAUUGAAGGAAAGGGCAGAUCUGGUCUGGGAAAAGGCUAGGUGGACAUGGGGGAGGUGGAGGAAAUAGUGGCGGAUGUGGGGAUGGUGGUGGUGGAGGAGACGGCUGGGCUCGUGAGACUCUCAAAAUAGGAUGAGAAAACUUGUAGAGAGAAGGUAGACCCUCUCUCUCUAGAAAUUUUCUGUUUUCUUAUGUGACAGACUUGGUGAAGCUGGUUGAGAAAAAAAUUCGGCCAGAGCAUCACCGCACACCUAAUAGACCAAUAUAUCUUGUUGGAGAAUCUCUUGGAGCAUGCCUUGCUCUAUCUGUGGCAUCCCUUAACCCUGAUAUCGACCUUGUUCUGCUCUUAGCAAAUCCUGGUAACAUAUGUUUGUUUCUUAAUUCAUAUAAUCAUAUUCAGUUUUUUUUAGUGCAACCUUAUAAAAAGAGGGAUAUCAAAUUGAUGUAAUUUUUCACUCAAUUUAACACCUACAAUGAAUAUGUGCAGCAACGUCCUUCAGCAAGUCACCACUUCAACCCAUAUUACCAUUACUGCAGAUCAUGCCUGACUUACUAUCCAAACUUAGUCUUCCUCUUGUACUAAGUUCAAUGGCAGGUGAUUUCUUUGUUUCAUUUACUAGUUACUCGUCUCCCGAAAGAUGCUAGAAAUAUGGCUAAGCAAGGAAUUUGUUCAUACCAAAAGUGAUAAAACAGUGGUCACAUUUGUUGUGCAUGCAUAUAGGUGUAAUGAUGGCUGAUUUAGAGAAGGGAGUUGGAAGUCUGUCGUGAGAUUUCGUUGCACAAUCAAUAUCUUACCUCUCUGUAAGACACAGCUUCGAAACAUUACUCUCACCCUAGUUUUUCACAGCAUCUGUUAUUCGAUUUCUGUCAUUCGAUUUUUUUUUCUUUUUUACAUUCUAAUGUGUUUUUAUUUUUCAAAUUGUGAGGUCCAAUCUUGUAAAAUGGGAUUAAUGGUUGAAGUUCCAGGUUUUUGCUGAUAUCUUGCCCCUAGAAACACUUCUGUGGAAACUACAAAUGAUUAGUUCAGCUUCAUCGUAUGCCAAUUCACGCCUCCAUGCUGUAAAAGUUCAAACCUUGAUACUAUCCAGGUGUCCUUUAAACAUCCAUAACCACUUCUAGCAAUAUUUUCAAGCGACCUAUACUAUAAUCAUGCAUCAUUCCUAAUUUAUUACAUGUACACCUGACAAAACAACUUUGCUGCAUUACCCUAUCAUCAUUUUAGAAUACAGUGCUGAUUUCACUGUUAUCUGUUCAAUAGUGGAAGGGAUCUAUUGCUGCGUAGUAAACAGGAAGGUCUGAGACUCCGACGGUUGCUUGCGAAUUCUGAGAUCUGUACAUUUGAACACUGUGGCCAUUUCCUCUUCUUGGUAGGAUUAUCUGAUUAUGUGCUAGUAGAAAUUUGAUCAUGUGCUCCAGUGAAUUAGUUUCUCCUCUGCUAUACUAAGUUUUGACGUGUUAUACAAGUAUACAACCAAAUGUUUCUGAGCUUAAAUUACAUGUUCUUAAUUAGACUCCAACUUUUGGCAGGAAGAUGCUUUUGAUUUGGUAACUGUUAUCAAGCAGGUUGGUGUCUAUCGUAGUUCAAAAGAACGAGAUUUUGUUUUAGACUACAUACCACCAUCACCUUCCGAAUUAAAAAGUCUUCUGGACAAAUACAAGUGGGUGAUACUUUCUUAGAUAGAUACAUUCAUAGUUUUAUUAUAUCGAACGGUCAAGAAUAUUCGAAAAAAUUGAUGUGCUAGGCAUUAACUCACACUAUAAUUUUCCGGAUAGACUUAUGCAUUCUACUUAGGCUCUAUAAUUUUGUUUUUUCUUAACCAAUAUUGAUAUUUCAUGAUUAUUAUUAAUGAAUGUGUAGAUGGAUGAACAUAAUUAUGAGCCCAGUGAUGCUCUCAACUUUAGCAGACGGGGAAGUAGUGAGGGGCUUUGCUGGGAUUCCUUCAGAUGGUCCUGUAGUGUAUGUAGGUAAUCACAUGUUAUUCAGAUUUGAUGUGUUUCCAUUGGUAGCGCAGUUGUCAGAACAAAAAGGCAUUCAUCUGCGAGGGCUAGCACAUCCAGUUAUGUUCAUGAAAUGGAAACAAAGAAAGUCAAUGGAAGUACCAUUUUCCGAUGAUUUCAGACUUGUGGGCGCUGUUCCAGUCUCCGGAAAAAACCUUUUCAGGCUGCUCUCCACAAAGUCUCAUAUCCUACUCUAUCCUGGUGGAGUGCGUGAGGCUUUCCACAGGAAGGUGCUGAAUUCACUCUCACUUAUUGUUUUACUGAAUUUGUUUUUGUUUUUUCACAAUGGCAGCACAUAUAUAACUUUCCAGGGGGAAGCAUACAAGUUAUUCUGGCCGGAACGGUCAGAGUUUGUGAGAAUGGCUGCUAGAUUUGGAGCGAAAAUCGUACCGUUUGGUACGAUUGGGGAAGAUGAUUUUUGUGAUGUAAGUUAUUCACAGACCUUGUUUUUAGCUUUUCUAUAAUGUUGGGUCGUAAAUUCGUAAUGCCUUCCCCUAGCAUGUUAGGAAGGUUUGUUACUGUUUAUCCAAGACCACUCUUACGUACCGGAGUUGUCUAAGCCCCAGUUUGUGCAGCUAAUGUUGUGCAAAAACUGGAUCCAUCCGGAAAAUUCUGCUGUGCAUAUAGACAUAGCAUGCAUGCUUGAUUUUAAGCAAAUUUUCUUGAAAAUUCUCACCCUACCGUCCCAUGUUAUGCACAUACAACCUUAUCUUAGUUAUAUGUACGUCAUACUUGUCUGACCACAGACAAACCCUACUUCUCAAAGUUGAAACUCAUUUCUCGAAUUGCGUUAUUGAGUUGUUGCUUAUAGAAGAUGGUAAACAACAAUUUUCAUAAGCUAAAAGUUAAAGUUGUUUUUUUUACCUAAUAUAAGUUUACACUAAUCAUAUAGAUACAUGUAACACUCUUAUUUGCCCUGCUUAUGUGUCAUUCAAAGUUAUCUUUACGAAAAAAACUCACCUUCUCUCGAAAACCCUUGCUCUGCUAGGGUUUCUUUAUCGUCGACUCUAGCAGUCUUCGACAAUACCUUCUCAGCCAUGUCUGACCAAAUUUUCUCCCUAGCAUCACUCUCAGCCCCGUCUGAGGCUGCUCAUGUCAACUUUGGGCCUGCCGGAGAGGCGGCUCUCGAGGUUUCCCACUAUUUCAUGGUUGGGCGCCUUCUCAAGCGACGUCCUAACGCCGCUGGCUUUUUGGGAACGAUCCCAUCCAUCUAGAGGCAGCGCUCUGGUCUGCAAAUCCAUUCCGAGGGAGACUGUUUCGUGUUCCAGUUUGAUCGAGAAGCAAAUCGCAACAAGGUUCUCCACGGCUGACCUUGGUUCUAUCAAAAUGCGAUGCUGGUGACGGCGUCGUACGACAAGAUCUGUACGGUGGUGAACCCUCCUCUUCAUUCCAUUGAGACAUGGGUCUCGAUCUUAGGGUUACCGCAUUUGCUACGCAACAAGAAAUCUCUAUAGUUGAUCGGACAAUCCAUUGGUAAGGUUCAUCGUUUUGAUAAUUUGGCUCUGAAUCGCAAAGAUGAAAAACAAAAGAUUCGUCUGACUAUGGAUACGAGACAGCGGUACAAAUUUUAUCGAAAUUAUUCUUUUGCUUCUGUUCAUGUUGAUGUUGAGAUCAUCUAUGAGAAAAUUCAAGGUCUUUGCAAGUUUUGUGGUCUUUUUGAGCAUGCGGUUGAGGGUUGUGACAAGCUUUUUGUGCGAGAAGAUGAAGCUUUGCAUGGACUCCCGGUUACAGCGAUGUAAGAACUGACUAUAGCAAAGCCUAAGCUGCUUAAUGGCGGAUGGCGGCUUUUUGAGCAGUGAUGUUGCACUGAGGGCUGAAAAACAUAAAGAGGAAGUUAUGCAAUUGGCUGCAAAAGUGAAGGCCUUAAUGCCGGUACAAUUGCCUGAGAAACACUUGAUGGUGAAUGAUGUGUUGACUGCUAGGGUUCUCAAAGCUUGUAAAGCUAGAGGUUUUGUUGUUCCCCCACUUGUUGAGCAACAACAAUCUGCCAAACGGGGAAGAAAGAGGACAACAGAGCGUCCUCUUAUUCAACCGGGGAAGAAGAUGCUUGAGGUGUCCACAGUUCUGAGUCCGGAAAUUGAAGACUUGAACUUGAGUCUUCCUAAUGAGUUGGGUCGGUUUCUGGUGACACCCCCAAAGAAAAAGGGUGGGCGAUCAAGAGGGUCUACAAACAAGACUAAGGAGGGUCCACCUCGCCCUACUUUAAAGGGUAGGAAGCGGUUGUUGAAGAUUCUUGAGGAGGAUGAUAUGAUAGACGAAGCAAAUCUUUCUACUGAUUCUACAGAAGCAAUGUAAGUGGUUGGCAAAGAGGUAGCUCUACCUCCAAAGACAAAGUCUCCGACUGAAGUUGCUGCAGUGGAGAUGGAGAAGGCGGUAGUUGAAGUGGUGAAUUCCACUUUUAUUAUCACAUCUGCUUGAUUGGGAGAUCGACAAGAAGAUAAGAAUUCUGUUGUCACAGUUUAUAACGCUUCAGAGUUUUUAAUCUUCUUGUUUUUGGUUUUAUCUUCAUAGAAGGUGAAUGUAUUUAGAUUAGGUGUUUUGGUAUGUUUGUGUGAGAAGCGUACUAGGAUGGCUUUUUCUGCAUAAUGGAUUUUUCUGACGGCCCUCUGGGCAGGUCAUUAUUGUACUGUUCACUGAGCUUCAUUAAUGAAUGACCUCUCUUUCAAAAAAAAAAAGUUUUCUUUACGAAUUAUCAUUCAUUAUGGUCAAAAUAUAUUACACUUAUUGUGUUUUCUUCUCUUCAGAUAUUAUACGAUUAUGAAGACCAAAUUAAAACACCUUUCCUCAAGAAAUUUAUAGAUGAAUUAACUGGUGUAGCUGGAAAAGUGAGGUACUAGUUCUGGCAAGAUAGUACUUUAUUGUUGAAUUUCAUAGAUCUUCUAUCAUGGUUUGGAUGCAUUCCACUAGAAUGAUUCUCCAGUACUUGAAUGUUGAUAUGAUUUUGUGACCAUAGGACUACCGUUGAUGGGGAGGUUGGAAACCAAGAUGUAUACUUCCCAGGAUUUGUACCAAAAUCUCUCGGUCGGUUUUACUAUCAAUUUGGGAAACCAAUUGAAACAGAAGGUAAGCAUUUCGACUAAUCAACUGAUACUUUAAUCAUCAUAGAUAGUCAAGUUGGUAAGAGUUUUGGUGUGAGAUUUACUUAAGUUCUUCCAAUCAUGCCGAUGUUAAUCGGAGUUUAAGCAAUUAAAUCUCAAUAUACUUUUUGUGGUCAUAGAGGAAGUGUUUUAUUAUGACCCAUCAAUGCGGGUUAGAUUCAAGAUACCGUGUUGCAUCUUAAAAAAAUAAAUUUAAAAAAAAUAAAAAAAAAAAAAAAAACCCAAACUUUAGUAAUAUGACUUGUUUGACAAAAAAAAAAACCAUACUUUUGUCCUGUAAACAUGCAGGGAGGAAGGAGGAAUUACGAGACAGGGAGCUCACGAAUUGUAUUUACAAGUGAAAUUAGAGGUUGAGAAAUGCAUUGCUAAUUUGCAGGAAAGAAGAGAGUGAUCCUUAAUUACAGAAGCCUUGUGUCUCGGCUACUGUACCAAGCCAGACAUGGCUUUACAUCUGAAGUUCCUGCAUUUGACCUCGAUUAAUGCAGUGCUCAUGUUGUUAGAGAGCAUGAAUCCAGCCCAGAAUCUUCUCCAUCACAGAUCUGAUAUUGUUGUGUUUAUGCAUCCGUUUUGGUAUUGCUAAGAUUAUGCAUCAGUUUUGAUAUUGCUAUUAAUAUAGAUUUAUUGCAUUAUGUAAAAGCUGUGUAUAGCUACUCAUAUACAAUGUACGGCCUGUAAUUGUAAAAGAUCAAUGAGAAUCAAUUUCUACACAUGUAGACAUCAUCGACGAAACUGUUCAAUUUCCUUGAUCAUUAUUUUUUUGGCAAGAUUUUAUUUCUUUUAAUCAAUCAGUUAAACCAUGCAUGUAAUGUGCAUGAUAUAUAGCCCUCAUGCAGUAAGUUUACAUCAUAUAUACACCAUCGCUUUUCUUGAAAAAAAUAAAAAUAAUUGUUGAAUGUGGGUGGACUCAAAAUCACUCUUAUAUGUAAAAUCAUUGUCAUGAGCUUGGAGAGGUCGGAGCUGAGAGCGUCGACAAUGUCAGCCUCAUGAUCGGUGGCCAUAGGCGGACACAGGGGUCGAGUGGGGGCAGUUGCCCCCAGUGAACUUUCUUUCUUGCUAAUCAUCUUCUUAUAUAUGUCAAUGUUCAUUUGAUAUUCUCCCAUCAUGAUUUAACAUAUACAUCUAUUGUUUAAAAAUAUGUUAAUUAACCCACAAAGGAAUAUAUCCCAGAUAGUCUGAUAAAUGAUUCUCUAGAUUUCUGGUUUUGGGUAUCAAUUUAGGUGAUCUUUUGAGGGGUCUGGUUGAACUUGAAUUCAUAUAUUGAAGUUUUAAAGUUGGAAAGCUUGCAAUUUUAUAGUGCUUCAUUAAGAUUUCAUAUAAAUGGUGAAAAAGACUUCGAUAUUUUUCAAAAUAAUGCAAAUUAACUACAUGAAGAGUUACGAAAUUAAGGGAGUGGAAGUGGAAAUGGACAUUGAGUCGUCUCUGGAGGCUCUUUAGCCUCAAUUUUUUUUUUUGUCCCCCACUUACAAAAUUUUCUGCAUCCACCACUGUCGGUGGCGAGGUUGGGGAGACCUUGUGACAUGCUCAGACUUUUAGAAGAUGCGAAGCUCGCCCGGAUAGAAUUUGGGCUCUUUAUGAUUUUUGGGCACAGUCGAUCCCAUGGUUUUUGGGCAUUGUGGUAGAAGGUCACAAGGAAUUUGGACUCUGGAGUCUCAUUCAAAUGACUCAUGCUUGUUGUCAAACGUGCGAUCUCGGGAAUUAGACUAGGUAAGACAGUUCAGUCACGUCCAAUCCCAAGUAAGAAAUCGAACUUUUCAAUCACAUUAAUGGUUCAAGUACCCCACCAUGAGACUUAGAGACUCAUACUUUGAGGUUGUACUUGAGCCAUGUUUGAAAUUAGGUGUAUUAUACACCGUGUAUAGUGAAUUGCACCAAUAUAGACAAACAUCCCAUCUGAGCCGCAACAUGCUUUCAAUUACCUUCAUCAAACUUGCUCCGCAUUUCCGGAACAACCUUUUGUUCCUCAUUACUCACUCUCACGUUGUCCAAGUGACUGAUAACUUGUUCAAACUACUUGCUUUCUCCAUCACCACAAUGCCACUGAUGCCACCAAACUAAUAUAUAGCUGCUUUACCGCUCACGAAUCACACACCAAAAGCGAAGCCAGACAAGGAAAGUGUUCGAACUCUACUUCCAUGGCCUCCAGCACCUUUCAUCUCUUCCCCUGCGGCGUUUCAUCCCCUCUCCGAUGUAAUUUGACGCCGUGUUUCUCCAUUAAUCCAUCUAGAAAGACUAGAAGGUUAGCUUUCUCCACAAGCCACACCAUGUCUGGUAUAACCAGAGAGAACCAGAGCCAACCUUUGGCAGAAGAGCGUGUGAGCUUAAAGCAUUUUUUUGAGCAAGCCAAGGAUCUUGUCACAUCCGACAGCGGACCACCUCACUGGUUCACACCUUUAGACUGCGGUCACCCCUUACACGACUCCCCUCUGCUUCUCUUUUUGCCCGGUACCUAACUAAUCAUAAUUCAAACUCAAGUACACAACGUACUCAGUUUUUGUUUUCUUCAUCACUGCAAUUUGCUAAAGCUUUCAACUUUAUGUAACUGUAGCGUUCAACUCUGAACUGCAGGAAUUGAUGGCACUGGACUUGGGCUUAUAAUGCAUCAUCAGAAACUAGGAAAGUACGUUAUCCAACUCUACUUGUUCUGUUUCUUUUUUUUUUUUUUGGUUCCCAUCUAACUUCUCAAGUAAAUGGUAUACUGCCUCUUUCUAAUUAGUUCCCCAGCCUAAUUUAUACUUCCUGUUUGAAGGAUUUUUGAGGUCUUGUGCUUGCAUAUUCCUCCCAAGGAUCGAACACCAUUUACAGGUUCUUCCUUCUUUAUACUAACAUACAUGUUGCAUUGGCACUCUUUCUGUGUGGCAAUUUGCUUGACUCAUCCUCCCAUAUACAUGUCACUGCUGCAUGAAAUGAAAAUCACAUCAGGAGAGCAAUCUAUUUAUUUUUCAAAAUUUAUAAUGCAACAGACUUGGUGAACCUGGUUGAGAGAAGAGUUCGGUCAGAGCAUCAUCGCUCACCUAAUAGACCAAUAUAUCUUGUUGGAGAAUCUCUUGGAGCAUGCCUUGCACUAUCUGUGGCAUCCCUUAACCCUGAUAUCGACCUUGUUCUACUCUUAGCAAAUCCUGGUAACAUAUAUUUGUUCCUUCAUAUUAGGCUUUUUAAUGCAAGCAUAUAAAAAGAGGAAUGAAAUUGAUGCAAUUUCUCACUCGAUUUAACACCUACAAUGAAUAUGUGCAGCAACGUCCUUCACCAAGUCACCACUUCAGUCCAUAUUGCCUUUGUUGCAGAUCAUGUCUGACUUAUUACCCAGUCUUAGACUUCCUCUUGAACUGAGUUCAAUGGCAGGUGUGUUUUCCUUGUUCCAUUACUUGUUACUCAUGUCCAGAAAAAUGAUAGCAAGAGCUGGGAAUCUGUUCCUGCCAAACGUGACAAAAGAGUUGUUUCGUUUAUGUUUGGAGACAAAUGAUAUAGGAUAUACUGUAUAUUUUCAAGUUUCUUUCUUCUUAAAAACUGAUGUUAUUUGAGUAAGCUACAUUUGUUGCUCUUAGUUCAAGUUAACAAAAAGUAUACAUGUUUCUUCCUUCUCCCCCAAAAAAAAAAAAAAAAAAAAAAAAAACAAGUACAUACAUGUUUCUCAAUCUGCAGUUUGUCGUGCAUGCAUAUAGGUGUAAUGAUGGCUGAUUUAGAGAAGGGAGUUGGAAGUCUAUCGUGGGAUUUCGUUGCACAAUCAAUAUCUUACCUCUCUGUAAGACACAGCUUCGAAACAUUACUCUCACCCAGAAGCAGUUAAAUAUCCAGUACACUACUUGUUUUUCACAGCAUCUGUUACAAAUGGAUUUCUGUCAUUCGAUUUUUUUUUUUCUUUUGUACAUUUCUAAUGUCUUUUAUUUUUCAAAAAUGUGAGGUCCAAUCUUGUAAAAUGGGAUUAAUGGUUGUAAGUUUCAGGUUUUUGCUGAUAUAUUUCCCCUAGAAACACUUCCGUGGAAACUAAUGUGUUUUAUUUUUCAAAAUGUGAGGUCCAAUCUUGUAAAAUGGGAUUAAUGGUUGUAAGUUUCAGGUUUUUGCUGAUAUAUUUCCCCUAGAAACACUUCCGUGGAAACUAAUGUGUUUUAUUUUUCAAAAUGUGAGGUCCAAUCUUGUAAAAUGGGAUUAAUGGUUAUAAGUUUCAGGUUUUUGCUGAUAUCUUGCCCCUAGAAACACUUCCGUGGAAACUACAAUUGAUUAAUUCAGCUUCAUCGUAUGCCAAUUCACGCCUCCAUGCUGUUAAAGCUCAAACCCUGAUACUUUCCAGGUUUCCUAAAACUUCCAUAACCAUUUCUAGCAAUAAGUUCAUGUGGAAUAUUAUCCCAUGUUUAUUACAUGUGACAAUUGACAUGACAACUUUGCUGCAUUACCCUAUCAUCUUUUUAGAAUGACGGUGCUGAUUUAACUGGUAUCUGUUUUAAAGUGGAAAGGAUCCAUUGCUACCUAGUCAAGAGGAAGGUCCAAGACUCCGACAGCUGCUUGCAAAUUGUGAGACCCGUGUAUUUGAAGACUGCAGCCAUUUCCUUUUCUUGGUAGGAUGAUCUUAUCAUGUGCUAGUACUAAUCUGAUCAUGUUCUCACAUGUUCAUUAGUUUCUCUCAUGUACUGUUCAGUCUUGAAUAUUAUACAACCAGAUGUUUCUGAGCUUACAUUACAUGUGCUUAAACUUGAUUUUUUGGCAGGAAGAUACUUUCGAUUUGGUAACUGUCAUCAAGCAGAUUGGUAUCUAUCGUCGUUCAAUAGAACGAGAUUUUGUUUUAGACUACAUACCACCAUCACCUUCCGAAUUAAAAAGUUUCCAGGACAAAUACAGGUCAGUUACACUUUUCCUAGCCUAUAUGGUAGAUUUAUGCAUCUUAGUUUGGCUUUAUUUCUUUUUCUUUUUCAAUAUUGAUGUUUCAUGAUUAUUGUUAAUGAAUGUGUAGUUGGAUUAACAUCAUGAGCUCGGUGAUACUCUCAACUUUAGCAGAUGGGAAGUCAGUGAGGGGCUUUGCUGGGAUUCCUUCAGAGGGUCCUGUAUUGUAUGUCGGAAAUCACAUGUUACUGGGAUUUGAUAUUGUUCCAUUGAUGACACAGUUUUCGGAAAAUGACAUCAUUCUGAAAGGAAUAGCACAUCCAAUGAUGUUAAUGAAACAAGGAAAGUUUGAGCAACCAUUUUCCGAUGAUAUGAGACUUAUGGGUGCUGUUCCUGUCUCAGGAAAGUACUUUUUCAGGCUACUCUCUACAAAGUCUCAUAUCCUACUCUAUCCUGGUGGAGUGCGCGAGGCUCUUCACAGGAAGGUACUAAAUUCACUCUCACUUGAUGUUUGGUUUGGUUUUUUUCCAAUGCCAAGGAUAGAACUGGAUUAAAUUUCCAUGCACUUAAAAGUCUAAAUAACCUGUCACUGUUGUUACUUGUACUAUCCAGGGGGAAGCAUAUAAGCUAUUUUGGCCGGAACGGUCAGAGUUUGUGAGGAUGGCAGCUAGAUUUGGAGCCAAAAUAGUACCCUUUGGUGCUGUUGGAGAAGAUGACUGGGGUGACGUAAGGCCACAAGGCUUAUUUUAUCUUAUCUAUAAUCUUGGCGAUUACUAUUUUAUCAAAAUUAUUCUUAUUAAAUUGGAGUUAUCUAAACUUUAUAUAGCAAGUCUUAAAUACAUGUAUACUCAGCUUGCCCUGCUUAUGUUUUACUUACCAGUUCAAGGUUAUAUCUCUUCUUGAAUGCGUGUCACCCAUUAUGGUCAGAUAACAAUUGUGUUUGUUUUCUUCUCGAAAGGUAUUAUUUGAUUAUGAAGAUCAGAUGAAAGUUCCUUUCCUGAAGAAGUUUAUAGAUGAAAUAUCAGAUGAAGCUGGAAAUCUGAGGUAGUAUAUCUGUCAAGAUAUGGUUUUGGUUAUUGAUUGCUAUAGACCGUCUAUCAAGGUAUGCAUGCAAUUUCCUUCAAAGUUAAUGUGAUAUUUGUGACCAUAGGGCUACCAUUGAUGGAGAAGUAGGAAACCAAGCUCUGUACUUCCCAGGAUUUUUACCAAAAUUUCCUGGUCGGUUUUAUUAUCGUUUUGGGAAACCAAUUGAAACAGAAGGUGUGUUUUGGCUUUAAUCAACUGACUUUGGAAAGAGAACUUGUUUGACACGAUUUAAUUGUAUUUAUGUUCUACAGUGAUGAUGUAAAUUGUGGUUUGAAUACAUGCAGGGAGGAAGGAGGAAUUACGAGACAGGGAUAAAGCUCAUGAAUUGUAUUUAGAAGUGAAAUCAGAGGUUAAGAAAUGCAUUGCUUAUUUGCAGGAAAAAAGAGAGAGUGAUCCUUACAGAAGCCUUGCGUCUCGGCUACUCUUCCAUGCAAGACAUGGCUUUACAUCUCAAGUUCCCGCAUUUGACAUCGAUUAAUGCAGUGCUCAGAUACAACUAUCAUGAACAAAAAUUGAUUUAUCGACCUCUUCUGUGGGGGGUUAAUGAGAUUAGGACCUCCACCUAAACUAUGUGACCCUCAACAUUGUGGAUUAGUAGUAUUUGACAUUGUAUUUAUACCAACACAGGAGCAAGUGACAUUUUUUUCUCUUUAAAGAGGCUUAUAUCAAGAUACAUCACAAGAAAAUCAAUCAGGUAACUUGAGACUCAUAGUAGCAACGUAUAUAAGUAUAUUACUACCAAGAUGCAUGAGACUGAUGAGAGCAUGGAACGCCUAAGGAUGUUGCUACAAUUUUAAAGAAAUACAGAGAAAGAGUGAUUGAGAAUUAUAUACAUGUACAUACCUGGCAGCAAAACUGGCUCAAACAUUAUCCUGAGCAUUUCAACUGAUAGCUUGUGUAGUUGUUAUGUUGUGAUCCAAUAAGAUUCGUACUUGUCCAACUCUCCAAGUGAUGCUUUCUCGUUCUAAUUCAUCAUCUGGCUCUGGAUUUCCAUUAGAAUCUUAAGAUGCAGAGAUAUUUGAUGAUAGGCUCUCGACUACGUCCUCAUGUCCCUCAGCUAUGCUCUUUGUUCAAACAAGAGGUGACACUGGACAUCUUGUUGUUCGUUCUGUCGGUUCUGAUUAGUAAAUUGCAAAAGAGAGGUCAGAUAAUUAAAGCAAAAGCUCAACUAAAAUGUAGCAUCCAAAUGAUCCAACAAACAAAGCAAGGGCUAAAAUAAUAAUAGUUAUAUAGAAAAAUCUGAAGUAGGACGUUUUGGAAAUAACCCUCCAGCUUGAAUCUGCUUGAGCAUCAUCCCAACAAGCAUUCAAUCAAAUUGUUACAAUAACUCAUAUCUUUAUGGUAUUCUGUUUUAAGUCACAAUCGACUAAUUUUCUUCUAACAAUCUAUCAGCCGAUUAAGCACCGAGUUAAACUUACUACAAGAAGUCUUAUCUUUAUGGUACAAUGUUCAUCAACCGGCAUACACAUCCACUCAAAACAUGAAAAAAAAAAUUAUGAAAGGCACUGCUCUCAUGGGAUUAUGAAUCAAGCACGCACUAAUUUGAAGAUGACUCGGAAUAAGGGAAAUCUCUUCUUUGCUCCCCUUUCCAAUUUGUGGCAUCAACUCAUGCUGCCUAUUACUAACUGGACUACUGGAGGGUUCUUCUAUAUGAUCUGGUUUGCAGAUUUACACUAAAACCCAAAAACUAGUUUAUCGUAUUAGUAAUACGAUACUCAGAUCAGCACAGGAAUGAUAUGUAAACAACAUAGAAAUUACCAUCAAUCAAUCCUAACCCCCCUAACUUUGAAUCUAUCCCCAAUUUAAAAUCACUGAAUCAAACCACUCAUAAGCAUUGUCGAACAAUCAAGUAGUGAAGGUAGUAAAUUUGAACUAUACAACUUACAAUCAUCUACAACAAGAUAGUCAAGAAACCCAAAAUAAAAUUUGCAUAAUUUUUUACCAUAUGAGCAGAAGCAUCAAGUCUCGAUCAAGCGGCAGUGGUACUGUAAUGAGCAGAGAAAUCCAAGGGAGACUUUAUCAAAAUCAUCAAAUAAAGUACAGGUUUUUUUUUUAAAGGUGUGCUGCCCAGCCCGCCUAGGCCCACAUCACCUACGACCGCCUAGCCGUCUCUCUAUUCCGCCUAGCCCGAAGAGUACUUUUAAGUUUUAAGUCUCGACUAAGUGGCAGUAGUACCGUAAUGAGCAGAGAAAUCCAAGUCAGGAGACUCGAUCAAAGGCGAGGCACGAGAGGGAAGCGAGUAAAAUUCACUCGCGGAACAGAAGAGCCUCGGCCCCAUCUUUCUCAUUUCUCAUCAGUGAGUGUGUUUUGUGUGUGACCAUUGAAAAGAGAGACCUCCUUCAAAUUGCGAUUCCUGUAGAACAGAAGGGUUUAUGGCUAUUGAAUGGUUCAAAACUAUUGGCACAAUGUUGUCCAUGUUGAUUUGUUAGCCACACCAUUUUGAAGAACAAUCUGUGGUUGCAUUAGCUAUCGGAGAAUGAUGAUCAAAAUUGCAAUUUAGUCCAUUGUAGAGAUUUUGAUUCAAGUAAUUUAACAAAUUAUUCAAGGUUCAGCUCCCACCAGAACUAUCCUCAUCUAUAAGCUUAAAAUUACCCAAAACUGUAAUCAAACGUUGAAGUAGCUAUACUGCUAUUGUAAUCAAAUUCAAAUACAUAGGCCUUUGUUUUUUCACCAAGGACUCAGAUCCAUCGGCAUUGUCAAUUCAGAUAUCUCAUUCAACCCAAUAUGUGCAUUUACCAAAUAGUUGCAUAAAAAUUCAGGGCCAAUUGCGGCAGUAUAAUGUUACUGCAAUUGAAACACCAACAGAAAUUACCAAUUCCAAAACAUCAGAUCUACAUAAUUAAGACCAACCAGAGUCACAAAAUGUAAGAGUGUACUCUUAACAAACUCAUAGAACACACAAUGAUUCACCACAGAAAAUUGAAAAUUACCAUUAAAAACUGAAAUCAAGGUCUCCCUUUACAUAACCGAUUCCAAAUCCAACACAAAAGCAUAGAUCUACCACCUAAUCUUACUACCAUUAAUUGCAUCAAACCACAUCCGGGUCAUAAUUCUAAGCCCUCUCGCCCCUAAUCCUCCUUGCAAGCUGAAUAUCCUUAGGCAUAAUCGUAACCCUCUUAGCAUGAAUCGCACAGAGAUUAGUAUCCUCAAACAAGCCAACCAAAUACGCCUCGGCAGCCUCCUGAAGCGCAGCCACAGCGCUGCUCUGGAACCUCAGAUCGGUCUUGAAGUCCUGGGCAAUCUCCCUCACAAGCCUCUGGAAUGGCAGCUUGCGGAUCAGAAGCUCAGUGCUCUUCUGGUACUUCCUGAUUUCUCUGAGAGCCACGGUACCGGGCCUGAAGCGGUGAGGCUUCUUCACUCCUCCGGUGGCCGGGGCAGACUUCCGGGCGGCCUUGGUGGCGAGUUGCUUGCGUGGGGCUUUGCCUCCGGUGGAUUUGCGGGCGGUCUGCUUGGUACGGGCCAUUUCUGGGAUCUGGGGAAAUUAGGGUUUUGGUGGGUAUGGGGGAACUGAGAGGGGAUUUGAUUGUGAGUUGUGGGAUUUGGUGGGAUUGGGAGGGUUUGAUUUAUAGGGAGGGAGAGAGGAGAAGCGGGAACUGAAAUUUUUGGGGGUGAAUUGCGGAGGGUUUGUGGUUGUUUGAAUCAACGGUGGAGAUUUGCUGGUGGAUGGUUGUGGGGAAGGUGAGGAUCGCGAUCCGCGUGAUUUCUAAGAGGACCAAGAGAGGCGGGCUUUUUUCGGAAGAGGUGGGGCUGCUUAAACAUUUGGGCAAGUUUUUAAAAUUUUGAAUUUCCUUUCGGUUUUGGCUGAAUAUUUUGAAAUUCUAGUUUUGUCUUUUGUUUUUAGGGGAAUGAAAUCAAUGAAUAUUUGAACUGAAAUCUAAACGUAAUAAAAUUUCUAUUACGGAUCCGGAUUUAGGUCGAUCCAUUGCAGAUCGGGUCCAUUUACAGGUCUAGGUGCAUUGCUGGUCGUGCGACCGCAUUGGGGGCCAUGGCAAAAGAGGGUAGGAUUUUUUUUUUCAGCAAAAAGGGGCAGGAUUUGGUUUUACUGGGGAAGCAUAUUUGAAUAUGUUAAUUCGGCACCCAAUCAUCAUAGACCAUGGUGCCUCGAUUUCCUUGCUCUUUUUUUUACCGUGUUUUGUAUAGAUAAGGGUGCUCUUUGUUUUUUUCACAUAUUAAAAUACCUAUAUAAAUUCAACCUCAAAGUCCUACAAUGGCUAACCAGGCCAGCUUAAUUAGUCACUACGCCAAUAAGUGCAACCAACGACACUUUUCACACAAUGGUGAAGAAUAGCAGUGUUGUACAAAUUUCAAAAAUGAUUCAUAUAACGUUCUUAAAUUGUCAGCUGUUGUGUGGAUAGUCUGAGAUCAUUCCAGAUUUUUUUUUUCUUAAACCAGUACAACACUUUGGACAACACUUUGGACAACAUUUUGUUGUGUGCAUGAAGAUAAAAAUAAGACUUAUUUGGCUUCUAACUCCAUUCUAGUUUCACAUAUAACUGGGUUUUAUUACACAACAGUGAAACAAAUAAAUGUUGUGUGAAUGUAUAAAAUUUAAACUAUCACACAAUACUUUUUAUCAUCUGUUGUAAGAUAUAUCUCUAAUGACAUAUAACUAGGUUUCAUUACACAACAGUGAAACAAAUAAAUGUUGUGUGAAUGUAUAAAAUUUAAACUAUCACACAAUACUUUUUAUACAUAUGUUAUAAGAUAUAUCUCUCAUGCCAGGUUGCGGACUUCUAGUUUUAAAAUUGCUCUAACAUCCUCUGAAAACCUAAAUUUUGUGUGAAGGAUAUCCUUGGUGGUUUUGAUGUAACAACAGAACACUCAAACCUGUUGUGUGAGAGUAUAGGAUUUUCAGCAGUCACACAACGACUUUUUAGUUUUGGUUGUAUAAUAUAUUUUCGUGUCAUGAUUCCACUCUCUUACAUUUGACAAUACUCAUCCCACAACAAUCAACUAAGAAAUGUUGUGUGAGGGUAUAAUUUUUAAAUAUAUCACACAACUAUUUUUUAUAUCAUGUUGUCUGUAUCGUAAUCCCUAACCCCUAAAAUACCCUAAUUUCUAACACCAAGUUUUCUAUUGUAAUCCCACAACGAUUGUCUUCUAUGUUGACAUGUGAUGAAAAAGCAAAAACGUUGAAUUUAUGGUUGACCGAGUCGAUCGAUACCCAAACGUUACCGAAAAUUUGUGAAUUUUGUUACACUGCAAUACUUCACUGUCAUGAUUAUAUCUAACGGUCGGAUUUCCAUGAUCUUAAUUUUAGACAUCCGAACCACAAUCAACCUACUAGUGAAGUAUAACAUGUUUACUAUGUUGUACAUAAUGUGCUUAACAUGUGUAGUACAUCUUAUAUAAACAUAUGUUUCUCUAGAGAGACAUGAUUGAUGAAAUGAAAUUUUAAAAAUCGCACUGUAUGAACAUGUUCACAAUAUUGAAGCAUGUUUGUGAUAGAAACCUCAUCAAUUUUCAGUAUUAUAUGGGCGUCGAUCGACGCGGUCAACCUUAAUUAUACUUACAUUUCACUAUAGGGAGCCAAAUCAUCGGAAUGCAAUUAUCAUCAACUUUUUACAUGAGUUCAUACACAAUAACUAUAUGAGGCUAUGAGUGUUGACAAAAUAAAAAAAAUAUGAGUAACGAUAUUGCAGUUCAGCGUGUUUUCAUGUAAUUAGAAUGGUCGAUUUAUGGUUGACCACAAACCUCCCAUAGUUAGACAACUCUUAAUGCUUUUCUGUGUUGUGUGAGUGAAAACUAGGGUUAUUUUGUAAAGUGACUUGUAAGAGUAAAAAGUAUAGGGGGAUGAGUGACCUAACCCCUAAAAUACCCUAAUCUUUAAGCCAAAUUUCAUAUCAUAGUCUCACAACAGUAGUCUUUAGUACUGAUGUGUGAUGAAAAAACAAAAACGUUGAAUUUAUGGUUGACCGAGUCGAUAGAUACCUAAACAUUACCGAAAAUUUAUGAAUUUUGUUUCACUGCUAUACUUCACUAUCACAAUCGUAUCCAACGGUCGGAUUUUCAUGAUCUUAACCCUAGAUAUCUGAAUCACUAUCAACCUGCUAAUGAGGUAUAACAUGUUUACUAUGUUACACAUAAUGUGGCAUGACAUGUAUAGUACAUCUUAUAUAAACAUAUGUUUCUCUAUAGAGACACAAUUGAGGAAAUAAAAUUUUGAAAAUCGAACUGUAUAGACAUGUUUACGGCAAUGGAGCAUGAUUGUGGUAGAACAACAACAAUUUUCGAUAUUAAAUAGGUGUCGAUCGACAUGGUCAACCCUAAUUACCCUUACAUUUCACUAUGGGGAGCCAAACCAUCGGGAUUCAAUUUUCAUCAACUUUUUACAUGAGUUCAUACACAAUAAUACUAUGAGGCUACGACAAAUGUCAGCAGACUCAAAAAUACGAGUAACGAUAUUGCAGUUCAGCGUGUUUUCAUGUAAUUAGGGUAGUCGAUUUAUGGUUGACCAUAGUCUCUCAUAUUCAUACAACUCUUAGUGUUUCUCGGCGUUGUGUGAGUGAAAAAUAGGGUUUUUUUGAAGAGUGACUUGUAAAAGUGAAAAAUAGAGGGAAAUCUCCCGCUCUUACAAUUUAGGUCUCAGACAAUAAAAUCUCUAAUUUAUGUUGUGUGAUUUGUAAAAUAGACAGGGAACAAUUAGGAGUGAAAUGUGUUUGCGGGAAAUCUCCCGCUUUUACAAUUUAGCGUGCCAUCUUUGUUCUUUCUUAUCAGACAAUAAAAUUUACUAUUGAUGUUGUCUGAUUUGUAAAAUGAAUUUAACACCUAGUUAUAGACACUCGAGUCAAAACCUAAAAGACUUCACAUUUGGACCAAAAACUCAACAUUGCACUCAAAAACUGCCUCUCACUCAAAAACUCUCCUCUCUUACUCUGUGACCCGAUUUCUCAAAACUUCUCUCUCACUCGAGUCUAAGCCUCUGUCACCUACUCGAUUAGGGCUCAAGUCGAUUAGGGUUCUUCGAUUUAGGGGUGGUGUUCCAAUUUUCUUUGAGGUUCUUCUCCUCUCUCACUCGAUUUAUUUCCAAGUUGUACUAUUCUCAUCUCUCUCGAUUGGGCUCGAUUCAAUUAGGGUUCUUCAAUUUGGGGGUUUGGGUGGUCAAGGAAGGGACUCAGGGAGGGAGGGGAUGGCAUUUGGGGUCAAGGUUUCAAAUUUAGGGAUGAGGUUCGCUACCGCCUCACCGCCGCCGAUUCCCUACGCGUUAAGGCCAGAGUGAUCAACGGAGAUUCCAGAGUGAGGAGAUUCUUCAGUUCCUGCAACAACCGCGUCGUCUCUGCGGUCUUGGCGGAGCUGGAUUUGAGCCCCGGUGAGUUGUACUUGUUCAAGUGCCUCGUCGCCGCCGACCACGUGUUCAAAUGCCUUUGCUGGUCAUUACUUCCGCCACUAAUCCGACUACGGAAACUGUCAAAAGAAAAGAAAAUUGUCUAAGGUACAUAACCCAUAGUUCUUUCACAUUUUUGACUAUUACCUAGUAUUGGUAGGUUCUUUAGCAUGCUUAGAACAGAAAUAGACCAAGGAUCACAUAGUGCACACCAUAUGUUUGAUAAUAUGCCUCAAAGAUACAACCAAGCUGAACCAGUGGGCUUUUCCAAGAUUUUUGAAAAACCUAUACUUCUUUUUUCAAUCUCAGUUUUUAACAGUUAAAAAUAGACUCUUCAAUGAUCGUUUUAAACUUGGUCUCACGAAAAACAGAGUUGAUUUGAGAAACUUAUGUUAUCUUGAAUUUUACAGUGUUUCAGAAUUUUCUGCAGAAACUUUCAGUCACUUUGGAUCUCUGUAUGACUGUCAAUUUGAAUUCCAAACGACUUGAAAUUUUUACACAUUGUAGAGUUGCUUGUCUAUUUUGAUUAUGAAAAUUUUCACAUGAAAAUAAUGAAAGGUCAGUUGUUGGUGAAUUUUUCUUCCUUACCUACUUCCUGAAAAUUUCUCAGAUUUGAAGCUCAUUGUUACAAAACAAUAGAUUUGGGAAUUGCUCAGGGCUUUUGGGAAUUACAGUUUUCAUUUGACAAAACAUGCAAUUACUGAAGCGAUACCUUUGCUGGUCAUUACUUCUGCCACUGAUCCGACUAUGGAAACUGUCAAAGGAAAAGAAAACUGCUUAAGGUACAUAACCCAUAGUUCUUUCACAUUUUUGUUUGUUUAGGAUUAUAAUUAUGCUUUUCUUUUUCUUUUUGAAGAGGUAUAUGAUCAUUAUAUGGACUUGAGAGGAAUGGAGCUUGCUCGAUUCGCCCUGGAAGAGUUCAACAAGCAAAAGGUAUUGAACUGUGCAAUGUGAAAUUGAAAUAGUGAAAUUGGUUUUAUUUUCUUUUUAUGAAAUAGUUAAUUGAUAUGAAUUAUGACACAUUAUGUCACAUCCCGACCCUUAUAUUUUUACCUUAUUUACUAGCGUGAUUAUAAUAAGAAUUUUACCGUCUCGAUCAUUGAGUAAAUAGUUUAAUUGGUCCCUAGAGGGGUUUCGGGGACGAUUAUGUGCGGAGGAUAAUUCGUAUGGGGAUUAUACGGCGACGGUAAAAAUAGUAAAUUUUAGCUAGUAAACGGUAAUUUUUAUUCGGGUAUUAUUUUUUCGGGGUGUUGAAUUUUGGAAUUAUGGGUUAAAAGGGGUGUUGGGUCGGCUGGGCCGAGCCCAACCCAUUUCUUCUUCUUUCUCUUCUCCCUCCCUCCCGAUUUUUCUCUCUUCUCACCCGGUUUUCCCCUCUCUACACCCAGCAGAAUUCCGGCCGUCCUCCCGCCGCCGUCCGACCUCCGUUCGCCGCCGGACCGGUCCCGUUCGGUCGGUCUCCCUCCCAGCAUCAUUUCUAGACCGGUGAGAGGAGCCCUAGCGCCGCCGUGAGAGAGCGGUGCCGCCCGAAAGCAAGGGCUGCCCCGAGCUUCCCUUCGCCGGAACUUCCUCCUCCGGCCACCAAUCCGGGCAAGCUUGGUAUGGUUUUGUAGCCCUCCAACCCAGCAACCUUGCCCUAAAAGGACUCACUCCCUCUUGAGCUAGGUAAGGAGAAAUUUGAGGUGGAAGUUUUAUGGUGUUUUUGAUGUUUUUAGUCGAUUUCCCUAGUUAGGCUUGGAAUUGGUGUUUGUGCAAGUUAUGAAAGUUGUAGAGCUUGAUAAGAGGAAGAUGCUGUUAAAAUUUCAUAGGUUUUGGAGGUCGCCGGAAUUGACCUCCGGCCGCCGCCGGUUGGGAGAUUUUAAUGUUGUUAAAUUUGGAAUAUUAAGGGGAGUUUAUUGAAGUGAGUUAUGGAAUUUUUGGAUGAGUUUUGGAUAGGUUUAUGAAUUUCCGAAGUGUGGUAUUUUUGGCGGGUAAUUAAUGUAGAAUCCGGCCGUUGGAUUUAAGUCGUAUUUUGGAGAGGUUGUAUUUACGACUGUGGAGUAUGAUAUUUAAGUUCGGAUCGUCCGAUGUAAGAAUAUCGAAGUUAGGCAAUAAUGAGCGUAAUUAUGGCUCUCGGGUAAUUUUNNNNNNNNNNNNNNNNNNNNAAUAUUGGAUAUUGGUUGGGAAAUUAAUAAUUAUAUUUGGAACAGGACGUGAAGAGGCUCGAGCAGACGAGACCCAGAUUGACAUCAGGCUUAGGCCUAAUUCGUGAGUGGUACGUUUAUUUUAAAUAAAUGCAUGCUAUAGUUCAUGGUUGAACAAUUAAUAUUGCGGAAUAUUUUAACGUCAUUUUAAUUUGACGAUUUUUAUUUUCUCUUGGAGAGCUACCGAAAAUGGGAUUUUCGGUGAAUAUAAAUAUGUAUUUAUGAGAGAGUAUGUAUAUAAAUGCUAGCUAGCCAUAUGUGUCUGUCCACCUUAAUGGCGUAGCAUAUAGCCGCAUUAUGGUGUGACGUGAGCGUUGGACGUAAGCGUAGUAGCCCUAUAUGAGUUGUUUAAUUCAUAUAGGGGGGUAUGGACACAUAUUUAUACACCCGUCUGUCCACCUUGAUAGCGUAGUGUAGCACCGCAUUAAGGCGUGACGUGAGCGUUGGACGCGAGCGUAGUAGCCCUAUAUAGACCCAUGAAUUUAUAUAGGGAGUAUGGACGAGUAGUAAAUACAUACAUAUAUUAUAGAAUCUGAGAGGCUCGAUAUUUAUGGGAUAAAGGUUUUAUCGCUUGCGGCAUGCACUCGAUUUUCCUUAGAAUUAAUUGGGGAAACAUAAAUAUUUUAUUUAUUAAUUUAUUUUUUGUCCACUCACUCUAACGUUAUUAAAUGUUUUCCCCUGGGCCCUUCGUUUUAAAUUGCCCAGUCUGCAGAGUUCGGGUUGGAUCUAGUAGGAGACGAGGCAUAGUCACCCGCUUUUCGGCCAGUUUUCGCCAGUAGGUUGCCUGUUCAACCUACUCGUAUUUUCUUGCUUCCGCUUGUGUUUAGUAGCUCUGAAUACUUUAGAAUUUUUGUAUAUUAUGCGAUGUUCAGAAGUGUAAUAUGAAAUUUUCGAGUUAGGGUUGUCCAUCUACAAGGGAGAUUUUCUUAAUCUUUUCAGUAAAUUUUCCUUGGAGGUGGUCCCCGCACGACUUACUCUGGGUUUCAGGGUGAAACUCGGGGUGGGUCGUGUCAAGGAGGGCUACAAAACGAGCCAAGGAUCGCCGGUUUUAGUGGCCGGAGGAGGGAGCUCCGGCGAGUGAAUCACCACGGCUUCUUGCCGUGAUAACUUGAAAUUUCCGACGGGAGAGGGGCUGUCACCAACUCAGGGCUGGAGAGGGAAGGACAGGGGUCCAAACGAGACCGGUCCGGCGUCCUGGCUCGGCCGGUCGACGGCGGCAAGAGCUGGAGAAAAACCGGACACUGGAGAGGUCGGGAGAGGCUGGGAGGAGAGAAGAAAAAGAGAAGAGGAAGAGAAGAAAAAAGAGAAGGGAAGAAUGGCUUUGGGCCUCACACCCCCAAACCGGGCCAACAACCUUAUACACCAAAACCCAACUCUAAAAUUUACACCCCAAAAUAAAAUACCCUAUUAAAAAUUACCUUUUAUUAGCUAAAAUUUACCAUUUUCACCGUCGUUAUAUUUUCUCCUACGAAUCACUCUCUGAAAUAAUCGUCCCCCAAAAUCCCACUAGGGACCAAUUAAACUAUAACUUCAUUGACGGAGACGGUAAAAUUCUUAUUAUAAUCAAGCUAGUAAAUAAGGUAAAAAUUUAAGGGUCCGGAUGUGACACGUACUCCUCGAAAACAGACUAGGGUGAAUUGCCAAGCUAGAUUUCGGAUCAAUUACACUGAUGGGUGUAGAGUUUAUAUGGUGAAGAUAUUCGUUCCAGAGCAUAAUCAUGAACUAGCUACUGGGAACCAGAUUGCAUUCGUUUAUGCUCAUCGUCAUGUCAGCGACGCAGCUUUGGCUCUGACAAACACAAUGACAAGGGUUUCAAUUAGACCAUGUCACACAUAUGAGUAUAUGGUGGAGCAGGCUGGGGGAUAUUCGGUAGUGGGAUUCACCAUGAAGGACCUCUACAACAAGCUUGACCAACAACGACGGACCUCCCUAUUUGAGAGUGAUUCCAAAGGAGCGCUUUCCUACAUGAGAGCACUGGCAGCAAAAGACCCACACUUCAUAUGCAGAUUCACUACAGAUUUGGAAGACAGGUUAGUGGACAUUUUUUGGCGAGAUGGCAUUCAUUUGUUGAUUAUCAGUGUUAUGGGGAUGUGCUGAUAUUCGAUAGCACAUACAAAACCAACAAGCCAUUGGUUAUGUUUGUUGGGUCGAACAACCAUCGAGGUAGUAUUAUUUUCGGUGCUGCCCUUAUUUCGGAUGAGACUGAGGAGACAUACACUUGGUUGCUUCGUACAUUUUUGGAGUCGAUGAACGGGAAGAUGGCAAAGGCGGUACUCACAGACAGUGACGAGGCCAUGCGUAAGGCAAUUGAAACUGUGAUGCCGGAAGCAAGGCACCGUCUAUGUAUUUGGCACAUAGGUAAAAAUGCCUUUACCCACUUAAAGUCUGAGGAAAAGUUGAAGGCUUUUAACAGAUGCGUGAGGAAGAAUCAAACAGUUGAGCAAUUUGAAAGGUUGUGGCAGGAAAUGAUUGACGAACUUGAUCUCCAUGACGAUAUUUGGAUCAGGAAUAUGUAUGAAAAGAGAGACAAGUUUUGUCAAGCAUUCAUCGGUGACAUAUUUAUGGCCGGAAUGAGAAGCACACAAAUGUGUGAGGGCAUGAAUAAAGAAUUCAAGAGGGUGCUUAGUAAAGGGAAAUCCCUUGUGGAGCUUGUUGCGUUGGUGUACAGAUUACUUAUGAAACUGAGACACAAUCAAGAAAGGGAUGAAUUCAUCUAUAUGAAUUCCUUUCCUGGUGCCGUAACUCACUUGGUAGAUUUGGAGAUACAAGCCUCUUCUAUAUUCACACACGAUGUGUUUAAAUGGAUUGUAAGAGAGAUCAAGAAAAAGAGCUUUAAUACACUAAAGCAAGGAGCAGAAUGUCAUGAAGAUGGUAGUCGUGUUUACAAGCUAUCAGUAUACAAACGGCCUGAAUUUGACCACACUGUUGUUCUUGGUGCCGUAACUCACUUGGUAGAUUUGGAGAUACAAGCCUCUUCUAUAUUCACACACGAUGUGUUUAAGUGGAUUGUAAGAGAAAUCAAGAAAGAGAGCUUUAUUACACUAAAGCAAGGAGCAGAAUGUCAUGAAGAUGGUAGUCGUGUUUACAAGGUAUCAGUACACAAACGGCCUGAAUUUGACCACACUAUUGUUUACCACCCUGAGAAAGAGACUGACAGUGCAAAAGACUCGAUUAUGCUGUGUUCUUGCAGAAUUAAUGUUUCAGUACGGGGGAGUACCAUGUCGUCACAUGUUCACGGUGAUGAAAAAGAACACAUUUUUGAGCUUCACAAGUCACUGAUCGUCAAGAGAUGGUCAAAAGACGCAAGAACUGUGUGUGAGAUCCCUUAUCCAGAUCAAUCUAUGCCUAGAGAAGCAUUGGAAGUGAGCAAGUAUGGUGCUCUAACUGCCGAAUGCAAUCGAUUGUGCUUUUAUGCUUCAAAGACAGAUGCAGGGUACAACUUGUUGCAGAAGGAGAUCAGUUGUCACAUCCCGACCCUUAUAUUUUUACCUUAUUUACUAGCGUGAUUAUAAUAAGAAUUUUUACCGUCUCGAUCUUUGAGUUAAUAGUUUAAUUGGUCCCUAGAGGGGUUUCGGGGACGAUUAUGUGCGGAGGAUUAUUCGUAUGAGGAAAAUAUGACGACGGUAAAAAUAGUAAAUUUAGCUAGUAAAAGGUAAUUUUUAUUCGGGUAUUAUUUUUUGGGGUGUUUUAUUUGUAGGAGUUGGGUAUUUUAGUAUUGUUGGACCGGGUGUAGAGGCCCAUUUCUCUUUUCUCUUUUUCUCCUCUUUUCUCCUCCCGGUUCUCUCUCCCCCGAGCUUUCCCGCCGUCCGGAAUUCCGACCGCCAGACCGCCGCCGUCCGGCCGCCCCAGACCCAAUCGAUCGGUCUCUGACCCAGCUAUCUUCUAGGACCGGUAGCAGCCCCCCUAGCGCCGCCGUGAGAGAGCGGUGCCGCCCGAAAGGAUAGGCUGCCCCGAACUUCCGGUCGCCAGAACUCCCUCCUCCGGCCACCAAUCUGGGCAAGCUUGGUACGGUUUUGUAGCCCUCCUCCCGUGCAGCAACCCCUCCAAGCAGCUCCCUCCCUCUUGAGCUAGGUAAGGAGAAAUGUGGAGUUGAAAUUUCUAGGGCUUUUAAGUCGUUUUCGUUCGAUUAGCCUAGUUAGGCUUGGAAUUGGGUGAUGUGUUGGUCAUGAAAGUUGUACAGGAGAUUGAGAGGAAGAUUCUGUUAAAAUUUGGUAGCAUUUGCAGGUCGUCGGAGUUGGUCGCCGGCCGCCGCUGCCGGCGGAGCCGCCGGCGGCGCCGCCGCUGUUUUGGGAAAUUUUGUGGUUUUUGAUGUAGAAUAUUAAGAGGAUAUUAUUGAGGUGAAUUUUGGAAUUUUUGGAUGAGAUUUGGAUAGGUUUGUGAAUUUCCGAAGUUUGGUAUUUUUGGCGGUUAAUUAAUGUAGAAUCCGGCCGUAGGAUUUAAGUCGUAUUUUGAGGAGGUGGUAUUUACGACUGUUGAGUAUGAUAUUUAAGUUCGGAUCGUUCCGAUUUAAGAUUAUCGAAGUUAGGCAAUGAUGAGCGUAUUUAUGGCUCUCGGGUAAUUUUUCCUAUUUUAAUUAAAUAUUGGAUUAUUGGUUGGGAAAUUAAUAUUAUAUUUAGAACAGGACGUGAGGAGGCUCGAGCAGACGAGGCCCCAGAUCGACAUCAGGCUUAGGCCUAAUUUGUGAGUGGACUUUUAUUUGAAAUAAUUUGCAUGCUAUGGUUCAUGAUUGAACAUUUCUUUUUGUUGGAGUAUUGACGUCAAUUAAUUUUGACGCUUUUAUUUCUCUUAGAGAGUUACCGAAAAUGGGAUUUUCGGUGAAUAUAAAUAUGUAUUUAUGAGAGAGUAUGUAUACAAAAUGCUAGCUAGCCAUAUGUGUCUGUCCACCUUAAUGGUGUAGCAUAUAGCCGCAUUAUGGUGUGACGUGAGCGUUGGACGUAAGCGUAGUAGCCCUAUUUGAGUGUUUAAUUCAGAUAGGGGGUAUGGACACAUAUUUAUACACCCGUCUGUCCACCUUGAUGGCGUAGUGUAGCACCGCAUUAAGGCGUGACGUGAGCGUUGGACGCGAGCGUAGUAGCCCUAUAUAGACCCAUGAAUUUAUAUAGGGAGUAUGGACGAGUGUAAAUACAUACAUAUAUUAUAGAGUCUGAGAGGCUCGAUAUUUUAUGGGAUAAAAGUUUUAUCGCUUGCGGCAUGCAUUCGAUUUUUCCUUAGAAAUUAAUUUGGGGAAACAUAAAUAUUUUAUUUAUUAUUUUAUUUUUUGUGCACUCACUCUAACGUUAUUAAAUGUUUUCCUCUGGGCCCUUCGUUUUAAAUUGCCCAGUCUGCAGAGUUCGGGUUGGAUCUAGUAGGAGACGAGGCAUAGUCACCCGCAUUUCUGCCAGUUUUCGCCAGUAGGUUACCUGUUCAACCUACUCGUGUUUUCUUGCUUCCGCUUGUGUUUAGUAGCUCUGAAUACUUUAGGAUUAUUGUAUAUUAUGGGUAGAAUUUCUGAAGGAUAAUUAUGUGAUGUUCGGAAGUGUUGAAUUAAGAGUGUAAUAUGAAAUUUUCGAGUUAGGGUUGUCCAUCUGCAAGGGAGAUUUUCUUAAUCUUUUCAGUAAAUUUUCCUUGGAGGUGGUCCCCGCACGACUUACUCUGGGUUUCAGGGUGAAAUUCGGGGUGGGUCGUGUCAUCAGUAGACUCUCAUCAAUUGUUGAAGGUUUUGCCAAAGAAAAAGAAAAAGUUCAAGCUCCGGCCACACCCAGCAAUAUGAAAGGUAAUGUUGUGAGAGACCCUAUCCCGGUUAGGACCAAAGGCAGAGAAAAAAUGACAAGAAGACUGAGGCUCCCAGACAACCGAUUACUUGUGGUUAUUGCCAAGGUAUUGGACACAACAGUCAAACAUGUAAUGUUAGGAAGGAGAAAGAAAAAGCUGAGAAGAGCAAUGAAAAUGAUGAACGAAACACUGACCCUCGUCCUUCAGUUGCAACACCUGGAAAGAGAUCCUAUGGUUAUUGCAAACGAUCUGGACACAAUACUCAAACAUGUGAUGUUAGGAAAGAGAAAGAAAAAGCUGAGAAGACAAACGAAAAUGUUGCGGGAACAAGCAAUGAUCCUCUUCCUUCGGUUGCGACACCUGCAAAGAAAACUAUUCACUGUAGUACGUGCAAAGGAGCCGAGCACACACACUGUAGAUGCCUAAAAAAAACAAUAAAAGGAGACGCCUCCCCCACAUCUGAGGAGUGAUUCCUUAUUCUGGUGAUAUAGGUGCCGAUUUUAGUUAUAGUUGUAGUUCAAAUUUCUUGUACUCUGUGUUUGGCAUUUCAUUUUACUUUUCAGUAAUGUCAACGUGAAUUUAGAUUUUACUUUAGAUUUCCUUGUUUUGUUUUUGCUUUGUGAAUGGUCUAUCUCGCCGUAGGACACUUUUUCAAAAAGUCUACAUGAAGUAAAAAAACUUUCCUAAGAGAAGUAGAUGAUUAUGUAAUAACUAUAGAGCUAAUAAGGUAAUACUACGGAGAACACAUCUCCAGAAAGUCUACAUUGUAUCAUGCUUUUAUCAUAAACGAAGAGUAGAACGUCUUUGCAGAAAAAGUAGCCCAUUCAAUACUGUCGAACAAUUAUCAUCCACUAUUGGUAAGGUUUACGAUGAUGGAGCACUAGUAACCUUGCAUAAAUAUAGGCUGUAAACUGAAAUAUAUUGAUGUAAGUAGAUGGUAAUGAUGCACAUAAUUAUUACAAUGGACAUAAUUAAUGAUUAUUAUAAAUACAUGGAUUAUUUUAUGUUAAUAAAAACACACGGAAUUUAAUGCAAAAUUCAUUCCAGUAGACCAAUAAGGAAAUUAUUCCUAUUUGGGAUUAGGGUUUGUGAUGAUGGAUAAAGCACUAGUAACCUUGCAUUUAUAUAGGGUUAUUUUAUGAUGAUCGAGCUCUCUAGUCACCUGUAGUGUACAAUGGGUGUAGGGUUUAUGAUGAUGAAGCCUCACUAUUCUUAUAUACCUGAUGGACCAUAUAGAUGUCAUUUUAGCUUUUUAGUGUCGAGAAGCACAUUGUAAGUAAUCUCCUACUUGUUAUGGGAUUUCCACCCCAUGAUUUAUUUUAUGUUCACUAAGAUGGACCCCCAUAUCAAAUUCAUUUUAUAUGUUCACUACGCUUAUAUAUGCCGCAAUAUCAUAUAUGUUCAGAGAGAGAGAGAGAGAGAGAGAGAGAGAGAGAGAGAGAGAGAGAGAGAGAGAGAGAGAGAGAGAGAGACGACGACGACGACGACGUACGUACGUACGUACGUACNNNNNNNNNNNNNNNNNNNNGAGAGAGAGAGAGAGAUGGCAGAGCACGACCUAACCCCGCAUUGUAUCAAUAUGCCAAAUUUCAGUUUGAGUGCGGUAACUAAUCUGGUGCUGUUGAUUAUCUGUUUCAGUACAGGGCUUUAUGCACCAACAGCGAGAGGAGUCUCAGUGCUUUGUGGGGAAAGCUGGCAGCUGAGAUAUUGAUGCAAAACUGGGAUAUUGCUCUUGAGGAGCUUAACCGCCUCAAGGAAAUUAUUGAUUCCAAGAAUUUCAGUUCGCCCCUGAUUCAGGAGUUUUUGACAUGUGUUUAUGUUAAUUAUGGCAUGUGUUUAUGUGAUAUUGAAUGAUCCCUUCCUUGGAAAGCGAGUUGAAGAAGGCAAUUUCACUAUUGUACCAUUGAGGGAUGAAUUCCUUGAAAAUGCUCGUCUAUUUAUCCCUUAUCUUUGAGUCUUACUGCCGCAUACAUCAGCGCAUUUCCUUCAUCUAGACUGAGAUUUGAAUUACUAGAGGUUUUGUUGACUUGUAAGUAGAGGUUUUCAUUAGUAACAUGAGGUUUGUCAGAUCAGACUGUAAUUUACUUCCCCAUGAUUUAUUUGUCUGUACUUUUGGAGGUAAUGUGUAUGGAAAUUAUUUUCUUAAAAAAAAAUGCUUCAUUUUAGGGCUUGAGUUUAAUGUAUAUAGUGUUUAUGAUCGAUGAUGGAGCUAAUGUCAUCUAUCCCGUAUAUAGGGUUUUAGGUUUAUAAUCUUGGUAUAAUCUUCUAGGUAGUGUGACCUUUAAAGUAUGAUCGAACAUGCUUAUAUAUAGUAAACUCCUACUUGUAUCGGGAUUUCCACUUCGAUCACAAUUAUAUCUUCAUUAUGCUUAUAUAUGUUGUGAUCGAUGGACAAUAUAACAUUCAUUUACUAGUACAAUGCUUGACUUUAGUUCUUGAGUUUCAUUGUAUAUAGUGCUUAUGAUGAUCGAACUAACGUCACCUAUCGUGUAUAUAGCAUUUGAUGUUUAUAAUGUUAGAGCUAACAUCACCUUAAAGUAUGUACGGUUUCAGAUGUCGUUUAUAAUGUUUAAGGUUUACUCUCUAUAUAGUAUCUGGAACACUUUGGACAUAUCCGCUCAAGGUUCUAAAAAACGUUGGGCACUAGUCGGGCGGACAGCGCCCAAAAGAUUAAUCGGGGAUUAAUCGGUUUUCUAUUUUUGUAUUUAUUUUAAUUUUUUAAUACCAAAUAAUUAUCUAAUACAAUUAAAAUUACAAUUGACAUGUAAUUAUAUAAUUAUUAAUACAAUUAUUUUGGUUGAAAAGUCAAUUUACAUGUCUCAUUAAAUUUGAGUGUAGUUAUUUAGAUUAAAUCUGAUAAGUAAUUAAAUAUACAUUUGGGUAGUAUUGAUUAAAUUAAGAAAAAGACAAAAAUUAUUGGAUGUAUAGGCCCAAAGGGAGAGCCCAACAAUUUAACCCAUUGCUAAGUCAAUUUUCCCUACACAUCUUUAUCCCUUCCGCCUCCUCUUUCGCUUCUGCUGCAUUGUCCUUCUCUUCUGCAAAGCUGCAAACAUCGUCCCUCCUCCUCUCAUGACCACCGCCCACCGCAUCUAGGACUCCAGGUCAGCCCCUUCCUCGUCGUCCUCUGCUCCUCUCUUCUUCCCCAUUCAAUUGCACCAAAAUCCCAGAUUUCAGUUACUGAAAUCCGAUAAAAAAAAAAAAAAAAACUAGUCGGCGCUCCGCCCAGCCCCGCCUAGGCGGCCACAAAACGGCCGGCCGACUACACCAGGCGAUUUGCCUGAAAUCGGGGCGGCUUACGGGCUCCGGGCGCCCAGGCGGCGCCUAGGCCGUUUUUUAGAACAUUGUAUCCGCUACCAAUGUCGGUUUAGGGUUUAGGGGUUAGGGUUUGUGUGCAAGAUAAAGUAAGCAUAAGCACAGUCAAAACCAGAAAUUAUAACCCUUGACUUCGAUAGAAGAGUACACUUGUCUCUCUAUUUGUGUAGUAGGCGUGAUUUUUGAAAUUUCUUUUUUCCAAAAUCUUCCUUCACGCGUUUGAAAUUUGAAAUUUGGACUUGGAUAGGCGGGCAUUUAGUGGCUAAAAAUUUGAGUUUUCAUUUUCCCUUUCAUUUUCAUUUAGCGGGACUUUCCAUAUUCAUCUCGAAUUUUGUAUUGAAACUGAAAGGGUUUUAGACGCCACACAUAACCCUAACCCUAAACAAGCAGUAUAAACCGCCCCGAUGUAAAAUUCUCUGCAACUCAUGUUCUCUUCUCUCUAAACUCCAAAUUGUGAACGAACGUUUCAGAAGCCAUGGCCCGGCAAAAGCUGACCACUCACAUGACCGGUAUUCCUCGUUACCCUCAUGGUGCUUCACCUCCGGUGAUUGAAAUUAGCCAUAGCUCCCCCUCUCAUGGUGCUUCACCUUCAAGGUCUUCAUCUUUAGAUGCAGUUCGAUGCAUUACACCCGUUCUUGCGGUAUAUACUGGUUGCUCUAUUUUGUUCAUUUGUUUAUUGCUUUCUUAAUUUGUUGCUAAAUUGGAUUGUCAAUUGAUUAUGAAAUUAUGUAUGCAAGGACUCGUCAUCUUCCUCGCCUUCUCGUUCGUGUUCUGAGAGAGGCACAUCAUCUAAGAGGGCUAGGCUCUCCCCCACACCAUCCCAUAAAGGCAAUGGCAAAGCUAUUCAGAUAUGUAUAAGUCUGGAAAUCUGUUUAUCUGUCCUGAAAUGGUUUCUGAAUAUAUGUCAAGACCCACCUCAAAUUUUACCCUAAAACCUGGAGUAAACCUGAAAAAUUCGGCAUAACCUCCAUUGUAAUUGGACAGCCAUAUAACAACACAUCCAACCUCAACACCUGGAGCGACCCGCUCCCCCACAACACAUCCACCACACACAAAAAAUAAUAUCAUCUUCAAACCCAACACAUAAAUAUCCAAUUUAUAUCAUACACCAUCAUUUGGAUUGACACGACCCACCCCGAAUUUCACCCUGAAACCUGGAGUAAGUCGAGCGGGGACCACCUCCAAGGAAAAUUUACUGAAAGGAUUGAUAAAAUCUCCCUUGAAAAUGGACAACCCUAACUCGAAAAUUCCAAAAUACACUUUUAAUACAACACGUCCAAACAUCACAUAAUUAACCUUCAGAAAUUCUAAACAUAAAUUACAAUAAUCCCAAAGUAUUCAGAGCUACUAGACACUAGCGGAAGCAAGAAAACACGAGUAGGUUAAACAUGUAACCUACUGAUGAAAACUGGCGGAAAUGCGGGUGACUAUGCCUCGCCUCCUACUAGAUCCAACCCGAACUCUGCAGACUGGGCAAUUUAAAACGAAGAGCCCAGGGGAAAACAUGUGGAACAGUUAGAGUGAGUGGACAAAACUAAAUUAAAAUAAAAGUAUUUCUUUAUGCUUCCCCAAUUUAAUUUCCAAAUAAAAUAAUGCUGCAUGCAAUCGCUCAAAAGCGCUCAACUCAAAAACUGGUAACUUCACGACCAGCACCGGCUAGUCUCCAAAACUUAAUAAAAUACAACCUCUCAGGCUAAAUUAUAUAUAAACAUAUAUAAGUGUAUGUAUUUACACUCGUCAGACUCCUUGUAUGAAUUCUAAGAACAAAUUCGAAAAAUAGAAAUUCAUACAAGGCUACUACGCUUGCGUCUAACGCUCACGUCACACCAUAAUGGAAUUGUACCUCAGUAUGGCGGAAAAAGCAUGAGUGUAUAUACGUGUGGACUCCCUAUAUGAAAACCUAAAUAAACCAAAUAAGAAAAUAGUUUUCAUAUAGGGCUACUACGCUUGUGUCUAACACUCACGUCACAACAUAAUAGUAUUUUACCUCAUUAUGGCGGAUCAAACACGUAUGGCUAGCUAGCAUUUAUAUAUACAGACUAUCAUCAUAAACAUCCAAUAAACAUAUCCACCGAAAAUCUCAUUUUCGAGAUCUCUCCAAAGGAGGAAAAUUGCCAAAUAUCCGAGAAACAAAUAAAUCUCAGGAAAAGAAAUAAAUGAUCAACAGAUAAUUCAUCGCAUGCUUUUCAAUUAAAAUAAAGGUCCACUCACAAAUUAGGCCUAAGCCUGAUGACGCUCCGAGGCUUCCUCUGCUCGGGCCUCCUCUCGUCCUGUUCCAAAUAUAUAAUUAAUUUCCCACCAAAAAUCUAAUAAUUAAACAAAAUGGGCAAAAUUAAACGUGAGCCUCCCAUACACUCAUCAUUACCCAAAUUCGCCAUUCUUAACUCAAUACGGCUCAAACUUUGCCGAACAUACCGGCAGCCGUAAAAACAGCUUCCCACAGAAUACGACUUAAAUCCUACGGCCGGAUUCUACAUUAAUUAACCGUCAAAAAAUACCAAACUUCGGAAAUUCACAAACCUAUCCAAAACUCAUCCAAAAAUUCCAUAACUCACUUCAAUAAACUCCCCUUAAUAUUCCAAAUCUAAAAACAUUAAAAUCUCCCAAACAGCUCCGGCGCCAGCGCCGGCUCCGCCGGCAGCGGCGGCCGGAGGCCGAUUCCGGUGACCUCCAAUUUCUACCAAAUUUUAACAGAAUAAUCCUCUUAUCAAGCACAAGAACUUUCCUAACUAGCACUUAGUCCAAUUCUAAGGCUAACUAGGGUAAUCGACUAAAAACAUCCAAAAAUCCCUAGAACUUCAAUUAUACAUUUCUCCAUAACCACAACGAGAUAGACUUAUUCCUUUUGGGGGGAUACUCACCUUGGUGAGAGCUACAAAAUGAGCUAAAUAUUGCGAGUUUUGGUGGCCAAAAAUGGGAUUUCUGGCGAAAUGCUUCCCGGCGUCUCCAGCGGGUUUUCUCCUCUUCUGACGGGUUAGAGGCUCGGGGGCUAGGCCGGGGAGGGAGAGGAGGAGAUGGGGGUCCGAACAGGGCUGGAGCAGCGGCCGGACGGCGGCAGCUGGUGGCUGGGAGCUUCCGGCGGAGAGGGGCUCUAGGAGCUCAGGGAAAGAGGGAAGGGAGAAAGAGAGAGAGUGAAGGAGGAUAUGGGCUGCUCACACCCGGUCCAUAACCCUUAAACCCAACAAAUUUUACCCACUAAAAAAAAAUACCUUUUUUUACCACCUCAAAAUUUACUCUUUUAGAUAAUAACUUUUUCAUGCUAACUCUGAUUUUAACACAUAGCAUGUCUACGAACUCGUAUUAACGUCUUCUACAACUUUCAUGAAGAAAGUUUCUCCAAAUUCUAAACGAAAAAUAAAGUCAACUUUAGGGUCCUUAGGUAGUAAACGGUUAUUCAACACGGUAAAAGACUAAAAUAAUACCAAAGUAAAUAACCGUAAAAUAACUUAAGAACCGGGGUGUGACAUGGAUAACUCUCAAAUUAAUAAACAAAGACUUAGCACACAACCGAACUAUUAUACAAAUAAUCCCAAGGUAAUCAGAGCUACUAAACACUAGCGAAAACAAGAAAAUAUGGUAGUAGGUUAACAGGUAACCUACUGAUGAAAGGUGGAAGAGAUGCAUGUCGGUGACUAUGCCUCGCCUCUGACUAGUGCCAACCCGAACUCUGCAGAUUGGGCAUUUUAAAACGAAGUGCCCAGGGGAAACAUUUGAAACCGUUAGAGUGAGUGGACAAAAAUAAAUUAACUACUUUUUGAAGUACCACUACUUUUUGAAAACAAUCUACCAUAGCUCUAUAUGCUUCCAAAAAGUUCAUUCCCAAGAUCACAUCAAACUCCACUAUACCUAAAGGAAUUAAAUCGGCCUUGAAAUUAACUCCUUCUACUAAAACUUCACAACCACUAAACACCCAAUUUAUCCUCAUCACCUCACCGGAGGGUAGAGACACAUGCCACUCACCUGGAAGAGACGAUGAUGGCACAUUGGCAUAGAGGGCAAAUCUACUAGACAUAAAUGAAUGCGUGGCUCCGGGAUCAAUUAAAGUAAAAGCAGGCUGGCCAAAAAUUAAUAACGUACCAAUGAUGACAUCUAGAGAAGUACGACCUUCCUGCUGGGUCAUAGCAUGCAAUCUAGCGCGAGUCAUGGGACGUCCACGCUGACCACCACCCUGCAGAGAGCUACCACUGGCCGAUGCACUGCCCUGGGCACCACUAAUGGAGCCUCUAGAUGAAGACUGACCAACUGGCUGAGUAGGGAUAGGGGUGGUCCUCUGAGCCAACAAUGGACAAUCUCUCCUGAAGUGGUCUUGACCACCACACUCAAAACAUCCAGAAAAUUGCUAUUGCCCAAAAGAAAACGUCUGACUACUGGAGGACCCACCAUGGAAGCUGCCACUAGAACCAUACUGACCAGACUGCUGCCUACCCAAAUGACUCCGAGAAGAUCUCCUGAAACGUCCUUUAUUCCUGUUUCGAGCACCAGAACUCGAUCCCCCACUACCGUCACUACCAGCAGAAGACCCAAAAGCGGAUGAUGAAGCAACCUUCUUGGAUGGACCUUGACUGGGGCCACUGUAAUCACAGGGCCGAGUACCAUGUGUCCUCAUGUUCUCAAUGGCCAUGGCUGCACUAACCGCAUCCAUAAAGGUCAAGUAAAUUACACCCGUCAUCUUAUCUACAGACACACCACCAACUGCCCCAACGAACAUCUCAAUCCUAGUCCUCUCAUCCGGAACCAGGUAUUGCACAUGAUAGGUCAGGGAAGUGAAUCUCUGCUCAAACUCUAUGACCCCCUCAUUAUCCCUCUUCUGAAUGUUCAGGAAAUCUGACUGUAUCCUACUGCGGUGGCCAUGUUUGAAAUACUGCCCUAAGAAGAGCGUCUUAAACUGCUCCUAUGUCAUAUUCUGAGCAUCCUCAACAUUCCUGCUGGCAAGCGACCACCAGUGAUGGGCUGAAUCAUCCAGAAAAGUCAUUGCCAUAUUCACUUUCUUAUCUUCUGGCAACCCAGUGCUGUCAAAAGCCUUCUCCAUCUUGUCUACCCAAUUAUAAGCAUCAAGGGUCCCUUGGCACCCUUGAACUCCCUUGCUCCACCUUCAUAAACAUCCUUUUUCUUCACAGUCCAAGGGUUCUGAGUCCGCUCUAGCACUCCCCUCAACAUAUCUCCAAUAGAAUUUACUAGCUCCCUGACCUCAUUGCCCUCAUUGGCGUUGGUCGAACUACCCUCACGGGGUUGGCGUUGGCAUCUAGGAGGCAUAGUACCUGAGGAAGAAGAUAUUUAGUAGUCUAUAAACAAGACUAACACAACUAUCACACAUACCCAAUAACAAAUAGCAUCCAAAGCAUAAACUGCCAAUGAAUCUGCCGCGGUCGGAUCAUCACUCUAUAGACACUACGUGCUACUUAGGUAAAUAUGAUAGUGACAAGGAGGUAGGAAAUGAAACCUAAAGCUCUGAUACCAACUAUCAAGACCCACCCCAAAUUUUAUCCUAAAACCUGGAGUAAGUCCUGCGGGACCACCUCCAAGGAAAAUUUACCGAAAAAUUUGGUAUAACCUCUCUUGAAAAUGGACAACCUUAUCCUGAAAAAAAUUCAGAUAACACUCCUAUACCAACACAUCUAACCUCAACACCUGGAGCCACCUGCUCCCCACAACACAUCCACCACACACAAAAAAAAUAUCAUCUUCUAAUCCAACACAUAAAUAUCCAAUUUACAUCAUACACCAUCCUUUGGAUAACUCCCAAAUUAAUAAACAAAGACUUAGCACACAAUCGAACUAUUAUACAAAUAAUCUCAAGGUAAUCAGAGCUACUAAACACUAGCGGAAACAAGAAAAUAUGGUAAUAGGUUAACAAGUAACCUAGUGAUGAAAGGUGGAAGAGAUGUGGGUGAUUAUGCCUCGCCUCUGACUAAUGCCAACCUGAACUCUGCAGACUGGGCAUUUUAAAACGAAGGGCCCAGGGGAAAACAUUUGAAACCGUUAGAGUGAGUGGACAAAAAUAAAUUAAUAAAUAAAAUAUUUAUGCAUUCCCAUUUGAAUUUCCAAAGAAAUUAUGUUGCAUGCGAAAAUUCUAAAGUGCUCAACCCAUACCCUGGCAAUUUCAUGACUAGCUCUGGCUAGUCUCCAAACUCAAUAAACUGGAGCCUCUUAGGCUAAAGUAUAUAUAAACAUAUAUGUGUAUGUAUUUACACUCAUCAGACUCCUUGUAUGAAUUUUAUGAACAAAUUUGAAAAGUAGAAAUUCAUACCAGGCUACGACGCUUGCGUCUAACACCCACGUCGCUCCCUAAUGGAAUUUUUCCUCAUUAUGACCGAAGAGGACGUUUGUAUAUAUACGUGUGGACUCCCUAUAUGAAAACCUAUAUAAACCAGAAAAGAAAGUAGUUUUCAUAUAGGGCUAUGACGCUUAUGUCUAACACUGACGUCACGCCAUAAUGGUAUUUUACCUCAUUAUGAUGGACCAAGCACGUAUGACUAGCUACCAUUUAUAUACAUACUAUACUCAUAAACAUCCAAAAUACAUAUCCAUCGAAAAUCUCAUUUUAGGGAACUUUCCAAAGGAGGAAAAUUGUCAAAUAUUCGAGAAAGAAAUAAAUCUCAUCAGAAGAAAUAAAUGAUCAACAGAAUAAUUCAUCGCAUGCUUUUCAAUUAAAACCAAGGUCCACUCACAAAUUAGGCCUAAGCCUAAUGUCGCUCCGAGGCUUUUUCUGCUCAGGCCUUCUCUCGUCCUGUUCCAAAUGUAAUAUUAAUUUCCCAACCAAAAAAUCAAAAAACUUACACAAAAUAGGCAAAAUUAACCGAGAGCCAUAAACACGCUCAUCAAUGCCUAACUUCGAUACGGUCCACACCUCAACACUUAAACCAGCAGCCUUAACUACACCCUUCCACAGAUUUUACGACUUAAAUCCAACGGCCGGAUUCUACCGUAUUAAUCCACCACAAUUACUAAACUUUAAAAAUUCCCACAUCUAUCGAAAACUCCUCCAAAAAUUCUAAAAUUCACAUCAAUAACUCCUAUUAAUAUAACCAAUCAAAAACCAUGAAAAUCCCCUAAAUAGCGGUGGCCGGAGGCCAACUCUGGCGACCUCCAAAGCCUACCAAAUUUUAAUAGCAACUUCCUUUCAACUCCCUCUACAACUUUCUUAACCAGCACAACACCCAAUUCUAAGCCUAACCAUGCCAAUCGAACGAAAACAUCCUAGAAAACGCUAGAGCUUCAACACCAUUACCUCCUUACCUAGCUCAAGAGAGAGUGAGACCUUUGGAGGGGUUGCUGCACGGGAGGAGGGCUUUCUUUUGAGCCAAGCAGCUCCGGCUUUGGUGGCCGGAGAAGAGAGUUCCAGCGACGGAACCACCACGGCAGUCGGACCUUUCGGGGGAGAGAACUCCUUCACGGCGGAGCUAGGGCGGCUCUCACCGGCCUAGAAUGGAAGUUGGGUCGGAGGCCGACUGUUUGGAACCGGAGCGGCGGCCUACGGUGGCCGGAUUGCGGCGAACUGAGGGGGGGAAAAUCCGGCAGAGAAGAGGACUCGGGGGAGGGAAAUCGGGAGAGAAGAGAGAGAAGUGAGGGGAGUGAUGUGGGCUUUUCCAACCGGUCCAACACCUUAUGCAAAACCAACUCCAUAAAUUUACACCCCAAAAUAAUACCCUAAUAAAAAUUACUUUUUACUAGCCAAAAUUUACCAUUUUUACCGUCGACACAUUUUUCUCCUACGAAUAAUUCUCCGAAAUAAUCGUCCCCCAAAACCCCGCUAGGGACCAUUUAAACUAUAAACUCAUUUAAACUAUAAGCUAGUAAAUAAGGUAAAGAUUUAAGGGUCGAGAUGUGACAAUAUAUUUCUCAAUUGAUUUAUGAAUUUAUGUAUGCAAGGACUCGUCAUCUUCCUCGCCUUCUCGUAAAAAACUAUCAGAAUCGCUUGAUUCAUUCGUACGGCGGACUCAUGAAGGGAUACCUAGAUAUGUACACCGCCCUCUUAGCCCCCCACCCUCACGCCCCAUGACAAUGAUGGACGCCGUUGCUGCCCUUGAAGAUGUCCUAGCUCAGAUUUACAUGUUAACUUCAUCUGUCAAUGCAAUUAAGUGUAAUAUUGAAGACCGAAUCAACAAGGCAGCCCGAAAGUAAUCUAGGGAGAGGAGAGGAGUCAGCGUGAUCCUUGAUUUAGUGUUGAUCAGUUUGUAACAAUUUAUGUUUUGGUUAUGUUUCUUCAACAUCGGUUAUGUUUCGGCCACAAUUUCUGGAAAUCAUCAUGUGGUGGUGAUUAAUUAAUAUUCUAUCAGUCAGUCCUUUAUCGAUUGUGAUUUUGAAGGAAUUAGGGUUGAAUUUCAAUUCAGUUUCUGUUUAUGACUAGUCGUUUCGUGCAACGAUAUGUCAAGUUUGAAGAACCUACCUGUCACACCCCAAUUUUUGAAAGAUAAUUUUUCAAAAAUUUGGGCAUGAUAUACCUUAAAAUAUUAAAUCCCAAAACCUGUUUUCAAACUAACUUCAAAGAACUAAAACUCAAUGCGGAAAUGUAAAUGUCACACAACUCAACACCGAGUUAAAUAUUAUAUUUCCUUGUUUACAUAAACUUAAAAAUCAAGAAAAUGAAACCACUCACAUGAGUUUUAAUAAAGUCUACCCCAAAUAUAAAAACAAAUACAAUGUACAGCAAAACCCAACAAAAACCCUGCCACUAAGUCUCCGCUUCAACCCUGCUGAUCCUCACCUGCAAGUCUAACCCCUACACCAAGAAAUGGUGUAUCGGGUUGUAAACAACAAACUCGGUAAGCUAAAAAGCCCGUAUGAGUAAUUCUCAAAAUAACACCAAAACUUCCAAUUACCAAUUAUAACACAAGAGCAAUUUAUAUCAAUAAUUAAAAACCACAAAUCCAACAUUUUUCAAUUAACAUGUACCCAUGAGUCUCAGGUAUUAAUAAAUACCCCUCAUGACCUACAACAACGAAAUGUGUACCCAUGGGUCCCAGAUACCCUACCGUAUCUCCCAUGACCUACACUGACAGACGGACUAGAGCUCUAUUCCUAACCGCAACCAAUCACGCGGUCAAAGGCUUGGAACCCGGUUUGACAGUCUAAUAUCAAACACAAAAAUGAUAAAUAGCAUCUUAACAGCAACCAAUCACCCAAUUAUAGGCUUGGAACCCGGUUUGGCUAUUUAUCCAACAAUCACAAUAUCACAACAUUAUCCUCAACAACACAAUAUCCCAUCAUAAAUUAUAUCCUUCCACAUAGAUAUAUUUACAUGAACAAAAUAUAGAUAUUCCACAAGAAUAAUCUAUCAAUAAUCAAUAAAAUUAUGAUCACAUGAAUCUCAAAAAUUGCAUAUAAGGAAAACUUGUUUUAUCUUACCUAUGAGCCGUUGGCGAUCAAGCUCAUAUAUUUUAAAAAAGCAAUUAGAAAAACAUAUUAUUAAAUCCAACAUCAUCAUCAUUAUCAUCAUUACAUGACCAUAAUAACAUUUGGUUCAAAAGUGAACCUUAGUGAGAUUUACUCACCUAAAUAUCCCGCUGCAAAUUCCACAAGCCGACAUUAGCAAGCCCGAACACAACAUCACAAUUCAUCUAAAAUAACACAAUUAAAACCUUAGUAACUAAAAUACUAUAGGUUAACACAAUACCCUUAAACUAACCCUUAGUUCAAGGGAGGACAACUUUCCAAAGUCGUCAAACUUAGCAACCCAAAAUGGCUGCCUCUAAUCCUCAAACCCUAUCUCAACCUCAACCAAGCCUAAUAACAAACUUAAAGUCCUAACAUACAAACCUUGCUCACAACCUUGAAAUUCUACAUCUUCACAAGCUCACCACAAUCAGAGCUAGCUAAAACACAGCAAUCAAAGUCAAAACCACUGCCGGACGUGCUGCCAUGCGCCACCACAAGUGGCGGCGAGUGGUCUCCACGCGCCACCACAAACUUCCGAAUUUGAGAAAACUCUCAACAGCAAAGUUGAAGCUUGAAGAAAGGAGAACAACUUUCAUACCUGAGGCUUCAACCAAUUUUGGCCGGAACCGGCCAGAAACUGCCUCGAAACAGCUACCCGAAUUCAACUACAAAACCUGCAAAUCCGGCCUCAAAACCUCAAAAACUUGUUUCAAUCUAUGCCUAGCCACUACCAGGAGGAGGAGAGGAUCAAAACUCACCUAAGGAUGCCCCUCGUCGCCGCCAGAAACGGUAAAUCCGAUCAAAGACACAGCAGUCCUCUUUCCGGCAACAGAGCUCCGAUUCCAGCGUGCCACACCGAGCAGCAGGUGCCCAGCCUUGAAGAGAUCAAUUGUGGGAGUCGAACGGGACCGGGUGGCGUCCGGUUUGGUGGCCGGAGGAGCGAGAACUCGGCCGGAGAAGAGAGGGAGUUCAGGGGAGCUCGGGAGAGGAAGAGAGAGAAGAGAGUGAGGAGAGUGAGGUGAUUUUAGGGUUCCAAAAUAACUCCCACACACAUUUUUCUACUUAUACACUUUCCAAACCCGAAAACUAACUUCCUCUGACCAUAACUUUCUCAUACGACAUCCGUUUAAGGCGUGCCUCAUGUCUACGAACUCAUAUCGACAAACUCUACAACUUUCAUGAAGGAAGUUUUUGAAGAUAACUUACGGAAAAUAAGUCAACUUUUGGCCUUUUAAAAGUCAAGACACCUUAAAAUAAACUCCCGAAACUUCAACUUCGUAAAAACCAAAGAAUUUCCAUAAACAAUCCUUCAUUAAUUAAGGGAAUAAUACAAGGAAAAAUGAUAUGAAAAACUAGGGUAUUACCCUACCAACAUCUCAUUUCAUAGGUAAAACUGUUUUUAUAUGUCAAGGCUGCUAAUAUCAUAUGAAACGUUCAGCAAAAAAAGUAGACCAUCUUGACUUCACUAACUCGGUAAAUAUACUUGUUUACUUAUCAGAGGGUACCUUUUUAUGAACGGGAGUGUACUAAUUUGCAAUUCAAUAUUCAUGAAAAAAGUAGACCUAUUAGAUAGUGUUGUUUGGAAUUUUCGAUUCAAGAGUAAAAUUUUUUCAAGAAAGAGUAUUCAAUCCUCAUGCCACCACUCUGACCCAUAGUUAUGCAUGUGUUUGAUUGUAAAAUCCCACAAUCAGUUCCACCCUCCUGUUCUGGGGACUGAGCUGGCUAAAAUCAUGUCAAGUAUGCUAAAAUCAUGUGAAACGUUGAGCAACAAAAUUAGGCCAUCUUGCUUCACUGACUCGCUAAAUAGACUUGUUUACUGAUGAGAGGGUAAAUUCUUCCCAAAUUCUUAUGAACAAUAGUGUAGUAAUUUGCAAUUCAACGUUCAUGAAAAAAUUAGACCUAUUGUUAGACAGUGUUGUUGGGAAUUUCCGAUUGAAGAGUAAAUUUUUGUCAAGAAAGAGUAUAGAAUCCCUUGUAUUUUGUCAGAUAGUACCUUCAAACGAGGUGGUUUCUCAUUAAAUCAGUACACUAAGGCCGAGGAAAACCUCUUUCACAUUCCAUUGUAUCUACAGUCUUUUCGUUUCUUAAAAAAUAUUCCCAAAAAAAAACAAUACACUCCUUUCAACAUCUUGAAGAGGCCACUCCUCUAAUCAAGACGUGACUCUUUGGUACCUUAACCUUUAGUUUCAUUCCUCUAUAAAUACAAUGCUUCAAACAAUGAUUCCCACAUAUCUAACUUCUCUUCAUAAGUGUGCAGGGUAUCAUGGUUCGAAGAAACGAAAGAACUCAUGGUAGAAACUACAGUCCAUGGGAAACUCAUCAGCUCAAGUACCGUUUUGCUCUCCAAGAAAAGAAGAUUGCAGAACUUACACAACAUGUUUUUCAGAUCAACAUGCAACUUAUCGAAAUCCACAUAGCCUUGGGAUAUCUCACUAAAUCCAUUAUGGAGUUGGAGGCCAUAAGGGAUGCACCUCCCCCCGUAUUUAACAGACGUGGCUGUGUGCGCAUCAACGUGGCUUGGAGAGAUCCAGAAUCAAGCAUUCACCAGCGAAUGUAGACAUUUGUGGGAGUAUUGCUUAUGUGUUAUCUAGUACUUUUUUUUGUUGGUAUGUAAGUGCAUAAGCACAAGGAAAAAUUAAUGCUGGAUGCGUUCUCUUAUCUUAUCAAAUUGUAGUAUCUUUUCGUUAUUAAUGUCGGUCUGGGGUUUGAAUGCAUACUCUACUUUGUUAUAAUACUUCAGGAAAUCUACUUCUACAUAAAACUAAUAGACCUUGGCAUAAAACUAGUAGACUUGGCAUUUCAACAAAGUAAAUGUUUUCCGAAACAGGAUUUGGCAAUCGAUCAUGGGAUCGAUCAUAUACAAGUUAUAGUACUACCAGUAAUACCAAGAUCCUCAAAGGAACACACAAGCUCUACAAAUGGGAACGUACAGACUUAAGAGUACUAAUCUACAUUUAACAUCCUAAAUCUGACUUACAUUCAUAAACCAUCAUCACAUCAGUCCUUCUUAGGUGGGCCUCAAUUUCUUCGCCGGGGAUGCCUGGGGAGGCACUUCCGCAUACUGUGUUUAAGAAAUUAGAGAGGUCAUUAGAUUCAGGAUUUUGUCCAUCUUACUUGUGACUUCAUGCGCCGUUUGAUAUUUCACAAACGGAGAAGGAUCAACCUCGGCAACAUUGGGUGAGGCGUCAAUAGGGGCAGGCGUUUCAAUUAACUCAUAUUUAGCUUGAAGAUUUCACUUGAUCGUUUCUAGUAAAAAUGCUUCUCUCCGUCACAUAGCCAUUUCUCGCUCCUCUUGGAUGUUUUUUCGAUUUAUGGCCCUUUUCUAUGGCAUGUUUGAUCCAAAUGAUUGAUCGAGAGAUGGAUUAUCGUGAUUGCAGCAACAUGCAAGUAUUGAUCUUUCUGAGCAAGUAGGAUUGAGAGGUGGAAUUCGUGGAUUAAGGGAAGGGAUGGAUUUUUUUGGUCAGAGGCGGCGAAGAAUGGAACCCGACUUCCAUUAAUGGUUUUGGAGAUUCCAACAAGGCAACAGGAAACUAGGGGGUGGGCGGACUAGGCUCUAUGUGAAAUGAUGGGCAGGCCCAUCAAUGUCAAGAACAUGCAAAAGGAAAACUCUAUCAGCCCAUAACAUCUUCAACCCACUUUGUGUUGCAGAUGAUGUUGGAAUCCCAAAUUUAACCUCUAAUUCCCGUACUUAUGAUAAUCCACCUCUCCUUCCCAGAUUGACGAUAGUUUGACGAUCUGUUUUGUCCUCGCAAUCCUUAUUUGGCUUGUACCCCCAAAUUGAAACCCCUAACGCUCGUAUACCCAUACCCUAAAUCACAGUAAUCUACCUCUCAAUCAAUAAUUCCGAUCGAAGAUGCCACUGAAAACGGCGAAGAAGGGAAGAAGUAUCGAAAAGGAGCGAUAUAUGGUUUUGAGACGGUGGAAAGCACUCCUUCUAAAGGUGGUCAAGCGUCGUAAAGUUGAUGUUGGCUCGGUUGCUCCUCGUUCCUCUUUGAAAGAUCCAAAGGACCUUGAGGUCACAGGCAAGCUAGACAAAAUUCGAAGUUUACUGAGCUGUCUAAGUUCUCAAAUAUAGAAUGCGGAACACCCUCCCCAUGCAUCUCCAGCGAAAAAAUUGAGGCCCCGAGAUGGCUCACAAAGUCAGGUAUGAAAUUGUGGAUUUGCAGCAGUUUGUGAGUUGAUCCAUUGUGACUCUUAUAUCAAUGUUUACGGUCUCGUCCUUUUUUGCAUGGAUUACAUUGGAAUUUAGUUGUGGGAAAGUUCGAUUAAAGUAGUUUGUGAGCUGCCAACAUUGUGUUUCUGGUAAGAACCUAUACAUGGAAGAGACACUCCGCCAAAAAAAGGCCCAAAUAUUCCGACAAGGCGCAGAUUGGCCCCUUCAGAGUCAAUGCCGAUAGAGGAGAGACUAACAAGAGACUUGUACUCUUUGUGUACGACACAGAGACGGACUUGCAGCUAAGCGAAACCAUCGUUGAUAGUGCUAGUGGCGGCAUCUUUACCACUAUAGAUUCUGUGAGGACACUCCGACCUGAUGGAUUCAUCAAUGACGACAUUAUAACAUUGUUUGCUGACUAUCUAUGGCAAGAACGUAGAGGAGGCGAUAGCGUUUACUUUACAACCUACUUCUGUCGGAAGACGAUGUAGUAUAGUAUACAGUUAUCUUCAGGACAUGUUGUCAACGGUGUAAGUUCGAAGGAGUUGGGUGUGAGAAGAUUUGACAAUGAUAUUCCUACAUGCAAAAAGGUAUGUCACUGGUUGGCUUCGCUUGUCAGUGAGAUGAUCAAACAUAAACUACAUGUUCACGUUUAAUUAAUCUUACAGAUUUUCAUACCCAUGCACGACCUAAAACAUUGGUACCUGUUGGUGGUGCGUCCUGAUGUCCAAAUAGCUGAAGUGUGGGAUAGCUUGGGAUGUAGCAGGAGACAGAAGAAUCAGUGCAAAACCAUUGUGAGUGAUCACGUUUAUUUCUAAACAAAACAAAAUAACUAUUAUAUUGGUGUACAUGUUUCACUUCCUCAUGAAUAAGUGGAGUUCAUAUGAAACUGCACAAAAGUAAGAAAAAAUAUCCAAGCAAUAAACUAGCCGGCACAACCCACUGCUGAACUUAGAUUACACUUUCUUAUGCCAACAACAAUAAUAACUCAGUCUCAUCUAAAUAGAGUAGUUACAUCCAUAGAGCACUGGCUUGGUGAAAAUCAUCAAUAUCUAGAGAGAAUUCAGGGUCUGAAGGCCACCACCAAUAGCCUGUUGGAGGGGAAUUGGAAUUCCCGUCUUCAAAGUGAUGCAUUUCAUUUUCCCAGUAGCACAAUCCACAACUGCAUCUCUUUACGUUGUCUAGUCCAACGUUGUACAAGUGUGCGCAAGUGUCGCAUGGUCUUUUAGUAACAUCGGCUAUGUGAGUGCAAAAUCCUUCUACCGCAGCAGAACACUGAUGAGUUUGCACGGUGUUGACUUCCUUCUCCAGAACAACUUCAUGCUCCACAUCUGGUUUGGGGCUUAGUCGGUGUUGGCUUGCUUCUUCAACAUCCACCAUAGCAUUCUUUAGAACAGCUUCAUGCUCCACAACUGAUUCUUUAGAGUUAGACAUCUUUCAACGAAAAGGUUGUGGUUACUGAAGCACUCUUAUAUAGAAACGUACUAGGUGGGAAUUGUGAUUUCAAAUUGGUUCAAAUUGAUAUCAAAUUUUUUCAAGUAACCGCCAUCCACCUCAAAUUUUACGGAUCACCAGCGUGUCUUCUAUCCCAGCCGUCAAUCCUAAACCCUACUUUUCAUCUGUAUCGUACAAGGUUGAGAAACCAUAAACACUGCCCAUUGGCCCAUUAGUCCAUUGGCCCAAACCCGGAACCCUAACUUAAUAGAUCAACGUAGAUGGGAUAUUUCAAGGACGGGACCUUCCUUGAAUUACCUCAAAUGUAAUUCUUGGAGAUCUUCCAACGUAAGCACCUUCUAAGUAAAGAUAUUGUUUCCAAGUGUGACUCUUCAAUCUUAGACGUGCAUAUCACCAUAUCUCAUGUAAUCAUCAUCAGAUGCCACCAGUAAGGAAUGUAAUCCCAGUUAUAUACUUCAAAGCAAUUAGGACCUCUUUUCAUGAUAUCCUUCCUUGAUCAUGUCUUCUUAACUAGCAUGAAACACGUCCAUAUUGCCUUUUCCAUCAAAGAUCUUCCAUGCUGCUCAAUAUCGGUAACCAAACAAUCAUCCAUAAUAGUUUAAGGAAUUUUGAAUCUUUUACAAUUUAAGGGUGAGGUUGAGUCUACGUAGUCAUGAUUUUCCUAUAAAUUGCUCAGGAUUUAGGUAGACCUAUGUCAUCCAACAAGUGGACUUAUUUUACAAUUUUUACAAUUUAUGAGAUUAUAUAUGUAUUUUCCUUAUUUUUUGGAAUUUCCUAAGGUCAUGAUUUUCCUAUAAAUUUCUCAGGAUUUAGGUAGACCUAUGUCAUCCAACAAGUGGACUUAUUUUACAAUUUUUACAAUUUAUGAGAUUAUGUAUGUAUUUUCCUUAUUUUUUGGAAUUUCCUAAGGUCAUGAUUUUCAUAUACAUUGCUCAUGAUUUAGGUAGACCUAUGUCAUCCAACAAGUGGACUGACCAAUUACCCAAGACGUCUGAUCAAACCCCCAGACGUCUUAUCGAGUUGGUCACUGCUUUAUUAUUAACGCUUCAUAAACAGGGUCGACUUUUCGAAUGGGUAUUACCUUGCCUUUUCGGUUGCCUUAUAACUUCCUUUUGAGUGAAAGUUUUCCAUCAAACCGCUAUCACUCAUUGGAAUUCCAGUUUCCAGCAUACCAGAUAGUACCUUUCAAGCCAAACUUGUCAAUGGCAAACACAGCUUCCUCUCUUCCUCUGUUCUUAGCCAAGGUUAACAAAGCAGGGUUCAAUGUAACUGAAUUGGUACGAGUGCUCUUUAUCUUAUACUCCGGCUGCAUUUUUUUUUUUUUACUAAACCAUCUACCAAUCAUAAUCAUUUGUUUGACGUUGCAGGAGAUACCUUGGUCAUUUUUUGACAAAUACAUGGUCGGUGAUGUCGAAAAAAAAGGUGUUAUCCAAAAGACUGGACAGUUUCUGUGAAACGGGAUCAUGAGUGGGUUGAGUUGCGCAGAGGAUGGGGUGUAUUUGUGAACGACGUUAUACAGAACGAUUCUGAGGCCUACCUUGUGGUGGAUUACAUGGGGGACAUGCAAUUCAAGGUUAGGGCAUUUUACUCGGAUGGAAACAUUGUCGUCGACGUUCCCCUUUGCUUGAACCAUGCCUGUGGAUUUUACAGAGGACCCCGGCCUGAAUUCUUUAGGCGCGUCACCCAUGCUUCUGAGCGCCCAAUGGUAACUUUCUUCAACUUUCAUUAUUGCAUUGAAGUUCCAUUGUGGUUUGUCUUGAGAGUGUUCUUAUUAUUUUAUGCAGGUUAUUAUACACAGAUCAAUGCUCACGGACCAUUCCACAAACAACUUCUUGAUGUCGGAAUGGGUCUAUUUGAGUUUCACCUGAAGGCGGCGCCGGCGAUUAAAACGGUCGUGCAGCUUACUCGCACAAACAGAAACUAUAUUGAGUUUAGCACCGGGUGGAACACCUUUUUGGCGUUGUGCGGGAUCCAAAGUGAAGAUUUGGUCGUUUUAGAACUAGUUCCAGAUCGCAAAAUCAGUGUCUUGGCAUUCCUCCCGGAAGACAAGGGGCCCGAGGGGGCCCUUCUAACUCCUCUGCCAACAGUUGAUGCACAUGAAUCUUCGUCGGAAAAUUAUUAAAUUUUCAAAAAAUUUUAAUUGUCUUUAAUUUCGGAAAGUUAUUAUAUAUUUCGUUUAUGAACUAUAAGGACAUGUUAUGUGUUUUGUAAAACUAGCUACAUAUGAUAUUAUGUUUUUCGUUUAAGAACUGGGAACUGUUAGAACCUCUACCUUGUGUUGAUUUUGAUUUCCAGAAUGUAUGAUGAAUGAUAAUGUACACCACGUAAACAAACUAAACAGGUAGGUUAAUCUUCGUAAACAUUGUACACUAUGUUCAAAAAACAGGUAGACCCAUAUAAGCAGACCAGUUUAGAGUUGGUCUACUCGUAGUGUGAGUCAAUGCUUCGAAGAGCUAGUACACCACGUUCACAAAACAAGUAGGUUAGUGUUCGUAAAUAGGUAAAUCAUUUUGUCUCACAAAAAAAGUAGACCCGUGCUCGUAAAUAAGCAGACCAACCUUCAUAAACAGGUAGUCCUGUCAAGAAUUCUUCAAGUGUCUGUGAAUUUUGGACACUUUAGAGUUGGUCUACUCGUAGUGUGAGACUAUCCUUCGUAAACCUAGUACAUCGCGUUCACAAAACAGGUAGGUUAGUGUUCGUAAACAGGUAGACCAUUUUGUCUCACAAAAAAAGUAGACCCGCGCUCUUAAAUAAGCAGACCAGCCUUCGUAAACAGGUAGACAUGUCAAGAAUUCUUUAAGUGUCUGUGAAUUCUGGACACUUUAGAGUUGUUCUACUCGUAGUGUGAGUCAGUACUUCGUAAACCUAGUACAUCACGUUCACAAAACAGGUAGGUUAGUGUUUGUAAACAGGUAGACCAUUUUGUCUCACAAAAAAAGUAGACCCGUGCUCGUAAAUAAGCAGACUAGUCUUCGUAAACAAGUAGACCAUUUUGUCUCACAAAAAAGUAGACCCGUGCUCAUAAAUAAGCAGACCAGUCUUCGUAAACAGGUAGACCUGCUAAGAAUUCUUCAAGUGUCUGUGAAUUCUGGACAUUUUAGAGUUAGUCUACUCGUAGUGUGAGUCAGUACUUUGUAAACCUAGUACACCACGUUCACAAAACAGGUAGGUUAGUGUUCGUAAACAGGUAGACAAUUUUGUCUCACAAAAAAAGUAGACCCACGCUUGUAAAUAAGCAGACCAGCCUUCGUAAACCAGGUAGACCUGCCAAGAAUUCUUCAAGUGUGUGAAUUCUGGACACUUCAGAGUUGGUCUACUCGUAGUUUGAGUCAGUGCUUCGUAAACCUAGUACACCACAUUCACAAAACAAGUAGGGUAGUGUUCGUAAACAGGUAGACCAUUUGUCUCACAAAAAAAGUAGACCCGUGCUCGAAAAUAAGCAGACCAGUCUUCGUAAACAGGUGGACCUAUCAAGAAUUUUUCAAGUGUGUGAAUUUUGGACACUUUAGAGUUGGCCUACUCGUAGUGUGAGAUUGUCCUUCGUAAACCUAGUACAUCGCAUUCACAAAACAAGUAGGUUAGUGUUCGUAAACAAGUAGACCAUUUUGUCUCACAAAAAAAGUAGACCCAGGCUCGUAAAUAAACAGACAGCCUUCGUAAACAGGUAGACCUGUAAAGAAUUCUUCAAGUAUCCGUGAAUUCUGGACACUCUAGAGUUGGUCUACUCGUAGUGUGAGUUAGUGAUUCGCAGCACAAGUACACCACGUUCACAAAACAGGUAGGUUUGGCUACGUAAACAGGUAGACCAUUUUGCUUCACAAAAAAAGUAGACCAUUUCUCGUAAAUAAGCAGACCAGGCUUCGUAAAUAGGUAGACCUCUCAAGAAAGUACACAUAAUAAAGUAGUUAAUAUGUUGUAAUAAAGUACACAUGUCAUGUGAAUAAUGUACACAUAAUAAAGUAGUUAAUACAUAGUAAUAUAGUACACAUCGUAUGUGAGAGGAUGAGGUUUUACAAUAAGGAGACAUAGGUUCUACCAACGGCUACGGCGGACACUUUCUGUUGCGAGGUUUUACAGUUCCGUGCACUUGUGGUUUUCCGUUUGUGUUGCUCUCGGUCGGUUCAAUCUUCACUUGCUUCAGGACUUGUACAUUCUUUUCGCACUCCUCAGUCUCUUAAUUGUUCUGAGGCUCUUCAAUCUUGUUUUCCAGUUUCUUAUUCUGUAAUCUUUUUUUGAUGUUUCUACACAUCAUUUGCCAUCUGCUGUUGUAUCUGUUCCUUAUCAAUUUCAAGGUUAGCUAUUUGCGAACCUCUUUUGAGUUAUACUGCAAUGCAUAAAUUUCAAUGAAGUUAAUGCCCAUGCCACUCAUUACCAUUCAAAUUCUCUAGUACAAAUGAAAAACAUACCUCAGUCCAUCACUCUUCAUCAUACUGCUCCAUGUGUUUGAUUGUAAAGAUCCCGCAGUCAUCAGUACCCUCUUGUUUGGGACAUUGUGGCGGCUUAAAAAUGGGAAAAUCUUCAAAUUUCUUAGUCUUCUUCACAAGAUGGCCGAAAAUAAUGUCAAAGACAUUCAACUGUUACAUCAUGACAGAAUAACCAUGCAACUGAGUAGACAAUGUUGCUGGGAUUAUGAACACAAAAGGCUUCGUGUGACUUACAAUAUCUUUGCAGUGAUCCUUGCGUGAUUUUUUGUCUCAAAGGCUAACCCAGUAUUCUCCUGUCUCGUUAUCUAUACACACAACAAAGACAUACCAAUGAUCUGAGUCAUGGAUUGGUAUGAACAUCUGUUAAAAAAAAAAUUCUUAAUGUCAGACAUCAUACAAAAUCCAAAUAUCACUCAACCCUAUUGAUUAUAAAAACAACUGCAAACUAACCUUUUUGCAAUGAGGAAGGUAUUUACUGUAACUUUUUACCCACAUUUUCUUUGGUGUAGGAACUUUUCCUACCGGUUUUUCAUACGUACAAUAUGAUUUUAGCUUGUUGCUGAAAAAAGUGUGGAAAUAAACAUUGUCGCCAGUGCUACUUGCAAGUAGAUAAGAGGCAAAUAUGGUCACAACCUCAUCGUUAAGCCAUGUGUUCGGUAGGAGAGUCCUUGCCCUCUUACAACUCUGACCAUUGCACUCAACAAGAAUCAAUUCACUGCCAACUCCAUUAUAAACAUAAUCCAGGACUGCUUCGUCAUCCACAUCCAUGAUAACAUCAAUCUUAAACUCCCUAACCUUCUGCUUCUCAACAUAAACAUUCUUGCAGGGGGCCUCCUUCUCAACAUUCUUGCAGGAGUCAGUAAGAUCAAUUAUUUUUUCUUCUUCCCUCUGUUUCUCAACAUUCUGGCAUGAGGCUUCCUUCUCAACAUUCUUGCAGGAGUCAGUAAGAUCAAUUAUUUUUUCUUCAUCCUUCUGUUUCUGAACAUUCACCCAUGAGGCCUCCUUCUCAACAUUCUUGCAGGAGUCAGUAAGAUCAAUUAUUUUUUCUUCAUCCCUCUGUUUCUCAAUAUUCUGGCAUGAGGCUUCUUUCUCAACAUUCUUCCCCAUCUCAUAAGUUUGUGAAACCUUACUCGGUUUAAAGAUAUACCUACAUGGACUGAUCACCGAUGAUUCAGAUGAAAUAUCCACGGGUGUUGAAUUCUUUGCCGGCAGCUCCGGUGACACCUAAAAGGAGGAUCAAUGUAAAUUUUAUGUAAAUUUAGGUGAAUUACUAAGCACACAAUUAUGAGAAGGCAAAUAAUCCACAUAGGAAAGAAACAACAACUCAUACCUACCCAAAUAAUACACAGAAACAUGACACUCCCCUGUAAAAGUAGACUUCAACAACUAUGUUUGUAGACCAAAUAAGUUGUCAACUUGUCAUGUUAGCACACAUUUUCGCUGUUACAAUAGCCAGUUUCUGGACAUAGAAUUCAACCUAUAAUUAUUACAGACAUGCUUAUAAGUUAUAACAUUCAAAAGGAGAUGUUGUGAGUGUCACAUCCCGACCCUUAUAUUUUCACCUUAUUUACUAGCCUGAUUAUAAUAAGAAUUUUACCGUCUCGAUCAUUGAGUAAAUAGUUUAAUUGGUCCCUAGAAGGGUUUCGGAGACGAUUAUGUGCGGAGGAUUAUUAGUAUGAGGAAAAUACGACGACGGUAAAAAUGGUAAAUUUUAGCUAGUAAAAGGUAAUUUUUAUUCGGGUUAUUAUUUUUCGGGUUGUUUUAUUUUUNNNNNNNNNNNNNNNNNNNNNNNNNNNNNNNNNNNNNNNNNNNNNNNNNNNNNNNNNNNNNNNNNNNNNNNNNNNNNNNNNNNNNNNNNNNNNNNNNNNNNNNNNNNNNNNNNNNNNNNNNNNNNNNNNNNNNNNNNNNNNNNNNNNNNNNNNNNNNNNNNNNNNNNNNNNNNNNNNNNNNNNNNNNNNNNNNNNNNNNNNNNNNNNNNNNNNNNNNNNNNNNNNNNNNNNNNNNNNNNNNNNNNNNNNNNNNNNNNNNNNNNNNNNNNNNNNNNNNNNNNNNNNNNNNNNNNNNNNNNNNNNNNNNNNNNNNNNNNNNNNNNNNNNNNNNNNNNNNNNNNNNNNNNNNNNNNNNNNNNNNNNNNNNNNNNNNNNNNNNNNNNNNNNNNNNNNNNNNNNNNNNNNNNNNNNNNNNNNNNNNNNNNNNNNNNNNNNNNNNNNNNNNNNNNNNNNNNNNNNNNNNNNNNNNNNNNNNNNNNNNNNNNNNNNNNNNNNNNNNNNNNNNNNNNNNNNNNNNNNNNNNNNNNNNNNNNNNNNNNNNNNNNNNNNNNNNNNNNNNNNNNNNNNNNNNNNNNNNNNNNNNNNNNNNNNNNNNNNNNNNNNNNNNNNNNNNNNNNNNNNNNNNNNNNNNNNNNNNNNNNNNNNNNNNNNNNNNNNNNNNNNNNNNNNNNNNNNNNNNNNNNNNNNNNNNNNNNNUUGCGGCAUGCAUUUCGAUUUUUUCCUUAGAAAUUAAUGGGGAAACAUAAAUAUUUUAUUUAUUAUUUUAUUUUUGUCCACUCACUCUGACGUUAUUAAAUGUUUUCCCCUGGGCCCUUCGUUUUAAAUUGCCCAGUCUGCAGAGUUCGGGUUGGAUCUAGUAGGAGACGAGGCAUAGUCACCCGCUUUUCGGCCAGUUUUCGCCAGUAGGUUACCUGUUCAACCUACUCGUAUUUUCUUGAUUCCGCUUGUGUUUAGUAGCUCUGAAUACUUUAGAAUUUUUGUAUAUUAUGUGAUGUUCAGAAGUGUAAUAUGAAAUUUUCGAGUUAGGGUUGUCCAUCUACAAGGGAGAUUUUCUUAAUCUUUUCAGUAAAUUUUCCUUGGAGGUGGUCCCCGCACGACUUAUUCUGGGUUUCAGGGUGAAAUUCAGGGUGGGUCGUGUCAAACAAUGUGUCUCUAAUUCUCCACUCUCUCUUCCUCCCUUCCCUUUAUUCACUUGAAGCAACAUCUAUUUAUAGGGCAACAAUGAUCUUCAUUCAAUUUCAACUCCAUGUGAAAAUGAUUCUCCAUUUCUCAAACUUCUCAAGUUUGAUAGCUAAAGUCUCCAUCCAUAAAUGCUUCCAUACAUAGCUUCAUUCUCUCAUUUUUCAUGUGAAUGAAGAGAAGAUACGUACAUAAUCUUUGAACAAUUGAAGAUUUAGUUCCUAGAAUCAUGCUUGCUUGCUUGCUUCUUGCCUCCUUGUUUCAUGGCAUAUGUCCUUGGAAAUUCUUCAUACUCUCUUCUGUUUGUAUCAAUGCAUCUAUAUACCUAUGAAUCAAACAAGCAAAAGUGAAUUCAACAAUGGAUGCCAUGGUAAUAUUUCCACACAUCACACUUAAUGCAUGAGAAAAUAAUCCACCAAUUUAACACAUGCAUAUAUGCAUACAAGCUACUAGAAUAAGAAGAACAUGUGUUGCAAUUAUUCAUCUAAUUAAAGGGAAAAAGACUCAUGUUAAAACAAAGACUCAAUUUACUAUAUGAAAAUAGGUAAAUUGCUACUAUAACUUUAACAUUCUAUUUAUUUAGACAAAACAUCUAUAAGAACACAAAAGCAAACUAAACAACUCAUACUAAUUAAAACAAGUAACUAACACAUAUAAAUCAGGGAUAAUAAUAUGAUAUAAAAUGUGCUCAUCAAUACUCAUACUACUUGCAUUUCAAUAGGUGAAUUUGUGAUAUAGAGAACAUAGUGACUUCCGAAAUUGAAAGGUGUUAUGUACCUUCUGGAAUUUUACCAUAUACCAUGAACUGAUGUGAAAGCAAUGUCUUCCCUGGCUUUGAUAAGCAUGAUCGAUCACUCAUAAUAGAUAUCUGGCAACUCUGAAAUUAAUCUGUCUAGGUAUAUAUACUUUGAUCUGCAUGCACAUGUUGGAUCGAUUUACAUUGUAUGACAAUUCAAUAUUUCAGGCUUUAAUCAUGUUAUGUUCGUCAUUGUGGCAUUUUGAUUAAAUCUGUUUCAUCUGCAUUGUACCAGAGUACUUCCGAUGAUGCAUUUAACAGAUUUUCCAGAAAUGAAGGUGUUUGGUCAUUUGAUAAUACAAUCACUUUUUCCUGAGUUAAGUCGCAGUUCAAGUGGAAAUGAAACAGGUAGAACACUAAUGAUGUGCAAAUCCUAUUCGCAACGAUCAUUGCCUCACUUUUGUUUGUUUGUUAUUGCUUCUGUUGUUUUCCCAUGUAAUGUAAUAAAUGUAUUUGCAAUAUAUUAUCUUUCCUUUUCAUAUAUGUUUGAGAUGUGAUUACGAUUCCUGGUUCAUAGUAAAAUAAGUACAUUAUUGCAUAUUUCUACAUCAUCCAUAUUCUGAAAAUUUAUUAUAAGAUUUACACCACUAGGAAUGAUAUGACACCUCUUUCACUUUGUCCGUUUUGAUUACCCUGAAAAGACUGAGUCCAAUCACAGUGAUUGUCAAAAAAUUUCUAGCCCGUAGCAACGCGCAGGUGAUUGACUAGUGUUUGUUCUAUUAGAGGUUAUUACUCAGCUUAAGAUAAUUUACAAGUUUAUGAACAACUUGUUGUCGUUGUAACAACUUAGUAAUUUGGUUCAAUUAUAUGUAAAUGUGUAAAACAAAUGUAGUAAUUUUGUUGUCAAUGUUGUAAAUUUUACGCAUUUAACUUGUCAUUUUUGUUCUAUUAGUGGUAAAAUGAGUAUUUGGUGUACAUGCUAGUAACGUAGACCCUAGAAAUGAAUAGGCUUUCUGCAAUGUGCUCUCAGUUAUCUUUCAAUGGCAAGAUUGUAUAUCACGUACACUAGAAAAUGCAGGACCCCUUAUUUAUACAUAGUAAACCGGAUAAGUCACUCACCAACACCUCAAAGGCGAUCGAAUUCUAAUCCAACAUGUUUACAUUAUCUUCUAUCAUCAAACUCUAAUAAUCGCCAUUUUCUCUGAACUCACUACUAACCAAUUUCGAGACUAAAGAUAUUCCUCAUGGAUCAAUGAAGUACCAAGUCCAGAUCUCAGACUCGACCCAGAUCCACCCUCAUACAAAUAGACGACUAUAAGUUAGUAAAAGCCCAAAAGGUGAUCACCCAAAUCAAACUCCAAAACUUAUGUCAAUCAUGAAACAAUUUCUAUUUAGGGAUAUAUAGCAUUGCAUUGAAAGGGAUAGUCGUUGGUAUAAUUACGUCAAGUAUGGGUUUGUUUACUCCCCUAGGUGCCCUAGGUGGUGACACCCAUUUUAUUUAUUUUUAGUUCAUAAUGCACCAUAAUUGAUUGGCAGCCAGAGUAGACAAAGAUGUGAACAUGAUUCUUCACUCCUAACUCUCACAUGAUCACCAACAAAAUUGUCCCAACCAGGUCACCAGAACAAUCAUAUAAUAGUCCCAAUCAUAUGAUAGUGCAUAAGAAAAAGCUGGAAGAACCAAGCAGACCUAGCUAGUGCAUUUUUUAUAUACAUCUUAGAGCAUUACAUGAGUUCCACUAAUCACUACUACGAAUUCCAAAUUGCCUGUUUGCUAGCAUGUAAUGCAUAGAAGAGAAUAAAUAGUUCAUAGUUCAGGUUAUAAAAUCUACACUGACAAUAAGAAGUAAAGGAUCACAAGAACAGUUCCAAACAACACUGGCCCUCUGUUUGAGUAACUAAAGCUACUAUCACUCGUUUCUGGUGCACCUUCCGGGACUGUAGCAGCCUCAGGUGGGCAGGUUCCGUAGCUCACAUUCGCCUGCGACAACAUGAGAAUACAUUAUCAGCAGACAUAGGUAAUACUUGCUGUUCAGAUUGAUCUUGCUGAUCUGACAGCAUGAAAUAAAAAUUGUGGGAAGCUGCUAGCUCACCUUGCAAUCGGCGAUGCUUGCACACCCGCAAACUAAAUGACCAUUUACCACAUCUACAGCUUUAGGAGCACCGCCACCAUCGCUUCUCUAAAUUGAUUGAUUACGGAAAAUGAAAUAAUCAUAUAAGAAUGAGCUGAGCAUCUGCCUAACUUCUAAGUUAACUACUAUCUUUCUAGUCCGACUUAUAUUUAUUGAUUUUAAAAACAAUCAUUCAUACCUUGUAAAAAUCAACGGCAAUGAAGUUAGGCCAUCUUUUACCAGCCACAUUGUAACAGGUAUUAACCAUGUUAAGCAACGAAUCUGAAUUAUCUUUGCAAGAUUGAGGGAGGGUUGGGGUAUCUCGGAAAUAGUUCACUAGGACUAAUGAUCUCGUUGUUGUGUUCAUGGCUGAUGAUUCCGCACGGUUUGGACAUGAUCCGGCUUUCAUGCCACCAUUUCCAUCUAUAUAUUUCAGUUCCAUCAAAAUUGUAUCUAAUUUUGCUUAAAAAUAAUAAUAAUUACAGAAACAAAGAGAACCACUUGUAAGAAAAUUGGAAGAGAUCAAUUAAAAAGGGGGACUCACAUUGGUUUUCUACCAUAUAACUCCACUGGUAAGCAAUGCCUUCAUCAGCCUCUUUUCUUUGCUUGGAAGUGAAGACUAGCAAACGCUGAUUUUUCUGGAUCAUAUCAGCAACUGUUGGCCAAUCUCCACCCCUUUUGGGCAUUCUUGAAACUGGAAACCAGAAUUUUCUCAAACCAGCAGCAUCAAACACUUUUGUCAACCCCUUUGGUGAUGUAACAUAGUCUUCAAUUAUAAUCGUCACAAUCUCAGACGGGUUUGCUUCAAGAAAUGCCGUAAUUUCUUUUAGUUCUCCAAUGGCAGGUUGCUGAUACAUAAAUAAGAUCAUGCAAGAUUAGAACGUGUUAUGGAGUGAUUUUAGCUCUCCAGUUUCACUGUUUCAUACUUCACUUCUAUCGACUUAACAGUUCAGAUGUAUAGAAACGCAUGUGGUGCCAAAUCACUAUAUAUGUUUUCAAAAACCAACCUUUAAAUAUAUCUAUAAUAAGCAAAGAAGUGAAUAUAUAGUUAACCAGGAUUCUGAUAAAUGUAUCAAAAUAAUUUCAUUCAUUCCAAACUCUGCAUAUAUACACUCACAAAAGCUGUGUAGUUGUAGCAUUGGCCACCGUACGAGUGACAUAACCAAAUGUCACCUAAAUAGUCAUACAUGUCCAACAUUAAGCCUCUAACACCAUUCUGCAAGAUGAUCAUACAACUUUGUAAACAUAUCUCAUAAUUUUGAAGUGAAACAAGAGAUCAACUGAUGCAGGUAAACUGGUAAAGUACAUGGAAUGCAGAAUAUUAAUUAUUUAUCCUCAUGGCAAUAAUUAUUUAUUUAUUCCAAUUAUAGAAAUGAUUAUUAAUAUUGGAUCACCUAUCUGAUUCCCUCGUUCCUUUUAAGGUCAAUAUAUAUAUGACUCCCCUCAUGGGUCAUAUGUUUAUUGUUAGACAGAUGCUUAUAAGGUUUGCUUGUAUUAUAAAGCAAGCAUGCUAGGUGCAUUUUGCAAGUAGUUAUCAUCAUCAUAUCAUAAUAUUAGUUUUUUUUUUUUUUCCGUAUCAUCAUCAUCGUCGAUUUCAUACUAUGAAUAUUCAUUAUAAGUAUAUGCUUGUUCCCUUCGUGCUCAAUUAGAAAAUAGAGGAACAAGAGGAAGAGGAAAUUAUCAAAGUCAAAACACACCUAAUCCAUAACAAUUUGAUCUUAAUUAAAGAAGUAGGUAAAAAAGUCGAGUCCUCAAGACUUGCCUAUCCAUCCUUCUACGGUUGUACAAGCAUAAAAAACAUGAUAUACUUGCUGGUAAGCCAAGACCGCAACACUUUUUUUGCUUCUUUCUUUAGAAGUGCAUUUGAAGCUGAUCAUAGUUUCAUGAGUUCAUCUUCAUUCUCCAGUUGUUACGUAAUCCUAAGUACCUAAAUUAUAGAGUUAUGCUAGUUUAAGUAACCUACAUGUACGUGUGUGGAUGAUUUUGAAAUGUAGAUGAUAGUGAGAUUUGCAGAUGAGUCAAAUUCAGCAGUUGCUGGAAAUCAUGAGUAUCACAUUGAUACAAAGACCAACACAAAUAUUGGGGAGGUUAUUCCAACUUGUAUGAAUACCCUUCAAUGCUUAUAAUUAGGACCAAGAUAUAACCUAGCUCGAACCAUUAUUUCAAUGUGUAUAAGGAAUCCUACUGCAUCUGCAGCUACCCAAGCCUCCAUUUUUAUUAAGUGGCGUCCAAUUUUUGCCAAGCUAUCAAUUUCAAUAUUUAUUGAUGUACAAAUCUGACUAGGAGGCCAACAACCACGUUCAACAAAAGAAAAAAACUACCAAUUAUCAUUGCGAUCAUGGUCCAAGGCUGUUAGGAUUUAUUCUUAAAAGAAAAACGAUGUUUGGAUUCAAAACAUACUAAUGGUUUAUAUUCGAAAUAUGAUAUAAAUGUUAAUCUUGAAUCCAGAAUUCCGGAGUCCAGACUCGUCCAAUCUUCUAAACUUGUUAGAAAUGUUAACAAUGUGUUUAUUUGUCGUGCGAGUCUCGGCUUUCUCCCACUUCCACAUAAAUCAUUUUCAUCUCCUAAUCUGUUUUUCACUCAAUUAUUCAUGCAUUGCUUGGUGUUUUCUGAUAGGUUGGGUUUGGUCUUUUUCCAACUAUAGUACAAGCCUGUGUGCUUUUGAUGAAUAUCAUCAGUAACAUCAUACAAGCAAAAAAAGAUAAAAGAUAAAAGAUAAAAGAAAAAAAAUUGUGUGUGUUUGUUCUUCCCGAGAAAAAACACAAGGAAAAAAAAAUAUAUAAUUUGCAGAAAAGUAAAGAAGAUAAAGAACGUACAUUGAGCUGAUCGGUAAUGGAGUCCUGCUGGUUCGUCGGAGCCAAAAUCACAGAUUUCGUGGCCGACUUCUGCCCGAGUAUCGCAAACGAAUUGUGGGUUGUUAACCAAGAAUACUUGUUAAACGGCAGCGUUUUCACCUGUUCCAAGUUGCCACACCAUUACUGAACAGGCUACAAAGGACAUGCUAAGAGCCAAAGCCAAAGCCAAAGCUGAAGAUUAGAAUCGGGUAAAUUACCUCAGAUAUUGGACUUGUGGGUUUUACCCUCGUGCACUUUGGCACAAAAUUGUUGUCUGCAACGCAAGUCUCGCAGUGCAAUCCUGCGUCGCAGUCACUGUUCUUGAUGCAUUUCUGUCCCUCCUGGAAAUAGCAGAGAAAACAGAGCAAAAAUGAUGGUUGGUGUUGGUUUUAGUUGAUGAAAAAUGUGAAAUUUGAGCAAAAACUGAAAUGGGUUUUCAGUUUUGAUGCUUUUGGAUGAAAAACUAAUGAUUACACAGAGCGAGGUACCUUGCGGGCUGAAGAAACAGGAAGGAAACAAAGCAAAGAAAACAGAGUUGCAAUGAGCACGAGUCUCUGCAAGGGAAAACCAAAGAUGGAUUAGUAAGCCAUACACGAAGAAGAAGAAUGAAGGAAAGAAGAUGAUGAUUAAGAACAAGUUGAUUACCUGCUCCAUUGCAGAGAGAAUAACAAGUUCAAUGAAAAUUUCCCUCACAGAAACCUAACCAAACAAAAACAGACUGAAGAAAACAAAUAUAUAGAGGUAGAGCCCAAAACCCAGAACUACCGCCGUGUAGCAAUGUGAAUUGGCUUGGGGGGGGGGGGGGGGGGGGGGGGGUUGUCUCAGAAACCAGUAUCCAAAAGUUCUUAUAUGACUGGUUAGGUUUGGUCCCACGCAUCAUCUUCCCUCUGAGAAAUUCAUACAUGAACACAUGCAAUAUAAUAAAAGCUGCCGAGUUGAAUAUAAUAAAAGCUGCCGAGUUGACGACACGAGAGUUGGUACUUUUGGUAGCAUACACAAAUCGUGUUUAUUACCAGUCAAAUUCCCUUUGGGGUUUUUUCGUGGGAACAAACUAGCAAAGGCUAAUGUUAAUUUUUAUCGAAAAAAAAGGUUAAUGUUAAGCUUUAUAGAUAUCAACUUUUAUUUCAAAAAAUGUAGAUCUUAAUUUUCGAUUGACCAGGAGGAUGAUAAUUGUUAUCGUUGCACAAGUUGCGAGUUCAAAUUUUUAGAAUGUCAAUCAUAUCAUGAGAUAGGGGUGUGGAUGAGGAUUUCCAAAAGGAAGCUAUGCCAAAUUUUGAAAUGAACAGAUCGACCCAUCUGAUUUGUCAUGCAAAAAUUUUCUUCUUUGUUGGUUGAUUACAAGGGCUUGGACAGACCAAUGUCUCCACAAGUCCUUCAAGCUCAAGCAAAACCACAUGAAUGAAAUGAUGAGAAACCUAUUUAAUCGACUACUAAUUUAACCUCUAAAGUUUCUUCAUGAGAAGAGAGUCUCAGGAGGAUAAAUGUAUAUAUAAACUCAGAUAACACAAGUAAGACAUGCUUCUAGUUCUAUGGAAUCCAAAGCAGCCGGUGCUCGUAGGCGCAUCCAUAGAUGUAGGUGGAAUGAACAAUGGAUCACUUGGGGUCCUAGCCGGAAAAAACAUGUCCAGACCUAAAAUGACCCUUCUCACUGUACCAAAUGCAAACGAGAUUACGGGGUAUAAGGUUGGCCGGGAUUGGAGCAGUUAGGGUUUAGGGUUGCAGUGCUAUAGCUCCGCUACCGGAAAAUAAGUUCACGAACGACAGGGCUGCAGGGCAACUCAUGCAUGGCCGACUGGUUGAGCGGGAGUUGAGCUCAUAUCUAAUCUUCUUCAAGUGAGUGUGGGGUGAGGUAAGAGCAUUCUUAAGUGCAUGUAUACUACUCCUACCUUAGCUAUAGAAACUAUGUUGGAUAAUUUUACUUUUGAGAUUUUGAUAUAAGUUUGUAAAAAUUAAUUUGCAUGAGCUGAAUGGAGAUAUGAGAAUCUAAAAUACAAGCAAGUUAACAAAACAAUAAAGAUGAAUAAAUUAGGAGAAGAAGGUAGUAUAGAACUAUAGAAGAAAGAUUACAUUUUAUUCAAGAUUUGAAGUUACAUACAUUGGUCGGGCACCCACACAUUCAUAUUUUUUUAAAAUAACAUGUCAUUUAAAGUACCGCGCACACAUUAUUUUUUACUAAAAAGCAAAUGAAUAGUUAUUUAUGUGCUCAACACAUGGCUUCGUAUAACUCUCAUGUGUACUAGUACAUGGUAGUGCUAGCUUGCAUCCCCUCAUGGAGUCAUGGUUGGUGGUCAUAUGCACACUAUUACUUAUUAUACAAAAUACAUAAUAAUGGAAUUUAGCUGCAUGCGAUAUUACUCUUUUACACCCGAUAUUCACUCUCUUAUUAGUGUCCCGCCUCUCUAAUUAUUUGUUUAUUGAAUUUGAAUCACAUUGUGGAAUCAUCAAAUAUGUCCUUAAGCUAAAGACUAUAGUUCUUCCCUACUUCCCUUCUCUCUUAGAGUGUUUGCUCGAAGAUCACUCGAAGAAAUAAAUAGGUGUUUGCUUGAAGCAGCUUUCUUUCUUUAGAAAUUUGUAACGUAUAAGUAUCAAUAAGUUUGCCAAAUAUUGUUCCUAAAAGAGAACCUUAGUCUCACAAGCGAUGUUGCUUCAUCAUCGCUAGUGUAGUAACAACAACAUAGACGCAUGUUUAAAUUUCUCUUUCGUACUCCACAAUUGGUCGUCAAAAGCAUGCAACUAGCUAGUCUACAAUUCAAUUCCCAUUCUAGAAAAUUGUGUUGUUGUACUAAUUAACAAAUUCGGAAAGUCACUUUUUUUUUUUGGUUUUUUUUUGUAAAUUUAGAAAGUCACAUUUCAAUGUCUAAAAAACUAAAUUUUAGUUAAACGAUUACUGUAAUCUAAAUUCUGGAACACUAGUUUGUACUUAUUGAUUCUAAAGAAGAGUGCAAGCAAUUUCCUGAUUUUUUUAUUUUUAUUUUUAUUCAAGAUCGCAGUAUCUCAAAUGCUUUCUAAGCCCAAAGACUAAUUCGUUGAAGGCCCGAACAGGUAGCAGAGCAUUGCAGCCCCUCCCUUAGCCACUUUUAACAGUGUCGUGGUUCGAACCUAGGUUGGGGAGCACACCCAAUUAGGCAAGAAUCAUUAGACUACCUUGCAAUUUUCCCGAAACUUAACAUGGUGGUAAACACAAAAAGUGUCGUCAUUUAGUCACACAUUCAUAAAUUUGUAUAUAAAAUACCACGGUGCAUAGGGAACAUGUGUUUAUAUAUGUUUCACACGAGAUAACAUGGCUAUAUUAGUUUUGAACGGGGACUCAUUAAUUUGUAUAUCAAGCUAUAAACACCUUUUUUUUAGGGAAAUUGAGAUAAUUCCAGUUGGCAUAGCCAAUAUGUACAACUAGUGAAACGCUUGGUCAGAUAGAACUCCUUUACAAGCUCAGAGAUCCCUUAUUUGACUAAAACUAAAAAACUAAAGUCCAAAAAGACUGACAAUCCAACACAACAACUAAAAGAAGGAAAAAAAACAGAAAAUCCUCUACUCUUGAAGAGCAUGACGCCUAAGACUUUCAUUGAUGUACGUUUCCACUCAUCAGAUCAGUGAACAACUUCAAACUAGCAGCCAUAUAGGUUAGAGAUGUCACUCCCACAAAAGUCCAAUCAUAGGUUAAGCCCACAUGGAGAAAGAAUGAGGAAAUUAAUUAAGGAACAAAGCCCCAUCACACUAGCCCACACAAAUGCAGCUCAGCAAGACAAGGCCCAAAGCCCAACCUACCCCUCAUCUAGCCCAGUUAGCUCGGCCUGAGACGACUAUCGUUGGAGCUUCUGACCGACAGAUCAGUCCGGUGGUCGUCCAGAUUUGAGGCUCAUGAUGUCGCCGCCGCAAAGAACUGCCAAGCAGAAUCAAACUACCACCACCGCUGAGAUGUAGACCUUCCUCCGCUCUCUUUCACAACUUCUAGGCUACCAGAGAUUAGAGACCUUUGCCUCAAAGCAGCCUUCCUCACCUUCGCAACCCUCUACUUGCUCCGCCUCGCGCGUCCCUGCGAAACAGAUCCGGGAAAGAAUCACUCGUCGACGUCGUACAAGUAACUCAUCGUCGCCUCCCAUGUCACCGACCCAAAUCAAUGAACCGAUCAAACUCCACCACCUCCUUCGCUUGCCGACAAGGCUCAGUGCCAGAGACGCCUUGUAGCAAGCAGAUGACCCGUCGGGUCGCCGCCGCUGUGCUUCACGAAACCUAGGUUUGGGUAUUAGGCUCCGGGAGAAGUGGAGCUAAUAGUUCCAUCAAACUCCACUCUUUAUGUGACACAAAUUCGUAAAAGCAUUUCACAUUAUUAUUUUAGUACGAAGCAUACUAUUUCAUAUUCGACCAAAAAUAAAACUUAUUAUUUUAUUACCUUCCCAAUAAUAAAAAACAUAACAACGAGAGUGUUCCUCAAUUUAUUUGUCAAAAGAUAGAGGGUUAAGAAACACCAUCAUGAUUUUCUUCAUGCCAACUAAACAAAAAUCAUCAACCUUCUCUAUGACAAAUCAAAAUAUCAUCAACUUUGCAUUGUUGUCUACGAAACACUAUUAAAGUUGAAAAUUUAGCAAAGUAAUUUUAUCUUCAGAAAAAGGUCAAAACCCCAAACACCAAAAAAGAAUAUUGACAUAUUGAAGGCCGAAAACGAACCGUCCUUUGGAAUUUGAAGAAGUUCGUGUACUCCUCAAAUAAUGUCAGGCCACCAGCAUGAGAUGAUUGUACUCCUCAAACAUUAUAUUGGACCACUGCUACUAACAAUUUACUAUAUACCAACAUUAAUAUUUUGUUUUUUCAGAUGGAAACAUUUGUUUUUUUUUUUUUUUUCGGUCAAAGCAAAGAACAUCACAAACUGAAACAUCUAAAGAAGAUUACAAGAACAUAUGCUAUUGUUUUCUUUUAGAUGGAAACAUUUGCUAUGGUUUUCUUUCGAGCUAUAAUAGGAGAACAGCUUUAUUGCUCUUCUUCUAGUGUUGAAGAAUUUUAUCAGUCCUUGACCAAGCUAUCAAACAUUAAUCUGUACACAACAGUUUGCUCUUAUGAUGAAUAUAUUUUAUCUAAGUCGAUCGUAAAUUUUAUAGUUAAACAACGGUAUGUUUUGAAUUACAAAUUAGAUUUAUCAAAAUGAUCGAAUGAUGCAUUUGAUACUGUAAUUAAUAAUUUUGAUUAUGUAGACCGUAGUGUGCGUAUUACAACAUCAACUCCUUGUAAAACUAUUUAGUCACAAAUUUAAAAUGUAACAUGUUAUUUGUUUAAAAUGAGAACGAUCAAAACUAAUUACACUAUCCUGAAUUCCUCUAAAAGGAAACAAUAUCUUGGAUUAGAUUGGGGUACAAUAUGUAAUUGUUCUUUGUAAAACUCUUUCUAUUUAUCAAAUUUGAUGCAGAAAACAUGCUACAUGUCACAUUCAUAGUUUAUUGAGGGUAUAAUGUAUCCUAUCUUAGUUAUCUGGGUCCCCUACUCCCCAGAAGACCAUGCACAGUGACACCCACUAUUACUAUAAAUUUCUGUUAAAAACUAAAAAUGAGAAAAUGAAAGAAUUUGAUUCCAGAACUUGGGGCGGGCCCCAAAUCUAGUACACUCCAGAGUCAAACAAGACUUCUCUCUCGCCCUCUCUCUCUCUCUCUCUCUCUCUCACAUGCUUCACUCGCACAGUGCUCACAGCCUUCGUUUUUAUGGUUCCAAUGUGCUAACACACUCGGUCGUCGUUUCUUCCCGAAACCCACUUCAACCCCACCUCUCUUUCUCUCUCGCUCAGCCCAGCUUUCCCUCUUCUUCUCCACCAUGGUGGUUUACAGACUCGGAUGUCUUCUGGGUUUCCUUGCUUUUAUUGGACUGCAGCUAAUCCCUCUAGCAAUGGCUGGUUAGUAUAUUUUCUGGGCCACACUUACAUUCUUGUUUCUUAUAUCUCUGCUUUGGUUUGGUUCUUGUUAUUUGGUUUUUGCUUUGUAUGUUAUGUCUUUCAGUGUGAUUGAAGAGAGCCUGCAGAUGUUUAGUUGUUUAUUAUUGGUGUUGUGCUUUGUUUCUUUUUCCCUUCUCAUUGAAAUUUCAUGUUUUGGGUGCUUUUGGAUAUUUACUGUUGUAUGUACUACUUCUGGAGAUGGGUCUAUUCCAAGUCCUCGACUUUUCUGAUUUUAAGGCAACCCGUGAGUUCUAUAAUCUUUUUCAUAUCCUAUUAUAUUUUGCUGUGAUUAUCAAUGGUGUCUUACUGUCUUUUAUGGAAUGUAUGACUUCCUGGGGUGUUUGGAAUUAGACAAGCUCAUUGCUUUGAUGGUGGUCCUAGAUGUAAUUUGCUUCCUGUGUGUUUAAGUGUUCAGCUCCUUGUUGUGAGUUUCUUCGUUUCAGCUCAAUGGACGUUUCAGAAUAUUAUUUUUUCUUCUUCUCAAAGUUGCAGUUUUUCCAUAGUAGUUCAUAACCAAAGUGGUGGACUGCAACUGGGUCUUUGUAGUUUGAGUAACCUCUCUGGUUUCAGUAUUAUUGUUGUCUCGCUGUAGUAUCUUAUAUUUGUCUAUCACUAAAAAUUAAAGGCUGUAUCUUAUAAGUAAUGUGCUUAUGUGUGCUUGCUUGGUGUUGCAUCCUAUACGUGAGCAUGAUCGAGGAUUGCAUCAAUGACAAGUGAAUGAACAUUUAUGUUUUCGUUUUCUUUUCAAAGCUUUAUUACACUUGAGGUUAACUGAACUUGUUAGGAUAUUCUAAGAAAGUAAAAGUAUUUUUGUCUGUGGAUAGAGUCACUGCUGAUGAAGUAUCUUUUUGAUAGUGAGAAAUCUGCAGAAUCUAUCUUCUGUGCUCAAAGCCUUCUUCUUUUUAGCUCUGUGACCGGGGUACUUCUUUUUCUUCUAUUUCUUCUCAGUAGAGCUAAUAUCCUGAAGUUAAUGUUGUCUCUUUUUAGUAAUGAGCAAUAGAUGUUUAAGCGGUAGGCGCUACAGGAGGUAAUGAGGGGUCAGUGGGUAACAGGGUUUGGAUUAAGAUAGUUAUAAGUUCAAUCCCAUCAAGUCUCCUGUCUCUAAAAAAGAGACGGUACAUGUUUGGAGACCAAACACUCGUCAAGCAGACCGAAUUGAAGAUUAGAAACUUGCAUUUUAGUACAUCGGACAUUGCUAAUGCAAUAUAUAGGGUUUUAAUUAGGGCUGCCACUCGGUCGGUUCGAAUCGGUAAUAGGCGUUACCAACUUCAAAACCAAAGCUUUCGGUAAUGAAAUAUGACUUUCAAUUACCAAACCAAAAACUUCGGUAUGAGAUAAAUCUUACCAACUUCGGAUGUCGGUUUUUCGGUAUUACCAAACUUCACAACAAAUAUAUUUUCAAAAUAUAACAAAACAAUACAAAACUAUAAAAUUUAAAUAUCACUUGAGUUUCUAGAGUCUGAUAAUACAUAUACAAAAGAUAAUCAUUUCAGUACACAUUAUCGAGUAUGGUUUAAUUUUCUACCGAAAUAGUCAGGAUGUAAAUGUUUCCAAUUUUAUUAUGACAAGUUAUGUGUCAUCUAUGUGAAGUAUGUGUGUGGANNNNNNNNNNNNNNNNNNNNAAGUCACAUAAAGGCAGUAAAAGCUUUUUCGUGUAAUAAGUGACGUUAAAUUAUGGUUGACCGCUUUGAUCAAGACCCAAGCAUUAUUGAGUACAAUUGAAUUUUCUAUCAUAAUUGUAUUAUACUAUAAUGAUCACAUCAGACGGUCGAAUUUUAAUUUGUGAAUUGUAAUCAUUGGAGCCACAACAUGCCUGGUAAUGUGGUAUAACUUAUUUAGUAAGUUAUAUGCAUAUGUACAUCUUUGUGAACCAACUACAAAGAGGAAGCAAAAUUUUCAAAAACCUUGUGAACUAUGAUGUGAUCAAUAUAGUGAAAUAUGACUAUGGUAGAAAAAUUAGGUAUUUUUGAUAAUGUUUUGGCCUUGAUCAAGGCGGCUAACCCUAUUUACGCUUGUGCUUCCUAUGGGGAGCCCUAUCAUCAAGAGAGGUAAAAACAUUCCUAAAUUUUUACAUAGGCGGUUACAUGUCAUCUAAGUGGGUUUGUCUAUAUGUGUGUGUGUGAUGAAUCGACUAAGACGGGUAGGUAAGAGCGUUUUUAUAUAACAAGUAACAUUGAAUUAAAGUUGAUCGCUUUAAUUAAGACCCGAAUGCUACCAAGUAUAGUUGAAUUUUUCUAUUCAUUGUCUUGUUUUUUACUAAAUGGUAUAUACAAUUGAAAACGUGAGAUAAGAUUAUUAGUCUGUGUGUUUUUAGAAAUAUAAGUCUUUAAAUAAUUAGAAUUUCGGUAAAUUCGGUAUUUACCAAAAACCAAACCAACUUUUUCGAUAUUUCUCGGUUUCGGUUUUUUUGAUUUCGAUUACCAAAAUUCGGUUUACCAAAUCAUAAAUUUUUGGUUGGUUUUCGAUCGGUUUGGUAUUUACCAAACCAAGUGGCAGCCCUAGUUUUAAUGUAUUUAUCUAUAUUAUUGGCAGUCCUAACACUCCUUCACAAAAGCUGCAAAUUUAUUAUGUUACAAAAAUUGUUCACACGAUGAUCUUUGAAUGAUUUAUGGUUUCUUGUGAUCGAUACCAUAAUGUUAUCAUCAUGAAUUAUUAACAGUACAUUUUACUCCUGCAGACUGUCCAUUAAAUUUAAGUAGAUCAAAUGCUACUCUAGUUGCCUCUUUGUGCUCGAAUAGAGACGACAGAGGAAAAUGUUGCCGCUACGUAAAUGCUUUCAUUGCAAUAUCUAUUGCUCAGUAUGCAAAUGCAACAAGCAACUUAGGGGUACCUUCAAACUUAUCCAACACAUGCCUUGAUUUCAUAUCACAAACUUUAGAAUUGCAUGGAGUUCCCCAGAAUGCAACAGCUUUCUGUGGUUUGGGGACAAAAAUCCCAGUAAAUUAUGAGUGUAAGGGUCGAACAACUGUUACACAGAUGGUGCAGUCUCCAGAAUUCCCUGAUGUCAUGGAAAAUUGCAAAGUACCACUUUCAGGGGAAAGUAAUUGCAAGAAGUGUAUAAAUGCUGGUAUUGUAUAUCUUCAUCAUCUAUUAGGAACUGAAACUAAUAUAACAUUCAAUACCUGCCGUGAUGCAACUUUUGCUGCACUAGCAAGCCAAGUUGAUAUUGCUUCAGCUGUUGGCAUUGCAAGCUGUUUCUUUCAAGUCCAGGGGCUUAACAUCCUACCAGGUACUCACAAUUUUGGAAGAAAAUGAGAUUUAUGUUGUAUGUAACAGAGGACAUGAUCUGGUUUUAGUUUCAUACUAUUUUCCAAACUUCGUGGUGAUCUUUUUAUUUGAUAUAAUUAUUUACUUUCUAGUUUGAAUUCUGUUCUGAUCUAUUUAUUUCAGUAUUUAAAUCAUGUGUAUCAUGUUGUAGUAGUUCAUAACUCAGCAGGUAUUCAUGGUAGUUAUGUGAUACAACAUUUAAAACAAGUGGCUCACUUUUUCAUAUAUAUUAGUUUCCAAAGUUGAUACUAUUGUAAUUACGUAUUCUUUCUUGCAAUAGUUUCAGAGCCAUCGCCAUCAUCCACCCCAAUGGCAUCUCCAAGUCCAUUGGUAGCUGCUAGUCCAAACCAACAUUUGUUGGGCUUACCCUUUAGUGAAAAACAUCAUGCCUACCAUCUGACCCUGGUUCCAGUUAUCGGCAUUGCAGUAACAGUUGUUGCUGUAAUGAUGCUUUUGGUCUUGAUAGUUCUUAUUCGUAAGAAAAACAGAGAGCUAAUGGAUUUUGAAGAUAUAGAUAAGACAUCUAAAUCAUUUCCCCCACCUCGUCCUUUAAGGAAAUUUCAGGAAGGUACAGUUAUGUCUUUUUCCUGGUAGCUUGCCUUGUUGAUGUCUGGUAAAUGUAACUAAAUCAUUUCAUUGGGGGUGUCUUGGAUGCAACUCAUGUGCAGGUCCUCCAUCUAUGUUUCAAAAAUUCAGCUACAAGGAGAUAAAGAAGGCGACAGACAAUUUCAGUACUAACAUUGGACAAGGGGGAUUUGGAACUGUGUACAAAGCUCACUUUAGUGAUGGUUUAGUGGCAGCAGUGAAGCGGAUGAACAAAGUUUCUGAGCAGGGGGAGCAUGAGUUCUGCAGAGAGAUAGUGCUUCUUGCCAGAUUGCAUCAUCGUCAUCUUGUUUCUCUUAGGGGUUUCUGCAUUGAGAAACAUGAGAGGUACACAUUAUGUUUCUGAUCAGAAAAUGAAUUUGUGUAAGUUGUGGAUAUCAUGUACGUGGCCUAAUGCUUUUUCUGGAUGCUGUUCUUACUUCCAUGGCAGGUUUCUGAUGUAUGAGUACAUGGCAAAUGGUAGCUUGAAGGAUCAUCUUCAUUGUAUGUUUCUUUAUCUCUUCAAUCACUUGUGCUGAGAAUGGUGCAACUGUGAAACAGUUUUAUAGAAGACGAUGGUUUCAUGAUAUUUUUUACUGUAUUUGAAAUCAACCCUUAUAGUUGCAUUUGGUCUCCAACAUUGCUAAAAAUUUAUGACUGUUUAACAGCGUUUAGUUCCUAAAAUCUUGGUGACAUCACACUAGAUAUGGAGAUUCAUUUCUUUUCUUGAAUGAUAAAUACAUGCAUUCAAAUGCUAGGAAAGAUAGUAAUAUUAUCACUCUGUGAUUCAAUUUUGAAAGUAACAUUUCUUAAAGUCCCAUGUUUUCUGAUUAAGUUUACUCAUACAGCUCCCAAUAAAACUCCUCUAAGUUGGCGGACUAGAGUUCAAGUUGCCAUUGAUGUGGCUAAUGCUCUGGUAAUUUGCAGAAAUAUCUCAAUUUUCGACUGACUGCUCCAAUUAGAUUUGUCAUUUACUUCUUGCUAAAGCCUUAUAGAUAGCGCAUGAUAGUAAUUUUAGUUUCUAAUUGCCGUUUUGACAUACAGGAGUAUCUCCACUUCUAUUGUGAUCCUCCUCUCUGCCAUAGAGAUAUCAAGUCCAGCAAUAUCUUACUGGAUGAAAAUUUUGUGGCCAAGGUAAAUAGUGGCUGUAUGCACAAUUACCACUGCAAUUCAAGAUGGACGGACACAUUGAUAAGCGUGUUCUUUCUGGAAUGAUUGAAUGGCAAGAACCCCUUUAAAUGAUUUGAACUAAAUUUAUUAAUUCUUUCAGGUUGCAGAUUUUGGCCUUGUCCAUGCAUCAAAAGAUGGUUCAAUUUGCUUUGAACCGGUGAAUACUGAUAUCCGGGGAACUCCAGGUUAGAGAAAAUUCUAUUUAUUAGACUGAAACAUUAACUUAAUAUUUGGUGCUUAAGAUCUUCAGGUUAUAUGUUGGAUAUCUUCAGGUUAUAUGGAUCCGGAGUAUGUCGUUACUCAGGAGUUAACAGAGAAAAGUGAUGUAUACAGCUAUGGUGUCCUAGUGUUGGAGAUAGUGACUGGGAGACGAGCAAUACAAGACAACAGGAAUUUGGUUGAAUGGUCUCAAAAAUACAUGGAAUCGGAAUCAAGACUACCAGAUUUACUCGAUCCCCGUAUAAAGGACUCAUAUAACUUGGAUCAGCUUCAAACACUCAUGUCUGUUGUCAGUUGGUGCACCCAGAGGGAAGGCCAGGACAGGCCUUCAAUCAAACAGGUGCUUAGGCUUUUGUACGAGAGUUCGGACCCAAUGCAUAGUGGAUUUAUUGCAUCUGUAAACGAUGAAGACUAUGAAGAGACAGAAGGAAGAGGAAGGAACAGUAAAGGGAAGAUGCAUAGGAAUGACAUGAUCUGUCACAGUGGGGAUGGGAGAUAUCUGGCUUCUUCUUCAAGUACAUCCAGGUCAUAUUGUAGCAGAAGCUUUUUGCUUGAAACUGGGUCUCCACAGUCCCCUCCUAAUAUUUUGUCUGUUUGAUGCAUGCCUUCAUUUGCUGUAGUCACCGAAAAGGGGGUAGCACAAGUGCAUGCAUAUUUGAAAUCACUAUAUUAGAUUGCCUUUUUCUACAUUUGCUUCACCCUAACCUUUUCAGAAGCACAUCAAACAACUUCCAGAGGAUAGUAUAAGAACCCGUUCUCUUUUUGGUGUUUUUGGGGAAGUUAAUUCAUGUUUGCUUUUAUUGGUUCUGGAGUUGCACAAUUUUGUAACCAGCAUCAUUUAGAAGGAAACCAAUUUACAGAAGUUGUCUUAGAUGUAUAUGCUUCCAUAAUCCAUAUAAUUCGAGGGUUUUUUUUUUAAUUUUUUAUUUUUAUUUUUUAUUUUUUAUGCUACAGGCAUUGAUCUCACAAUCCAAACGUUAAUACUACGUACAUGUCAACGUCCUAGCUAAGCUGGACUGCACAAACUAAGCAAUGCAGACCCCUUAAUUAGAGUGCAUGCAGAGUUUUAAAUAUAUAUUUUUAAUCUCUUAAUAGUUAAUACACACAUUUUACUUAAUACAUUACUUAUUUAGUUUUUUAUAUUAAUAUUAUAUUAAAUACACAUCUUAACCUGCCUAAAUUACCAUUAAUAUCUAAAACUAAUAAUAAUCUGUUAUUUAAUAUAAUUAUUAUAUGUUUACUAUUUCACACCACUCUUUACGUAUUCUUUUUAUUUUCUGUUAAAUUUUUUUGAUCGGGUUAGAAAUUUUUUCUUGAUAUUUUUCAAUUUAUAAUCAAAAGAGUAAUAUUAUAUUCGAACUCUAAAUCUCCAAUAUGACAUCAAUCGGUUAGAAUUUGAAGAAAAAAAAUAUUGAACAUACAUAAUUUUUUUUAAGUUAAGAAACUAGUAAAAGUAAUAAAUAGCAUAAAAACUAGUUUUUAGUCUGCAAGAUAAAAACUAAAGUUAAUAAAAAAAAAAACCAAAUGAAUCGGUAAAUAGUACAUGUGAUUAUAACAGUAGUUGAAAUUCACAUAAUGAAUUUUAGAGAAAAGUUUUUAUUUCUUUUCUUUUAAUGUGUAGUAAUAGUGGAGAAGAGUUAGAUUUUAGAGAAGAAGAAGUUUUUGUUUUUUUCUUUUUUUUCCCUAAUAAUUUAUGGAUGUUUUUGUAAUUAAACAUAACUAUAAAAUCUGAUGUGAAAUAUAAAAUAAUAAGGGUAUGUAUUAAGAGAUUAGAGGUGUGUAUUUAAAAUUUCUCAUUUUGAGAACAAACGUUUGCAAAAACAACAAUCCAUUAUUUCAUUUCAUUAUAGGGAAAUAGAAGUAAAAGGAUAUGUUAGACCCAACUGAGAUCGAAACACCCAUGUGAUUAGCAUGGUUUUAUUACCUUUCAAGUUCCAACUACCACAAGACCAAAUACAUGAUUAAACCCUCUCACACCAGCUAGCUGCAUUGCCUGCAUAUAUAUGAACACACCGAUCUCUCUUUUCCUCUCACAGCUUUUAGCUCUCUGCAGAAAACUAUUCUCACUGCACCUACCAGCUGAUACUCUCAGGCCUCUUUUCUUCACAUUUUGAAUCAGUGUGUGUACCCAAUUUUGGUAAAUCGGCCCUUAAAAUAUUGGCCGAUUGAUAAGGAAAAUUUGAUGCUUUAUUAGCAAUAUCUCAAUAUAAUUUUAUUAUGAAAUUCUAUUAGAUAUUAACAUUCGGGGAAGAAAUUAAAAGAGAAGGCAAUAACGACGAUUUCUCAAAAUUGACGAUAUAUAUAAAAGGGAAGAAAAUAACGGCGAUUUAUCAUAAUUACCGAAUAUAUAAUCGAGGAAGGAAAUAAUCGAGAUGUAAUUGUGUUUGAAGGCAUUGAUGACAAUAUUUCAUGAUCAAGAGACAAUCCAUUCUAACAGUGCCUCAAAAAGAAAGUAUAUAUGGUGCAAUUAAGGAAUGAGCAAUAUGGAGCAUAAUCUUGAUUCCGGUCAUUAAGACCGAAAUUCAAAUAUAUAAGUGUAUUCUCUUUCCUUUACUGUGUCAUUUGUGUGUUUGUAAUUGUAUAUAUUCGACCCUCAACCUUAUUGUAAAAGGUUCUUGACCAACACAACUCAACACAAUACAAAUUCAUACAAACACCAAAUUCUCUACAAUAUCAAUCUUUUCAUUCUUGCUCUAGCGUAGUUAUAUUUUUAUUGCUUUCAUUACCUUCUGCACUUUAUCGCUUUCUUUACUUUCUGCAAUUUAUUUUUAUGCAACUUAUUCUUUUGCGUCUUUAAAUUUCAUGCAAUUUAAUUUCUCUCGUUUACUUUAGUUUCUGUUCUUUAAGUUUUAUGCAAUUUAGAUUUGGUUCUUUUAAUUACAUUUCGCACUUUAUUUCUCGUAAACUUAUAACAAAAAUCACAAAAAAAAAAAGCAACAUCAGUGAAAACACCGAAAGUCUUUGCAACAAAGGCAAGGGAACUCAACGGCCGAGACGUUCAUUCCUUGGCCUACAAUCACUUAAAAAAAGUCAGAUCAGGCAAAAAAUAUUUAUCAAAAACCUCGCUUGGCCACGAGGCCGCAAAUUGGCACGCCCGCGCAAUUCAGAAGGAAGAUUGUUCUCAAGACAAUUUUUGAGCAAACAAUCAGUAAGUACUUUAACACAGCCGUUAUAUAUCUUUGGUAUUUUCAUGCUAACUAAACUAAAAUUAUAUGAUGCAAUUAUGUAUCUACACUUUUAUUUAAUUUCCAUGCCAAUCUGUGAGCACAAUAAUCGUAGCGCGCUGUUUACAACUUCGAUCUUUUGCCGGAAAAUUCUCUUUUUAAGUUGCUGAGUGUAAUUUUAAGCUAGCUAGUCAUAUCAGAAGGUUAAAUUAUUAGAGUGAUUACAUAACCGAAAUCUUCAUGCCAAGUACGUUUCUGCAAAUCAAUAUAUGAAGAUCAGCAUCUCAAACAAGUACCUUAUUUCUAGUUCUAAGUAGCUAGCUAACUGAACACCAACUGAGACUAAGACUACAAUUAUGUUAGCAUAUAUAAUAUCUCUUGUAACGAGAAGAUUUUGUUCCUUAAAAACUAUGAUUCAUAGGUUCACAUGCAAGGUGUAAGACAGUAGGAGUAAUAAUAAUUAGUUGGAGGGACAAAAGUACUCUUCCAUUUCGAGUUGUAAGCCUAGGUACAUAUUAGGUUGGACAAUCCCUAACUGAAUCCUUGUUUUCACAAUAGUUUUUACUUCUCAGGCAAUAUUUGGCUUUACAUUUCCAAAUUUGUUUUGCUGUUCAAUCAACAUUCGUAAUUGAUUUGUGCUAAUUGCCCUCUUUUAUAUAUUUCAGUCCUGAAACUUUGUUAAGGAUGCUUGCGAAAGUUGUGUUCGUGUUGUUCUUGAUCAUUACCUCAGCAGCUGCCAAAGGUGGUGGUGGUGGUGGUAGAGGAAGUGGAGGUGGCUCUCGAGGAAACAGAGGUGAAGGCGGCUCUCGAGAAGGCAGAGGUGGAGGUGUCUUUAUAUUUGGAGGACACCCACACAGAGAUGGAAACAAGAGCAGCUCAUCCAAUCUCAUGAUGUCUACAUCUACUCUAACUUUAACUGUGCUUGGUUACAUGACCUUGCAUUACAUAUGCUGAUCACAGCCCCUUGAUUUCCAUGGGAGCCUAGCUUGCUAGCUAAUAGGACUCAACCAAUCAAUUAAUGCCUACUUAAACUCUUAACCAAGUUGACGUCUGCAAGAUAUUUGAGAAUAGCUUAUGGUAUUAUGCAUUUUAAUUAAGCAUUUGAGACUAUAUUUGUGAUCGAUUCUAUUUAUAUAUGCGUUGGGUGUUUUCUUAGCUGGUAUUAUUAUUUCUUGAUGAUCUUCCUUUUUGUAUUCAAGUGUUUCUUGAAUAUAUUUGAUGUUUCCUCAGUUGAGAAUUGAGAUUAGUGUGUCCUAGUACGUACAAGUCGAUUAAUUAAGAUCUACUCCAGCCAAAGCAUAUAACAUGUUAUUACAAAUAUACUCAAUGUCAUGUUGAGGAAAUGGGCGCCUGGGCGGGGUCAGUAACUAUUCUGUUCAUAGUAAAAUUAAUCAGGUCAACCUACUUUCAAAGUUAUGCAUACAGCAUACUAAAUGUAGAAAGGGAAAAGUAAUGCAGUUACUGAUUCUUUUGAAUAAGAAACAAAGUUAGCUAGAUCGAUCGAUAUCGAUAUUUCCUUAAAAUGGAAAAGGUACCGAUCGCGAGCAAUAGGUAGUAGCAAAGUACAGAACUGUGAUUAUGAUAUGCGCGCAUACAUAAAUGUUUGUAUCUUGUAGGUGUAACACAGCUCAAAGCCCGAAAAUUCUUUUAUGAACCAAGAUGCAAGUGAACUGAGUAACUAAUAUGCAGUAUUUUGAUCCGGUCAUCUACGUCUCACUACAUGCAUAUAUAGUUAUGUACUAAUACCGUUACCAAUAUUAAAAGCUAAAAAAAUAGUCUCAAGUUUUUCCAACUAAGGAGGUGAGAACAUUAGGUCGAAGAAGAUAUACUAUAAUUAUGGGCGUUUAAUUUGAUCAAAUCAAAAAUGAAAUUUGAAAUGAAGGAAUUUAGGGUCUCUAAUCUUCGUUUGAUCUUCCCAUACGGCGAUUUGAGCACUUACACAUUAAUGAUGCCUGUUCACCUUGGUGCGUAGAAUCCGCUCCCAAAACAGUUCACUGUAAUAUUCGGAUUAACCCAUUUAAAUGCGAAUCUGAUUUGCAAAAUAGCCGAACCGAAAACUAAAUGCACCAAAUUGCAAGAAAUCAAACAGAAAUAUUUAUCAUACUAAAUGUAAGAGACUGCUCUGACGAGUAACUAAAGUUAAAUCAAAAUAAUUGAACAAUAAUCAAAGCUAUUAACUGAUCGAAAUAAAUUACCGCGGUUUUACAUUUCUUUGAUCUCUGCAGAAGGUGCUAUCCAAGUCAAUGAGUCCAUCAACUCAGAAUUUCCUGCCCAUAUUGGAGACAUGAUGAUAAUCUUUAAAUGCUUCAGGUUUGGCAAUGGUGGAGAGACAGUAUUCCUAAAAUCUUCUGGAAAGAUGAGAGCCUGAGCUUGAACAUGAUCAAUAUUUAGAACUAUUUCUCCGGAGAAGGAAGCAAAGCUUUCAAGAAAAUAUCUCAGCAAAGAAGAAUGUUCCCAUGGCUCGUUGACGUUCAGCUCUUCGUGACGAAUAGUAAUUUUUACCCUAGCCAAACUUUGAGCUUCUAUGGAAUGCUUGUACUUCGAAAAACCAGUAAACUGAAUAUAAUGUAGACUGGGGCUACUGACUGUGGCCUUCACAGAAUGUCCACAUGUAGUAAUAUAAAGGUACUGCGGGUGUUGUGCAAGGAUGCUUAAAGAUUUCAAGUUUCUACACUCGGAUAAACUGAUGAGCCUAACGUAAGAUUCCGAAACAAAGGUAAAAGAUUCUAGCAGAUUAGUUUUCACUACUGCAACAUGUUGGAAAUCACAGUACGUAACUUUCAAGGAUUUGAGAUUGGAAUUGGAAACUAAGAAUGGUGCCGAACCAUCACGCAUCGAACAAGAAGAGAGUGACAAAUACUCGAUGGAAGGGCAGCUAGAUAUCAAGGAGCAACCGAGGCGCAUAGUUUUGAGCGACAUUGUUAUCAAAGACGGGAAGAUUAUAGACUUGCAUUCUUCUGCAUCUAUCGUCACAUUCUCCAAACUUAAGGUAGUUAUAGAUUUCGCCAAACUUAGGGGGUUCUUCAGGGUUAAACAGUACAAUGCUGCCUGUUUAUCACCUCCAAUGCUCAUGUCCAACUCUUUGACGCUUCUUCGAACUGCAAGACUCAAUACCUCAUCUACCAUAGUAGUCACUAUCUGAGAAGUUAGUCAUUCGAACCCUGAAUUUAUCUAAGAGUUGCUGCUUGACCUUCUCAUCUUCAUGGAAGUAGUCCAAAUACUUAUCCAAGAUGUUGACGAACUUUGUGUGCUGAAUGAUGUUGUCUGUUGUGUCAUCGUGGGGGUUGCCUUCGUCGAAGUCUAAUACAGGUUGGGAGAGCCAUGCACCUUCAAAUUUCUUAGAAAGAGAGCUCAUACGGACAGCAGAUUUGGUAGGAAGGACUUGAAUGAUUCGGUAGAUAAUCUCAUCUGGAAACUGAGGCCGGCUUAAUAUUGUUUCCACAACCGUGGCCUUUUGGUCAUCAUGAUCUUCCUUUGUCUGGUUUUGCCAUGUUAGGUUUCUGUCCGAACUGGGGUCCUUUGUGGUAGCCAUAACUGACGCAGAGACCUUUGAAGAAUGAAGACUGGUCAUUAAGGGAUGGGAAAUCAAACUUAUAGAUGCUGAAUUGCAAUUGCAUAUGCUAGCUCCAAUCUUUAUAGGACAUGAAAACCGCUUUGAGUUCAUGUUAUAAACCGUUUCCUUGUCCUAUUAAGGAUUUGAGCUAGCAUAAGCUUUUUAGCUGCCUUGAGUUUGAUGAUCAGCUAUUAUCUUCUUUGAUCAACAGAUUUAGAAUGAGAAGUAUCAUACAAGUGUUUAGGCGUGUUAUGUGGAAUCAUAGAUACAGCAUUUGUUGGAGCGCAGCAGACUAUAUGCAAGUUAAUUUCGAUCUGUUUACUACUAUCAUCAGUAAAUCACACAGAAAAGUAACAUAUAAGUAAAUUUACACUUAGAUCUCCCAUUAGCAGUUGAUCAAUUACAAAUAACUGGGUAUGAGUUGUGCAUAGACCAAUAAUAAGCAUCAAAUCUAUGCAGAACGCAUUGAACAUAAAAAAACGUAUCCCAGCUCUACUGUCAUCUUUUUUUUUUUCUCUCUCUUUCUUCAUGACUUCUAAUAAAAAGUGAAAAAGACCAGGGAGAAAAACCAGGCUGCAUAAGCAUACAGCAAUCCUCCAGCGCACACAUAAGUUGAAAACAUCACACCAUUGCUAAAACAACAGCACCUCAAUAAUUUCAGCCACCACUUGCAGCCAGGAACUUUUGCUUGCUAACAGGUUCUUCAAGCAACACCACCACAUCAGUCAGCCUCUCAAACAGCUCCUCUAGUUGAUCAACACCAAACUUUUGACAGUCCAAUGGUUUUUUGUACCUUUGCUGGUAGAUCGCCUCAAAACAACCCAAAAAAAUCCCACAAGAGUAGCUAACAAGAAUCUCCUGCAACUCAUAUUUGAAGUGCUCAAGGUCAUGGUCAUCAAUUUCACAUUUACCUGUUGUUCUCAAAUUGGUCUGUCCUUGACUCCUGUCAUCAUGUUCUUCUAAAACUACUCUUUCCUCCUCUGAGAACUCUUCUGAUGAGCCAUUACCUGUAAUAAUAGCCAUACUCUCUUCCUGAGUCCCCUUCCCUUUCCUACUAUUAUCCUUCCCAGUUGAAAUCAAAGGGCUUGGUUUCCAGUUUCGGAGGUAGACAAAUUUCUUUUGCCCUUUACCAUCUACAACUAUUGUGUCACCCAACUUCUUAAACAGAUUAACAAGCUUAAAUGCACCAUACUCCGAUACAUAAAGAGGUCUUCCAAAAACUUUCAGAUACUCGGAAGGAACUCGAGUAAGAGGCAUGCAACCUCCAGAAAGUUCAAGCAACUUCUCAAGCUGUCCCCUAAGACCAUUAAGGUCCCCUGGUUGAACCCACCAAGCAGAUCCAUUUUGAUCGGCAGAACUACUAGGUCCAGCAGGAACUUCAUUAAGACCUGAUGGGAGACUGUGUGAUCUCGACGCGCCGCCAGGCAUCAAUAAGGAACUACUGUUAUAUUCAGACAUAGAUUGUGACACUAUUGAAAAAUCUCUUGAAUUGUAAUAGCUUUGUGAGAUCCCCCUGUAUAAAAUAGCUUCAUCCUCAGUUUGGCUAUCCAUAUGAUCAUUAAUAUGGCAACCCAUGAAAUAGCCAGUAAUAUCAGCUUGUCCCCCACGAGGAUGCAUUAGAAACUUAGUUGUAGGCACAAAGCCUUCCCCACGAGCUACGCUAGACCAGUCCCACACAAACUUACCAGCAUUGCUGAGAGCAGAUGAAACGCCCACUCCAGAAGGUAUUACUAGAAUCACUGUGUACCCACGUUGCCCAAGUAUAUGGAGUGCUGGAGCAAAAUCAACAUCCCCAGAGAUCAGCAUGAUGGAAGAUGGUGGAGGAUUGUCAAGAGCAAACAGGAACAUAUCAACCAAGAUGGCCUUGUCAGCAGCAUCCUUUCUUCCAUUUGGUACAUCAACGAGUUUAACACCAGUUCUCUGACAUCCCUCGCGGAGCCGCCUGGGGAAGGCAUUGAAGUCCCCAUAUGCAGCAAACGUAACAACAGCUCCUUUAAUUACAGGAUGUACUUGCAAAGCCAUUCUGAUGUUACCAGCUACAUCUUCAGGACGAACAUCACUUGGCACAGGGCAGUUUUCAAUAUCCCAGAGGAUAGCAACAGGACCUUCAGCGGAGCUUCGGAUUGGCUGGUUCAUUGGAGCUUGAAGUGCGUUCAUGUUUGCAUCUAGCAUGUAAGAACCUCUUUGAUCGGAGGGGUCUGAAGGCACAAUUGAUGUUGAUGUAUUUUGGCAAGCCAUCAAAGCUCAAAACUCAAGUCUACCUGCUUAUGCAAAUAAAAGAAAAAAAUAAGGUAAACAAAUUAUAAACAACAAGCUAAAAAGCAAAAGUUGAAUCCAGCCAUAUAUAUAAACAUAAAUUUUAAGUAGAGGUAUACAAAGGUAAACCAGGCACACAACAAAAUUGUAUCUUAUCUUAUAAUCUUACGAAAAAGAAAAAGGAAGCAGUUCUUCACUCUAGAAUCCCGUUCCUCUUACUCACCAAUCAUGCUCAUUCUCAAUCAAACAUCUCUCCCAAAAUAUCUCUCCUCUUUCACUUAUGGUCACUUUUUUUCAGCUCCCUGUAUCUCAAUCCUGAAUCUCUCUCUCUAUUAUUGGCCUCAGGGCCCAAGCAUGUCCCUUGCUGUGAAUUUUUUUUGGUCCUCUUACCCUUCCUAUUCCUUUCUUGAGUUUAUUAAAUUUCUCCUUAGUAAUGUUGAAAUUCAUUGUGAAUCAGAGGAAACAUUACAACUAAGUGAACAAGGCAUCCACUUAGAAGAACAACUAACUAAAGCAAUAGAAACACAAAGCUGAGGACCAAAUAAAUAAAUGCUGAAAUCCAAUCUAAGUGAAUUUCAAAUGAACCAUUCCCGGAAACCAAUGCGAACUCCAUCCUACAAUCUGCCAAAGUCUUCCCACUCACAUUCUUAAUCAUUAUUUCAUUCCUCUUUCAUCUAGAUGACCCUCAGACAGUCAUUAGAGCGCAGAACCUUUCACGCUGGAAUCAUGCAAUUUGGAAUGACCCAGCUCCCAUUGCAUUACCUAAACACCCUUUUUUGUAUAGCUAAAGAGAUCAGACAGAUAUUCCCCUAAGGUAGCUGCUUUUCGCUCAAAUUCAAUGUUGUUUCGAUGCAUCAAGCUUGCAAUAAGUGAUGUGAAAUAUUGAUCAUAGCUCAGCGCAGCAACCCAACACAAUAACAGUCAAUAUAUACUCUCAAAAACCAUGCAAUAGGACAUUCUAUUCUGAAAAAUUAUUGCUUUGGGAUCAAAUUGAUUGUAAUCAAUAACUUCGAACAAUCAUCCAAUCCAGCACAGAAAAGCAGCACUGUGACAACUACCAAAACCUAACACGACCCUAAAAUCAACCCCAAUUUGAUAAUCCGAUCAAAUCACAAAUUCAACGAAAGAAUAAAACUUUAGAGCAAUAAGAAGAGACGGAGAAAAGGGUGUACCUCAUAAUUGUCUCCAAAGUUGGAUACUUUCCGUAAAAGCCAAGCAACUCCGACGAAGGAAUUAGGAUAAUUAACGAAGAGGAAUCGAAAUCUGGAAUUGAAUGAAAACCCAGAAGAGAAGCGAAGGCUUUUGUUGAAUGGGAUUUGGGGAUUUAUGAGAGAUUUUAAGUUUUGGGAGAGGAAAAGCGGCGAGAGAGGAUUAUUACAGAUUGAGUUUGAUUUGGAGUAGGAGACUUGACUGAAACUUGGGCCACCUAAUUUUUGAUUUUGAGAGCAGAAAUGUGGAUUUGGGCUUUUUAAAUAUGAAGCCCAUAACGGGUGUGCGUUGGCGUAGGCGGCCCGAUUGAUCCCAAUCUGGGUCGGGUCUUCUUGCCUCGUUUUGUUGCCAAUCGUGGAGGGUGGUGCGUGGGCCGUGGAGGGUGGUGCCUCCUUUGUGUUAGACGAGGACGACUAUGCGCUUCGGAUUGUGGUUGGAGCUGGCAUGGCGGCGAGUCUGCGACUAGGAUAGUAGCUCUUUAGGUGGGCUGCCUCUUGAAGUCCAAUAGAUGUGGGUUGGGCCUAGGUCUAGCUUUCCUUUUAUUUUUGUUUUUCUUGUUAUUUUGUUUGGUUCUGUUGGUUUUAGUUGUCCUUCUUUUUUGAGCGAGGGUUUAGGGUUUUGAUAGGAUGGUGUUGUUGGUCGAGUCGUUGGGUGUGUCAUGGUUAUGGUGACGUUUUUAGAGACUAUUGAUUUUAUGUCGGGUAUUUCUUGUUGUGAAUGUAAUAGAGAGGUUGCCUUUAUAUAUAUGCUGGCACUUUUGGUGUAUAUUGUUGGAAUAGCCUGUUUGUUUUUAAGAUUGAUUGUUAGGAUGUAUCAAGGCUUCUAGAAUAGGUUAGGUUAUUACAGCUGAAUCCUAGCGAUUCUUGUCUACUGUAGUCACUGGUGUUUUAGGUAGGAAAGAGAGUGGGGAAUUUAUGUCCCCUACCGACAACUCCUUGUCUAUACUUUUGGAAUAUAUUAUAUAAGGUGCUACCUUUAUCAAGAAAAAGAAAAGGAUAUGAAGCUGAUAUUUUUGAUGAAUAUAAGGCAUCCUUCUGUAUCUUAUGCAUUUCAAAAGGCAUUUUACACGGAAAAGAAAUGUGUUGGAACGGAAAAGAUCAUGUUACAAAAAUAAAAAUAAAAGAGAGAGCUCUGCAGAAAAACCCUAGAAGAACUCCCCACAAUGUAUCAUGUCAUGUCUGGCUGCAACGCAUCUUUAUUAAGAUAUGUAAUUUUGUUCUAUUGUAGGAUGGUGUUGUUGGUCGAGUCGUUGGGUGUGUCAUGGUUAUGGUGACGUUUCUAGAGACUAUUGAUUUUAUGUCGGGUAUUUCUUGUUGUGAAUGUAAUAAGAAGGUUACAUUUACGUAUAUGCUGACACUUUUGGUGUAUAUUGUUGGAAUGUACAUGCCAUGUCCGGCUGCAACGCAUCUUUACAAAGAUAUGUAAUCUUGUUACAUGUCUAUUGAUCUUUCCAUUUUAUCUAUGAUGUGACAAAACAAAUAGAGUGUCUUUAGAAUAAUACUCUUUGCUAGUUUGUGCUUGUAUGAAUACAUAUACUCCCUCUUCUUCUCUUUUCCUUCACAAUGCAACAUAAUGUCAGGGCAUGAGCGAUACCCAAAAUGGGACUUCUAGAUGUUCGGGCUCCAUGGAAAUCUGCGCAACAUAAUGCAGCCACACCUUCGCAAAAAGAAAUUGUUCUGUUUCUUAUAAAUAGACUGGGGGAGUUGGGGAAUAUGCGUCACGAGACUUGUCGCAAGUACAUCGAUCAACAUUAACACAUUUAGAGCAUUUGCUAAAGCAUAUUUCAAGUAACAUGUAACUUUGUAACUCUAAUUGAACAAACAAUGCUCUUGAGUUGUCAUGAGCAACUUCUUUCUGAUGCUAGCAUGGUGUAAACAGGAGAUACAACUGACAAGAUGGAAUAAAAUCUGUGAUGGGAUAUUUGGAAUUGCUCCAGCAUCCAGGAGCCCAAUGCAGUGAAAAAGAAAUACAAAAUUCUGCAAAAUUGGAUGAGAAAAAGAAACAAAUAACCAUGUUUCAUUCCAAUGAAUCAUUAACUUUGCAUCACAAUCACAAAUUAAACUGGGGAUGAACAAUCAGCAGUAGUGCAAGACAUUUCCGCCUAUGCCUCAACCGAGAAUAUGACAAUGCCAAAGAAGAGGAGCAGAAACUGGUAAUGCCGUAACUAAGACCUAUGCAGGUAAUGAAGUAGGCAUAUGUCUACGAUUUAUAUGUACAACCUGUAUAAACCCUUUUAAGAUUCAGGGGAUAGGAAAUCUUACAAGUAUCAUAUCGGGGUAAAAUCAACUAAUACUGUUGUUAACUCCUUUUGGCACAAAUCAGAAAAUGGUUAUGACUUCAGAACCCUCUCAAUGGCAGCAACAUAGAACUCCUUUGGCAUGGUGCCAACCACAGUGUCACAUUUCUUCCCAUUCUUAAACAACAAAACGACCGGUACAGCCUUAAUAUCAUAGUCCUCGGCAAUCUGCAAAUCAACAUCCGCGUUGAGCACAAAGCAGUUGAGCUUGCCGGCAUACUCAACCGCAAUUUCAUCAAUCACGCGGUGGACCAUCCUACACGGCCCGCACCAGCUUGCAUAAAACUCGACUAGCACAGGAGUCUCACUGUUAAUAACUGAUUUCUCCCACGAGUCCCCGGUAACCGCCGGAGCUGCAUAGGCACAACAGAAUACGGUUAACAGGGCCACUUGCCGGUCAACAUUUCGAAGAGUCAUUAUAUCGUAGACCUUGAAAUUCAUGAGAUCAUUAAGAUUUCUGAUAUAAGCAAGCAACUAAUCUCUUCAACAUAAACAAAAACCUCGCGGAUCAAUCUGAUAAUAAUAAUAUUAGAUUUAGAGUAGUGUAUCUUUAAAUCUAUAUCUAUGCUUAUAAUCUUAAUAUAAUCAAUCUGAUAAUCAUAGCUUGUGAUGAAUCAAUUGAGCAAACCAAUGCGAAAUCAAAAGAGAAGCGAGAAGCGAUUUGAAGGAGAUUAGAUCUAUGAGAGUGUACCUUUGGAUUCGCGGACGGAGAAGAUCUUGAGGGAGCGAGGCGGGGGAUUUGGGAGCUUGACGGAGGAGAGUUUGGGGUGGAAUCGGAGCGGGAAAGAGAGGGAGGGAGUGGGCGUGGGGUUCAGGCGAGAGUGGGAGGAGGAGAGGAAGACGGCGCGUGAGGAGCGUAGAGGAAAUGUGGAGGAGGAGGCAGCCAUGGAUGGAAGGGAAGCUGAGCUCAGAGAGAGCAUGUGAAAAAUGAUGAGAGUUUUGGGGAUGAUUGAAUGAUGAAAGUGAUGGGUGGAGAAGAGGACGAGUGUGAUUGGUUUUGGAUUUUGUUGGAAAAAGAAGAGAAACGGUGGCAAAAAGAGGAAUGCACGCCCGGUGGGAUUCGAACCCACAAUCCUUUGAUUAGAAGUCAAAUGCCUUAUCCAUUAGGCCACGGGCGCUCGUGUUAUUAUACUUCUUCAUAUAUAUAUAAAUAAGAUUUCAACACAGUUGCAUAUCUCCAUAAAUAUACUUGUUACAAUUGUUUUUCUCAAAUACAAGAGGAAAUGAUGGAAUUUGCAAUUAAUCUGAUAGAAGAAGGGUAUCUUUAUUUACUAUUGUACAUUUGUAUGAACAACCCUUAUCAGCUAUCUGGUGUAUGUACUAUGUAUGUAGUACAAAAUAGGACAAGCUACUAGUAAACGAAACCUUCAUCCAUGAACAAUAUGAAUGGAACACAUAGAAACAUAAGCCAAACAAAUGGGCGAAGCAGAAGUUUAAACAAAGAGUAUAUAGACUUUUUUCUAGACCUCACUCCAGAAGAACUGGAUUUCUCGUAACGUGCAAGUCUUGCCCGUUCUAUAAUUUCCAGAUUAGAGGUGUCUGUCUUACGUCUUUUGGUCUUCUCUAUCAUUGCUAUUUCGCUGUGAUUGGAAUCCAAUUGUCUUUUUUUUUUUUUGUACAUUUUUAACAUCAAUGUUCUCUACUUAAACCCUCCGGAAAAUGAAGAGUUCAUAGCAGUCAAAGCAAAAUGAUGAUCGGACUGUGACGCUCAUAGCUCCCAUGGUAAAGGACUUGCCGAUGCAACUGAACCCAAACCUGUAAUUGAACCUCAUCAGCUCAUCCUGUGUUAGAUUCACCAAACCAAAACGCAAAGAGGGUUGGUUUCUUACUUUCUUUGACAUAUUGACAUGAUUGUGACAUACAACAUUUCUAGAGAACGUGUUUGAUUAUUUGAAUGAACAAGUCACGGUCUCUUUUAUAGAUCAUGUAUCUGUUAUUACAUUACAUUCGGAAUACACCGUACUUGGUUUCUUCUGGGGCACGGUUUAGACAGGCAGAGACGGAGAGACCUAUGACUUUUCUGGUGUCAGCUGGAUCAAUAAUCCCAUCAUCCCAAAGCCUUGCUGUGGAGUAAUAGGAGUUUCCCUCUCUCUCAAAUGCCUCUACUACAUUUGCCUUAAACUUUUCCUCUUCUUCCUUGUCCCACUGCACAACACAUUCACACGAUACCAAUAAAUAAGAAUGCACUGAUCCAAUUUGAAACCAAGUAAUCUUUCGUCAAAGGAAGAUAGAAUCGAAAUUCUACCUCAAUUCCUUGCUUUUUCUUCUUGGUCCUUUCUAUUUGGGAAAGGACACCGGCAGCCUGAAAAUGUAAUAAAGAUAUCUCAAUACAUCUAAUGCAGCUGUUAGUGUUGUAGUGGAUUCAUACAGGAAAAUUAAUUAGAGAUAUGUUGUAUGAAGGGUUCACCUGAGCACCACCCAUAAUAGAUAUUUUGGCAUUCGGCCAAAGGAAUGUGAAAUCAGGAUUAUAAGCACGACCACACAUUGCAUAAUUGCCAGCGCCAAAGCUUCCACCAACAAUAAUAGUAAUUUUGGGAACCUAUAAACAUGGAUCUUUGAUGUUAAAAAAGUAGAUCAUGGUUCUACUUCUCUCUUUCCUUUUUAUUUGACUAAUUCAUUCAUUCAAGAAUCAAUGACCUUUCGAACACUUCUACUGAAAAUAUUGAUUAACUUUAAAGAGAUUAUACCAAAUGGGAGAAAAAGUUAGCAGAAACUGAGAUAUAUACUGUUAAAACAAGAAGGCAUUUCAAACAAAAAGUUGCUGACCAUAGUAGCACAGCAUUUAUAUUUAAAUGCAUACUGGAAACAACAUUUAAGAUGCUGUAAAAGUGAAUAGAAUCAUAAUAGCAAAUGGGAAGUUGGAAACUGAGACAAGCCUCUGUGUCUAGUAAGAUGUUAAACACUAUGCGUGGAUCAGUGGAGUCAGUUUAUAAAAAGUUCGAGAGUCUUAAGCCAUGUAGCAGUAACAUCCUGCUUGAGACACACUCAGGGGUUCAUAUCUUCACAAGCAUGCAAGAGUUGUAACCAUGAAACAAGGAAAAACAAACCUUGGCACAAGAAACUGCCAUCACCAUUUUUGCUCCAGAUUUUGCAAUUCCAUUUGCCUCAGAUCUUGAGCCAACCUACAAAAUGAAGGACAUUCAGUUCCAUACUUCAACCAUCCUUGUCUCAAGGUUCUCUCUUCACUAUAUCUUCACUUAAUCAGCCUUAGCCAAUCAGAUACAUUUGUAGAAAAGGAAAACCAACGGAAAAACUACCAAUCUACAGAUUGCACACUCAAACAUGCUCACAUACUUCUUUUACAUGACAUGCUCAGAUACUUUGUUUCCAUAAAUAUAAUGUGCAACACAAAUAAGAUAUAUAUGAUUGACAUAGCAUAACUCUGGUUGCACACAGGUUGGAAGGGUGCCCUCUUCAGAAUAGUUAACAGACAGAGUGAUGUUGCUAUCUUCUUCACAAAAGAAUUACAUGAGGACAACAAGUUUACAUACCAUAAAUCCGGUGAUGUUCUGAAGGAAGACCAAAGGAAUAUUUCGUUGAGUACAUAAUUCAAUGAAGUGGGCCCCUUUUAGAGCAGAUUCGUUAAACAAUAUCCCAUUGUUUCCAAUAAUUCCAACAGGCUGUCCGUAGAUUCUAGCAAAACCUGUCACAAGAGUCUGCACAAAAGCUAUUAAAUUAAAUACUUGAAUGUUCCUGUAAUGAAUGAAAGAAUAUAAAUUUGAAUGGGUGCAAAUGCCCUCACAGUGCCAUACAAUUUCUUGAAUUCAUCAAAUUCGCUUCCGUCGACUAUGCGAGCAAUAAUUGAACGAAUGUCAAACUGUUGCUUAUGGUCUGUUGGUGCAAUAGAACGAAGCUCUUUUACAUCAAAUAAUGGUUCCUUGUAUUUGGAAUUUAUGCUCUGCAAUGCACCAUGCAAACCCUGAUUCCCAGCCGUGUGCAAGUUCUUAAUUAUAUUUCUUCCAAGAGCAAGUCCAUGGAGUUCAUCUGCAAGGACAGUUCAGAGUAAAUAUAAGAGCACUAAUGGAUAAUCUCUCUUUCUCCACAUUCAUGCCCAGAAUAGCAAUUUUAAUCGAUCUAAAAAAAUAUUGCAAAAGCAAACAUGUCAUGUAAAAGAAACUCUCAAGUGAUACAUUAUUCAAAGAAAUCUCUUCCUAGUUUGUCACUCGAUAGUCCUCGACCGAGUCAUUUCUAAUUAACACCAACUCUAGAUUAUGUCUAGUAUCCUUGAUGAAUGCAACUUCGAAAGUCAUAAUUGUAUCAGACAAACUACCUUCAUCAUGAGAUAAAACCUACUGUAUGACAAUAGUAGCCAAACUGAUGGAUUGAAUAUCCCAGAUAUCAAUGCCAGAGUUAUAUACUUGCAUAUAUGUCACAUGUUAAAGUUUAUAAUUAUUUUUUUUUUUUUGCCACCUGCGGUAUCCCAACGGCUUCCUAGGCCCAAAGACUAGUCUACUGGAGACCCAAACAGCCAACAGGAAAUUUCAUACUAUAAACUGAUGGCAAACCAAUCCAUAAACUGAUGGAAAACCAAUCCAUAAACUGAUGUAACUUACUUCAAGAAAUGCAACAAGGUUCAAAGUGUGGAAGAGAACAAAGUAAAAUACCUUGAGCAAAAUAAUCUGACACUCCUGAUGUCUUGCAAUGCACGCUAGCACCCCCCAAAUCCUCGGCCGAUACUUCUUCUCCAGUGGCAGCCUAUUCAAGCAUUUGACUAAUCUAGGUUAUAUAUAUACAAGUAUACAAAAGCCCACAAUUCACUCCCACAUAUUAUACAACAUUCAGUUGAAAAAUGCAAGAAACCAAUAAAGAUCAAGCCAAAUGUAUGAAACAUUGAAGCAAUUAAAACACCAGAAAGCUGGAAAAUAACCUUCACAAGUGGGGGUCCUGCUAGAAAUAUGGUACCAUUUCCUUUGACCAUAACACUUUCAUCAGCCAUUGCAGGAAUAUAGGCACCGCCGGCAGUACAGGAGCCCAAUACCAGCGCAAUUUGAGGAAUGCCUUCGGCUGACAUUAAAGCUUGAUGGUAGAAUAUCCUCCCGAAAUUCUCCUUGUCGGGGAACACCUCCGCCUGUUUGGGAAGAAAAGCCCCUCCGCUAUCAACAAGAUACACACACGGUAACUUGCACUUGGCGGCAAUUUCUUGUGCCCUGAGGUGUUUCUUAACAGUGAUGGGAUAAUAAGUCCCACCCUUAACAGUAGGAUCAUUAGCCACAAACAUACACAGCCUCCCAUGGACAGGUCCAAUCCCAGUAAUAAUCCCAGCAGAGGGUAAUGUCUCUUCAUACAGCUCAUGCCCCGCAAGCUAACCAAUUAAAACACCCAAACAAUCAGAUGUUCGAAAAACAAUCCGGUCCAAUUAAUCAUAACCGAAAAAACAAUGUAGAAUGGAAUCAAAAGUUCAAAACCUGAGAAAGCUCAAGGAACGAAGCACCAGGAUCUAGAAGGCGAUCAAUGCGUUCUCGAGGAAGGAGCUUGUUCCUGCUCUUGUUCCUCUUCACAGCCACAUGUCCUCCUCCGGCCAGAACCUUCAUCGCAAAUAAACACAAAGUCACUCACACUACACUUGUGACUUGCCCAAUCUAUAAACAACAAAUUCAUAGCAAGCGAGGUAAACCUUUUGGAUGUGGGAUUGGAGGUCGGAGGUUAAGAGGUCCAUGGCCUUUGAAUUCCGGGAAAAGGCCUCGGAAUUCCGAUCAACUCCGUCGGGGAGGACUCCGAGGCUGUAAUCCCUACUUAUGUGGACUGCGCUCACUGACCUCCAUGAAGCUAAAGCUCCUCUCUUCGCCAAAAUCCGAAGCAUCUCUCUCUCUCCCUCCUCUCUCUCUCUCUAAAACAGAGAGAGACGUAACUGUAUUUACAGAGUGAUCAGCUUACUCUGUGCUUAUGUGGAGUGUCUAUCCUUGUUACCCAAAAUAAUGAUAAAAAUGGCUGAGUUGAAACGACGUCGUUGGGUUUGUUAGUUAAAAAGUUAAAACCCUGUAAAACCCAGAUAAGGUUGAUUUGUUUGAGACUUUGUUUGCAGAAAUGGAGUCUGUGUGUUCAGUUCUCUCCUUCUCUUACCCAAAGCUUACUUCAAUGGCUACUCUUCAUUCUUCUUUCCGUAUCAAGAACGUGGCCUCCUCUGGCCAGAGAGUUGCAGCUACUGUAAAAACAUCUGAAAUUCCAAAUAAAACCCUCAACCCGUUUGAAGUAAUUUUGGGUACAAGCACUGCUGCUUCUUUACCUCCCAAGAAGGUAUUUUUGCAGUACCCAUUUGUGAAUUUAAGCUUUUAAGUGAACUGGGCUUCAAUUUUUUGGGUUUUUUGUUUCAGGUUCUGGUGCCGAUUGGGUUUGGGACUGAAGAAAUGGAGGCUGUGAUUAUGGUGGAUGUUCUGCGGCGAGCGGGUGCUGAUGUCACCGUGGCCUCGGUGGAGCCACAGCUCCAAGUUGAAGCUUCUUGUGGGACUAAGUUGGUUGCUGAUACCUCCAUUUCCUCCUGUUCUGAUCAAAUUUUUGAUCUUGUGGCUUUACCAGUAAGUUGUUUUGAAGCACUUUUUGUUUAAGGUUCAUGAAAUGGUAGCAUACUAGAUAUGAAGUAAUGAACGCAAAGAAAAAAAAAAGUGUAUAAAAAUAGAUGUGACAUUGUGAUUGUAUUAAGGUCAUGAAAUAAUAGAAAUAUUGGUAUUUAGCUGUGCUAAUGCUGCUAGAUGAGAGUAAAAUUCAAAAUAUAAAGUUCUUAGAAAGAUAUAUAUGAGGAAAUGUGGUGUUUGUUUGUAGUUUUGGAAAGUUCUAGGGUUAUUGAUAUGUUUAUGACCUUAAGGGAGGAAUGCCUGGCUCGGUGAGAUUAAGGGACUGCGAAGUACUUGAGAAAAUUACAAGACAACAGGCUGAGAAAAGGAGGUUAUAUGGAGCUAUAUGUGCUGCUCCAGCAGUAACACUUCUCCCGUGGGGUCUUCUAAGGAGAAAGCAGGUGUGUUAAAUUGGAUUAACUUUUGUUAAGUUUCGAUGUGACUUUUGCGACUAAUGGUGUUCUAGUUUGUUUAUGCAAGACAACUUGCCACCCUGCAUUCUUUGACAAGCUACCAACCUUCUGGGCAGUCAAAUCAAACAUUCAAGUCUCUGGAGUGCUCACAACAAGCCGUGGCCCCGGAACUUGUUUUGUGUUUGCGCUGUGCCUAGUGGAACAGCUAUUUGGGGAAUCUGUCGCCAAGGAAAUUGGAGAGUUGCUGGUGAGUGGUGAGCCCUGCUACUGUGAUGCUUUUCUAUUUGAUGUUCAUCAUGCUACCACAUGUAGAGUAAAUUGGUUUCACAUUUGUUCAUGAAGAAGCAUAAAAAUGAGGUUUGAAAUACUUUUCAGUUUGGAGAUUGGAGUAUUCAGAUAAUGACACUGAAAAUUAGUAACAUUUAUAUCCAUAGGUUAAAAAGAAAUUCUAGAUGUCUGGACUAAUCAAGUUCCAAAGCAUUACCAUAUUCUUCAAAUUCUAUUACUUUGAUCAUUUGCUUACAAUUCUCUUCUGCCAAUUUGUUUCAUAAUGGGAACGAGUAGAGGUGGAAUCUGCAGUUUACUAACACCAUACUGAUCUUGAAAAGAUCAGGGAUGACAGGAAAAUGCUUUGUCAAGAAACCAUAUGUUUUGAGAAGCAGAAAGUUCCUUUCCCUUAUUUUUUUUCAAGUAUUAUUUACGGAUUUAAAUUACAGAGUAAAAUUUGAGUGUACAAGUAUACUUACUCACAGUUGAGAAAGAUGUUGGAAACAAGAAAUAUAUUAUUCACACUGGUAUGCUAUCUCUCCAAUUUGAAUUGAUGGUUUACUUCUGAUGCACAAAAUACGUACUUACAAGAGAGGAAAUGGUAGAUGCCAUGUACCAUACAUUUCAUGUUCAAGAAGUCAUUGGUUUACACAUUUUAUUUUCUUAGUCAUAAAACUCCAUCUGUUGUCAGAUUGUCUACAUGAAUAUCAUUCUGCAUCCAAAAUAUCAUCCCACUUUCAGAUUAUUCAUAUCCGUAUGAUCUUUACUUUUCAUUUUGGUCUAUGUAAUAGCCUUUUAACAAAUACAAUGUCUCUUUGAUUAGUUGGUGGGACCUGCUGAUGAUGAAUCUAGAAAGGAGGAGUUCAACAAAAUUGAAUGGUCUUUUGAUCACAUUCCUCGAGUAAGUUCCUUCUGUUUCCACUCAUUACUGAAUAUGAUCCCUAUAAUCUGUAGUUGUGCAGUUUGAUCUUCUAGUAACCAAUGAUUUAAUUCAUGAAAGGAAACCAAUCUUUGGUCACCUGAUAGUGUUUCUCUAUAAGUUGGAAAAACACAAGAAUCUACUAUCUCAUAAAGACAGGUUUAAAAUUUCAAGUUUCUUUCUCCUCUUAAAACAGAAAAACAAAAUAAAACAUAAAAAAUGCUCAUAUAGAUGAACAAGAAACAAUAUUAGGAUACAUAAUACGCCUCUGUACUCCUUUUCUGUUACUCUUAACCCUGUUGACCUUCUGCUUGCUCUUUCUCGAUAUCAUUUAGGUUCUCAUUCCAGUUGCAAAUGGUUCUGAAGUGAUUGAAGUAGUGACUAUUGUAGAUAUUCUGCGGCGAGCAAAGGUGGACAUAACUGUUGCUUCAGUUGAAAAAUCUGUGCAGAUUUUAGCAUCUCAAGGCACCAAAAUCAUAGCUGACAAGUUAAUUGGUGUAGCUGCCAAGUCAACUUAUGAUUUGAUCGUUCUGCCGGUGAGACAAAGCAAAUAUACACUGAUACAAUUAUUUUUCGUCUGUGCUUUAAACAACCUGUCAGAAUCUAGAGAUCAUAUCGUUGUUCAUAAAUGAAAGUCUGACUUAUGAGAUGAUAUACAGGGAGGAAAUGCUGGGGCUGAGCGGCUAAGCAGAUCUAGAAUUCUAAAGAGUCUCCUCAAAGAACAAGAACUAGCUGGAAGAAUGUAUGGAGCAGUAUGUUCCUCAUCAGCAAUUCUACUUAAACAGGGCUUACUGGAGGUAACUUGAAUUAAUUUUUCCCCAUCUUUCCUUUUCUUUUUCAGGAAAGGAGUCCGGAUGAAGUAUUUUAUUUUAUUUUUUCCUUGGCUUAUUAAUUCAUUAUGCUUCCUUUCAUAUAUAGGGUAAGAAAGCCAUAGCUCAUCCUUCCAUUGUGCGCAAACCUACAGAUGAGUUGGUGAACAACACCAAAGUAGUAAUUGAUGGUAACCUGAUCACAAGCAGUGGACUUGCCACUGUCGCAGAAUUUGCAUUGGCUAUUGUGAGCAAACUGUAUGGUCAUGCAAGGGCAAGAAGUGUUGCAGAAGGCCUUGUUUAUGAGUACCCGAGGACUUAAGCAGGUCUAGCGUGAAAAUCUGGUGGAUCAAAAUGCACUUUUUAUCAGUGCUUGGACAUGAAGAGUAUAAAUAGUCUGCCAAACUCACAUUCGCCAAUGAAAAGAGUUCAUACCAAAUGAUUGGAAAAUGGCUUUCUGAGACGGUUGAAGAGUUGGCCAUGCAUUUCUGGAGUGUGGACCCUCAACAGAGAAGUACGUACCAGUGCUGAUUAACUGAUGAUACAGCUUCUGCUAUGAGUGAAGAACUUAACAUGUCUAGUAUCGGCAGAGGAGCAGAAUUUUGAAAAAAAUAUAGAAAAGAAUUAUUCCGUUGCCGGGACUUGAACCCGGGUCUUUCGGGUGAAUCCUGACCAACUAGACUACAACGGAUUGUUGCUUAUCGAUUAAUUAACAAAACAAUUUAUUUAAAUAUUUGUUGCCAUUCAAGGCAGGCAUAGUUGCUACAUUCUCUGUGAUACUCGGGGCGCCCUAUGAUGGUGGCUACUGCAACACUACCCGAAGAGCUGAUACUACAAAUCGUGGCCACGCUACCGGUCAAAUCGGUGGGGCGUUGCAGAUGUGUCUCUACACGGUGGCGCUCUCUAUUCUCCGACCCCCAGUUCGCCAAGCCGCACCUCCGGUUAGCCCCUAAGCAUCAAGUCCUAAUACUGCAACACCCCACACAACUCGAAACCCUGGAUUUUGAUUUGAGUGAUAUAGCGUCCUUUGAGAAGCAAUCUCUGCUUCUCUGAAAUGUGAAUGUCCCUUGUUUAUGCCCCUUGUUUGUUUUGGCCACGCGUAUGAUGCCCGAUCGAUGCAUGCUUUCGAUCUCUUCCUUGACUACAAUCUGAGUCUCAGUUCGCAUGAAUCGGCCGUCCUGCCGUACUGGACGUCGGUCCGGAUAAGUUGGUAACCGGUGGCAGACCAAGUCCGGAGACAAACCGGGCAUGUCUUCGUAUUUGUCGGCGAAGCAAUCCCUGUACUCGCAUAACAGGGCAAGAAGGGUUUCCUUUUCGUCCUCCGCCAACUUAGCACUGAUAGAAAUAAGUAAGGGCUUUUCUGCAGUCCCUACGUCAACUUGUGAAAUGGGGUCGCGGACUUGAGGUGGUGUGUCGUCCAAGGCGGCGGGAGCUAAGUGAAUAACUUCCUCCUUGGUAUCGGAAUAAUCCACCACUUCAUCUACAUAUUCCAUAGUCGCAACCUUGUCGUAGGCUUCGCGUUUUGCCCAGUACGAAAGGAGUCUUUCGCACAGGGACUCGCCAGCCUCGCGUGCCUCCUCUGAGAAGGCACUAUUCAUCAGAACGGGGUGUGUGAUUCGCGANNNNNNNNNNNNNNNNNNNNCGGCCUGUGCCGGAACUGGGCCCAUUUCGCUGCUGCAUGCGGGGUAUGCUACUGACAUCCUCGCUGCUGACGGGAAUAUCCGCCGCACUACAGAUUGUGUUUGGUGGGAGAGCGUAUCUUUCCGAAAUGAAGAACACCAUCCCGACUUGAAAGGAGAAUUGUUCAGGAACUGGGACCAGGAGAGUGUCAAUGAUCCCGUGUUCCCCUUCGAGCACCGCGAAAGCGUCUGCUUCGCUGCUAAACCCUUCAUCAGCACCCCAUCCUGAGACCUCUAUCAUAUUACAGGUGAAUGAUUCUGCCUGCUCUUCGUCCCGGUCUUCCUCUAGGUUAAGUCGAGGUUCUGAAUGUGCCUCGUCGUCUUCUGAAUUCUCGCGGAAACGCUGGGCCAUUUGUUGGGCGAGGUUAGGACUGGAGGGCGCCUGUGCGGCUAUUGGUGGCUCUUGAGCCUCGGGUUGCCGCGGACGCCAUACUGACUUGGUUGAAGGCUGGUGGUCCUUGGCUGGUUGUUUGUCUGUUGCCAGAGGAGCCUUAUCGAAACCUGCAUUGUAGAGUGGCCACGCGUAAAAUAAACAAGGGGCGAGGAAAGGAAUGUGGCUCAAAGUAGGGCUGGCUCCACGCGAGCUGGAGUUUUGCAAGGAUUCCGAUACCCCGCGGGAUUCGGUGUCCUCGCGGGAUCCUUUGUUCCAGUUCGUGUAGGAUUCUACAAUACAUGGCGAGGUAGAGUUGGAAAUGGACUGUAGUACUCCGCGGGAUAGGAUCGCUUAGUGUUCGAGUUCGCGUACGACGCUACAGUGAGAUGAUGCGGGGCGGUGAGCGAGACCUAGGCGAGGUCUGUUCUGGACACGUGUUGCACGGAUCGCGCGGCUCGCGAGCUGGUCGUAUCCUUGUGAAAUUCUAAUUGCUGAGUCCGAAUGGGUUGUGACUAGGUCUCUGCGAAUUGCUUGCGGGUCGUUAUAUAAGGGAGUUUGACACAACAACAAGGACACACAAUCAAUCAUACAAAAACAAGUACAAAUCCUCGAGCAUCCUCGAAACCCUAAGUUCUAAGUGCACUUCGCCUUAGUUCUCAAACCCCUCCAUGAUUCGCCUUUCUCCCUAUUUGUUGUUCUGCUCGCUCUAACAGUGAGUAUCGAUUCACAAGUGACAAGAAGUUUUACUCGUAAUCCCUCGUCCGCGAGGUGGCACCGGUAACCCCCUCUUCGCUUGUUUAGAAGUCUAGCCGCAGCUCAUUCCUUUCCUCGCCCGCGAGGUGGCACGCCCCGCAAUCUCCUUCUCUUUACUUUUGAGUCACCGGAGUUCCAACUCUGCCCCUGCUGAGACGCGUGGCCAAAACAUUGGCACGCCCAGUGGGACCGGGAGUAUAACAUUCUCGUCAUCAUUGGGAAAUCAGGCGGAUCCCCAUACGGGAGACCCUCGGUUUCUUGUUUGAAACAUAAAUCUUCACAAUACAAGCCCCAUAACAGCGCGGCUUGUCGAUCUCUCACCCAAGAAGAAGUUCUCGCUCGGUUUGGCACACCCGACUAUAGCGGAACCAUAAUGACAGGUUCACGACCAACCCAAGACGCAGGACCUACUCUGCCAGCGGACGAAGUCCGCCAGAUGUUUGGGGAACUGAAGAAUAAUCUCGACUCACUCAGCUCGAAAGUCGACACCACCCAGCAAAGCGUCAAAGACCACUCUGAACAGGUCACUAAGGACAAAACUAUCUGGCUCGCUAACCAAGAAAACCUUUCUAGGCUCAGCGAGGAGUUUAAUUACGUUGCUGGUCAAGUCAGGGAGGACAAAGACUUGGUGGAAGGUUCCCUUCAAAGGAUCCAGAAAGAAUUGGAUCAGAGCAAGGUGACUUUCACCAAAACCCUGCAGCUUACCCGCGCAACCGUGGAUGAGCAGACCCGUCGCUUGGACGAACACGACACCAAGCUACAGCAACAGCAGGACGCUUCUUUCUUUGGAAGCAAGAACAGCAUGGAAAAGCUUGAGGACUACAAAGAGCGACAUGAUAAUCUGAGCAUAAGGGUCUUGCAAGUGGAAGACUGGAUACGGGCUCAGACACUAAAAAAUCAUGCCUUGAACUUAGCUAGUUCAAGUGCAACUGAGGGCUCAAGGUACAUUCCACCUAAUGAACGCCCUAGAGGAAAUCCGAAGGUCGGGGCCCAGAAGACUCCCCAAUUCACAUUGGGGGCCAGUUCGUCAAAGACGCCAACCCUUCUACCCACGCCAGGCAGCCCUAGAGUCACACUCAGGGGCGCCGGUGUCUUCCCAUCUUAAGGGAUCGGGACACCAGAUGACCCAGUUAUAGCUUAUUCCAGUUCGACCCCUAAGAACGUCGUGCAGGCCCCUAGCCUCUCUGCAUGGCACGGCCACGAUCAGGGGGCAAAAUCCACACCAGUAACGGUAGCCGACUGGCGCCAGCUCAUCUCGAGCAUAGUCAAGGAGCAAACCGGAAAAGGUGAUGCUAGCUUGCAUUAUCGUGACCCCUAUCCAGAUAGCGUGGCGCAAUAUCCUUUCCCUCAUGGAUUUAAGAAUAUUGUCUUCACCACUUUCUCCGGAGAGACAAGAGAAGAUGCAGCAACACAUAUGGUUCGUUUCAAAGUCCAAUGCGGCCAAUACGGGAAUGAUGAUAUGCUCAAACUCAAGCUUUUUGGGACGUCUCUAUCCGGAGCUGCUUUUACCUGGUACUCCAGAUUGAAGUCUGGGUCAAUAGCUGACUGGCCCACUAUGGAGAAACUUUUCCGGGAGACAUACGGCACAAUUGAACCUGAAGUCGGCCUCGAUUCCCUCACACAGAUGAGCCAGCAAAGCAUGGAGUCUGGAGUUUCUUUCCUCCAGCGUUUCAAGAUCCAGCAAGCCAAAUGUGAUUACCUGCUACCUGAGCAAAAAGCCGUUAAGUUGGCUAUCAGAGGCCUGGAGCACCGCCAGCGGUUAAAGCAUCACGGAGAGCGCUUUACUUCCAUGGGCGACCUGAUUAACAAGGUCGGUAGCUACGAGCUAAUCUUGAACGAGUUGGAUGACAAAGCAAAUGCCUCCAAAGGAACUUACAUACCAGGGAAGAAUCGGACAGUGGGGACAUUAAGUCUGCAGGCCCCUACGUAUGAUUCCUAUUAUCAAAGGUCUGAGGAAACUCGCUCGGAUCAGGAACAUGAAGAUAUUGGCGCGGUAGAACUGACUGGCAAACCAUUGGCUCACAAAUUGAAAAACCUGAAGAUAACGCGCGAGCCAAUCACCAUCCAGUCCUUUGCAUGGACCAAGCCAGAGUACGAGUCAUACACCUAUGAUGCUAAGAACGCCCAUCUGGUCCUUAAUGACCUCAUCGAGGCAAGAUACGUGCGCUUGGAUCACAAGAUACCGCCCAAGGAAGAGCUAAAUGACAAGAAGUACCGCGCCUUCCACAAUGUUUACAAUCAUGACACCAAAGAUUGUGUCAAGCUUCGAGACCAGCUGCAGACAUGGCUGAACUCAGGCGAGCUAAAGAUGAAAACACCGGGUAGUACGGCCUCAUUGGUUGAUAUAGACCAUUUCCCGCCUGUAGUUGGCAUGGUCGAGGUAAACUGGGCCGAUCAGACCGAGGACGAAGAUUGACGCCGGGCACCAAAACGGGGCCGCGAGGAAGGUGACGAUGGUGCCCGCCGGCCACCUCGCCAAUACACCUACAACGAAGAUCUUGCACAUGAGGUUUUAGACGAUCUCAUUGAUGACGGGCUCGUCACAGUGGCCAAUUCCUUGCCAUACAUAGAAUAUAAGGAGGGGCGCAUUCACUGCAAGUUUCAUAAUAGCUGGGGGCACAGAACCUGCGAAUGCCAGCAACUCAGAGACCAGGUUCAAGACUGGCUCGACCUCAGGUAUAUUCGCUUUAAGAAUAAGGGCGACUUCAUGAUCGCAACGGCUGACUUCGCUUGGCCUCGAGUCGGCCAACGAAGAAUCACAUUAGACUUGUCGCCAAAUGCAGGUUUGCAUGAACCGCCGGGCCGAAAUCGCAAACGGCCGGCGAAUAACUAUACUGUCCCGAAUAACCAGCAAGGGAAAGCAGACGACCCAGCUCGACAGUUGGUCGCUGAGCUCGAAACGGACCGCCCCUCCCGCAAAGAUAAGGGCAAAGCAGUCAUGAGGGACGAUGGACCGUUCCCCGUUGAAGAUCCCCAGCCUAUGAGUCCCAGGACUCGAGAAGAGCUGGAAAGGAGGAUAGAACGUCUCGAGACGUUCGUCUAUACACAUUGGGCAGAGACGGUACCUGCAUCCCCUGCCACAAGUGAGAUGGACAUGUCAGACUCCAGCGGUGAACGUCACAACCACGAGGCCUCGAGCCCUCGUAAAGGCGUCCUAACCGACCCCUAUAUUCCCCCGACAUCCAAAUCAGCGAUCAAGGAUGGGGUCUGGUACACACAGCAAGGGGGCAAGGCAGUUACCAUCAGCAGGUCUAAAAAGCGAAAGCUCCAAAAGCGAUACGGUAGUAUCCUACGUGCCUUACGGGCUGUCGAAGAGGGCGCUGCACGCCCCUCACAGCUCGCACAGACGCCUGAGCGGAUGUGGAGGGAAGCAGAGGGUUUGCGUGCAUUCUUUCAAAUGCCGCCUGUCCCACCCCCAAGGAUUUGCGAGCAGUUCAGCAACGAGCCGGCACCCAAAGCAAACGUCUUUUGCCGACUCACGGUUCCACCAAAGCAGGAUCCACAACCUUCCAGGUGCAGGCCAUCACCAGAACCUGAAAGAAGAAGGGAUCCAUAACCUUCCAGGCGCAGGCCAUCACCAGAACCUGAAAGAAGAAGGGAUCCACAACUUGCUAGGCCUAAACCGUCACCAGAGCCUGAAAAGAGAAGGGAUCAACAAGCUCCCAGGCACAGGCCGUCACCGGAACCCGAGCGGAGAAGGGCUCCGCCUACCGGUCCUAGGCGUAAGUUGUUCACGACUCUGGAUCCAGAGUCCAAACGCGAGCCGUCUCAGCCCUCACUGCAACGGGAACGUCAAAAUCCGGAGGCCAAUAUCAGAAGGGAGCCACCACCACCACCACCACACCAGCCUCGGGCACGGUCUACCCCGGAGCCCGAGACUCAGAUGGUUCCCCGAAUAUCCGCCCUACAACGGUUGAAAAAAGAAGACAACGAUAAGGCUCCUCUGGCAACAGACAAACAACCAGCCAAGGACCACCAGCCUUCAACCAAGUCAGUAUGGCGUCCGCGGCAACCCGAGGCUCAAGAGCCACCAAUAGCCGCACAGGCGCCCUCCAGUCCUAACCUCGCCCAACAAAUGGCCCAGCGUUUCCGCGAGAAUUCAGAAGACGACGAGGCACAUUCAGAACCUCGACUUAACCUAGAGGAAGACCGGGACGAAGAGCAGGCAGAAUCAUUCACCUGUAAUAUGAUAGAGGUCUCAGGAUGGGUGCUGAUGAAGGGUUUAGCAGCGAAGCAGACGCUUUCGCGGUGCUCGAGGGGAACACGGGGAUCAUUGGACACUCCCCUGGUCCCAGUUCCUGAACAAUUCUCCUUUCAGUCGGGAUGGUGUUCUUCAUUUCGGAAAGAUACGCUCUCCCACCAAACACAAUCUGCAGUGCGGCGGAUAUUCCCGUCAGCAGCGAGGAUGUCAGUAGCAUACCCCCGCCAUGCAGCAGCGAAAUGGGCCCAGUUCCGGCACAGGCCGACGACGCCCCACAGGUGGAAAUUACGAGCAGCAUGAAACAUAAGCAAACUCUAACCUUCUCCACACCAACUUUGGACAUGGCCACUCACAUGCGGCCACUGUAUAUCACGGCCGAAGUCGAGGGAAAAAUGAUCAACAAGGUCAUGGUUGACACCGGUGCCGCGGUCAAUGUUGUCACAACCCGUACCAUGAGACUCCUAGACAUCCCGCGCUCGAUGAUCUAAACCACGUCCUUAACAGUCAAGAACUUCACCGGGCAAGUGUCCAGAACCCUAGGCUUGCUAUUCCUACGGGUCAAGGUCGGGCCGGCAUCACGGGUUUACACCUUUUUCGUCGCCGAAUGCGCUUCCUCUUACAGCAUGAUUCUUGGCCGAGAUUAGAUCCACAGAAGUUUUUGCGUGCCUUCCUCCAUGCACCAAGAACUCAUGAUUUGGGACGCCGAGAACCGUGAAGCAGUCAUCAUCAAAGCCGACCCGCGGCCAUUCUCUAUCUCUGCCAACUUCAACGAUGCCCGAUAUUAUACUACAGACUUGGGUCCGUUGGAUGUUCAAGGCGUCGAUAACAAGGGUCGCCCAUAUGGAAUAACGGCCUCCAAUCUCACGCGAUGGGGACUUACCCAGGCGAAGGACGAUUUGCAACGUCCUCACACCAUCGCUAAUCACACACCCCGUUCUGAUGAAUAGUGCCUUCUCAGAGGAGGCACGCGAGGCUGGCGAGUCCCUGUGCGAAAGACUCCUUUCGUACUGGGCAAAACGCGAAGCCUACGACAAGGUUGCGACUAUGGAAUAUGUAGAUGAAGUGGUGGAUUAUUCCGAUACCAAGGAGGAAGUUAUUCACUUAGCUCCCGCCGCCUUGGACGACACACCACCUCAAGUCCGCGACCCCAUUUCACAAGUUGACGUAGGGACUGCAGAAAAGCCCUUACUUAUUUCUAUCAGUGCUAAGUUGGCGGAGGACGAAAAGGAAACCCUUCUUGCCCUGUUAUGCGAGUACAGGGAUUGCUUCGUCGACAAAUACGAAGACAUGCCCGGCUUGUCCCCGGACUUGGUCUGCCACCGGUUACCAACUUAUCCGGACCGACGUCCAGUACGGCAGGACGGCCGAUUCAUGCGAACUGAGACUCAGAUUGUAGUCAAGGAAGAAAUCGAAAGCAUGCACCGAUCGGGCAUCAUUCGCGUGACAAAGUAUAACGAGUGGCUGUCCAAUAUUGUCCCCGUCCACAAGAAAAAUGGCAAGAUGCGCGUCUGUGUUGAUUACCGCGACCUAAACAACGCAACACUGAAGGAUAUAUACCCCAUGCAUGUGGCUGACCUACUCAUUGAUGCCGCCGCGGGGCAUGAGGUGUUAUCCUUUAUGGAUGGAACGGCCGGAUACCAUCAGAUUCCCGUCGCUGAGGAAGAUCGACACAAGACCGCUUUCCGCUGCUCUGGUUUUGCCGGCGCGUUCGAGUACGUUGUCAUACCUUUCGGACUUAAAAACGCGGGGGCAACGUACCAGCGCGCCAUGAACCUCAUCUUUCAUGACAUCUUGGGGAAGUUGAUCGAAGUAUACAUCGACGAUGUGGUAGUCAAAACCAAAACACGGGCAACCCACGUUGAAGACCUACGGCAGGUGUUUACACGGAUGCGCCGACAUAACCUGAAGAUGAACCCCGCCAAGUGUGUUUUCUUCGCGGAGGCUGGCGAUUUCCUUGGUUUCCUAGUGCAUCAAAGAGGCAUCGAAAUACCAAAGGACAAGGCACAGGCGGUAAUCACCGCUUCACCCCCCAACACAAAGAAGGAGCUUCAACAGCUGCUUGGGCGAAUCAACUUUCUCCGCCGUUUCAUAUCCAACGCGGCAGGGAAGGUCCAGCCUUUUUCACCCCUCCUCAAGCUCCAGGGGGCAACCGAGUUCGUCUGGGAACCACAACAUCAACAGGCCUUCGAUCGAAUCAAGGACUACCUUACGAACCCACCAGUCCUGAUCUCACCUCGCGACGGUACCCCGCUUAAACUUUAUAUCGCCGCUGCCGACUUGUCCAUCGGCGGACUCCUGGCCCAAGAUGAUGUGAACGGGGUAGAACAUGCUGUCUAUUACCUUAGCAAGGUGUUAACGGAGUGUGAGACACGAUACUCACCUAUGGAGAAGUUGUGUCUUGCCCUAUAUUUUGUAGGGUGCAAGCUGCGCCAUUACAUGCUUGCCUUUACCACGGUUGUGAUCGCUCAAUCCGACCUGAUCAAAUACAUGCUCUCUCGCCCUAUCUUGCAGGGACGCAUCGGCAAGUGGAUCUUAGCCAUGUCCGAAUUCUCGUUGUAAUAUGUUCCGCAAAAGGCCGUAAAAGGACAGGCAAUAGCAGACUUUCUCGCUCAUCACCCACCCUCAGAGCUCACGGCGUUUCGCGAGUUGGAAUUCGCUACCGUGACACUCGCUCCAUGGACCCUGUACUUUGAUGGUUCGCGGACUGACACCGCAGCCGAAGCUGGGAUAGCCAUAGCCAAUCCCGCCGGAGAUCGCUUCUCCUACUCGUUCCAGCUCGAUUUCAAAUGCACCAACAACCAGGCUGAGUACGAGGCGUUGAUCAUCGGCCUAGAAAUUUUGUUGGAUUUAGGAGUCCGCGAGGUUCAGAUCUUUGGCGAUUCUUUGUUGGUCGUUAACUAGCUGGUGGAAAAGUUUAAGUGCUUAAGCUCGUCAAUUGAGCCAUACCUGCGCAAGGCAUUUGAGGUGUUGGAUCGAUUAGACAACGUCUACAUCGAGCACAUACCACGCGAGUUCAAUUUCGCCGCCAACAAGCUCGCCCAAGUAGCAUCCGGUCUCAGCCUGCGCGACGGCGUACGCGAACGUUUGCUCAAAGUCGAACGCCGUACGCUUCCCUCUUUCAUCGCUAGGGGGCAAUUUCAGGCCAACACCCCCGAAGUUGCGGCCUUGGACCCUAUCGAUGAGGAUUGGCGGCUACCAUUUAUCGCCUACCUCCAGAACCCCAACGACGCCGCUCACUCCAGGCAAAUACGUUUCCUCGCCUUAAACUUUGUUUUACGCAAUGGCGAACUCCGGCGGCGUGGGGAAGACGGAAAUGAUUUCCGCUGCGUGUAUGGGAACGAAGCUAAACGUAUCAUGCGCGACGUCCAUUGUGAGGUUUGCGGCUCGCACCAGGCCGGGCCAAAAAUGCGAUGGUUGAUCCGUCGCCAUGGGUACUACUGGCCAACCAUUCUGAAAGACUGUAUUGCCUUCGCCAGAGGGUGCCAAGACUGCCAGGCUCACGGACCAGUGCAACACAUUCCCAACAUCCCGUUACAGCCUAUCAUUAAACCUUGGCCGGGUCGCGGUUGGGCGAUAGAUUUCGUUGGCAUCAUUUAUCCCCAUUCUUCUGAGCAGCAUAAGUUCAUUAUCGUCGCCACCGAUUUCUUUACCAAAUGGGUCGAGGCCGAACCACUCAAGGUUGCCUCCGCCAACUCGGUUCGCAACUUUAUUUUCCGCAAUAUCAUCUCCCGCUUUGGUAUCCCGGAGUGCAUCGUUACGGACAGGGGGGCAGCUUUCAUGGCUGAUUCAAUUGUUAAGUAUUUAAACGACUACGGAAUCAAGCUUCUCCACUCUACGCCAUAUUAUGCACAGUCCAACGGCCAGGCGGAGGCUAGUAAUAAGGUCAUCCUUGGCAUCCUCCGCAAGAUGUUGGAGUUGAACCCGCGUGUCUGGCAUGAGGAACUCUACCACACCUUGUGGGCUUACCGCACUUCAAAGCGCGGCCCGACGGAUACCACCCCGUACGCUCUCAUGUACGGUCAUGAUGCCGUCCUUCCCCUUGAGAUCAAUAUCGCUUCACUCCGCGUUCAGGAACAGUAUCAACUACUUGGCGAGGAUUACGUCCAAGCCAUGUGGCAGGAGCUUGAAGACCUUGACGAGCACCGCGUCACCGCUUUCAACAAUCUCGUCCUCGAGAAACAACGCAUCGCACGUUCGUAUGAUAAGGUCACGCGCGGACGGAGCUAUGCUGAGGGCUAGAAAGUGUGGCGCGCGGUACUCCCACUUGGGGAAAAAACUGACGGUCGGGGCAAGUGGUCCGCUUGAUGGGAAGGCCCCUUUAUUAUUCAUCGUAUACUUCCCAAGGGGGCAUACCACCUGCGCGAUUUGGACGGUACCAUUCAUCGCAAUCCUAUUAAUGGCCGCUUCCUCAAGCGCCACAUUGCAGGAGUUUGGGAACGCGAGGAUCCUCCACCUCCCCCAGGCCCCGUCGCCACUGUCAAUAGUGCUACGCGCCAUCGCAUUCUCGCUCCCCUGCCUAACACUAGGGGGCAACCCGGGAUAGAAGACUGACACAGUACGUUUAACAUACUAGCCUAAAAAGGCCAGUAUAAGAUUGGGGCCUAUUCCAGAGGCCCUAAAUAAGGAUAACUCUAUUUUUCUUCAUUUUCCGUAAACGUGCAAAGUCUAAACGCAAAGGCCAGUACAAGAUUGAGGCCUAUUCCAGAGGCCCUAAAAAAAACAAUAAAUUCAUUUAUUUUGCCUUUCUGGCGUUGUUUCAAUACAAGUUUUGAACAUCGGCUUUGCGGCCGAAACAACUACAUUUGACAGAAAGGGUGAAAUCAGACUAUGUUUACAAACAAAGGCAUAGAUCUGCAGAUAUUGGAAGCCUCAACCCGCAUAUCUUGCAGGGUUGAAGAAGAGACUGCCGCCGCAUCCUUCGUUUAAAGUUGGCAAACGUCCCGCUUCUUUAGACCAGCACGAGCCUUGACACUGGCCCGGACCUAAGACAAAUUGUUGGGAAGCUAGAGGUCCACUGGACUAGGGUCCCUCAUGCUACCGGUCAUGCCUGGAAGGUGCUUGAAAGGCACUGACCAGAACCUGAAGCGCAAGCAGAUGCGGAGCCUCGAGAGCCUCACGUUUGGACAGAACAGCCGGUGCAAGACAGAAGGUACCCAACCAUUAUUUCGUCCAAACAAAGGCUUGACCUGAGAGUAGUUUUUUAGAAUCACUCCCGGCCUGAGAGUAGAUUUUCAGAAUCAGAAAGAACGAAGAGUGAAAAUGUGAGGUGGGGGCUUUGUUUUAAGCAGGGACAAGAGGAUGAACAGAAGGGUAUAAGAGCUCAUGGCAAGGGGGCAAAGACUUAACUGGUACUUCGCCCCGGCCAAGCGUUUCUUUUUAUAGGCGAAAAGGGUGAUUUUCCUUUCAACAGAUGUCCUUCAUGUAGCGAUUUGCUCCGAGAUAUGAGCUUUGGAGAUAAGGUCGGACGCGUUGUUCCAUAAUGACUACCCGCAUUCCAAGCGAGUAGUUGCAUUGGAAACCCCUACCAAAUCUUGGAAGAAGAUUUUUUCCUGGGAAUGCAGUUCUUACACAAGAGUUGACAAGAGCGGGAAAGAUUUGAUUUAAUAAUAAUAUUAUAAAGGUUCAUACAAAGGGGGCAAAGCGCUGAUCGGGCCUAAACCCGCCUAGAAGCCCUAUACAAAUCUAUGAGAAGGCCUUCUAAGGCCAACUCUUCAACAUCUGCUUGGGCUUGGGCUUCGUCGGCAGCAGCAGCAGCCGAGUCCAAAGCUUCCUGGGUCUCUUCCGCGGCCUGCACACGGGUUUCUGCCUCUUUAGCUCGGGCCAAGUUCUGGCGAGCUUGAGCAAGCUGAGCUUGCAGCUCCGGUAUCUGAACCUCUAGGGCCUCCACUUGCCGAGCAUAGACAGUGCAUGGGUUCUCUGACGAUGCCUCAGGGAUUUCAGCGUCAUCAAGCUCGGCUAAAAGGGGCUGCCAUCUGAUCGUCUAAGGCUUGACAGACUUUCUCGUGAGCAGCCGACUGGGCACCGACAUCUUGAACUCGGCAAGCCUGCAGCUCGACAGCGUCGGUGAGUUCCAACACAUGGUCUAGAGCAGGGUUGCUCCCAGCGAGGUGCCGAAUCAGAGCUUCAUGGGCCUCGCGGGCGCGCCUCACCAAGUCGAAUACGUUCAUGUGGGGACCUUGGCGCAGUAGCCCGUGAAAGAAAGCCCGGGCUAGGCGAAUGGGCUCUGGAUCGGCAGGCGGGGUAAUCCGGGCCCGAAGACGAGCGGUCCGGGUAGCCAAAGAAGAAGCCGCCUCGCCAGAUGUUCUCGUUGGGGCCGGAGUGGUUGGUUCAACCUCUGCAACUGCCUCAAUCUCUGGAACGGGCAGUGGGACCUCAAACCGAGUAGGGACUGUCGGUUCUUCGGUGGUCUGGGCCGCUGAGUCUGGUUGCAAAGGAGAGGGCUCAAGCACCGGUUUAAGGUCCUUUGGCGGAACCGCCGAGGGGGCUGCAAAAUCAGAAAGCCGGGUGGUCUGGCCGAGAUCUUCAUCUUGAGCAAGAGCCGAGAUAGGCUCUGGAGGCGGGCCAGUUUCGCCUAGAGCGUCGGUUGGAGAAGGGGGUCGCAAGGCGACUUCCUCAGUAACCAUGGUUUGAUCUCCGACGAUUGGUUCCGGGGUUGGGACUUCAACUAUUGUUGUUGCUCCUUCAAUGACAGCGAGGCGAGGUCGGAUGCGGCGGCGAACCUGUCAAAUACAAAGUUAGCAAAUCGUUUGUUGGCUUUAAUGAGUUUGGUUCGAAGAAAGGUCGCUUACCAAAGCGUGCUCUUGCCGAUAUCGUUCAUCCUCUAGCAUCUCUUCUUCGUCCUCGACAGGGCGUUUCGGCCAGCCUUCGCCGCUCGUUGGCCGGGGAAUAACGGGAGCAGUCUCACCGUCAUGGUCCGCCGCGGGCUCCUCUUGAGUAGGUGUUUUCCCUUUGUCUCCGGCACCCUCAGGUCUUCUGACCGAUCUCCGACGGGGUGCAGACUGUAAAGGUAGACAGGAGAGUUAGGAGGAAGCAUUUUGUUGAAGUGGUAAAGGCGGUAUGGAAUUUACAUAGUUGGUGGUUUACCUCGGGUGCGGGAUCGCGUUCUCGAAUGACGAUCCCGGUCGAGCGAUGAGUAGCGGGAACUGGUGGGAGCGCAGGCCUAGACCCUGUCGCAGCCUUUGAACCGCUUUCUUCACGGUCGCGCUGGGCAUGAAGGAUGACGCGGUCUGACUCGCCCAAAGUGUCGUAUAGGGGAUAAAAGAUGGCAGCAAAAACAGCAUCAUCUGGGAACCCCCAAUGGUUGUCGGACAAAGAUCGCCACCAAGAGAGAUAGGCGGGGUCAACACCCAGUGAAGGCUCAAUCUCGAGCAAGUCAAGAGUGAGAGGGAAAAUGUUCUGCAGCGGGGUGACCCGGUCGGACUCGCCAAUCUUCCUCUAGGAGGUGUACUUGUUCACCGAAUGGAAGAGUGGAUAGGGGAUCCCUUGAAAGAAGCCGAGUUGUCUGGCGAAGUGGUUGGGGGCAUAUAGCUCGAAGCCUUGUUCAUCCUCGGCGAGCUGAAGGUCGCAGCAUGAGGAUGCUCUCAUGAAGACGGUCUUGGCAUCUGAGUUCGAAUCAGAGCGCGGGAAGAAGCCCGUCGAUAAGACUUCAGGGUGGCGCCGGCGAACCAUCAUGUCUAUGGUGGGAGGCGGUUCUAGUUGGUUGUACAGGAUGGAGAGGCUGGCGAAGAAGGACAGGGGAGUCCAGUUCGCAGCGUUCCUGCACACCGCGAAGCCAAGCAGUUGGUCCUCGGGCAGGAAUUCCAGCGGGGCUCGCAGGAAGAGCGGGAAGUACAGCUGCGUCCAUAAAUCCAGGAUCCACAUAGGGCCAGCAGAGAGAUGGAAGGGUCUUAGGGACAGCAUGUGCAAGGUCCGGUAAAGCGCGCCCAGCACGGGUUGCCCUAGCCCUACUUCGAUUCCAUUGUAGAGUGCCUCGGCCAGCUUUGUCCAUUUCUCUGUAGGUUUGUGAGCACUGCCACAGAAUAUGAAUUUAUCAAGCCAGUACUCAAGGAAAGCGAUACCUUCUUCGUGUUGUUCUGCGUGGCCGAUGUAGAACUUCCUCCAUACUCCAUACGAGCCUUUCAGGGCGCGGCGGGCCCCCAGGUUGCAGGAGUGCGUAAACUCGGUCGAUGCAAAGUCGUCUGGCGCAUAUGGCUUUGCAUGAAUCGGCAGCCCGGUGAUGGUGAGGAUGUCCAGCAGAGAAAUGCCCAUUUGCCUGAAAGGAAAAUCGAAAGUGUUGGUGGCACUGUUCCAUAAGUAGGCCGCGGCAGCAAUGGGUGCUCGAUCAGCAUGAGGAGGCAGUGAGAAGCUCAAGGCAAUGGCUUCGUUGAUGCCGGUUGCUUCCCAGAUCGCUUGGUCGGUCUGGAGGCGAGCCGUGUACCAUGCCCGGUCCUCCGCGGUGACGCUGGGCCAUUCCCCGACCCGGAUAUUUGUAUGAGAGUGGGCUUGGUGAAACCAGGAGGCGAAGUUUCCCGGUUCGCGACGCUGGGCAAGGAUUGGUCGACGCACGGAGGCGGUAUAGUGGUUCAGAUCAGCGGCGGACGGAGGUUGCGAAGGGGUCGGACCGAGCAGGGCUGCCCCUGUUUCAAGGAAAUAGAUGGGUGUUCCUUGAGGAGGGUUGUUGGCAAAACGGCGAGCGAAGCCGGUCGACCAAGAGCUCGCCGCCGUGAGGUUAAGGUUUGGAUCGUUAGCAGUUGGUUUGGGAGCCAUUGUUUCUGGGCGGAGUGAGUCCGGUGGUGAAGUUCUAUUGGUUGCAGAAGAAAGGGAAAAGUUUGGUUGGAAAGCGAUGGUGAGAUGUGGGGACCCGCAUCGAGGUUUAUAAAGGAGACGGACCGUAACGUCUUUUCAAUCAGUAGCCGUAAUGAGGAGACGCGAUGACGACUGAAACGUCAGCACGUUUCAAAUUUCAAACAGUCGCAAUGAUGAAGGGAGGCGAUGAUGCCGAAACGUCAGCACCUUUUUGAAUUGCGAAUUCCCGUAAAUGGCUCAUUUAGGCCUUUUCGCUUAUCCGUUGCAAAAUGGAUUAAGCUCAAGACCUAGGGGGCAAUGUUUGAGCCCAGUGGGUAUUUUUGGUCCAAGACUUAGGGUACGUUUUGGAUAACAUUUGGGCCAAUACCUGUGGCCCUUUUUUAAUGCGAAGCCCACGAAGGAUGGCGAAGUCUGGCUCCACGCGAGCUGGAGUUUUGCAAGGAUUCUGAUACCCCGCGGGAUUCGGUGUCCUCGCGGGAUCCUUUGUUCCAGUUCGUGUAGGAUUCUACAGUACAUGGCGAGGUAGAGUUGGAAAUGGACUGUAGUACUCCGCGGGAUAGGAUCGCUUAGUGUUCGAGUUCGCGUACGACGCUACAGUGAGAUGAUGCGGAGCGGUGAGCGAGACCUAGGCGAGGUCUGUUCUGGACACGUGUUGCACGGAUCGCGUGGCUCGCGAGCUGGUCGUAUCCUUGUGGAAUUCUAAUUGCUGAGUCCGAAUGGGUUAUGACUAGGUCUCUGCAAAUUGCUUGCGGGUCGUUAUAUAAGGGAGUUUGACACAACAACAAGGACACACAAUCAAUCAUACAAAAACAAGUACAAAUCCUCGAGCAUCCUCGAAACCCUAAGUUCUAAGUGCACUUCGCCUUAGUUCUCAGACCCCUCCCUGAUUCGCCUUUCUCCCUAUUUGUUGCUCUGCUCGCUCUAACAGUGAGUAUCGAUUCACAAGUGACAAGAAGUUUUACUCGUAAUCCCUCGUCCGCGAGGUGGCACCGGUAACCCCCUCUUCGCUUGUUUAGAAGUCUAGCCGCAGCGCAUUUCUUUCUUCGCCCGCGAGGUGGCACGCCCCGCAAUCUCCUUCUCUUUACUUUUGAGUCACCGGAAUUCCGACUCUGCCCCUGCUGAGACGCGUGGCCAAAACACCCCUUUCUCCCAUGAUCACAGUUUUCUCGAGUUUUUAGGGGCAUGCAAUGGGCUGGUGGCUUCAUGUGUCUUUCGUUCCUACGUACAAGAACGCUUGUUUAUAUGGAAUCCAUCCACCGGGUUCUUUAACGAAUUACCCUUCCGAGGUCAUAUAGAUGAGCAACUCAUGUUUGGGUUCAUGUUUGGGUUUGGGUAUCUUUCCACCACCGAUGAGUACAAAGUUGUGAUGGGUGCGGAGAUGUUUUCAUCCAAUAAGGGAUCAUGGAAGCGGAUUCAAGUACCUCCCUGCAGCGUCGGGCAAUCAUGUGGUGUGUUUUCUAGUGGUGCAUUGCAUUGGCUACUCUAUUCCUGUGAUCAAAAGCAGCAAGUGCCAAAUCUGUAUGCUUUCGAUUUGGAGAAAGAGGAAUUUUGGAUGAUGAAGCUGCCAGAUGCUCUUCAAACCCUGGGCCUUGUUAGGAGCAGUAUUUCAUACCAACUUGGUGUUACUCGUGAAGGGUGCUUGUAUGUAAUGGUCCAGAGUGAGGUGUGGGAUUCUGGUAAAUUGGCCUCUUUUUAUGUGGUUGAUUUUUGGGUCAUGAGAGACUAUGACAACAGUGAUUCAUGGACUAAAUCAUUGGGUGUAAAGAUUUCCAAUCAGCCUGCGCGGCGGGAUUGGUUUUUAUCGAUUGAAGCAAUUUCGGUUUCGGAAACUAGUGCAUUUGUGAGGAAUACAUAUGCAGCAGUAGAACAAGGGGAACUCAUGUCGACCAUUUAUCAUCGCAAUGAAGAAAGCUCCCGUAUGUAUAUUCUUGAGAAUGGUGCACAAAGCAUGGUUGUAUACGAAGAGUCUUAUCACGUUGUCUUAAUCCAACACGAGGCCUGACAUUUGGGAUGAAUGGUUCUUCGAUUCUUCCUUGCAUUGUGAGUCCUGUUUAGUCAACUACUCCACAAUUCUGUUUUUGAUUGUAGUCCAUGUUUCUUAUUUCCAAUUGCAAUCCAGUUUAGGGUAGGAGUAUUAUCACGGUAUCAGUUGGUGUUUUAAGUUAGUUUUUUAGAGUCGAAUGUGUUUUGGAUGUAAAGUCUGAGACCACCAAAAGGAAAACACCUCAUUUGUGGGUCAUUUUGGUUCAUCUUUUCUAUUAUGUCGAAUGCUGGGAGAACUGCUUAUUAAAAGCUCAACUGAAGACCAAAACAACUAAAACUUAAAUCGGCCAGCUCCCACAUUGACAGUAAGUAGAAUCCAUCAUCUACCAACGCAAGUGUAUAAAAGUAGCUUAGAUUUCAUGAACAUGACUUUGAUGCAUAUGAGAAAAUGAGAAAUAGAGCAAGAGUUUAAAUACGGAUGAUACUGACCAGAGUUUACAUGUGACUUCUCUUAAUUAUCCCCUAUAUUCCAUCUGAAUGCGAAGCAAGAGAUCACACAUACAAAAGUUUGAUCCACAAGAUGAGACUAACCAUAGUCUUAAUGUACAACUCACAACUCCGCUCCUAUACAUACAACUACUACCUAGUGUUUGAAGUAUAAGAUUGGAUGCAGAUAACAGAUACAAACUCCAAUCUCUGUACCUUACUAACUAUGCUUGUAAACUUGAGCACUCAUCUCAUAUCUGCAGUAAAACUCAUCAAAAUUACCAAGGGCCAGUCAAUGUUCGUCUCAAGCACUGCCUUUUACCUCCCCAUUCCCGAUUCAUUGUCUCCAAAAUCUGUUAAAUAUUGAAGAAAAGGGAUCGAUCAGCGUACUGUGCAGUCAAAAGUUCAUCUAUAUCAUUAAUUCAUUAUGCAGGUUACACUCCUCAUUUACAAGAAACGUCUAGAAGAAUAUAGUUGUUUUUAUUCACUGGCUAUGCCAAAGCAAGAAGAAAUAAGUCAAACAAAACAGAGGCAAGGCAGUAAAAAGUUCAAGAUACAUGAAGAAUGAUGUACCUGAUCUUUCUGCAUUUCCAUAAUUUCAGCCUACAACAACAAAGGUAAAGUCAGGGAGGGUUGGCUAAAACUAAAACAACCAGAGGAAAACCGAAAACCCAAUACUAUACCUGUUUUUUCUGCAACUCUUCAUUCAUUUCUUUAAGUUUUUGCACUUCUGCCUCUAGUUCCAAGGUGUAGGCCUGCAAGAAACCAAAAGAACAGGUUACAGUUAAGCAUCUUGUGUUUUAUUAUACAAAAGUAUGAAUGAAGCAGAAUGCCCACUAAUUUUCAAAGCUGAUUCAGGAAUCAUGUUCAAGUUCAAACAGAUCCCAAAGACUGCCCCAAUUUCACUCUCAAGAAAGUGUGUUCAAACUAAGAAGGGAUAUGAUAAAUUUUUUAAUAUUUUUACAUACUGGAUACAUCGGCACUUCAGGAGCUGCACUACACAUUAACGUCAUUCUUCACUUUCAUCAUAAGAUCAACAGUGGUUCAUACACACACCAAAACAUAGAUAAAUCACUGAUAAUAUAUGCAACUAUGUGUUCCUGGCAUUUGUUUUCCUCCCCACAUGACAUGGCUGUGUAAAGUAGACGUACAACCAGAUAUUUUCUAUCAGUAAACAAUAAAACCAAGGAUCAGAGCAGCAUGAUUUGACAUGAUGCGAUAUUGCAUCUAAACAUGUUAAUUCUGCUGCAAAGUGCUGCAGUAGCUGAGCUCCUAUGUUCCUUUAUGUGCACUGACUGUGCUCUUGUUAUUCAUCAGACAGAUCUGUUUCAACACAUUUAGGCAUUCAGCUGACUUCUAAGACUACAAAGUGUUUUCACAGAAAUUUUCAAUUUCCAACUAAGGAAAUAAGGGUUACAAUUAACUGAGAACACUUAGGCUGGAGACCAAGACCACCAUGGUCUCACACAAAGGUAACAAUUCCAAAUAUAUGUACAGAAAACGGUAUGAAACUUUGCCGUACAAAAUACAGUAUCAACGUAUGCAUUUGUAAGGUGCAGCCCAUAUCUAUGCUAAAAGCCUAAAAGCCUAAAACAUAACACCAGUACACCACCAUCCUAGACAUCCAAAUAUGGGUGGCCCCUUGAUUAUCACAUACAGAAAAGUGAAUUCGAUUUCAAAAGGCUAAGACCAACACAUUGAUACAGUAAUCAACAGAUAAAAAAAUGCAAGGAUGGGCAAAGUAGUGUGUACCUGUUUACGAGCUCGAGACCUCGCAGCAGAUUCUCUGUUCUUUAUCAUUCUCCUUUGCCUUCUCUCAACUACUUUCUCCAAAGCUCCAUUGGCUUUCCUUCCACGAGUGAACAUGUAAGGAAUCGGCGACAAUGAAGAUGUAUCUGCACUGCUCUUAACAAUCACAUCUGGUGAAAUCUUAUUUACAGGAGAUCUAGAUGCAACUGUAACACCUCCAGCACCUAAACCACCCAUUCCAAUCCCUGCACCCGGAAACCCACCACCUUGAGAGAAAGCAGUAUUCCUAGAAGGUUCCACAACGGCAGACAUCGGUCCCCUACUUCUUGGGCUAGUUAGCUGAGCAUUGCUUACCAAAUGCAUAGAAGGGGCAAAAGACAAAGUUGCAGGCUUGGGAAAGAUUGGUUGCUGCUGCGGGGGAAGCUGGUGCGUUUGCUGCUGCGAAGUUCUCACUCCACCAACAUUCAGUGCCAAAUUAGGGGACUGAUGAGGAACUGAAUUAUUGUUACUUUCUACUCGACUACCCAAAAGACCAUUGUUUCGACUUGCCUGUUGGAAACCAGGAGCUAAGCCGGUAUUGUUAUUACUAUGGCGAAACAAUUCACCAAAGAAUCCACUAUUACUGGGCCUUGCCAUUUCUUGAGCAUCUUCUCGCACCACCCCUGCUCUCGCCAAAAACUCCUCCAAAGUCAUCUCCCCCAAAGUCUGCUGUCUUUGUUCCUGUGGCAAAUCCGAACCCACACCAACAUUACCAAAUUUAACAUCACCACUCUCCCUAUUCAAUUCUUUCCAGACAUCAUCAACUGUCUUCUGACUAAGCGUCCGCGGCAAAGUCAAUGAGCCUUGUCUCUGCAAAUUCCCCACAGGGGCAUUUCCCUCACCUGCCCCAGAAGUAGAUGUAAUUCCUUGAGUCUCUUCAGCACUCCAUAUAUUCUUCAAAAGCUCAUCCAUGUUCAUCGACCCGAAAUCCUUCCCAAGUCCUCCCAUAGUGUUCUGGAACUCAUCAAACGUCAGGGAGUACACAGAAGUCUGCCGAGCCAGUGAGAAAUUCCCACCUAGCUUCCCACCAUUUACAUCCCCAUUUUGCACAUCACCAUAGUUCUUGAAGUUUAUAUUAGAUCCCAUCUUCUGGCAACUAUAAUAUCAACAGCUGACUAGGCAAGCCCCCUAUAUAUCCAUCCAAUUGAACAAUAACAAAUAUAAUUCUCAGUUUUCAAUAUCCAAACAAAAUAUCCACAAAUAGCUAAAGUUGAGACAAAAACAGAAAAUCUGAAACUCAUAAAUUCAGUGAACUCUCCUACACACACGUAUCAUAGGACACCAUAAAUGAACUUGGAGAAUCAUACAAAGACAUCACUUUUCUCUAAAGCAGCCAAGUAAUUGACAACAAACUACUACAACACUGGCUUUAUUCAACCACCCAACAGAAACUUGCCACAACCUGAAACCCAUAAAUAUCUCACUGAAGAUUCUACUGCCAAAAAGCAAGUUUUAACUUAUGAACAAGCAGGAAUGUGCAAAAUGUAUCAGAACCAAACAACCUAUGCAUCUGUCCCAUCAUUUCAGAUCAAAAAUUCCAGAUCAAAACUCCAGAUACCCAAAAAAAAAAAAGUCAGCAACUUUUGAUUCAUCUUACAUCUACACUCACAACCCGUUUCUCCAAUUUCAAUUCUUUUUCCACAUAACCCAUCAAAAACCCUAACCCUGUUUUGUCUCAGAACUCCACCACACCGAGAAAUUUUUCCCCCUUUUUUUCUAAAGAUCAAAACUUCACAACAGUGAAGCUCAAACAGACAUGUAUUAUGAUCUCAGAUUUUUUUUUUUUCCUUGACCAAAAAGAAUAAAAACCCAGGAUAAUUAGUGAAAAGGAAAAUUAUCAGGAAAAGACAAAACCCUAAAAUUAGCUGAAUUAUAGAGAAAGAAAGAGAAGAGGCUUUAUUUACCUUAAUUUCCUUUUUUAGUUUUAAUUUUUUUCCAGAAAAAGGAAAAAAAUUAAGGUAAGUGAAGAGAUUGGAGUGGUGAGUUUCUGUUUCUUCUGGGUGAACUCAGAACUGAGCUUUGGGUUUUGUCUGCUGCGAUUUCUGGGGUUGACAAGUGUCUUGUGCCGCCUCGGCACGAGUCGCUAUUUAAGGCUAAGAUAUCGGAAUUUCCUGUUAUUUUUUAAUUGCUAAAGUUGGUGCUUCACCAUCCAGCUCGCGCAACGUGGACCAAUCGGGAGAGGUGUUCGUGAUUUGAUGUCUGGCCACUACGGGUGUGAAACGUGGGGGGAUCUGGACCGUACUGGUGGGGCCCAGGUUCCGACAGGGUGAAUUGGGAGAUCUUUUGGGAGUAGGGAGUGUUUGGAUCAUGUGAGAUUGUGAGAGAAACUGUGAUAUAUAUGGGUGAUUGGCUUUUUUGAAAAGUCAAAUGCCACAAGCACUUUUGAGACGGAAAGGAAGUUGGUCGUGCUUAUCAAAUUAUCUUCGGUAAGUAAAUUUAAAGGUUAUCCCUAAUGAUUUUGACGGUGAGAUUAUCUCUUUGUUGAUGCAAUGUUGAUUUGGAUUAGGACCUUCAUAUUGUCCUAAAGUCAUAAACACGGUGAUAAUUUGAUGGAUAACGGUUGGAGUUCACUAAUCAUAGAACGAAGGCGAUACGAAACUUCUUUUAUAGUUCAUAACACCAAUUUGGAUUUUUCUAGUUGUACGCAACUUGAAUGUGAAACCUAAAGGUUCUGUUGACUAAGCAAAUGGAUAAUGUUAUUUUUGGUAAACAAUCUGGUCUUGUUAAAGAUUUGAAGCACAAUUUCAUAAAACACUAUCGAGUUCAUGAUAACUAGGUAACUAGAUGCUUAAGCUGACCAAAGCAACUAAACACUAAGUAGGGUUUCCAUGAUUUUUAGUCAUAACUCGAUUAAUAUAUUGUUUUGAAUUAGUUUAGACGAUCUCUUUUUUUGUUUUUACCAUUUAAAGGUUUAGAGCUUGUCCAUCGAGCCUAGUCCGACAGGAAUGCAUCAACCACACAAGGCCAUACAACCAUACAACCUAGGUACUUUUGACUCAAAGUAAUCGAUCUCGAGUAACACUAAAGCUAGCUUUGCAUGAUUGUUGGAGAGUGAAAAAUAAACUUGCUUAUUCUUAUAGCGCACAGUGAAAAUCCAAUAUAAAGGUUAGUCACGAACCACACGUACUUAUCGUUGUUUGACAUGGGUGUCAUACCCAAGUUCCUCUUUGGUCACAUUGUAUGCUCGAAAUGAACGAUGAGUCUUGAAAAGAUAUGUCAGCUUUGGUCUAUGAAAUGUGACUAAAAAAACAAAAGUUUUCAAUGUCGGAAUUUGUGCAUAUAUAAAAUUAGUAGUGAAGUGCAAUAUUAAGGACGUGUGAUAGUUAAUGUCUCACAUUAGGAAAGCGAGAAAAUGAUAUAAACUUUGGCUUAUUCCAAUAGUUACGAGAUGUUGUGAGUUAAAACGCAUUUAUGUGAGCCGUGUUAGAGACAAAACAUAAUCACACAUAUAUAAGAUUUUCCUAAUUGUACAGACGUCCAACGCUUGAUAGCUGGUUAAGUUUGACAUUGAUCAAAGUUGGAGCAAGUCACAUACAACAUUUGUUGUUGUUUAACAAUUUUCAGUACGAAAACCAAACAUUUUAAACCAAAUUUUUCAUGGUUGAAAUAAUUAAUUAAUUACUCAACUUUGAAUCUCAAUUGGCAGUUUGGCACCAUCAAUCUAUCGACCAUAAACACUAGUGUGUAUAAUUAUCAACAUACAACACAAGGAACCAAGGUACAUUGAUAUAGAAUAAAAACAUCUUAGUUCUGCUUAACAUCUUCUUUAAAUUAUAACUCUUAUCAUUUAGCCUAACAUGAUAAUUUAUUUGUAACUUUAUCGUUAAUUAAUUUAUAGACAAAAGUUUUACCGGAGACAUUACAUUAUAGAUUUGAGUUAGUUGUGAGCAUGUGUAGUGUUCCACACAAGAGAUGAAUUAUGAAGACCAAGAUUUUGCCACGAGUUCAUAUCAUAUUGAUCAACAAUGUAUAUAUGUAACAAAAUGUGAUCAGCAAAACUAAAUCAAAGAAGAUCAGACUCAUCCGAGUAACGUUUUUAGAGUGGUUCACGUGGUUGGUGAACAGUUUCCAGAAAAUGAAACCAUUACAUUAAAAUAUCUAAAAAAACAAAGUGUAGGCAUCGUUAAAGCAUGUGAGUAGAGUGGGGACCAGAGCUAAUCCCAAACGAUAAAAAAAAAAAGAUCCAAAAAAGAUGAAGAUGCCGUUUUCCAUGCUAAAAUAGAUUUAUGAAGCGAGGGAGACACCCCGGUCUAUAAAAAUCAGAUCUCUGAUAGGUGACAUUGUUGGUGGAUGUGUAGGCGACACGUGUUGGAGCUACCAUUCCUCUCCCUUUUUGAACACGGAUUCCGCAAGUGUUCCUCCGUCAUGGUGGACCCCGUGAUGGAAGUCUCAACUCUCAAGAAUGAGGCGAAAAGCCGGCCGCGGCGGGGCGGUGAAUAGUCGCUUAAGAGUAGCGAUGUUUUAAUCUAAUUUGUUACUCUAGCAUUUACGGUGUUGGCAUUUUACUGCCUUAGAGCGAGCAGCUCCAUCUUUUGGUUUUGUGAAAUUUGAAAUCUGACCUCUGACAUGGCAUAGUCAUUUUGGUUACAAAUCCUCUCUAGUGGAAUAGUCUUUUUUUAAAUAGAUUAGAGAGUAAAAUAAAUUAUUUUUAGGUUGCAAAACAGUGUUUUAAAGAUUAAUUUUGGACAGUAAAAGAAAAAGAAGAGAGAGAGAAGGAGAGAGAAAUAAUCAAUAAACAAACAAAUGACAGUAGAUCUCUCUUGUGUCAAAUUUGACAGUAGAAGCUGAGAGGUCAACUAUAUGUCGGCAAUUCCAUUGGAGAAGGUUAGGGCAAUCAUUUCCUACCGUUAGACCUCCAUGUGGAAUUUGACAAUUUCAUUGGAGAUGCUCUUAAGACUUCAAAAAUUGGCCAAAUUACUACCCAACAUUUUCGAUAUACAAAGAGAUAUAAGUUAAGAGUAAUCUCAUCUAGAAUUUUUUUUUUUACUCAUCUAGAAAAUUUGAGUGACAAAGUGAAGAGUAAUCCAUACAAACAAUUGGAGAAAAUGGAGUACAUUUCUCUCGUCCAUACCAAGCAAAUGAAUCGUCUUGCAUAUCUAAAGUUGGCGAAACUUGUAUACUGCUGCUACAACAUGAAGUUGUCACUAUGUAAUAGACAAACAAUGAUAGACCAAAUAAAUUAAAGAACAAAAUACUGGUCAAUCCUCUUAUUUUUGAGGUUUCGACAGUAUAAUUCUCUUUUUCUCAAUUUCGACAUGUCACUCUUAUUAUUUUCAAUGUCACACAAUUAGGUUAAACCGUCUACUUUUCAUCUAAUUUCAUCGUUAAGUUGUUGAACUGUCAUUUUCUCUCAUGCCAAGUCAGCUGAAUGAAGGGUAAAAUCAGUUAAACACCCUUUGGCUUCUACAUAAAAAAAAAAGAUGGAAAUCCGUCCAAAACUGAAACCAUUUCCCUCCAAAAUCAUUGUGCAAGAUAGUCAUUAAAAUUCAAGCUUCAAGAACUGAAGCAUAACUUAUAUAGAAAAGAAAAAAAAAAAAAAAACUGAAGCAUAACUGAAGGAAACUAAAUAAAAAACAAAUUUCACCUACAUUCAUAAAUAGGUCAUUCAUAAUACUGUUAUUGUCACCAAAAAUACAUUGCAUAUUUUUCAAAAUUAGCAAGCCAAUCAAUAAAGUGCUAAUUUACCUGAUGCAAUUUUUGUUAUGGAGGGAUUUCCAUACAAUUUUUGUUAGAGAAGCGGGAAAAUAAACCAAAAGGUGUUAUAGUGAUUUUAUCUUUCAUUCAGCUGACUUAACAUGAGAGAGAUAAAUGACAGCUAACAACUUAACGGUAAAAUUGGAUGGAAAGUAGAUAGUUGGACCUAAUUGUGUGACAUUAAAAAGUAAUCGGAGUAAACUGUCGAAAUUGAGAAAAGGAGGAUUAAAGUCGAAACCUCAAAAAUAAGAGGAGUGACUAGUAUUUUGUCCUAAAUUAAAACCCAUAUAUCGAUUCACUUCAUAUUAUUAGUGAGCCACUUUAUAAUGACAUUGAUCCGUUUUAAGACGAAAACAAUAAAUAUGGUUUUAUAGAUAUAAUCAACACGAAGAAGUAGAUGGGUGUUAGUCAUCCAGUUGAAUUCAUCGUUAUUAUCCUCUUAUUAGGGAAUUCUAGAAAAACAGUAUUUUAUAGAAAAAUAGUUGACAGAUCUAAAAAGAUAUAUAACAACGCUACCAUCAGUACUAUAUGAGUCACCCGAAGUCUGAUAAUUGUACUUUUAUAGAUCAGUGCAUCUUUUCAGCCACCCCGUGUCCAUUUCUGAAAUACUGGAUGUAGUAUCACUAGUAUGUACGUGAUACAAUAAGGAAUGACAUUGAUCAGACCCGCUCACCUGCGGGACUGAAUUUGAGGGACAAAACGAGACACUUCAUUUGUAGCCAUUAGAUCUAAAUGAGAGAAAUAUGAGGGGUGAGACAAACUUUACACACUUUUUUUUGAUCCACCCAAUCCCUUACCCUUCCCCAAUCUAAAUGAGAAAGGAAGUAGGCGGAGUGCAAAAACUCUUCCCCAAUCUAAAUGAGAAAGGAAGAGGCGGAGUGCAAAAACUGAAGGAGUGGAGGACCGGAGGGGUAAGGGAUUGGGUGGAUAAAAAAAAAGUGUGUAAAGUUUGUCUCACCCCUAAGAUUUCUCUCAUUUAGAUCUAAUGGCUACAAAUGAAGUGUCCCGUUUUGUCCCUCAAAUUCAGUCCCGCAGGUGAGCGGGCCUGUGACAUUGAUAUAUUGGAAAAAAUUUCCCCGAUACAUUUCCCCAAAUGGGCCGGGUUGAUAUGUUAUCCGUAUAAUCUAAAACCCUAAACCCCAGAACCACAGUGUCCGUAUAAUCUAAAACCCUAAACCUAUGGGCAGAGUCCCAGAUAAUUUAACUAUAUGCACCUCAUUUUUUCUCCCUGCGCCUCAAGAUUUCGCUGUGAUCGAACCAGCUCUCCCAUCCAGUGUGUCGAAAGUAGUCCAAUUGUGAUCUCAAGAUUUCCUCUCUCAUCUCCGCGCCUCACUUUUCCUCUCUCACCCAAUCUGUUUUUCUCUCUCGAAUUUCCGAAAUCCGGACAAAAUCUGAAGGAUUGCUCGAUUGUACGUCUUAAAUCUACAACCCAAGCAAGCCAUCGAGUGCUUUUGAGGUAAUUUUUCUAACCCAAUCUGAAGUGAUUUUAUGGUCGGAAUAAAAUGGAGUUUAAUGGGUCGCUUCUAAUUUGUAGGAAACUAAUGAUACAAGGCUUAUGAGGUAGUGAGUUGUACGGUUUAGGGUUAUACUGUGGCAGAAAAGCUCAUUCUAUCAUUGCUGUAGUAUGAAAUAGAUUUCCAGUUCCUUGGAACUAGAUCAAGGGGAACUAGCUUCAGUGUCAUGAGCCAUUAUAGUUUAUAAUUUGAGAACUAUCAGGCUUUGUAGCUUUUAGUUUUACACUUGAAAAUUCCCAGAACCUUCCUGUCUACGUAUAAACAAUUGAUGAUAAGCCGCUAUUAACCAAUAUCAAAACAAACAUGAAUACCAUUUCAAUUGUCUUAUCGUAUGUUAGUAUUAUGUUAUCUUUGACAAAGUUAUGUUAUCUUCCUGUCUACUGGAGUUGACUCAAGUGUUUUGAAAUGUCUAUUAGGAGAUUAAUUUUCAGUCUGUUGGAAAUGGCAUGCUAGCGGUUUGAAAUUCUAUAUCAUCUUUUUGUUAAGAAGAAUAAAAGGCCAAUAGCAAAUACAAAUUGGAGGAUAGAAAGAUGACAGUUAGACCGACUGAUCAAAAUGCUCAAUCCCAAAUGUCUCAUUGCAUUUUUUCAUCUUUAAUUUCUUUUAAGUAGAGUUGUCAUGAUCAGAAAAUUUCACACACAUGGCCAUGUUUAUAGAUUAAGUGAAUUGAAGUUGGCAUGUUUUUUUUUUACACAGAAUAUUGUGUACAUGAUGAAUGCAAUAAGGUGGUCCCAAACUCAGGGAGGUAAUUUUUUUUGUGAUUUGGUUCAGACACUACUACAAAGGACUAAAGGAGUACUAUGCAUAAUAAUAUAAUCCGUAUUGCUAGAAAUUUCAUGAUGGCAUACUUAUCUGCAUAAUAAAAGAAUCAGUUUGACUAUUCUCUUUUCAGUCAAGAUUGCUUUUUCUGUGCAGCUAAAGAACUGCUCAACAUACUGAUUUAUCAAUGUGGUUUCUUUUUUGUUCCAAUUAUGUUCCCUCUAAUUAAAAGUUAUGUUAGUGAUGAAUUAAGAUAACCGGGUGUUCUCUUUCAAGCUGUUUAAGUGCUGUUUUGUUAUAAUUAUGUCUUUAAAUAACUAAAAGGGAUGAAGGAAAGGGCUGAAUAUAUACUCCAGUAGAUAGUUCUUCGAUCAUGUUGUAUUUUGAUAUUGUGAAAGGAUGAUUAAUUGAUUUUAGAGUUCAGCUACAAAUUUUCUGUUGUUUGGAAUUGAUCAUAGAUACCGAGUUGUAAGACCAAUCUUAUUAAGCUGUUUGUUGGAUUUUGCAUCGAUUCUUAUCAAUAUUUUUCUAUUUUUGUAGGUUCUGAUUAAAGUCUCUGGGAGUCGGUCUCUAUUUCGAAGCUCUAGGUUCUUUUCCUUCUACUUGAUUGAAGGGUAUGUCUUUAUUUUUUCUUUUUAAUUUUGUUGUUCUGUUUUGCCAUUUGGGGGUUUGAUUCUAUUGGUCGGAAUGAUAAAACUAAAUGUAUGAUACCCUGCAGUCCUUUAUUCUUAUCUCAUCUAUUAUGUUUCAAUCUCAUGCCCAAACUAUGUGUAUGAUAUCCAAUGCACUAAGGCUUUAGGUUGAUAGCUUUCAUAAUCAUAAGAAAACCCUGUAACAUCGGUUUCCCGAAUGUAAAAAUAAUAUAUUCUGUUUCUUAUCUUCAGCUGAAAAAAAAAUGAGGCCCCACAUUAAUUUGAGUGAUACAAGUUUAUCAGUACAACUUCAAAAUGAGAGACUGUUUAUGGAGAAGCUUUGAAUUUUAUUUAAACUGCUAUAUAAACAACACGCGUUGGUUAAUUUGAUUCUGAAAGUGUUAAUCUUUAGUUUCUCUUGGUUUUGAUUGCAGCACCUGUAUGCACCUAAUUGGAGCAACUUUGGAGUAGAGAAAACUCUCUGUAAUAAUCAAUAUCUUGGUCGAUGUAAGUAUUAAUGCAUAUUCAUAUGUUUCUGUGGUUAGAGAUGGUGAAUUUUUCUACAAGUUAUAUGAUUUAGGUCUGGAUUGAAAACAAUUGGUUUCGAACUGAGAUUUUAGUUUGUUUAUAUCAUGGUCUUUACAUGGAAGCAGUAAUUAUGCCUCAUGGUAGUGUAAACUAAUAUCAAAAGUUUUGUAUAAGCCUUUAGCUGACAAAGUUUGAUCAACAAAGUAUAAGUCUUUGAGUCACAACGAUUAGCUGAAAAUGUUGUGAAUUUUGAUUCUUCAUUUACUGAUCAACUUGCAUAAUAACUAAUUUGGCCUCUACUGAAACAAGCUUCAUGGGUUUUAAUUUUAGUGAGUAAAGAUUUUACUUUUCUUAUCAUACAGUGUCUAUUCUAUUGUUUGCUUGAUAUUAUCUUGAUGAUGAAACCAAUUGAUGAUGCGAACCGGGAACCUGACAUCAUUUAUGGCCAUGAAUCUGACAGAUUCAGUUGAAGACUAAUCCGAGAAAUGGAUGUAAAAUAGCUUAUGGAUAAUGAAAUAUCUUUUGUUGAUUCAGCUGAUGGAUUUGGUCCUUUGCUCACAUAUAUAGUUUCAGCUUAUGGUUCUUAGUUUAUAUCUCUGAUUUAUUUCCAAAACAACAUGCUAAUUUCCUUUAUUGUACCUUUUCAGAGUCUACAAAGGCUGAAGAGAAAGAACAUGUUGAGAAUUCAAAGUAUAAGGAUUUGGUGCUAAAAUUGCAGGUUAGAUUUGGUGUAUUUAAUUUGAUUAGAUUUGCUCUUUGAUUAUUGAGGUGUUCUUCGACUUCUUUGUGUUUAGAUGCCAUUCUUAUAGAUUGAUUCUUUUAUUUCAGACGAUAGUUGCUGCUCUAUUUACUAAUAUUUACAGCCUUAGGGUUUACGAAAUGUUGUUAUUACGUAUUAGUAUUGCUUCUCUACGAAUUCGUAAAGAUUUAGUUAAAGUUACAUUUUAAGUAUUAGAUCCAUUAAAAUGAUAUUGUUAAUUUUUCUUAACUGUUAAAGUGCACUUAUAGUCAUCUAUUCUUAUGCUUAUGUGUGUUUUCUAUAUGCUAUGGUUCAGGUACAGACUGUUGUUGCUUGAACCAGCCAAAUUGGUGGGAAAGAAGUGUUUAGAAGUGCUCUACAUCACAGGUAUAUCCAUUCCACAGACUAGAAUUUACGUCCCUUCGGUGUGGGAAUGUAGAGUGUGAGCUCUUUGUUUCAUAUAUUAUUUAGAAAUGUGAGCCAAGGUAUACUAUUUGCAAAGUUAAAAAUCCCGCCCAACAUACAGAUGGAUGCAUAAACAUAUACAUGAUAGUUAGCAUUGAUAGAUUACAAAUUCUUUCAUAAGGUACAAACAUUAUAUAUUAUCAAAAAAGCUUAACAAAACUCAUUUAUUAUUUUGCUUUCUUAUGUGAACUCAGAGUAGAAUAUAUAUAGGUCCAAUAAAAAUGCUGACCAAAAAAGAUACUAACAAGUUAUUCUUGAUAUUUGUAUUUUUCUUAUUCUGAUCAUGUAAAAACAUGUUAUAAUUAUUUCGUAAAAAAGUACAACUGAAUUAUUGAGAUUGCUUAGGGCUCAGAUUGGAAUCAGUUCAAACAUAUACCGACUUAUCAGUUCUGGUUCAUCCUCCUCUGUUUGUCAUAUGCAGAUUUUAUGCAAAAGGUUCUCCAACUCACCUGUUUGCUACUGUUCCUCACUUUGGUCUUCUGCAUUAACUUAGUUGCUUUUUGUUACACAGAUUUGUACUCCGGUAAUAUCUUCGCAUCUUUAUAAACUUUGGAAAGCUAUCUGUAUUGUUAGAAUUAUACUAAUUCCACUUUUUGUGCUCUGUAGAUUUGGAUGGUUAGGGUUUAUCACAGAAGUCACAAAAUCAUAUGAUACAAACUCUGCAAAAUUCAAACCCGCAGCAAAGCGCGGGCAUAUUUCUAGUUCUGAUAAAAACACUCUACCACCUUAACACGGCCGGGUGUCCCAACAACAACAACAGCAGACGCAAAUUCCAUCUCUCCUGCAUUUCCAAUACUGGGUAUUAAUCUCAAACUAACUCUUCUGCUUACAGCGACUAAAAAUUCAGAUUGGAUCCUUGAUUGCUUUCAUUUUCUACUACUCCUUCUCCUUUUGCUUUGAUUGCUGGUUUGUUUUCAUGUGUAUGCUUUUGUGUGCUCAAGUUGGAGUGUGUUAUGGAAUAUGGAUUAUAUCAGCUGGUUUGAGUAUUUAUAGGUAUGUUAGAGGAAUAGAGGGUACUUGCCAGAAGUCAAGUUGUUCGUGUCAUUGAUUUUUGUUUCGAAUUCUGUGAUUUAGUUCAUUUAUAUCUAAUAGCCGAGCCCAGCUUCGUAUUGGAAUCCUGGUUUGAACACUGAUCUUGACCACUGAGAUUUUCUCCAAGACCUUCAUGUAUGUUCAGGUACUCGUUCGCGUUAUCUCUCUUCUUCUUCUCCUUCCAAUAUAAACGUCUACUGAGUGAGAGUCUUGAAUAUGGAUGACAGUUGAUCUAGAAAUUCAUGAUAUUUCAUAUUUUGGUGUAACUUUUCCUAAUUUGAAAAAUACAUAAAGCAUGUGACCUUUUCUUUUAGUAAUUGGAGGUAUUAUGCAGUUCGUGAUAUUUAGAUUGUAUGAAUUCAAUUGUUUGAUAUGAUUGUUUUUGAGCUGUAUUAGUCACAUUCAGGGUAUAACAUUAUUUCCCUUGUUUUGGAUUGCAUGCUUAAUCUGUAAAUACAAAUGAAAUUGAUUGAAUUUCAUCAAUAGGAAGGAAUAUGCUAUUGGUAUAGUUUCGUUUCUUAGCUUAUCCACUGUCUGGCUGAUGGUUUCGAAUAUUUCAUUCCAGUUUGGUGCCCACCUGCAAAGGUAGGCAUGCUUGCAAAAGUUUCCCCUCACUGCAAGUCUGGUACCAAUUCUUCUCGACAGCUACAAAUACUUUGCCUUUUGUAUCAGAUGGCUUUGGAAAUGAGACCAGAAGAGUUGAUAUCGGUCAUCUAUUUCAAUCCUGCACAAAACUUCACCAUGCAAAGCGUCUCCAUGCUCUUCUUGUGGUGUCAGGAAAAGCUCAAGAUAUCUUUCUUUCUGCCAAACUUGUCAAUCAGUAUGCUUACCUUGGUGAUGUCUCAUUCUCACGCCGCGCUUUUGAUUCGAUGCCUAGAAAGGAUGUCUAUACCUGGAAUUCGAUGGUAUCAGCAUAUGUUCGCAGCGGACGUUUCCAAGAAGCUGUUGAUUGUUUCUCUCAAUUUUUGGUAACCUCUGGUCUUCGACCUGAUUUCUACACAUUCCCUCCUGUCUUGAAAGCAUGUGGGAAUCUAAAUGUUGGGAAGAAGAUCCACAGUUGGCUCAUAAAGCUGGGUUUGGAAUGGGAUGUUUUUGUGGCUGCUUCCUUGAUCCAUAUGUAUUCACGGUCUGGAUUGAUUAGCGUUGCUCGUAAAUUGUUUGAUGAGAUGCCAUCCCGGGAUAUGGGUUGUUGGAAUGCAAUGAUUUCUGGGUUUUGUCAGAAUGGGAAUGCAGCGGAUGCAUUAGGUGUCUUGAUUGAAAUGAGAUCGGAGGGUGUAAAGAUGGAUCCUAUUACUGUUGCAAGUCUACUGACUGCUUGUGCACAAUCAGAUGAUUCCUUAAGUGGGAUCCUGAUCCAUCUGUAUGUUGUAAAGCAUGGACUAGAGUUUGAUCAGUUUGUAUGCAAUGCCUUGAUUAACAUGUAUGCUAAAUUUGGUUGCUUGGGACGUGCCCAGAGGGUUUUUUAUGAAAUGGAGGUAAGAGAUUUGGUGUCAUGGAACUCAAUAAUUGCUGCAAAUGAGCAGAAUGGUGAGCCAAUGGCUGCGCUAGGAUUCUUCAACAGGAUGCAACUAUCUGGAGUUAAGCCUGAUUACUUGACAGUAGUGAGUUUGGCUUCGAUUAUAGCUCAAUUAAGUGAUGCUGAAAUGGGUAGGUCUGUUCAUGGAUUUAUUUUGAGGAGAGACUGGUUCAAGGAAGAUGUUGUUAUUGGGAAUGCAGUUGUGGACAUGUAUGCAAAGUUGGGUGCUAUAGAUUCUGCACGUACUGUCUUUGAAAGACUUCCUGUCAGGGAUGUGGUUUCGUGGAAUACUUUAAUCACGGGUUACACUCAAAAUGGCCUUGCAAGUGAGGCAAAUGAAGUUUACUGUAUGAUGCAAGAGUGCGAAGAAAUAAUUCCAAACCAAGGAACUUGGGUUAGCAUUCUACCUGCACAUACCCAUUUAGGGGCCUUGCAACAAGGGAUGAAAAUUCAUGGGCGGGUGAUCAAGAACCGUCUUUACUUGGAUGUAUUUGUGGGUACAUGCUUGAUUGACAUGUAUGGAAAAUGUGGGAGGCUAGAUGAUGCAUUGUCGUUAUUCUACCAAGUGCCCAGAUGUCCGGUCGCUUGGAAUGCCAUGAUUUCCUGUCUUGGCGUUCAUGGGCAUGGCGAGAAAGCUGUGAAGUUAUUCAAAGAUAUGAUUGAUGAGGGGGUUAAGCCAGAUCACAUAACCUUUGUAUCUCUAUUGGCAGCUUGUAGUCAUUCAGGUUUGGUCAAUAAGGGUGAAUUGUACUUCCAUAUGAUGCAGAAAGAGUAUGGAAUCAAGCCUGGUUUAAAUCACUAUGGCUGCAUGGUAGAUUUGCUUGGCAGAGCUGGGCAUUUAGACAAGGCAUAUAGUUUUAUUAAGACUAUGCCUGUACAGCCUGAUGCUUCUGUAUGGGGGGCACUACUUGGUGCUUGUAGAAUACAUGGUAAUGCUGAAUUGGGGAAAGUUGCUUCAGAGGGCUUGUUUGCUGUUGAUUCGGAGAAUGUGGGCUACUAUGUUUUGUUGUCAAAUAUAUACGCAACAACCGGGAAAUGGGAAGGUGUGGACAAAGUGAGAUCUAUGGCUAGAAACCGCGGACUGAGGAAGACUCCUGGGUGGAGCUCAAUAGAAGUUAACAAUAAAGUUGAUGUCUUUUAUAAUGGGAACCAAACGCAUCCACUAUGCGAACAGAUAUACCAGAAGUUGGGGGAACUAACUGAGAAAAUGAAGAGCCUUGGUUAUGUUCCUGACUUCAGCUUUGUGUUGCAGGAUGUCGAGGAUGACGAAAAGGAGCAUAUCCUCAACAGUCAUAGCGAGAGAUUGGCAAUUGCUUUUGGAAUCAUUAGCACACCUCCUAAAACCCCUAUCCGAAUCUUCAAAAACCUGAGGGUUUGCGGUGAUUGCCACACUGUGACGAAACUCAUAUCAGUAAUUACAGAGCGGGAGAUCAUUGUGAGAGAUUCAAACCGCUUUCACCAUUUCAAGGAUGGAACUUGCUCUUGUGGCGAUUAUUGGUGAAAAUUGGAAUCGAUAGAACAGUUGUGUCAUUGCCAAAUGGGCAAGAGGCUCAGACCAAAAGAGAAAAUGUACAAGAGGCUUCAACUGCAACCAACUGAUGCUUAGAUGUGAAGGGAAGCCAGCAACAAACAACAUUAGCUGUUGAUGAUUUGGCUUCCACCUCAGUUGUGAUUCAUUCACAAUUGCCAGCUUGUUUUCAGUCACCUUGCUUCACUUUGAGAUCAUGAGAAAAGGAAAAGAAAACCAAAAUCCAAGCAGUUUUUGUGUUACAGAUGUUUAUUUGAUUAAAAUAGUCCUGCUCUGAGGUGGCAUUCCACCAAACCUUUUAUCUAUAACAACCUUUCCCCCCAAAUCCACUCCCCCUAAUCUUACUACGAAAUCCACGACGUGGUGUACAUUGACGGCGAGUUCAUGGCCGACCCUCAUGCACCUCCGCCUUGGCCUCUCUUCAAGCAGAACUCAUGGUCGCCGGACAUACUCCGUGAGGAGACAUGGCAGCGUCAAAAGAGCAAUUGGGGCACACGGAGUCUCAACCGCAGCAAAAGCAUUUCAAACGACGACUUGGAGGAACUGAAAGCCUGCAUUGAGCUGGGAUUCGGGUUUGAUUCACCGGAAAUUGACCCCAAACUCCGCAACGCCUUACCUGCAUUGGAGUCUUACCAUGCCUUACAUAAGCAGCAGUUCAGUAAAAGCUUAUCAACAGGUUGGUUAACAUGAUGAAAUUUUUUCUUUUUCCUGAUCCAAACUCCAAAGGGUCGUUGAUUCAUUGACUUAUUUGUGUUUGUUUUCCAGAAAGGGAUGAUGCAGAGGUGGUGAAGAUGAGGUUAAAGCAGUGGGCGCUAUUGGUUGCCUGUGCGGUCCGGGAAUCUUCUUCUUCCGGAAGAUAAAAAGUCGAUCAGGAGUUCAUCUUCUGUUACUAAUUUCGAAUUAAUUAUCACAAAUUGUAAAGCUUCUAUUUCUCAUUGUAAAGUAAAGGGAAAUUACCAUGCACCAGAAAGUAUUAUAAUUUUAGCUCCAACACAUUGCUUUGGUAAGCAAAUAAUAUAGUUCUUCUGCAAAAUCCAACAAAUCUUCCUUUCCCAUUCAAUUGCCUUGAGCUUCCUCAUUAAUUUCCCUGAAAGGACAUGAAUAUGCAUUUCUAGACAUGUCUGGAAUACACAUUAAUCCAGUUGUUGACACAUCAGGGUCCGAGAAGGUUGUGGAGAGUCGAAUACCAUUUGAAACAACGACAUUUCAGUUUGGUGUCACGUCGCGAGUUCGACACUACUGACAUAUUUUUUAUCAUACCAAUUCUCACUCGACACAUAUGAAGUCAAUUGAUUGCAACUUUCUAACAAUCUUCUAUCCAAAAAUAUCAUGGAUUUUUUUUUUUCUUUGAAAAUAUCAGGAUCAGGAUUUUUUAUUUAUUGAAAAAUAUCAAAAGAAAAUCAUAGCUCUCAACAACCCUCUUCAUUUUAUCACAAACUCACCUAUCAUUUUAUCACAAACUAGACUUUUACCCAUGCAUUUGCACGGACUCAAAAUUUUCUAAUAAUACAGUUAAUGAAUCUCUUGGUCAGCUACUGACCAAGUGAACAUGACUAAUACAGUUAUUAUAUCCGGUUAUACAACUUACUACCCACUUUUCCUUUCUUAAUUAUCUCUUCAUUUUAUUUAUUUUGUUAUUUUUUUAUUUACCAUAGUAUCAUUUUUUUUAAUAGUCUGAAUUAGCUUAAUAGGAGUAUUAUUAACAAAACAAAAUUUGAUAAUUUCCAACUUGUUGGGUUUAUAGUAGUAGAGAAUAGAGAUUAGCUAAAAAACUUAACAGGGUCGCUUAUCGUAAAUCUCUGAUCUUUUCCCUUGCGAGCUCUCUCUUCCAUCAUGUGUCUUCCGUCGGCUGCAGUCUCACACUUGUCCUCUCUACACACGCAAGCAGACAAUCAACUCUCAAAAUAUCCAAACACACCCGCGCGUGAGAAACACUCGCCCGCACCGCCUAUCCCUCUCUCCCUAUCGGAUGCUAAAUAUUAAAACACAAAAUAUCUGGAUGACCUCGGACUCAAAGAAAGAUAUUUCGGAUAGCCGACGUGGCACCACUUGACACGUGGAAAAGGCAUGCCAUGUGGCCACUUUUAUGGGCCCCAUCACAAAAACUAAAAUAAAAUAAAGUCCCUCUUAUUCUUCUUGCAUUCUUCACACCUCUCCGGCGAGAUUAGAGAAAGAGAGAGAGAGAGAGAGAGAGAGAGAGAGAGAGAGAGAGAGAUUGAGCAAAACGCACCGUUUCGCAUUUCUCCGAUCAGAAAAAUAGAAACCUGCAAAUGGAAGAGCAGCUUAUCCCGCCGCUGAAAUCGGAUCCCGAGUUCACAAGCGAGUUGACUCGCACCAUUAUCUCCAACUCGGCCUCGUCCGCCUCCGUUGCUCUCGGGACUCCUGUGCAUGCAGCACCGGUAAAUCUCUGUUCUUCACUGUAAAUAUCGAUUUUGAGUUUCCGUCCUGAUUUUUCUUUUAAUUUAUUUUGUCCAUUGUGCUUUGAUGGCGCUUUGCAUGUCAUUUUUCUUUUUUUUGAAUCAGAGAAUUUUCUUUGUUUCUGGCUUUGAUUAGCUAGUUAUGUGUAUAUAUUUGUUUUUUUAGAAGAAAAAUGCUGGAUUAGAGAUGGAGAUCUCAUUUCUCUGGAGGUGUAAUUUUGGUUGAGAAAUAAAUGAUGUCAUUUCUGUUUUGACUCAUGUGGAAAGAUAUUUUGGGAUGGAUUCAGAGGUUCAUAGUGGUGAACAUGGUUUUCUGUUGAUUCUUUAGUUGAGUUUUCAAUUUUGAGCAAGGUUUUGAGUUUAGAAUUGAAUUCGUGUGGGAUUAUGAGUCCGGGAUCUGGUACUGAAUUAUGGAUGUUUUUCCUUCCUUAUCGAUACGACAGUUUGUUACCUAUUUAGGAAUUGAUUCAAUUGAAGGUGAAAUAGACAGUUUAAACUGAUUAGUUCAAGGGAUCUACAAUGUUGCCCUUCUGUAACGACCGUUUGUGGCCCACUUUUGCGCUGGCGUAUUCUAGAUUUCUCCACAUUUCUUACACAAUAAUCAUGAAAGUGAAAACAAACAAAUGUAUGUGCUGCCCGAGCUUAGCAAUAUCAAGUAAAUCUCUUGCAUCUUAGUUCCUGAUCCAUGCAUUCAAUGUAAUUUGGGAAUUUAGCUUUACAUAGACGUCCAAGUGUCUCCUCGCUCUCUAUUAAUUGUUUUUAUCUUUCAGUAAUUUAUUAUACAAUUUCUGAAUGCAGGUUCUAGUCUAUACUUUAUAAAUAACAAGCCCUAAGAUUUUUGUUUUGUUUUUUAUUGUUUUUUUUUUUUUUUUUUUUUUUUCGUUUUCUGCUAUUAGCCACAAGCCUACCACCUCUUCCAUCUGCUUGCCUGUGAAUAAUUUGAAAAAGAAAAGGUGUGGCUGGCGCCUACUACAGUUAACUAUUAUGAAUUUGCAAUUUUCAAAUUGGAAAUGAAUGUAGGAAAAGUUUAUUUUAUGGUUUUGUUCUACUUCAACUGUUGAAAUUUUCCUCAAGAUCUGAAUUAAGCUCCUUUCUUCCUUUUGUUCACUUGAUUGUGAUAUUCCAUUUCAGGGCAUACCCAUAGAGUGGACAAAUGAGAAGCAUAGAUCGUAUAUAAAUUCCCUAGAAACAUCAUUUGUUAAUAAGUUGUACCAGUCCAGGCGUUUGUGGGACUGCCAUCCACAAAUGUAUGUUCAGGGGGCACAUCCAUCACAAGAGUUGCCUUUCAGGACUUAUAAUUCUUCUGACCAGGUCCGGGAGUCAAAUCUGGUAUAUAACUGUUGUCUGUGUGAGCAUGUUGGUUUAUCUGGAAUCUUAUUCAUUUCCCUUCCUGUAUUUCUUAUCUUCUUGAAUUGUUGCAGUUCAUGGUUGUUCGAGAUAGGCGUUCUCAGAAGAUCAUCUCUCUAAGGAAUGAAACUCCGCUGGAAAGCACUGCUGAUUCUAACGUUACUGUGGAAAGGCCCAGGAUGGAUAAUAUUGUGUCUUGUUAUAAGGAGAUCCACUUAAGAAGGAAACCGACCUCAGAACACUUGGGUGUAACCGCAAGAAGUUCCGAGAAGAACCCUGCAUUUCGUCAGGAUUUAGUUGGCAGUACUGCAGGUAAUGCUGAGUCUGACUAAUUUUCCUUGACCUUGCAAAUUUGUCCCUUAAUUUUCUAAUAAUUUCGGUAAUUGCUUCCAAAACCAAUCUCUGCCUUACAUAAAGUUGCCAGAAGUUUCUCCGAUAUAUUGUAAAUUGCUUUCUGCAGUAUGCAAACCCCUCCAGCUUAUUUAUGUACAUUAACAAAAGCAGGAAGUUUUUUAUGUGUUGUUCUCCUGGACUUACCUCAUUUCUACUUAAACCCACCUACUCACAUGUUGGGAAACUUAGCAUUAUCUUUGAUCUUUCCACUCUCCCUGGAAUCAAUAAGGGUUCGGUAAUUGCUAAAUGCCUUUAAAUCAUUAAGGGUUCCAUUAGUUUCUUUGUUUGCUUUGUUAUUUCUAAAAAUUGGUAGCUUUGAGCAAAUUAGUAACUGAUUUUACUUUUGUUGAAGUUUUUGUGUGGAAGAUUAGUUUCAAGGCUAUUUUUAAUCUAAAUCUUUGUCUCUCAACAGAAGUUUCGGGUCAGAACUUUGUGGAGGAGGACCAUAGAGGGAAGCCAAGCUGUGAAUUCAUACCAAAAAGGCUUAGAAGGGCAGCCGAUACUUCCAGCAACGAUCAAGUAAUGUCCAUGAUUACUUCAAAAAGAAUAAUUUAAUUGCCUCACUUAUCAUGAUUCAGAUAACAUGAUUAUUUUUCAGUCUUGGUUAUUUGGGUACUUACUUUUGUUAAUUUGCUGGUAUGUCCUCUUUCCAGCUUGUGCCAUUGGGAUAUGAUACAAAAGAGGUUUCAAUGGCCCAUAACGCUCCCUCCAAAGGAGAAGAACAAGAGCAUCAUCAAUUGCUAUUGGAACACCAUGAGAGCUUCAUCUGUCCAAAAUCUAUCUUUACUGUUUCUUAGUGGGCAGCUUGGUUGCAAGUUGCAACUCAGUACUGGAGUUUAAGUAGAUACUGAUAGAUUGAAACAAACUGGAGAUAAUCUUAUUCUUUCCAUUCUCUGCUAUUUGCGGUAAUGCUAUCGAAAGACUAGGAAAUAUAUAUGUAUCUGUUAUGAUCCAAGUAUGGUGGUGGGUGGAUGGAUGGAUGGAUAUAGGGAGUAGGUUUAGUUGAUAAAUAGUAGUAGCUUUAGGUUUCUCGGUCAUUUGCCAUCACCUCACCAGUUUUGUUGUUGUUUGUGCAUUUCAAGUUGAAGUGCGCUGUUUAAAGAAAAUGUAGAAGGUAUGUAGUAGUGGAGUCUCCAUCCCAACUCCAUGUAUUACAUUUGUAUCUAAAGGCAUUUUGGCCAUUCGGUAGUAAACUCGUAAGUGAAUUUAGUCAUGCUCUCUGAUGGCAUGGUGAACCAUUGUACACUUGCCUCCUUUGUGUCUAUUAUGUAUGUUCUAUCAUGCUUUUACAUAUCAUACGGAUUCAUGCAAAAAUAGUAGUUAACGCAGAUCAAAAUAUGCUUUGAAUGAGUAGGAGAUAUGAAUAAUGUUAUCGAGAGAAGAAAAAGAUCUCCUAUUUGUGUUUUUGUUUUUGAAAAUAGAUCUCCUAAUGGUAUUCACAUAGAAUGAAACACACAUUUUUUUGGUACGUUAUGUUAGAACUUAGAAGAAUGAAGUAUACAAAGAUAACCUCCUCUAAAAAUAAAACAAAGAUAACACAGAAGCAUGUGACAUAUGCUUUUGUAGUUUUGUUAUUAAACACUUCCUUUCAUGAUGCCAUUUUCCACCACACUCCUCCCUUUUCAUGAUGCAGUUGCCACCACACUCUCAAGUCUUAACGACUCAACCUACCUCUGCAGAAUAUAAGCGCCAAAUUCAUCAAUUGAAUUAUUAAUGUGAAGUUUACACAAUGCGUGCUGUUUUGAGAGUUUAAUUAUUUAAAAUUUAUUUAUUAUUCAGUUUUUAACAUUAUCUCUUUUAGUUAACGAUAAAAAAAAAUGUUAUUCUUUUUAGUUAGAGAGAUCGAGUUAAUAAGAAAUCGACAUAAUGUCCAUAACAAACGUAUGACUGAAAAUUCUUCUAUGCACAAAUAUACAAAUGAAUCGAGCAACUAGUAUGACACGUAAACAUGACAGAUAUAUUUUCAAAGUAAGAUAUUACAUGAAAGCGAACAGCAAAUGCAUGCGAUUAGAUAUAAAAAUAGCAACAUAACUAGAGGUCUCAAUUCUGAAAGAGCAAACACUGAAAAAUGCGAACCAAAUUUUCAAAUCGUCAAGCUUUGAAAGUUUCCAAACUUUCCAUGUUUGUCCAACCCGACUCUGCCACCGUGGUUAUCCUUGCGUCUCCUCCAAAAAAACCCAAUUGAAUUCUCCGACUCUUCCACCUUGUUGACUUGAAACUAAAGCAAUAAAACCAAACCCAUUUCCUUCUCUCUCGAAACCCCCACGAUGCUUCUUCUCUGCUAAAACCCCCCAUUUCUUCUUCCUCUCUUUCUCGCCAAAACAAACCAGAGAGACCCAUUUCUUGAUGGGUGUGUUUUCGUUUCAACGAGGAUCGAGAACCGCGACGACCCACGAAGCCUUGCCGGUCUCCGGCGCCGGUGCUUCCUCGCCGGCGACGAACAAGCGACGAUGGUCCAAUCUUAUGCCGUUCGUCGUUGCGUUUGUGGUCAUUGCGGAGAUCUCGUUUCUGGGUAAGCUUGAUUUGGCGAACAAGGCUGCGUUGGUGGAUUCGUGGACGGAGUUGUUCUCGCCGAUUCCGAUGGUGAGUGGUCGUGAGGAUUUGGGCCUGGCCGGUGAUGAUUUGGGCCUGCUGACCUGUGAGGAAUGGUUGGAGAGAGAGGAUGCUGUUGAGUAUUCCAGAGAUUUUGCGAAGGAGCCUGUUUUGGUCUCUGGGGAUGAGAAGGUGUGUAGUUCUAUAAACUAGUUUGAAAUGUUUUCCAAAUGCUUUGCGUAUUGUGUUCUUAUUGUUUCUGAGUUUUCGGCUUUUCGGUUUGAUUAUGAUCAUGUACUUGUUGUUUGCAAGUUCUUGUUUUUAUCAUUGAGUUUGAGAAUUGGGAGGAAAAUUGGUUCUUAGACGACAUAUAUCCUUGUUAUCGAAAGAUGGAUAUGAAGGUUGGGUAUUUGCUUUCUUAACAUUAUGUUAGUGUUGGCUAGUUCUUGUUACACUACUUAAGCUAUUGAUACUUGAGUAAGAGGAGGAUUAUAUCGGUCAGUGUGUUAGUCUCGUGUAGAGAGUGGUGCAGCUAUGAUGGGACCUAGAACAUUUUAGUUGUUGGGUUGAAGGCCAUAUUUUAAUUACUGUUGAGCAAAAGAACGAGAAAGAUUUGGAUUGUGAUGACUCGAGAGAAUGGAAAGUUUGUGACUUUGUGCAAUGGACAGUAGUUGACAAAGUGUGGCAGUGAGGUAUUUUGUUGGUGAAGUUGAUAAUUCUUUUAUUCUUUUGGGUCACAAAGACCAUCUGUAGAACAUACCAUGUGCAGUGUUUGAAUUGGGCCUCUCUGUGUGUUUUGGUAGAAAGAAGGAAACAUUAGUUUUAUUUGUUCUUGAGGGAUUUUAUCAUGAGCCUUUGUAUAUAAGUGCGAUUCAAUAUUUUCAUGUCUUGCCUUUGUUCUUUAAUGCUUUCUGCUCACUUCUGCACAGGACUGGAAAUCUUGUUCUGUCGGAUGCCAGUUUGGAGACAAUUCUGGUAGAAAACCUGAUGCUGCAUUUGGUUUUGGUCAUCAAGAUGGGACAUCCAGUGUUCUCCGAUCCAUGGAAUCAGCUCAAUACUACGCAGAGAACAAUAUUGAUAAUGCAAGACGGUGGGUAAGCACGAUUUAAAAUGGCUGUUGAAUUCUUAAAAGUACCUUUUUUUUUCUUUCUUUUUUCUUUUUUUUUCUUUUCCAAAUAAACGUAUUAAUUCUUUGUUACAGGAAUUGCAGUUUCAUAGAAAAUCUUCUUCAACUAGUUUUAAGAUUGUUUAUGGUUUGGUUUCUCGCAAAAUGUGCAUAAAUUUGAAAAGCUUUUACAAAUGAUUUCAUUUAUUGUGUGUUGAAUAGCCAAUUAUCUGUCUAGUUGUUCAUAAUAUAUAACAAAUUUCGUUUCUUUCCAUGCUGUUUCCAAAUUAACAUUUUUAGCUUUAGAAGUUUACAAUAUCUUUACAUGAGUGUUAUUUCUUCAUCAAACUAUAGGAGGAAAUAAAGUAGCAUAUAGACAUUUAGUAUAUUCCUCAUUUCAUUAAGUAGAGUGUUCAGUUCUUUUUAUCAUCAAGUUCUGAACAGAACUUACAUGAUGGUCAUGUGUUGCAUUUUUUAUACAACUUUGCUCCUACAGAAAGAGUGUUUACUAUGUUUUGUGCUGUUUGUGUUGCAUAGAAACACUUAAGACCUGGAAUUGUGUUUAUUGAAUAAAAGCCCAAGCUUGUUGGUGGGUCAUACUGUUAUCAUGCAGUCAUUUAGAAUUACCUACCAGACCAUUUCUCAAUUACAUGGCUGAUUGUCCUUCUAGAGACCUUUUUGUGUUGUCUCCCUUCUGGCAGUUAAGGAGAUAGUGGAUCCUCCUCGAAUGUCAAUUUCAUUUCUGUUGGAAACCUUUUGGUAUAACUCAUAUUUGUAUUUAUUUGUUUCUGUGUAAUAGGAAGGGUUAUAAUAUUGUUAUGACUACUAGUCUCUCAUCGGAUGUUCCUGUUGGAUAUUUUUCUUGGGCCGAGUACGACAUCAUGGCUCCUAUCCUGCCUAAGACUGAGAAGGCCCUUGCAGCUGCAUUUAUUUCCAACUGUGGUGCUCGCAACUUCCGCUUACAGGCUCUUGAAGCUCUUGAAAAGACUAACAUCACGAUAGAUUCUUAUGGUGGUUGCCACAGGAACCGUGAUGGAAAAGGUGCGUAGAUUUUAAAUAUGCAGUGUCAUUCUACAUCUCUGAUUGCAUUGCUUGCUUGGGGUAUUCUAUAGGUUUGCAACAAACAAUGGCUGGAUUGUUGAGACAUUUUUGCAUUUGUGAUCUGUGUUGGCUUUGUAGAUAAUACUGGUUAGAUUUGGAUAGACAUAGAUUAACAGGCAUAUGGUUUUUUUUUUUUGGGUACCCUUGUCAUUUGUUUCAUUUAAGUUGUUUUCCCUGGCUUUAAGGACAUAAGAAUUUCAAAGUGGCUUUCCCGGAAAAUAUUCUUCAUCUCAUGGAUAAUUAUCUUAUUUAUCAGUUAAUCUUGCUAUAAGGUGGCAAGAAACCUAUAUUGAGUGAUAUCUGUUGAACUACUUUCAUGUUCUUGGAAUUGGAUUACCUUCAUUGAUUUUUUAUUUUAGUUUUUAUUUCCUUCAGAUUAUGUGGGGUAGCUCUAAUUUAAAUUGCAGUUAAACUUUUACUUGGUUUUCCUUCUAUUGGUUAGGAUCUCUAUAUACUUGCAUGCAUGGUGUGUAUGUAGACAUGGCUUGGUGAUAAAUUUUAUAUGGCUUUUUAGUAUUAUAUCUUACUCUCCUUAGCACUGUACUAUGAUUAAUUUCUUUUCCUUUAAACAAAUUUCAGUGGACAAAGUUCAAACUCUGAAGCGCUAUAAGUUCAGUUUGGCGUUUGAGAAUUCCAAUGAGGAGGAUUAUGUUACUGAGAAGUACUUCCAAUCUCUAGUUGCUGGUAUGAAACUACUCUCUCUGUCAUGCUGAUUUUGUAGUUGCUAACCUAGAGUUGGGAAAUCUCUGGGACACCAAAAUGGUUGAAAACUCAGAGAAAAGCCACCGGCAUCUCAUGGAAAAACUCUUCGUGACAUUUAGUCAAGCUUGAGAUUUCAAUAUGGAUGGAUUAUAUUCGCAUGUGCUUUCAUCUUUGAAUUUGCAAUGUUUAGCCUCUACGAAUUUAUAAGAUCUUAUGGUUCCUGUUUGUUACAUUUAAUAUGAGGACAAUUUACUACACAAGGGAAGAAAAUGCAUUUCAGUGGCCUAAAGAAUAGUUCUAAUCUGCAAUACUUAUGUUUGGCAAAAGAUGCUGAUGGUGGAUGUUGAUAUUCCUUCAGGAACUAUACCUGUAGUUGUCGGUCCUCCAAAUAUUGAAGAGUUUUCUCCUGGUCCUGGUUCAAUUUUAUUUAUAAAGGAGCUAAGUGAUGUUGAGUCAGUAGCCAAAACCAUGAAAAAACUUGCAGAUAAUCCUGAAGCAUAUAAUCAGUCACUGAGGUAUGUUUGUUCCCUCCUAAUUGAAACUCUGAUCUUCCAAAUCCUAUUGUUUAUGUUAAAGAGAAAAAUGAGGGCCAUUACUGUGAUUUGUUUUUGGGGAUAUGUUGUAGUGUCGCUGUUUUCAAAGUUUGUUUCUUUAUGAAGAUGCUAACAUGUUGAGAUAUCUGAUUACUAGAUGGAAGUAUGAGGGCCCAUCUGAUUCUUUCAAGGCCCUUGUGGACAUGGCAGCAGUACAUUCAUCAUGCCGUCUUUGCAUUCACUUGGCCACAAUGAUUCGAGAGAAAGAAGAAAGCAGCCUAGAGUUCAAAAGACGACCUUGUAAGUGCACCAGAGGUUCAGGAGUUGUGUAUCACUUAUAUUUGAGAGAAAGAGGCAGAUUUGAGAUGGAAUCCAUUUACAUAAGGUAACUUUAUUUUUUUUUUAGAACCUGGCCAGAUGGAAGUAUUUUCAUCUCCUUGCAUGACUCAGAUGUCCCUAAAAUUCUUAUAUCUGAUUUUGCCGGGCAGGUCGAGCAAUCUGACUCUUGAGGCCUUUGAGUCUUUGGUGCUCACAAAGUUCCAAUCGCAGAAACAUGUGCCCAUUUGGAAAGAGGAAAGACCUGAAGUCUUGAGAGGAGGAGACAACUUUAAAGUCUAUAGAAUAUAUCCUGUUGGUUUGACACAGAGGCAGGCUUUAUAUACCUUCAGAUUUAAAGGGGAUGCUGAUUUUAGAAGUCACGUAGAAAGCAACCCGUGUGCGAAGUUUGAAGUCAUAUUCGUGUAGAUAUAUGCAUUGUCACCUUUAAGCAAGGAUAUGUCAACUUUUAGUCAUUCUCCAUUGAUACAUUUACGGAGAGAUUGAGGUGAUCACAACACAUUCGGGCAACUUUGUUAUGUCCUCAUUUACACGUUGAUUGUUACAGGAGUCUUUAGGAAGAAGGUGAUAGACUGUACGUUGAUGAUAUGACCAGCUAAUUGUGAACCCUUGACAAAUAGGGGAGAAAAAAAAUCGUAGUCCAGAUUUACACAUCUUUUCUGCCUUGUAGUAAAUGGAGCUGAUUACAAACGUUCGACUGUUUAUUUGAAAGUUCUCAGGGAAUCCUUAUUUUAAGGUAAUCAUUCAAUUUCUCAAAUCAGACUUCAUGAUUAGAUCAUUGUAUAGAGAAACUGUCAGAUUUUACUUUCUCCUAACAUUCUUCACUCCGCUUCAUUUCUCAACUAAUCAAACGGUUUUAGAAACCUGUUGUGUUGUGUUUUGGCUCGUUGAUAUGAUUUGGAAGUUAGGAUUCAGUAAGCAAAUCCAAGUCCAGAAAGGAAAGAGGUUUUUUCUAUAAGUUCUAGGAAAGUAAUCUUUCAAGAUCUGUUAGGAUUUUGUUUGUUAGGUUUAGGAGUCCUAAAACUUUAUUGUAUCAGCAGCCCCUAUUCACUAGAAAUAGGAGCUGCAGGGGUUUUUUAAGGUUAAAGAUAGAGAGCACAGAAAACCGAGAGCUAAGGGUGAUAGAGAGAUCUAGCAGGGAGUUGGGGAUUAGCAUAGAGAUUUCAAUAAGUACUUGUAAUCAGGUUGUUAUUCUCCAUAGUGCUAGUGAUCUCUCAAGAGAGAUCACAUCAGUGGACGUAGGCCAGGGUUUUGGCUGAACCACUAUAAAAUUGUGUGUGCUGUGUUUCUAUCUUUAAGUUCAUCUAUCUACUUUGCUUAAGUCGUAAAGUACCAGUAAAGACCAGAAAAGAUCCUAGGGCGCUAACCACAAUAAGUGGUAUCAGAGGUUCGGCUCUGGUACUUUGCGAUGGUAGACAGCAAAGACAUGGUCGAAGCAGAAGAUGUGAAAUCGUUCAUUAAGCCCUUAAAUGGCAAGGAUGACUUCACGCUUUGGCGGAGGAGGAUGAAGAGUGUCCUGAUUCUACAAGAUCUGUACGAGGCUGUUCUCGGGAUAGAGAAUAAGGCAGUUGAUAUGGCAGAUAAGGUUUGGCAGAAGAUGGACAAGAAGGCAAGGAGCACAAUAGAGUUGCAUCUUGCAGAUCAUGUACNNNNNNNNNNNNNNNNNNNNNNNNNNNNNNNNNNNNNNNNNNNNNNNNNNNNNNNNNNNNNNNNNNNNNNNNNNNNNNNNNNNNNNNNNNNNNNNNNNNNNNNNNNNNNNNNNNNNNNNNNNNNNNNNNNNNNNNNNNNNNNNNNNNNNNNNNNNNNNNNNNNNNNNNNNNNNNNNNNNNNNNNNNNNNNNNNNNNNNNNNNNNNNNNNNNNNNNNNNNNNNNNNNNNNNNNNNNNNNNNNNNNNNNNNNNNNNNNNNNNNNNNNNNNNNNNNNNNNNNNNNNNNNNNNNNNNNNNNNNNNNNNNNNNNNNNNNNNNNNNNNNNNNNNNNNNNNNNNNNNNNNNNNNNNNNNNNNNNNNNNNNNNNNNNNNNNNNNNNNNNNNNNNNNNNNNNNNNNNNNNNNNNNNNNNNNNNNNNNNNNNNNNNNNNNNNNNNNNNNNNNNNNNNNNNNNNNNNNNNNNNNNNNNNNNNNNNNNNNNNNNNNNNNNNNNNNNNNNNNNNNNNNNNNNNNNNNNNNNNNNNNNNNNNNNNNNNNNNNNNNNNNNNNNNNNNNNNNNNNNNNNNNNNNNNNNNNNNNNNNNNNNNNNNNNNNNNNNNNNNNNNNNNNNNNNNNNNNNNNNNNNNNNNNNNNNNNNNNNNNNNNNNNNNNNNNNNNNNNNNNNNNNNNNNNNNNNNNNNNNNNNNNNNNNNNNNNNNNNNNNNNNNNNNNNNNNNNNNNNNNNNNNNNNUUGGUGUUUGCAAACUGAACUUCUGCAAGAAUGGUACUCUUGGGAAGCAGAAGGUGGCAUUCAAGUUGGUAGAUUGUGAGAACAAAAGCAAACGAUUGCUGGAUUAUAUUCACUUAGAAGUAUGGAGCGCAACACAAGUAAGGCGUAUGGGAGGCUUCAAGUACCUUGUUACUUUUCUAGAUGAUUUUUCAAGGAAGAUUUGGGCCUACUUUAUGAAGGAGAAAUCCGAGGUUCUCUUCAAGGUCAAGAAAGGGAAAAGCAAAGUAGGAAAUCUAGAAGUUAGAAAAAUCAAAUAUUUGAGAAGCAAUGGUGGCAGUGAAUAUAGAAUGAAAAGGUUCUUACAGUUUUACAAGGAUGAAAUCACAAGGUGCAUCACGGUGAAGGAUAAUCUCCAGGAAAACGAGGCUGCUAGAAGGAUGAAGAAAACUUUUUUUGAGAAAGAAAGAGGCAUGCCACUGCAUGCUGGGUUACCAGACACGUUUUGGAAAGAAGCAGUUAACCAUGCGUGUUAUUUGGUUAAUCGGUCACCAUCAAAGGUCUUGGACUUCAAGUGUGCAGAGGAGAUAUGGUCAAGAGAACUAGCUGGGUAUUCUAACUUAAGGAUGUUUGGUAGCAGUGCGUAUGCUCAUAUUUCGAACAAUGAGCAAACCAAACUCAAGCCAAAUUUUCUAGGUGUUGAGAAAGGAGUAAAGGGCUACAAGUUAUGGAAUAUUGUCAGCAAGAAAAGGGUUCUAAGUAGAUAUGUUAUUGAUGAUAAGACUGUGCCGUUUAAUGAAGUAAAGACAAGUAAGGUGAAGACGAAGACUGAUGUUGGUGUUGUAGAAGAAGCAACAGAAGUUCCUCUAACCAAAGAGAUCAUGGAAGAGACUCCAGCUCAGGUGGAGCAAAUUGAGCAGGUGGAGCAUGAUAAAGGGGUUAUCGAGGUAGAAGUCUUAGAGCGGCAACAACAGUCACUAAUACAAUCUCAGGUGGAGCAAUUAGCACUGCGAACCUACGACUCAGUUCGUCAGUCGCUUGAGCAGGAGUUCCAGAGAAGCAUAGCAUUGGACAAGUAUGCUCUAAGUUUCAGUCCAGGAGAUCCAACCACGUAUCAGGAAGCUAUAGCAAAAUAUAUACGGGAAAGUUGGAUGGGAGCUAUGUUGGAACAGAAGAAGAAGUCCAUACCAAAGGACUUGGUUCAGGAGUCGGUUCCUAAACCCAAAGAAGGAAAUCUGGUUGGCUGUAAAUGGGUUUAUAGGAAAAGGGAAGAAAUGCAUGAUAAGGAAGCCAUGAGUUGCAAAGCUUGGGUAUUGGCUAAGGAGUAUGCGCAUAAAGAAAAGGUCAAUUAUGACAAAGUCUCACCAGCAGAGAGAUGCGUUUAUCAUCAUGUGUUCAAGGAUAGUGUGAUUUUACUAUCAGGUGACGUGUUAACUACAUGUCAGGAUGUGUCUAGAAUUCCAAAGUUAAAGACACAACUAAGGAGGGAAUUCGACAUGAAGGGUCUAGAAGCUGCACAACAGAUCCUAGAAGUGAAGGUAAGGAGGGACAGAGAAGCAGGAAAAUUAUGGCCGUUGUCUGAACCCAUGUCUACUCCACCAGUAGCAGCACACUUUCAGUUUAGUGUGCAGGGGGGAUCAUCUACAGUUGAGUUAGAUGAGAAGAUGCAUGUGUCUUAUGCAAGAGUAGUGGGAUGUCUUAUGGCUAGAAUCUUCAAAAGACCAGGUUUAACUCAAGGAUUGAGCAUUGUGUCAAAGUAUGUGGUGAAUCCGGGUAGACAAUACUGGCAAGCAGCGACGUGGAUUCUGUAUUACUUGAGAAACACAAAGGAGCAUGAAUUUCUGUUUGAAAGACAACAAGAACAAGCAUGCAUUGCUGGUCAUGAGAGGUCGGAUUUGGCAGGAGACUUAGACAAAGGAAGAUCUGCAACAAGUAAUGUAUUUACUUGCAACAAAGGUUCCAAAAGUUGUAGAAAAACUAUGGAAUCAGCUGAGAUAUUGUCUACCACUGAAGUAGAUUGCAUGGCAGUAACAGAAGCUUCCGCAGAUGCGUUAUGGCUUAAUGGGUUAAUGAGUGAGUUUGAGAUUCAACAAGAAGCUGUGGUGAAGAAUGGUGUCAUCAAUUUGACAAGGAAUCAAGUGUUUCAAGCAGAGAGUGAACAUGUUGAUGUUUGUGGUCAUUGCAGCGAAGGUUAGGUGAGCUCAGGGAAGAUAACAACUGAGGAAGAAGCACAUUCGAGGGAGAAUGUUUCAGAUUGUUUGACCAGGACCAUUGCCAUGGAGGAGUUCAAGUGUUACUUGAACUUGUUCGAUCUCACAGCUUGUUGAGAUUGAGGUGGAGCACCUCCUCACUUGAGGUGCGGUAAGGCAAGAGGAGUCUUGCCAAGGUGAAGGUUCUUGGAGGUUUUGUUCAGGGUUACUUCAAGAAGAUUCAAGAUAUCCUGAAGGGUGCAACAAUCAUUUGGUAUCAACUCACCAAGGUGGAGAUUGUUGUGUUUUGGCUCGUUGAUAUGAUUUGGAAGUUAGGAUUCAGUAAGCAAAUCCAAGUCCAUAAAGGAAAGAGGUUUUUUCUAUAAGUUCUAGGAAAGUAAUCUUUCAAGAUCUGUUAGAAUUUUGUUUGCUAGGUUUAGGAGUCCUAAAACCUUAUUGUAUCAGCAGCCCCUAUUCACUAGAAAUAAGAGCUGCAGGGGGUUUCUUAAGGUUAAAGAUAGAGAGCACAGAAAACCAAGAGCUAAGGGUGAUAGAGAGAUCUAGCAUCAGCAGCCCCUAUUCACUAGAAAUAGGAGCUGCAGGGGGUUUCUUAAGGUUAAAGAUAGAGAGCACAGAAAACCGAGAGCUAAGGGUGAUAGAGAGAUCUAGCAGGGAGUUGGGGAUUAGCAUAGGGAUUUCAAUAAGUACUUGUAAUCAGGUUGUUAUUCUCCAUAGUGCUAGUGAUCUCUCAAGAGAGAUCACAUCAGUGGACGUAGGCCAGGGUUUUGGCUGAACCACUAUAAAAUUGUGUGUGCUGUGUUUCUAUCUUCAAGUUCAUCUAUCUACUUUGCUUAAGUCGUAAAGUACCAGUAAAGACCAGAAAAGAUCCUAGGGCGCUAACCACAAUACCAGUCGUAAGUUUUGUAGUAGUUUACCUCAUACUAUUAGAUUUCCUAGUCUGAUUGCAAAUGUCCCAGGGCAAAGGAACUUGGCCAGCAAAGCCAAAAAACUGAUUACAAACCAAGGAAGCUCUUCUAAUGCUUUUAAGUUAAGGACUAGUUGAAGAAUUUUCGACUUAUCAUAUAUUUCGAUUUUAUAUCCAUAUCUUGACCGUUCAGUUUAUAGGUAUUUAUGAGUAGAUAUCUGCAAAUUUUCAGCCAUAUUGAAAAUAGUUAAGACAUUCAUAAGUGUGAUUUACCAAUUAUGAACUUGAACGUUUCAUGUUUGACAAAUUUGGUUCGCCCAUUAAUUUGAUCUAGUUUGUUACCUUAACGAUCACCGAUUUGGCUAAAAAUUUGUAUGACUGAUCUAUUCAUAUAGACCUAAAAACUAAACGGAUGAGAUGCCAAAAUGUGAUCGAAAAAUAGGUCUUCUAAAUCAUAAACCGAAAAGUCUUUAACUAGUCUUCAACCAAUACAUUAGUCUGCACAAAGAAAAGAUCCAUAAACGCAGUUUGCCACUGUAACUGUUAGAACAAGUGAACAACCACUAAUAGUAGUUACAAAAUCUAAGAUCACUCGAUAAUCUUAAACAAGUAAUCUGAUUCUAAAACCUUCUCCGGCUUUAGGUCACUACCAAGACAAGCACUUUAGCCGACGAAAAAUUUUCGUCGGCCUGUUAUCUUAAUUCGUCGGCUAAGAUCUUAGCCGACGAGCCUAUGUCGUCGGGAAAAGGUCGUCGGUGAUGACUUUAGCCGACGAAAUUUUUAUUUUCGUCGGCUAUAGUCCCACAGUUAGCCGACGAAAAACAUGUCGUCGGUUUUUUUCCCAGACUUUAGCCGACGAAACAAUUAAUAUAUUCGUCGGCUAAAGUGUGUAAUAAAUAAUUAAAAAAUAACUAUAGCCGACGAAAUUUACUAUAUUUCGUCGGCUAAACCUUAUAAAAAUUUAAAAAAUAACUAUAGCCGACGAAACAUGCCAUAAUUCGUCGGCUAAAACCUUAUAAAAAAAAUUAAAAAUACUAUAGCCGACGAAUAUAGUGUUUAAAUAUCGUCGGCUAAAGUUGCUGGGUUUUGAAAAAAAAACUGCAGAAACUUUCGGCCACCUCCAAUCACGACCAAAAUUUGACAGAAUCUUCGUCUCAACAUUUCGAACAACUUUCUAGAAGAAAUCGAAACUCAAUUCUAAGCCUAAACAGGUCAAUCGACUCAAAAUAUAAAAAUCCCAAUUUUAAACCCUAAAAACUUCAAAUCUUCGAUUCUCUUCACACACACCGAAUCGAGCUACCAAAUUCUAGGGGAAUGUAGUACUAAUCAAACUCAACUUAUCCAUAUAUAGAACUCACCAAAUGGUGACCUAAGGAAGGAGAAAUUUGAUCGACACCGAAUACCGANNNNNNNNNNNNNNNNNNNNUUAUCCCUCAUGGCGGCGCCACUCGAUGCACCACCUAUCCAGCAAUGAAGUAGAGACGACGGCGAAGCUUUUGGGACAAGUGUGACGGUCUCCGGUGGCUUAACGGCGGAGCUAGGCCGAGAAGAAAUCUGGCAGAUAAUAGACUUCUUACCAUCCAUCUUCGCCUAUAUAAAGAACUUUAGUUGACGAAAUUCUUUAUUUUCGUCGGCUAAACUCUUUUGAAAAUUUUGGUUGACCGCCAAAAAAUUUUGGUUGAAAAUUUUGAAAAUUUUUCGACUUUAGCCGACGACUUUUCAUAUAUUUUCGUCGGCUAAAGUCCUUUGAAAAUUUUCCUCCAACUUUGGUUUACCGCCUAAAAAAUUUUGAAAUUUUGACCUUAGUCGACGACUUUUCAUAUAUUUUCGUCGGUUAAAGUCUAUAAAUUCACGAAAACACUCAUAUCUCCCCCUAUAUUAAGUAGUUUGGUCAAAUCUUCCACACGAAAAACUCUCACGUAGAUGAGACGCAACCACCUAUAUAAAAAUUUUGAGACAUUUACCUUCCGACGAUAGGGCUCCCCAUAAGAAAUAAUAACGGUAAAUAGGGUUGACCGCUACUAUCGGCUCUGAGACUUUACCCGAUUUACGUGAUUUUUGAACCAUAGCCGUAUUUCACCAUUCUGAACACAUCUUAUUUCACGAGAUUUUUAAUAAUUUUGCUUCCUAUGUAGAGUUGGUUCACAAAGUUGUAUAACCUACUAAACAAGUUAUACAAUAUUAGUAGACACGUUGUGAUUCCGAUGACUAAAAUUCACAAACCGAAAUUCGACCGUCAGAUAUGAUCAUUAUGACGAAAUAUGUCUAUGGUAAAAAAUUCAACUGGAUCCGACAACGUUAAGGGCUCGAUCGAAACGGUCAACCAUAAUCCAUCGUCACUUAUCACACGAAAACGCUCAUAUCUCCCUCUAUAUUACGUAGUUUGGUCAAACCUUCCACACUAAAAAACUCUCACGUAGAUGAGACGAAACUGCCCAUAUAAAAAUUUUGAGACAUUUACCUUCCGACGAUAGGGCUCCCCAUAAACCCGAAUAACAGUAAAUAGUAGACACGUUGUGAUUCCGAUGACUAAAAUUCACAAACCAAAAUUCGACCGUCAGAUAUGAUCAUUAUGACGAAAGAUGUCUAUGGUAAAAAAUUCAACUGGAUUCGACAACGUUAAGGGCUCGAUCGAAACGGUCAACUCUAAUCGAAAAUAAGAAAACUGCAUUUUCAAGCCCUAAACGGACUCGGAUGGCCAAAAAAGCCUAUACAUCAUGGCAUUAGCGAUGAGUCUGACUCGUAGCGCCGUUACGCUUCCGGAAAGGUAUCACAAUAGUCAAUCAGACACCAAACGCCAAAUCUGCAGCAUAGUGAAUAGUAAAGGUAAGUCAACUAUCAGCACCGAGACUUUACCGGAAUACUGUGAUUUUUCAACCGUAGUCGUAUUUCACCGUUCUGGUCAUAUCUUAUUUCACGACUUUUUUGCGUUUGAAGGUUCUACGUAUAGUUUUUUUUUCUCAGAUGAGUUGUUGUCUAGAUCUGCAAAUAUAAGUCCACUUUAGCCGACGAAUUAUAUUUUUCGUUCGGCUAAACUUUUAAAAAUUUCGUCGGCUAAAGUUUUAAAAAUUUUGUCGGCUAAAGUUCACAAACUAUAGCCGACGAAAAAAAUUAUUCAGCCGAUGAAAUAUUACUUUCGUCGGCUAAAGUUGACCAUAGCCGACGAAAAUUUUAAAUUAGCCGACGAAAAAAAAUUACGUCGGCCUGGUUUUUUUAUUUUCAUCGGCUAAAGCCUUUCUUCUGGUAGUGGGUCCCGGCAAGCUUGUUUCAAUCUCUAGCAUGACCUUUGUUGAUGCCAUGGCUGUUGGCUACUUGGCUUAGCAUCGUGGGGGUUUCCAGUUACCUCCACACUACAAGUGUUAUGCGACUCAAGCGAUUGAAGUUCUAUUCUUCCUCUUUCUAUGGCUAGGUUAUAUUGCUUGAAUCCAUAAACCCUAGAAGUGGGAUAAGCUCUUACAAAAUCGUUUGACACAUCUUCUAUUUAUAUUUUAUAAGAUUAAGAUUGUCUCAAUGAGUAGUACUACAACAAGACUAAGAUUUCAAAUUGAAAUUAGGAUAAUAUCUUAACAUUUUCUAACUCUUUCAAGAUAUUAUGGGUUCAGUAUGACUGAGCUCUUGAAGAGCUUAUAUGAAAUUUAUCAAUAUUGAUUAAUAUAUCUAGCUAGGCAGCCAGGUUCAUUUUCCAAGGAUUCUUUUGCUUAUUGGUGUAUGCUUAUUUCAAUUCAUUUUUUCUUUCAGUUAUAACAAAGAGAUCUCUAUAACAAAUUAUUUUUCUACAAGCUUUUCCAAUUUCUCCUCAAAUUACGAGAUCGAGCUAGUGUCUUUUUCUGGGGUUUCUAUAUACUGCCAUUUGCAGUUAAGAAUAGUUUGUCAUGCAUUUCUGGUAUCCUUCAAUUUUCUAUAUAUGCUUGUUUCUAUAUUUGCAUGUAGACUGUAAUGCACUGAUGCUUAUUUUGGUUAUUUGCCUUUGUCAAUAACAAACUGAGCAAUGAAAUUAGCUGUAAAUAGAAACUGCAACAAUCAGUUCAUUUUCUACACUAUAUAUUCAACGCCCUCAUGCCAAAUAACUUCACCAGGUGCAGUUCCCGCAGGACCCCCUAUAGCAAAAUCUCUUCAGCACAACAUAAAUUAUAGGGUUAAUACUAUAACUUGGAAUAUAUAUAGAGCUUCAAAUGGCUCCCAAUUUCUUUGUUGCGUCUGUUCUCCUCCUACAGCUUGCGGCAAUCGCCUUCUCCAUACGCUUGCCAUAUUAUGUAAGUUCUUAACAAAACACCCUCUUCUCUUAAACAUAGUAUACAUUUACUUCCUGUAUUUACUUAUGUCUUUGAUUUCCAUUUUGAAGUGAUAUAUACUUUAGAUAUGCAUGUCUCGUUUAAUUUUCUAACUAUCAAAAGGUACAUGUGUGACAUUAUUUUGUAUCAUAUAGCCACCACGGCCGGAUAAGGGUAUUCCAGGAGGUCCGGCGCUUGGACUUCCGGGAGGACCGGCAGCGGGGAUUCCUACGCAGCAAGAGGGUCCGGCGGGAGGAAGUACUACUGCACCUGGGGCAGCAGUAGGAGGAGCCAACAGCGGGAAGAAGUGGUGCAUUGGGAAGAAAGAUAUUUUGACAAGCCUUUUGAAGACUGCCUUUGAUGAGAUUUGCAAAGAGGUCGAUUGCUCGCCCACAGGACCAACAGGAAUAUGCUAUGAUGAAUCCAUUUGGUCCAAGGCUUCCUACGCCAUGAAUCUCAAAUAUCAAAAGAAUGGCCAAAAGGAUUCUGACUGUGAUAACCAAGGAACGUCACAUAUCGUCACCAUCGACCCUAGUAAGCUAUCAAUAUUGUUUUGCUUUGCUUUACUUACAUAUAUUGCUUAUUGUGAAGAAAAUUCAUCUAAUUUCAUUUCCAUUUUGUUUUUCUUUUUGUAGGCUGGGGAAAAUGCGUGUUGAUCUCUUCUUAAGAGUUGAAGGGGGAAGAAGUAGGUGUUGAUCGUGUAAUGUAUCAUCAUAAGUACUAUAAGCAAUCGACCUAGAAAAAGAAAAGGCAUAUAUGUACAAGUAACUUAUGAAUAAAUGUUGUGCAUGUUAUCAAUGUGAUAUAUUUUUCAUAGAAUAACAAGGUACAAAGUAGGACGAGCUACCAAACGAAACCUUCAUAUCCACGAACAAUAUGAAUGGAAUAGAUAAAAAAAUAAAGCCAAGCAAAUGGGGGAAGCAGAAGUUUAAACAAAGAUCAUAUAGAAUUGUUUUAGAAACGAGAAAACUUUCAUUAAUCGCACUCAAUUACAGUCGUUCAAUAAUAUAUCAACUAAAAGCCUAAGGGGAAAUAAAAGAAAAAUUACGAAGUCUAUUUCGAUGAGCUUUGCCAGCAAGAAGUAGCCUCGUUCUUCUCUUUGUAGAUCAGUAGAUGUUAAUCUCUUUGUAGAUAUGCAUGAAGUAGCAGCCAGGUAAAUGAAUAAGGGCUAUUCAAGUCUUUGUAGAGCAACCUAGCUCAAGUCUGGCCAAGUAAACCUUAAUAGUAUUUGGUGAACUUAAAGUCAUGCAUAUGGUAAUUAAGUUGUUUGGUAGAUUACAGAGAGGGUUAUAUAACUGAACAUAUAACUAGCUAGAACAAAGAUAGAUAGAGUUACAAAUUUUACAUUGUUUCCCAUAUACUCUCCAUGUCAUAAUAUUUACAAGUUUUUGAUUACAAAAGUGUGGAUCCUGCAAUUUAUUUCCUCUUCUUUAAUGCUCAAUUGUGGGAACUGGGGACUGAACUUUACUUCAGGUGGGUAUCAUAAUGUGGAGAGUUCAGUGGAAACGGUAUAGUCGAAUUGAGAUCAUGAGGUCAAGUUUAGAUCUGCUUAAUGUUGGUUUGACAUGGGAAAUUAUAUUCAGGUUGUCUUUGCCACAUAAAAAGUGUAGUAUCAAUCCACUGUGGAUUCACCAAAAACUUGCCUUUUUUUACCGCCCAACAUGACUUCUGUGUUCGAGCAUCUGCUGCAACCACAUGUGUGACUGAUGGAUCCACUUGUGUCGAACAAGUAGCUCCCAACUGCUCUGCCAAUUUCCACAAAGGAUGAGUGUCAGCCUUCACAUUUGAAGGCCAGAUAUGACUAAAUACUAAUUUACAUCCCUUCAACACUUCCUUCUGAAGGAUUUUCAAGACGGGCCUCACGUCUCUGUCGAUGAGAUCCCAUCCCUUUAACUCGACUUCAUUAAAGAAGAUGGUGUGGACAUGCCUAAGAAGUUGCAGUACACUUGCAAGAUAAGCUCCUCCAUACCGAUCACAUUCAUCGGUCUUCAACUCGGAAUAAGGCUUACUAUUACUGAUUCCAUAUUGUUGACAACUAGAACUGAUGCCAUAUUGUUGACAACUAGAUUUAAAGAAAUGAUACCUUGGCAUUACUAUUACAUUAUCCUGGUUGUUAUUUUGCCACACAUCUUUUGUAUCAUCAAGGAUGACAACAGCAGAUUCUCGGGCAAGCAUGUUAUCUAGAGCCUUCCGAUCUUCAUCUGUGCUAUCACUACGUGAUAUGACUCUACCCCCAAAGAUUUGAUUUGCAGGAUCAAGCAGCUUAGCCAUUUCUAGCGCAUAGUCUUGUGUACCCAUGGUGUAUAUAGACAGCUCAAACAUUUGACUGGCUUCCAUUAAAAACGUCCUAAUAUAUGGCCUCAACUUGGUCAUCACUUUCAUGUUGGGAGUAUCCACAAUGUGAACAUGUUGCAGGGAAUGAUCAGAUUGGGUUUGUGUCUUCAGAUAUUCUUCGUCUUGUGACAUCUUAUCAAGGGAAGUGGUAUUCAACAGGGUGUGGUCUAGAUCAAGAACCAAAUGAAGUUUCUUAUGGUUCAAUAAUAGAUUGUUAGUGUUUUGGUUGCGUAAUUGAUCAAUUACACCAUCACUAAGCCCUAACCCCUUGUGUAAGGACCCAUACCUCACUCCAGAAGAACUCGAUUUCUUGUAAUAUGCAAGUCUUGCUUCUUUUGAAAUUUCCUGAUUAGAGGUGUCUGUUAUCUUACGCCUUUUGGUCUUCUCUAUCGAAGCUAUUUCACUGUGAUCGGAAUCUAGUCGUCUUUUUUCGUAAGAAACCCAACAAGGUUAUCGAUAUUGUGCAAAAUUGGAGAGACGGUAGCCACGGUUUCCUGAUUAGAGGUGUCUGUUAUCUUACGCCUUUUAGUCUUCUCUGUCGAAGCUAUUUCACUGUGAUCGGAAUCUAGUCGUCUAUUUUUCGUAAGAAACCCAUCAAGGUCAUCGAUAUUGUGCAAAAUUGGAGAGACGGUAGCCACAGUCAUCGUGAUAUUGAUGAUGAUGAAUUUGUUACAGCAAAUUCAGUGUAACAAAUUCAGAGUUAAACCAAGAACACACGAUUUUGACAAUUAGGGUGUCGCUAUUUGAACUUUUUUAUUUAUAUAUUCAGUAUUACAGAAGAGAGAGGAGAAAUUUUGAACAAAUGCAGAAAUAUUGAAACAAUGACUGGUUUUCUUUCCCUUUUUGCAAAAGGGGAGAUUAGGAUUGCAGUGCGAUGAAGGGAAGCCAAUACGGGACUUGUAUAUAUAGGCAUUGUUCGUAAAUCAUAUGGUAGUGGGAUUAGGAGUACCUUAACAUACCGGGAUUCGGAUUUCGGAAUGCCUAUUGUUAGUGGGAUAUGAAUGCCUAGUUGGAAUAGGAGAAAGGAAUGCCUAGUUGGAAUAGGAGAAAGGAAUGCCUAGUUUGUUCUUCCAUCCCCAAUUUAAAAAAGUAAAAAUAAGCGCUUAUGUGUGGCCUAGCGCGUCUCCUAGAUUUGUACCUCCCAGAAUUUCAAAUCCGAAGUUUUCAUGGAGGCUAAACAUAACUCACCGCCCUAAUCUGCAGACUACAGAGCUCCACUCAAAAGCGGUCCAAAUCUGAAGCCUCUGCAACAAAGUCCACGCCCGCAUUAUAGUCUCUGGAUCUCACGGCAGCCGAUCAUUUCUCAAAUAACCGUGGCGAGUGUGGGGUUGCAUGGAUGUUGUUCGAUGAAAUGCCUAAGAGAGAGAGAGAGAGAGAGAGAGAGAGAGAGAGAGAGAGAGAGAGAGAGAGAGAGUAGUAGGUNNNNNNNNNNNNNNNNNNNNGAGAGAGAGAGAGAAGCGAUUGAGGUGUUUAAUGAGGUGAGGGAGUUGACACAUCAUUGGCGUAUUUCAUUGUCAUCAGGUUUCAGUGAUUUCUAUUGUGAACUGUUUAAUUCAUGAGCCUUGCUCAAUGUAGGAAUCACGUUCAAUUCUGGAAUGCUUUUGUUUUGUUACUGCAAAGUACAAGUUUUAAAUCUUUGGUUUAUUCCAUCUUAGCCUUGCUCGUUCAAUAAAUCCAGCUCUGUCAAGGCAAUGUAGUGGACAAAGAAAAAAUGGUUGUGGUUCUUUCAAAUAUUGGAAAAUUGUAUCAUGGAGGAAAACUAUAUCAUGGAAUGGUUGGUUGUCCUCUGAAGGAUCUAACGGACAAUGUUGAUGCUGGUACUUUUUUUCUUUCAAUAUUUCAUAUGCAUUCUGUGAGGAACAUCGUGUUGUUGAAUGUUGGUACUUGUUUCCAUAUUUCUCUGAUGAUUGAUGAAUAUGAUCACCACACCUAACUACUAUAUGCUAUUAACUUGAAUCUUGAAUUGAUCUGUUUAAACUUGAAUCUAGCCACCUCCCAAUUUGUUCUACAAGAUGGUUACCUUUGGCACACAUCAGAUCUUGAACUCUUUUUUAUAUCUGUGAAUUUGUGUUUUGUAUUCUGAACUCAUCUACUGUUCUAUAUAGAGGCCUCUUUACAAGUUAAUGGAUCUUAUUUUUACAAGGAUUUAGGAUAUUUUGACUCAUGUAAUCAGUAGUAGUAUAACUAGUAUUGAGAUCGAUUGUUCUAAUGGGUUUAGGUUUAUGUUGAUUAGGUGACUUUUGCAAAAUGUCAGUCUCAGUUUUUAUAUGUUUAGCUCCUGAAUUUUUUUAAGACAACGCUGGCUAUCAUGUGAUUCUGCAAUGCUGCUGUACUGUUCUUUGCUUAGUAAUUUCCAGAUAGUGAUCUCUCCUGAACGAUUUGAUAUCUCACUUCUCAUUCCGAUUUGUAUUUUCAUCUGUGUAGUUCAAUUUGUUAAGUAUAGAUUGCAAUCCGAACCUGAAUUUUGAUCAUGCAGAAAAUCGGCAAUACCUGUACUGGCUGUACUAGAUGCAAAAACUAUGUCCAUUGAUCCCGUGGCAGUUAUAUGGAUCCGAUUCCUACUUUGUGACAGAGGUCAGUGCCACUUCCAGUGUUCCUAAGAUGCUCUUCAAUUAUUAUUUGAUUUUUGCUUGGCUUUUGAGUCUGCUUUCCGAUUCUCGCAUUUAUAUGUCGUUCUACUUUUGCAUCUAUUUCUUAUAAUCUACAAUUGAUCAUUCUGACUUUGGAUUGACUUCUAAAAGAAAAAAGAAAAAAAAAAGGAUUAUACAUCUGCCAUAAGGAAGUGGAUUGGUGACGCUGUGAGAUAGAGGUAUAUAUAGAUUCAUCAAAUUUAAAUUGUUCACAAGGGUAGUGGGUUGGUUAGUAGUGGUAAGAAUCAUCGUGAGAAAUUGUCCCGUGAUCAUUGUCAAACAUAUUUAAUAACUUCAUCACUUUAAAGCUUAAUUUUGCCUUCAACUCAAGUUUCUAUAUCCACAAGAUUUGAAGACAAAACUUAUUUUUGGAAUUUUGGAUAUAUAUAUAAUAUAUCACAAACAAAGAUUCAGAUAAAGUUUAUUUAAUAAAAUAAGGGGGAUUUUCAUAUAUACUCAAUUUUAAAGAGUGGUUUUAAAUAAAACCCACAUAAUAUUCUUUUCUGAUAGACAUCUAAAAUGUAUCAAUUAUGAUACAUAUUAUGUCCUAUUUUUUCUAAAUUUUACACAAUUGCCACCAUUCAACUAUAACAUAUAAACAUAAUAAAUAAUCUUAAUUGAUGUUUUCUUAAAUACCUUGAUUAUGAGUUUUUCUUUUAACACCAACAUUUUUCAAUCAAUUUGCAAAAAUCAUGCGGUUUUUUUUAUUUUUAUGAAAAAAUCUAGGUGAAAUGAAUACAUUCUAUGAUCUAUACAUAGGGUAAAAUACAAUAUAAAUAAGAUAUCUGAUUAUUUGAGUAAAAAGAAAAAAAUUUAUAAUGUUACCGUAAGCCCUAAGCCCUAAGCUCUAAACCCUAAACCCUAAACCCUAUACCCUAAACCCUAAACCCUAAACCCUAAACCCUAAACCCUAAACCCUAUACCCUAUACUCUAAACCUAUACCCUAACCCUAUACCCUAAACCCUAUUAACUUAACCCUAUACCCUAAACCCAAUUUUGGGUUUUUCUUUUUAGGUAUAUUAUCAUAUCAUGUUAGAAAUGUAAAUGUUCUCUCGAUCAGGAUGAGAAAUGAUAUAAUAAUAUACCUAAAAAUAAGAAAAUUAAUCAAAGAACAAGAACGUGUACCUUACAAUCAGACAUUUUUCGACUAUGUAGAGAGAGACACCAAAUGUGAGCUUAAAAAUGAAAAGAAUUAUUCUAUUACAAAUGACAUACUUCUAUAUAUAACAUAUAUAUACACUCAAGUUAGUAAUAACAAGGUAAGAAAUUAAAGAAUGUAAUUGAUUAUGAUAAAGUUAAAUCCAACUAAAUUUUAGCUUAAUAUUUGAGUUUCAAAUUGAUGCUAAAAUUGAGAAAGAUACCAAAUUUAGCUUUAUAUCGUCUGAAUGGCAAAUCAGAGAAACUAGAAAAUGAAGAAAACUAUUAAUUAUAGACAUAUGCUCUAUAUAGUAAGUUUGCUUAUGUGGAGUGGGUGUAAAAUGAAAAAAAAAUAUGUAUGAGUUUAUCUUAAAAGAGGUCUAGUAUUUUGGGUUUUUAUCUAAUUUUCUUAUAAAAUAACUGAAGUGCAUGUUUGCCUCUGUAGUCUGUACUAUUGCCAAUUUGCCAGUCUUGGGUGAUUUCUUUGACCCUAUCGCUCUUUUGUUGAAUGGAAUCUUUAGUGGAAAAACUAUGCGCUAUGUAAGUUGGUAGUUUGGUACUAAAGCAUUCGACCUCUCGAACUACUUCAGACUCUGGAUGUCAAAAAGAGGGCAACUUGAUCGAUAUGGAGUGCCAAGAUGGAACCAACUCUCGGGCCCUUGGCGACAUCUUUUAUGAACAACUUGCAAGCAGAAGUUGAAAAGUAUGAAGUAUAUCAACUUGCUAGUAAAAGUUGAAAACUAUGACUAUCGAUAGGAGCACAAACGACAGUUUCAUCCCCAUCCCCUUGUCUACUUUUACCAGAAAAUGAAGUGGUUAUCUGUAUGACUUGGAUCUCUUCUUCGUUCUGUUCUGCAAAUGUUGUUAUAGAUUGGAAGACCGUAAACGUGCACUUCAUUUUCUUGAAGAUUAAUGAAACUAGAAUGUCCUAUUCAUCUAGUCAAAUCAUAAUUUCAUAUGACAGAAAAAUCUCCAUACUAUGCUAGUUUACUUCCUUUUAUAAAUACAAAAGUCUGUCAAUGUAGUUUCCAGCGUUUUACAUGGGAUUAGGACUUGUGCUACUGAUUCUCGAAUUGUAUUGUUGUUUACCGGCUUUGUUCAUAUUUUUCAUCAGUUUAAUAGCAGAUUUAAUGUUUAAAUCCCGUUUGACAAGAUCAAACAAGUAUUUGGUUUUCUGUUUGAUUCGGUUUAAUGGCGUCUUAUUACCAGGGACACUUGUAAGGUCUUCGAAGUCACCUGAGGGGUCUUAUCAACCUCUAUUUGAUUAUGCUGUAGUCCGUCAUGGACUCUGUCAAAGACAGAGAUGUUUUAUGUUUUAAUUUUAAUUUGUCACAUUAUAGAAAUUGACUUAUAUUUAUUGAUGGUGAUACUAUGACCUGCAAAUGUUUUUAUUGCUUAUUUACAAUUCCUUAAGAUUAUCCUCUCAAACUUCUAACCCUGUUCUUCUUUUCAUCUUUCCUAACUUCUACUAAAAUCUUGUCGAGAGUUAAAGAGCUAGGUUGGGAGGCAAAUGGGCGGUUAUGAGGGCAAUGUUAGAGUUUCACUUUCCAAAUUCCUAUUCUUGUUCAACUUGUUUCAGUCACAUAAUUGCUAUUCAAUUUAUAACAUAACUGCAACCCAAUCACUGUCACUUGGACAAACUCUUAUCUCCCCCAGACAAGAGUUUGAAUUAGGCUUCUUCACUCCUAAUGAUUCUAGGAAUCAAUAUGUGGGUAUCUGGUAUAAGAAAAUUUCUACUGGAAAAUCUGUAUGGGUGGCCAACAGAGAAAAUCCAAUUACAGUUUUAGAUCCUCCAGCUAGUCUAAUAAUCAGCAGCAAUGGAAAUCUGGAGCUCGUAGAUGGAAAGCUACAGUCCUUGCGGUCAACCAAUAUAAGUGGAGUAGCAUCAGCAUCAGAUCAAAUAGUAAUAUUACCACCUUUGUUGUCCUCUCCGACGAUGGAAAAUUGAUCCUCAAAGAUGGCUUAUCUGUGGAACCUUUGUGGCAGAGUUUUGAUUAUCCUGGUGAUACUUUCCUACCACCAAAUACAGCACUUGGGUUCAAUACUAAAACUGGAGAGAGACAUGUGUUGACUUGCUGGGCAAGUAACACUGAUCCAUCCCCAGGAAAAUUUGUUGUUGGAACUGUGCCACAGAAGCCACCAGAAGCAUUCACUUGGAAAUUAGAUUCAUGUUCAAUGCCAUACUGGAAAAGUGGACCAUGGGAUAAUUCGAUGUUCAUUGGGAUACCGAUAAUGGAUUCAAACUUUGUUCAAUCUUGCAGAAGAUGCAGAGAAGGGAACUUCAUAUUUCUCUUUUAAUACAUACAACAGCUCCACUGUCUACAAUCUGGUGAUUUCACCUGAAGGCAUUUUAAAGCUACUGAGUAAGAGAGAAGGCAAAGAUUGGCACUUAGUUUGGGAGGCUCCGAAUAAUCCAUGUGAUAUUUAUGGGCGGUGUGGUCCUUGAAACCUCAAGUUGCAAGUGUUUGGAAGGGUUUGUGCCAAAGUCAGAGGAAAAGUGGAGCAAAAAUAUCUGGACAGAAGGGUGCGUGAAGCGAACUAACUUAUCUUCAUGUGGUAAUUCAUUGCAAGGGAAAAGAGAUGGAUUUAGGAAGAUGGAUGGUAUCAAACUCCCAGAUUUUUAUGAAUUUGUGCAGCUUGGUCAGAAAGCUGAAAAUUGCCACAUAUGGUGCUUGAAUAACUGUUCUUGCUUGGCAUAUGCAUAUGUAAUUAAUAUAGGGUGUUUGGUCUGGUCCAGAAGCCUUGUUGACAUCCAACAGUUCUCCUCUGGUGGACAACAACUUUAUUUCCGUCUCGCACAUUCAGAACUAGGUAACAAUACCAGUGCUGGUAUCGAAUAAUACUUGGUUAUGGGAUAGGAUAAUGCUAUUAUGUUGUCUCUCAAAUAAUCAAACCACUUCUGAUAUUUUGUUUGCUUCAAUUUUCAGUUGGUGAUAACCAGACACGGAAACCAUCUAUAUUGUUGUAGCUGUUUCUGUCGUUACCAUAUCUGGAGCCAUCAUAAUUUUCAUAUUCAAUAAGCGCAGAGCUAAUAUAUGAAUUCCUGCAGAACAAAAGUUUGGACACUUUCCUGUUUGGUUGGUUUCUCUAAGCCUUUAUUACUGAUGCUUCUUUGUUAUGUGAUUCUAGCAUCUCUUUCACACCCUAAGAAAUUAGAACUGGUAUUAGUACUACUGCAUUAUAACAAUUUUUCGUUUUAAUUAAUGCAUUUCUAUUAUCUUUUUUUAUCUUGUUUUUUCAUAAACUUCGUGAAAUCACGAUCAUUCACAGAUGAGUAACAACAGGUUCAGUAAAAUGAUCACAUGAAUAUAAUAUAACACUAUAACAGUGAUGAUUAAGAAGUCACAAUGUAGGAGAGAUACAAUUAAUUAAGAAUAAUAUGACCAUGACUACUACUCUACUAGGCAGAUAAAGACAAAUUGGGAGGAAAAAAAAACAUGAUAGAAAAAUGCAAAUAUCAUGAAACUUGAAAGAUGUACUUCACAAUGAUCUUGUUGUCACAUAAUUUGUAGAAGAGAUGCAAAUAAGUAUGUAAGAAUAUGAUGACCACUUUGUCAUUUCUAUAUGAUGAAUUGAGGCCAGAAGAAUCACUUGAUUAACUUAAGUUGUGAUUUUAUUAUAACUACAAAUGCUUAUGUGUUUAUUUCAGUUUUGUAGAUAUGGACCUAAGAUAUCAGGAGAAACUAAUACCUAAUUAGGAUGCGGUUAAUCGAGUCUAAUUUUUAAUCCCAUCCCUCUAGUAGUGAUCUUCACCCGUAUGAAACUAACCCUCUUAAGAAGCUAAAUGAUAUUAGGGUGCAAUAUGAGACUCAAAGAAAACUCAAAUACCUGCAAUAACCUGCUUGAAGAAAGCCAAAAAUGUUAAUUAAGCACUGUAAUAGGAACAGUGGGUUAGAAUUGCAUCAUGGGUUGAAGUAUUAUAUACUAAGCAUCCUUGCGAGUAAGAUCUAGAAUAUUUGUGCAUCUAACAUGUGUCUAACACGCAUAUUUAUACAAAAUAACAUAAAUUUCUAUGAUUCUCAAACAACUAACAACAUCAUUGGAGUGAAUCAUAGUGAAAUAUUAGUGUCACCAUGCAUUUCUUCAUAGUUAAAUUUACAUCUAAUUAAUAAUGGUCAGCAGCUUCAAUAUUUUUGAGCUAUGUUAAUCUUGAUAGAAGUUCUAGCAAUUUAGUUGCAAACACUUGUUGAUUCUUUUGUAUGUCAACUAGAAUUAUUAACUUCAUCACUUCAAAGCUUAAUUUGGGUGUGAUCAAUCUAAUGUAUGUCAAACAUAAUUAACAACUUCAUCACUUUAAAGAUCAAUUUUUCCUUCAAGUCAAGUUUCUUAUAUAUGACAAGAUAUGAAGACAAAACUUACCACAUUUGGUUUGGAUAAAUAUAUCACAGUCAGAUGCAAGUUUAUUUAAUUUAAGAACAUAGACUGAAGUCAGUGAAAUGAAUAUUUCCUCUGUAGUCUGUAUUAUUGCCACUGUUGAUUUCCUUGACCUUAUUGCCACUCUUGGGUGAUUGCUUUGACCCUAUCACUUUUUUUUAGAAGAAAAUUCAUUAAUAAUCAAAAGAAAUUACAGAACAUUGAAAUAACCGGUUGUGAUGCCUACACCACAACACAUAUUCAUACUAAGAUAUGUAGUUACAGGUCCGUCACUAGGGGCAACAUCGGGUCCGUCACUAGAAACAACAUCCAUGAGCCAAAAGAGCCCAAUCCCUAACCAAAUUUUACGUUUGACACGAGCUACUCAAACCUAAGAGUAACGAUACAACUUUACCACUAACAAUAAACUGAGUCAAUUAUUUUUCUUCAACACCUUGCCCCUCCUGGGUGAUUGCUUUGACCCCAUCACUCUUUUAAACUGUUUUGUUGAAUGGAAUCUUUAGUGGGGAAACUAUGUGCUAUAUAAGUAUUGCCACUCUUGGGUGAUUUCUUUGACCCUAUCACUAUUUUGAACUCUUUUGUUGAAUGGAAUCUUUAGUGGGGAAACUAUGUGCUAUGUAAGUUGGUAGUUUGGUACUAAAGCACCGGACGUCUCUAACUACUCUCGACUCUGAAUGUCAAUAAAAGCCUAAAAGGGCAACUCGAGAUGGAGUGCCAAGAUAGAACCAACUCUUGGCGACACCUUUUAUGAACACCCUUUAUCAACUUGCAAGUAAACGUUGUAAAUUACAUGACUAUCAGUAGGAGCAGAAACGACACAAAUUCAAUUGUUCUUCAUAAAUUCGAUUUAUUCUAAAUCGGAGUAGGUUGCUAUUGCUAAUCAUCCUAUGGGUAGUGGAAAUCAGGUCAUGUCCUCUUUUAUUGAUUCUUUUCGUUACUGGACAUGCCCAAGUUGUUCACUUCUAUAUUCUCUUUCAUUUUCCUUAGACGACUGCAAAGUCUUUUUGAGUAAACGAGGAGACAACGAUGGAGAAAAUGUGAGUUGUAUAAGAAUAUAGCUCUCACCCACUUUCUCUUCCAUACAGAAUAUAUGCUUUUACAGCAAAAUUAUCAAACCAACAAUUAUGGGGCUAUCACUGAGCUUGUGGGAUGGUCGCAUGCUUUCGGCACCAGUAAUUCUCUUUGUGUUUCAUUUCUUUGUUUUUGCCAACUCUCUAAACUCUCUGCAGCAGCCAUCAUCUUUCUGCCAUGACGAUGAGAGCUUGGCAUUGCUCCAGUUUAAGCAAAGCUUUGUAAUCGACGAAUUUGCUUCUGUUGGUGAGGGUGCUUAUCCAAGGGUUUUGUCAUGGAAACCAGCUGCUGCUAAAGAAUGCUGCUCAUGGGACGGGGUCGAGUGCGAUGAGAAGACAGGUCAUGUCAUUAGCCUUGAUCUUAGUAGCAGUUACCUCUCCGGUUCUAUCGAUUCCAACAGCACCCUCUUCCACCUUGUUCAUCUUCAGAGGCUGAACCUUGCCGACAAUGACUUCAAUCAAUCUCAAAUUCCUAUUACCAUCAGGAAUCUUCCGGUGCUUCAUUAUCUUAACCUCUCUGGCUCAUUCUUUUCUGGUCAAAUCCCAUCUGAAAUUUCUCAGUUGUCCAAGUUGUCGUCCCUGGACCUAUCCUCCAAUACUGAUAGUACUGGUGAAAGAUCCCUGAUGCUAAACCAGUCCAAUCUAAAAAGGCUGGUUCAGAACUUAACCAGUCUAGAAAAGCUUCAUCUCAGCUCCGUCCUCAUUUCUGCACCAGUACCCGAUUCUGUGGCAAAUUUACCAUUUCUGACAUCUCUCCUCCUAGAGUAUUGUGAUCUGCGAGGCCAUUUCCCGGUAAGUAUUUUAAAACUACAAAGUUUAAAGUUUCUUAAUGUAGAAUCCAAUCCAGAUCUCUUUGGUUUUUUGCCGGCAUUUGAACAAACUAGUCCUCUAAUGUCACUCAGAGUUUCCAGAACAAGGUUUUCAGGAAGCCUUCCCUUUUCAAUUAAAAAGCUUGAUUCACUGAACGAAUUAGUUGCCAGUCGAUGCAAUUUUUCAGGUCUGCUUCCAUCUUCACUCGGAAAUCUUAGGCAGCUGGUUUAUUUAGACCUUUCAAAUAACACACUUAGUGGCUCCAUCCCUGCUUCUUUGGCUACCCUUAGCCAACUGUCACAUCUGUCCCUUGAUAAUAAUCAUUUCAGCGGUUACAUCCCAUCUUCUCUUGGUAAUCUCAUCCAGCUUACAACACUUUCGCUUGCAACAAAUCAACUUACCGGUCCAAUCCCAUCUUCUCUAGGAAAACUUAUCCAGCUCACUGAGUUAGACCUCUCUGGUAAUGAUUUUGGUGGUUACAUCCCAUCUUCCAUCGGAAAUCUCAACCAGCUCGUAAGACUUUCGCUUUCUUCGAAUCAAUUAACAGGGCCAAUCCCAUCUUCUGUAGGAAAUCUUAGCAAUCUAAUUGAGUUGGAUUUUUUCUCAAACCAUUUGCACAGUUCCGUUCCUGAGUCCUUAUUCAAUCUCACAAAUCUCGUGACGCUUUAUCUAGAUAGUAAUAGACUGAGCGGCAAAGUGAAUUUCUCCAUGUUUCAAAAGCUGCAAAAUCUCCUCAUACUGUAUCUCUCUGGAAAUAAAUUGGAAUUGUUGCUCGAAGAGACAAGACAUACGAAUGCAACAACUUUUCCAAAUUUUAUAACUCUAGGAUUGGGUUCUUGCAACAUAACCGAGUUCCCAAGUUUCCUAAGAUAUCAAAAAAAUUUGCGAUGGCUGGAUCUUGCUGAGAAUGGAAUGCAUGGCCAAGUACCGAGAUGGAUGUGGAAUGUAAGCAUAGAAAGUUUGACGGUUAUGAACAUUUCUCAUAACUUCCUUUCUGGCUUUGACCAACCUCCAGAUAUUCUUUUGUGGAGUGGCUUACAGCUCUUGGAUCUUUCGUCCAACCUGAUUCAGGGAUCGCUACUGAUACCUUCACCAUCAAUCGAGUACUAUGUAGUUUCAGACAACAAGCUAAGUGGGCAAGUUUUACCUCUGAUUUGCAAUCUGACUUCUCUGAAGUACCUUGAUUUGUCAAACAACAACUUGAGUGGGAUGCUGCCACAGUGUCUUGGGAAGUUCAGUAAAAAUCUGCGAGUUUUACAUCUUGGAAACAACUCUUUUGAAGGCCACCUCCCGGAAGCAUACACAAGCAGUCUAAUCAUGAUUGAUGUUGGUAACAAUAAGCUGCAGGGAAUCUUGCCCAGGUCAUUGGCAAAUUGUUUGAUGCUUGAGUUUCUUGUUAUAUCUAACAAUGAGUUCAGUGAUGUUUUCCCUUUUUGGUUGGGAACUCUCCCAGGGUUGAGACUCUUGGCAAUGCACCAUAAUGGAUUCCAUGGGGUGAUAAGGAAACCUGAAAAGAAUCCAGACUAUUUUCUUCAGUUGCACAUUCUUGAUCUAUCUUUCAAUAAUUUCUCAGGCAACUUCCCCUUUGAAUACAUUUUCUCUGGAAAUGCAAUCAAAGGUAUCACUUCCGAUCAGUUCACAUACCUGAAGACAACCGCAGAUGUUGUUUAUGAUCCUUCAUAUCAUGGCGGGUAUUUCUCCUUCACAAUGACAAGUAAAGGUGUGAACAGAUUCUAUCCCAAGAUUCGAGAGGACUUUGCAGUCAUUGACAUCUCAAGCAACAAUUUUGAAGCUGAGAUUCCUGAGUUUAUUGGGGACCUAACGGGGCUUCGUUUGCUAAAUAUGUCGAACAACAUUCUCACUGGUUUGAUCCCCUCAUCCUUGGGAAAAUUAAAGUUGCUUGAAUCGUUGGACCUUUCACAGAACAAACUCUCAGGGGAGAUCCCUCGUCAACUGGCACAGAUUUCAUUUCUUGCGAAAUUCAAUGUCUCUCACAACAAUCUCAGUGGUCUUAUUCCUCGUGGUUCCCAGUUUGCUACCUUUGACAGUACUUCAUAUGAAGGAAACCUGGGGUUGUGUGGAGAUCCAUUGCCAAAGAAAUGCGGCAAUGAUGCUCCUCCGUUGCCACCUCCUACAGAAGAAGAUGAUGAUUCUGAUUCUGGAAUUGAAUUGGAUUGGAAAUUUGUACUAGCAGGAUCUGUGAGUGGCAUGCUAGUUGGAGUGGUUCUUGCAGAUGUCCUCCUCACAAGGAGGCGUGAGUAUUUUCUUGAGAUUGUUGGGAUACUAAUCAGACUAACGAAAAGGAAAAGAAAGAAUAGGGCUUGGAAAGAUUGAGUUUGUUUGUUUUGCUAUGCAACUAGUCAACUACUCUUUGUUUCUGUUGUUCCCCCAUAUGUAUUGUGUUUUUCUUUCUACAUAUCUGUUGGCAAAGUAGAGAAAUAAUGCAUACUACUUCUAUAACUAAUUUGAUUAUAGAGCAACUCAGAGCGUCGUUUACUUUUAUUUUUACACAGGAUAUUUUCUCAGAUAUCUUAUUUCGACAAUAAUUUCAAAUUUACGAAUAAUCAUGUUGCUCAAUUCUAAUGAAACAUAAGACUAGAGAGAAAAAAACCCAAAAACAAAGCUCUGAUUAACUAAAGAAUGGACUAACCUCUUCCCUAGUUCCCUUGAUAGCAUUCUUAUGUAGUGAGUAUCAGGAAAAUGUGCUGUACCAAACAGUCUCAAUGCUUCUACCCAUACUUCUACGUCACGUUUCCGAGAAAUAUGAUGCAUCUCAAGCAAUGCAACCAAGUGUCCAAGACCAAUCUAUCAUAUUCUGUAUCAGUCCACCCCUAGUACAAGGCACCAAUCCUCUUACAUAUCACCAAGUCACCCACCAAAGCCUCCAGAGGUCGAGCCAACCCCAUAUCUUGCAAUGCCAUGUUAUCAGAAUCCCGAACCCGCCAUACCCCCUGAGCUUCCAAAAGGAAAUAAGAGUAACAGUCGUCCGCCACACUCGAUUUCUUUCAUGCAUUUCAUCGAACACCUUAUCUACAGAACUUUGCGUCCCCAAAAUCUAUCCAAUACAACAAUCAAUGAUGGCCGAAAAGUCGAAACCAACAAAACAGCCAAACGCCAAACAAGUAUCCUUCCUCCCCAGACGCCACAUCCAAACCACACGACUUGCCGCAGAGCCUGUAGCCAUCAGGCUUCAAAGUUGAAAAGCCUUGGCAAAUAAUUAAACCAAGGGGCACAUGCCAGACAGACUCACGUUACGUUAAAACGUAAAACAAUGUCGGUUAACCCAAGGGACAAAAUGGUAUUUACAGAGACCAACGGUGACCGUUUCACCCCCGGGAAAUAGUUUCUUAAACAAAGGCGGUGACCUUUGGCACAACCCAAAAGUCCAUCCUCACCCAAAAUGAACCUCUCCCUCCACCUAAGGUCCUCACCGCUGCGCCCACAUUCUUCCCCUACAAAAAUGGCCACACUCUUCUCUCUUUCCUUCUUAUCAUCACCAUCAACUUCUGAAUCCAAAGCAUUCAAUCUGCCAUGUCGUCAUUUGGGUUCCUAUCUCCUCCUCCUAUAUCCUCCUCGGCUCCCACGAGGCAGCUCUCCGCAGCCACUACUCCGGCUGCGGCACCGAUUGUCGCUCCGGACGUGGCUGCGGAGAGGCUGGAGCCGAGGGUGGAGGAGAGACAAGGGUAUUGGGUGUUGAAGGAGAAGUUUCGACAAGGGAUUAAUGUUCAGGAGAAGGUCAAGAUUCAGAGGGAGCCUAUGAAGCUAUAUAUGGAAGGCGGGAUUGAAGAGCUUGCUAAGUUGCCUUUUGAGGAGCUUGACAAAGCUAAGGAUACUAAGGAUGAUAUUGAUGUUAGGCUCAAGUGGCUUGGUCUCUUCCACAGAAGAAAGCAUCACUGUAAGUAGAUUGAUCAAUCAUUUUUAACCUCUAUUAAUAUUUAUUACUAUCAGCAACUUAUUUGUUCGACAAUUUUCUUGCUGAAAUUUGCCUAGAUGGUAGAUUUAUGAUGAGGCUGAAGCUUCCGAAUGGGGUCACAACAAGUGCACAGACAAGAUAUCUAGCGAGUGUGAUACGGAGAUAUGGCAAGGAUGGUUGUGCAGAUGUGACAACCAGGCAAAAUUGGCAAAUCCGCGGAAUUGUGCUGGCAGAUGUGCCUGAUAUUCUGAAGGGUCUUGCUGGAGUAGGAUUGACUAGUCUGCAGAGUGGGAUGGACAAUGUGAGAAACCCAGUUGGGAAUCCACUUGCAGGCAUUGACCCGCAUGAAAUUGUUGACACAAGACCUUACACGAACUUGUUGUCCCAAUACAUUACUGGCAAUUCACUCGGCAAUCCAACUAUAACAAACUUGUAAGUAAUCUAACUCUCUCAUUUACCCUGUUGGGUUAUUACUAAGCUUUAAUUUCAUACAAAUGUAUUGUUUGAUCUGAUAUCACCUUAGUCCAUGUAGUUUCAAUUUAGCAAUCACAUCCCUUAGUUUAUUAAAUGUAGCAUUAUGAUCCAUGUAGUUUCAAUCUAGCAAUCGCAUCUGUUAGUUUAUCAAAUGUAGCAUUAUGAUCCAAAUGCAGUUGUUAAAUUAUUGCAGAGAUGUUAGUUGGUUGCUUGGCUUAUUAAGUUAUUUUUCAUCUGAGCAGGCCAAGGAAGUGGAAUGUGUGUGUGAUAGGGUCUCAUGAUCUUUAUGAGCAUCCCCACAUCAAUGAUCUUGCGUACAUGCCUGCAACAAAGGAUGGGAAAUUUGGAUUCAAUUUACUCGUUGGAGGCUUCUUCAGUCCCAAAAGAUGUGCAGAGGCAGUUCCUCUUGAUGCAUGGGUCUCAACUGAAGAUAUGAUCCCAGUUUGCAAAGCUAUUCUAGAGGCUUAUAGAGACCUUGGAUUCAGAGGCAACCGACAAAAGACAAGAAUGAUGUGGUUGAUCGAUGAACUAGUAAGUAUUACACCAUACUGAUUAUAUAAUAAGAUGCCUGUUAACGUAAAAUGUGUAAUAUUUAAGUUACUCUACUACUUAGUUAUCCAUAUUUCAACAUCUCAACUCAUGGAAUACGUGAAGUAUAUACUUUCAAAUGUUCACAGUAACUUUUGUUAUUGUGUACUAAUAUUGUUGCCUUGCUUUAGGGCAUAGAAGGAUUCAGAUCAGAGGUUGUUAAGAGAAUGCCCUUUAAGGAACUGGAAAGAGCAUCUACUGAAGACUUGGUACAGAAGCAAUGGGAAAGGAGAGACUAUAUAGGUGUCCAUCCACAGAAACAAGAAGGUCUAAGCUUUGUGGGUCUUCACAUUCCCGUAGGCAGGAUCCAAGCAGAUGACAUGGAUGAGCUAGCUCGUAUAGCUGACGAGUAUGGCACUGGGGAACUCCGUCUCACUGUGGAGCAAAACAUUAUUAUCCCCAAUGUUGAGAACACGAAACUCCAAGCAUUGCUUCAAGAACCGCUUCUGAAAGAAAAAUUUUCACCUGAACCUUCCAUUCUCAUGAAAGGACUAGUAGCUUGCACUGGCAACCAGUUUUGCGGCCAAGCCAUCAUCGAGACAAAGCAACGGGCCUUGAAGGUGACUGAGGAGGUGGAAAGGCAUGUGUCAGUGACUCGGCCAGUGAGGAUGCAUUGGACGGGGUGCCCCAAUACCUGCGGGCAGGUGCAAGUGGCAGAUAUAGGUUUCAUGGGGUGUAUGGCAAGGGAUGAGAAUGGAAAGCCUGUUGAAGGGGUUGAUGUCUUCUUGGGAGGAAGAAUAGGAAGUGACUCUCAUUUGGGAGAUAUUUAUAAGAAGAGUGUCCCUUGUAAGGACUUGGUGCCCUUAGUUAUUGACAUCUUGGUAAAUCACUUUGGGGCUGUCCCAAGGGAGAGGGAAGAAGGGGAAGAGUAAAUUGAAAGACUUAAUAAAACGAAGGGUUCAGUGCAGAUUUUUCAUGGGGGUUUUCCUUGGUUGAAGAAAAGUAAAGAACGAUUGAAGGGUGCUGUGAGCAUAAGAUAUCUGACUUUAUCGGAUGUGAGCUUACCCUGUUUCCACUGUUAUUGUAUACCAAAGUAGUACUUGAGCUUGAUCAGGUAAAUAGUUAAUUCAUGUUUGCAUUUAGUAUAUUUAUGUUCAUCACUAAUAAGAUGCAAUCUCUAUAAUAUUCAGUACAAAUCUUAUUCCCAGAUUCAACUGAAGAGUUUAUUACAUGUAGACUGCAUUGUUCGUGCUAAUACACUUAUUUUCAUUAUUCAAGAAGAAAAAAUAUAAAUAUUUACAUGUUGCUUAGUUUGGUGGUGCUUUUUGUUCCAAGUAAUAUCCUGAAAAAUUGUCAGGAUCGGUCACGUUAGUCUAUCAAAUCGUUUUUUGUUGUGUCAUAAAUUUGUGCAGACUGUUAGUGAACAGAUCAUCACUCUCUCUACCCGUUUUAGAGUAUUUAUGGGACAAACUCGGAAACAACUUCUCGCGACAACUCAAUGAUUUGUUUUUUUUUGUUUUUUUUUUUUCACACUAUAAAGCAAAUUAAUAAAAACGAAAGUUAGAGAGACCAAACUUAUCUCCUUGAUACAACGACAACUCAAUGUUGAACAUGGUUCUUUUGUGGUUUUGUAAUUAGGAAUGCAGAUGAAAAUCUUCAACAUGCCUUUUGAAGUCCUUAUUGCCAAAGUUGUUGCUUUUUAGAAAUAGUUUUAGACUUUUGGAAGAGUUUAUGUUGGGUUGAAGGGGACUGGAAAUCCUUAUUGAUAGUAUUUGGGUCACUAUACUGUUGGAAAUUAUGUCGAUCGUAUCCAAUAAAUAUGAAUGAAAAUUUUGAUUACUCAUGACCUUUUCCUCUGUAAGGUUACAUGUGUUUUUCCUAUAGUUGUCUUUAGGAAUUAGUGUCUGUCUUAAGGAGAUAAGGAGAUAAGGAGAUAAGAACGUGAACCGGUGUAUAACUGUUGGUUUACUUGGGUUCUAUAUGAAACAAAGAAAGGACGAGAAAGAUCAAUGAAUCAAAUCAAUGAAGCAAUGAGUCCUCAUUUCUUCUACAAGACUACAAAUCUCCCUCGUGUCAAGAUUGUUAGAAUCCAAAAUUGUAAUGUUUUUAUUUUGAAUCAUCGAUUAUUGUAUUCUAUAAGAUGGACUCACCGAACUAUAAGCCUCAGGGUAGGGGCGAAAUAUGUCUUUAGUCAAAUGCAUUUUGCAUGCCUCAAUGGGAAAACCAAGUCACUUCUUUGGAUUAAUUACAAAACACUACCCGAAUUAUAAUGUUAUUUUUAUUCUCAUACUUCAUUAUCAAAAACUUGCAUUUUCAUACCCGAAGUUCUAUUCCGUUAGUAUUUUGAUACUCUGACCACUAACACCGUUAAAUUUUGAGGGUUUUUUCGUCAUUUCAAUAAAUGUAUCAUUUUUUACAUUUACUUUAACAAAAUAAUGUAUUUUUUUGAGGUUAUCAAAUACAAAUAGAAUAAUUUUUUUUUGCAAAAAUAUUCAAAAAAAACUCCAAAAUUAAAUAUUUAUUUUUGCAACAAUAGUGAUAAAAGUUAGUAGAACUCUUAUAUGUAUAUAUAUUUUUGGAGUUACAUGUUAAGCUAAAAAAAAAAUUAAAAUAAAUUAUAUCGAGAAAAUAUCGAAUAUCGAUGAAAAUUUUAUCAUAUUUUAUAUAAACAUGAUAUAUUUAACCAAAAAUAUUUUGUUAAAGUAAAUGUAAAAAAUGAUAUAUUUAUUGAAAUGACGAAAAUGCCCUCAAAAUUUAACGAUGUUAGUGGUCAGGGUAUCAAAAUGCUAACGAAAUGAAACUUCGAGUACGAAAAUGCAAGUUUUUGAUAGUUAGGAAUCAAAAUGAAAAUAACAUCAUAGUUCAGGUGAUAUUUUGUAAUUAAUCCUUGUUUUUUUAUGAAUUGAAAUUUGUUUAGUCAUUGUGAUUUGAAGUCGAUAUUUGUUCAGUUCAUGUGGUUUUAUUUUAAUCUGAAUGGUCUUUAAAGUCAUGAUUUUUUAUCCAAAUGGUCAUUCCGUCAAUUUUCUCAGUUAAAUUACUGAUAUGGCCGUUAAAGACUGUAAUUUUUAACUACCAUGUCAGUAAUUUCACUGAGAAAAUUGACGGAAUGACAAUUUGGAUGAAAAAUCGUGACUUUAAAGACCAUUCAGAUUAAAAUAAAACCAUAAGGACUGAACAUAUGUCGACUUCAAACCACAAGUACAAUAUUUUACCCUUUUUGUUUAUAGGGUUGUGAAAUUCACACACCUUAAAUUGAAAUCCACACACUCUUUUUCUUUUUUUGGUUAAAACAUUCACAAAAGACAAAGUUUAAGUUACUAAAAGACAACAUUUAAGUUACCAAAAAAGGGUGUGUUCAUUUUUUUUUUUGGUUACAAAAAUGGUAGUCGAGUGAGCUACCAUUUCGGAGUCGGGAGCAAUUUGUAGGUAUGACCUCUCCCCAAAAAAAGGUGUGUAGAUUUUAAUAUAAGAUGUGUUGAUUUCACAUCCCUUUUUAUAAUGCUCUUAUACGACUCAAACACUAUUACACUCAUAAUUUAUAAUUUAUGUUUCUGUUAAUUUAUGAUUGUUUCCCUACAUAUACCGCAUAGAGUAUCUAAGUCUUUGGAGCAUGAACCAGCCACACCCUCUUCCUCUAGCUCUGAUUUUUCCUAGACCCAAUAUGAGAGGGUAAUGGCAAGAUGUAAACCGCGAAUUAAUAAUCAAAGGGCAAUCUGUAACCAAAUUUCAUGUGUUUACUACUAAUACAUGAAUUGAAAUUGGUUUAUGUUCCAUCUAUUUAUCCUGAAUACAAAACGAGGUGAUGGUUUAUGAAUCAAUCAUAUGUAAUCGAUAUUUUUUCUCUCAUUAUACUUGUUGGUCAGCUGUGGUCUAGUUGGUUAGCUAGUCUAACUGACAUCGUUGAGGUCCAAACCAGACUAACAUAUAUAAAUGUGAGGUAGGUUAAGAAAUAAUAUUUUUACAGACAAAAAAUAACUAAACAUAUCAUUCUAGAUUUCUAGUGAAGAAAAGAAGAAAAUAUAGUAAAGAAAAGAAGAAAAUAGACAUGCCACAAUAAUUUCCCAUUUCUUUAUGGAAAAAUGGUCCAAACAGUGUCUCACAUUUUGAAGAAGCAAAGCUUUGGUAUCUCACAUUUAGAAAACUUCAAAACAGUAUCUCACGUUCUUACUUCGACUAAAGUUUGGUAUCUAGAACCGUUAGCUCCGCUAAAAAAAUUGACGAGACAUUUCUAUUCAUAAAAUGACCAAUAUACCCUUGAGUUUUUAUUUAUGUUAUUCUUUUUAUAUAAAAAGAGAAAUUCGUCAUAACGGUACCUCAUCUUUUCUUCCUUAUAAACUUUGGUACUUCAAGUUUUGAUAACAUCAGAACGGUACCUCAAGUUUUCUCCCCAACCUAAUUUUAGUACUUUUAACCGUUAGUUCCGUUACAGGGGUUGCUAGGUGGCAAUUUUUAAAGGCUAUUUUCGUGUCUUCAUGUCUUCAUUCAUUUUUUACUUUAGAAACAAAAACAAAGAUUCAUGAGUUAUUGUUUUCAUGAGUUUGCAAUUGAUGAAAUUCAUAAACAAAAAUAAAGAUUCCUGAGUUUUUAUUUUUUUCAUUUCGUAAUUUGCUUGUCAUAAUAUCAUAAGCAUUCAAUAGUUAAUAUAUUUGUACAAACUCACUUAAUAAAAGAUUCAAACAUCUUUCUCUUCAUCUCUAGUCUAGAAAAAAAAUAUCACUUUUUCAAGAUCCAGCUCUUUUCGUGAAGGCCGUGAAGCUCCUAAUUUCCUAAAGAUAGAGGAAAGAAAAAGAUAACAAUUUUCCCACUACAAAAAAAAUAAUUUUUUAUUAGGAUUAAUUUCAGUUUACUCCCCUCAAAGGUUUGGGGUUGACAUCGUUUUACCCUCCAUACUUUUAAUUUUGAAAAUUUACCCCCUAAAGUUUCUGAUUUUCAUAAAUCAGGCUCAAUUGCUAAAAUUCCGUUCAAUUUGGAGGUUAAAUGCUAGUAUAAAAUCUUAGAAAAAGGGUCCUAAAAGGCGAUUUAUGUUAUCAUAUGACUAUUUUAACGCUUUUAGUGAGUGAUGAAGUCAAAAUUAACGCCUGAAUUAGAUGAAAUUUCAGUAAUUAGGCUUGAUAUAUGAAAAUUGGAAACUUUAGGUGGUACAUUUUCAAAAUUAAAAGUAUGGGGGGUGAAAUGAUGUCAACCCUAAACCUCAGGGGGGUAAACUGAAAUUAAUCAUUUUUAUUAUUACAUAGAUGAAAUAUAUAUUUAGAGAAAAAAUAAUGAAUUGAAAUAUGAAAAGACAAAAAAUACCCAUGAAAAAUGGUCAGCUAACGAUUACCCUAUCGGAGGUUACGGCUAAAAAUACUAAAAUUGGGUCGGGAUGAAAACUGUUGAGGUACCGUUCUAAUGUUUUGAAAAAUUGAAGUACCAAAGUUUAUAAGCAAGAAAAGAUGAGGUAUUGUUAUGACAAAUUUUUCUUUAUAUUAUUUCUAUUAUAUAUAAUGAAUAACAAAAAUAAAACUUAAGGGUAAAUUAGUUAUUUUAUGAAUAACAAUAGUUGUCAUCAGUUUUUUAACGGAGCUAACGGUUCUAGAUACAAAACUUCGAUCGAGAAAGAUACUAUUUUAAAGUCUUCUAAAGAUGAGAUGCCAAAUCUUCGUUUCUUUAAAAUAUGAAACACUGUUUAAAAAAUUUUUCCUUUCUUUAUUUUCUUAUAUAAAUCCGACCUAUGCUGUUGCCCUCGUCAUUUCACUACCUCCGCCGAUAACACUGAAAAAUGAGCAGCCGGCUCAAAACCCUAAAGAGCACAGACGAUGAUCCGAAGUUCCGAACCACCAACCCCCCGCCGCCACAAUUCCUUACUUACCAGACAACAUCAUCGAGAAAAUCCUCUCCUUCCUUCCGAUCAAUCUGGCUGCCCAGGCCAACACCGUCUCCAAGCAGCGGGCGAAGCUAUGGCCUUCCUUCAUUGUAAUCGAUCUCGACGAGGGCUGCUACAGCGAACAUGAACGUUUCCUCGACAUGUUGUACUUUUCUCUCAGACGAUGCAAGGAUCAGAGGGUCUUGGACAAGUUGAGGAUUCGAGCCAGCCUUGAACUCGGCUUCCAAGAGGUAAUUGAAUGGCUUGAUUUUGCAAUGGAAAGGUGUGUCAAAGAGUUAGAUAUUCAAGAUUUGGAUCAGAAUAGAAUCAAAAACGCUACGAAAAACUUUUUGAUUCCCCAUGACGUUUUGACUUUGGAAUCUUUGACCACUCUGAAUUUGGAGAAUGUUAGACUUUAUGCAAGUUCCGGAAUUGAUGGUACUGUGAGCCUUCCCUCAUUGAAAAACAUGUCCCUCAAAGACGUGACAUUUUUGGUGGAUGUGGAGGACACAGCCAUCAAGGCCUUACCCAGCUUAGUUUCGGGAUGACCUUGCCUUGAGCAUUUGUCAAUCGAUGGAUGUAAGCUCGGCUACUCUGCCUUUCGGCUUGAAAUUCAAGUGACAGUCUCAAAUCCUUAGAAAUUACGCAUUGUCCUUCUAGGACUGUAGAUAUUACCGCCAAGAAUCUGGAGUCUUUUACAUUCUAUUCGGAUUGCACUUGUGCUUACCAUAAGUUUAUGUAUUUGUGGGAAUGUGAUAGCUUGAAACAUGUGGACAUCUCUUGCAAGGGUUUGAGACAGCUUCUAUUGCACAAUUGCCUAGAAACUAUGGAGAACUCUUUAAACACUCCCAGUCUGGAGAUUUUUGAGUUUAGUGGUUAUCUGAAGGCCCAGAUCCAUUUUGUGGAGGCUCCAUCAAAUUUAAUAAACUCUAUAAUCAGAGUAUGGGAGACCAUAUGGCCCAUUGAAUAUUAUUCUGCUAUGAGAGAUUUUCUUGAAAGUUUCGAUUACUCCAGAAAAGUGAAGAUACAUAUUGAAGAGGCUGAGGUAAUAUAUAUUUAAUCUCUUUUUCAUUUUGUUUGUUGCUGCUUAUAGUUUGUAGCCUCAUAUUUCUAACAUUGCUCAUAGUUUCAAAAGCUAGAUAAAAAAGAAAGUAAUUAACUUUUAAAUUUUAACCCAGUUGCCUGAAUUCCUUAGCCUUUGAAACUUUAUGAAUCUGGACUCGCUUACUCAAAGUAAAGGUAUGUUUGGUUAGUUCUUCAGCCAGUUAUGGUAGUAAAGAAAUUGGAGCUUAGGAGGGAACUUGAUAUAGAAAAGAUGGGCUGCUAUAGGACUCAGAUUGGUUGUAUGUUGCUUUUUGUUGGUUAAUGUGAGCAUUUGAAUUUUAUUAUCUUAUACAAUAAGUUGGAAGAGUGCAUAACACAAUUAGGCAUAUAUUGUGAUUUUCAUCUUUAAUAGUUUGUUGUUGUCAAUGGCUUGUAGGGUGUCAUAAUACCAGAACAUUGCAGAAUGGAAUGGUCUCCCCCAUUACCUAGUAUUAGGCAGCUGCAGCUGUACUUUUCGGCUCCAUUGGGGGACACAGAAUAUUGUUUGAGACCCUCAUUGCUUUGGAUGGCACCAUCUGCAGAGGUUCUACCUUUUCUACAUAAUGAUGACGACAGUGAUGAUUAUGAAGAUAUGGUCGACCGCAAUAACAAUGAUCACAAUGAUUAUGAGGACGAUGAUGACUAAUAUAAUAAAGCAAAUUUUUUUGGCGGAUAAUGGGACUCUGAGAGAGUAGUAUGAUGUACUGCUUCAGUUGGAAUCCCUCGUUUGCAUGUCUUAAGCUUUUAGAGAUUAAUUUUGGGCCGCCUUGUCAUUUUGAAUUUGCCAUUAGUCUCAUUUUUUAUUUUUUUCUGAGGUCUGAAAGUUCAAUUUCAGUCUUUAACAUCAAGAAUUUGAAUCCGGCUCAUUCCCUGUUUUUGAAUCUGUUUUGGUACGUUAGUCACUAUUCUUUGUCCUCUCUUGUCUGGUGGUAUUCUCUGUUUUUUUCCUUUUUCUUUAUUUCAUUAUGUCCUUGUUGAGAGUGACGUGGAGAGUUAAGAUCAAUCUAUUAUGUCUUUGUUGGGAGUGAUGUGGAGAGUUAAGAUCGUUGUGGUUUUGAUUGAUUUUUGGAGGUGUUGAGUUGAUUUUUAUUAUUAUUAUUAUUAUUAUUUUUUUUUUAUUAUUAUUAUUUUUAUUAUUAUUAUUAUUUUAUUUAUUUAUUUAUUAUUUUUUUUUUGUCAAAAGUGAAACAUACCAUCUAUUUUCUUGGUAUCUAUUUAGAGGAGGUCAAAUCUUUACUAUUAGAAAGCCAGUGUCUUGGUAGAAAAUUUUGAGAAAAAUAAAAAUUAUAGUUAAUAUGGGCUUUGACUGUAAAACACCGUUUGACAAAAAAAAAGGAGAAAGAAAUAGGAUUAGCACAUUCAUCUCCUUUUAAGUGGGGUAGAUCAAGUAAAACUUUUUUCAUUUUCUAAUCUAAGUGCAGAUGCACGGAUAAAAGGCUAGUAUAAAUAAAGCGUUGAAAUAUUGGUGAGUUGUUGCCUGGUUCGUUAGGUAAUCUAGCUAAUAAUGUGAAGCUUAUGGUUCAAAUCUCGAUGAUAUGGUAGGUUACACGAUUUUAAUAAAAUAAAAAAAAAUUGUGAAAUGACCCAGAGCGGCUUUAGUGCACCACGGUGCACUUGAACUAUUCACGUAUGUUAACGGACAUUAGUGAGACGGAGAAAUUCCAUUGGUUAGUCAGAUGAAGACCAAUAAAAACGAAACUGUAAUAAAAGUGUAAAACCAAAAAGAGUACAACCACCCUUCUGCACCACGUCCACUGCUGUAAACACCCAUUUCCGACUGGGACCUCGACUCCCGCGACUUCCUUCUCCACCACAACACCGUCGACCUCGAUCAUCUCAAUAAGAUCUUCGUCGCCGUCGAGUUCUCUAGGCGGGCCUAACCUGAUUCCUUGAAAGGAGGGGUCCACCACAACGUGCAAAAACUAUAAAAUUUCCCUUUAGGAAAAAGGGGAAGGGGGGGUCCCCAACCCAACCAAACCGGUGACCAAAAAAAACCUAAAUAAAAAAAAAAGGAAAAAAAAAAAAAAGGAAAAAAAAAAGGAAAAAAAAAAAAAAGAACAUAAAUCUAAUCAACCAAACUUAUGCAGUCACAUCUAAGCUCUAUGCGCCUCAACCCAAAGGUCGCCGCUGACACCAAAACAGAAGUAAAAGAAAACAAAGAAAGAGAAACAAAGUAGGAACCCAGAUGAUACAUGUCAAGGAAGCUAAAGGGGCGAAGUAGGGAAGAAUCAACCAAGUAGGCUUGACGGUGACAAAGAGAGGACGAGGAGAAAACUUUUCUUGUGGUCUUGUGGAGUUCGGUUAGUUAGUGCUUGUCAGAAUACAUGAAUUUAGUAUGAAAUUUUUUCUUUGAACGGGUGUAUGCAACUCAACCUAGUUGGGAGGCUCAACCUUAUGUCUCUGUUACAAAAAUAUAAAAAGCUUAUAUAUUAAGUAUGGAUCUGGGCUACCCAAAUGUCAACAUUGGGCCCUCCGGUCCCCUCGACCCAAACUAUCGCUAAAAUGUGGGGUGGCCCGAACGUCUUUCCACUACUAUAUGACCCGAGUCACCGGACCUCUACCAAUACUGCCGCCAUUUCACAAACCCUCCCACACUGAAAAAUGUGGAGGAGGGAAUGGUACAAAUUCCUAAGGAGCACAAAAGAGGAUGAUAAUGAAACCGCCGCUCCACAACAAUCCCUUACUUACCUGACAACGUCAUCGAAAAAAUCCUCUCCUUCCUUCCGGUCAAAGACGCCUUUGAGGCAACCGCCGUUUCGCAGCAGUGGAGAUCCCUUUGGCCUUCCUUCCCUGUUAUCGAUUUCGACGAGGAAUGCUAUAGCGAACCUCGACGUUUCCUCAGUUUCCUGCGCCACUCUCUCAGACGAUGUUGGGAUCAGAGGGACUUGGACAAGUUGAGGAUUCGAGCCAACCUUGGAUACUGCUAUGUUCCGGUAAAUGAAUGGGUUGAAUUCGCAAUUGAAAGGUGUGUCAAAGAGUUUGUUCUUCAUGAUUUGGAUGAGGGUAACAAAUUUUAUAAAAACUUCCUGAUUAACCAUGAGGUUUUGACUUUGAAAUCUUUAACUAGUUUGGUGAUAGGCGCAAAAGCACCUACAAAGAUACCCUAUUAUCAAAUCAAUUAUAUCAAUGUAGUAAACGGCAAAUAGGGGUCAUUACCCGCAGAGGAUUGGUGAUGCUAAGACUUAAACACAUAAGAACACAAACAGACGCGUAAACCAGAAAUNNNNNNNNNNNNNNNNNNNNNNNNNNNNNNNNNNNNNNNNNNNNNNNNNNNNNNNNNNNNNNNNNNNNNNNNNNNNNNNNNNNNNNNNNNNNNNNNNNNNNNNNNNNNNNNNNNNNNNNNNNNNNNNNNNNNNNNNNNNNNNNNNNNNNNNNNNNNNNNNNNNNNNNNNNNNNNNNNNNNNNNNNNNNNNNNNNNNNNNNNNNNNNNNNNNNNNNNNNNNNNNNNNNNNNNNNNNNNNNNNNNNNNNNNNNNNNNNNNNNNNNNNNNNNNNNNNNNNNNNNNNNNNNNNNNNNNNNNNNNNNNNNNNNNNNNNNNNNNNNNNNNNNNNNNNNNNNNNNNNNNNNNNNNNNNNNNNNNNNNNNNNNNNNNNNNNNNNNNNNNNNNNNNNNNNNNNNNNNNNNNNNNNNNNNNNNNNNNNNNNNNNNNNNNNNNNNNNNNNNNNNNNNNNNNNNNNNNNNNNNNNNNNNNNNNNNNNNNNNNNNNNNNNNNNNNNNNNNNNNNNNNNNNNNNNNNNNNNNNNNNNNNNNNNNNNNNNNNNNNNNNNNNNNNNNNNNNNNNNNNNNNNNNNNNNNNNNNNNNNNNNNNNNNNNNNNNNNNNNNNNNNNNNNNNNNNNNNNNNNNNNNNNNNNNNNNNNNNNNNNNNNNNNNNNNNNNNNNNNNNNNNNNNNNNNNNNNNNNNNNNNNNNNNNNNNNNNNNNNNNNNNNNNNNNNNNNNNNNNNNNNNNNNNNNNNNNNNNNNNNNNNNNNNNNNNNNNNNNNNNNNNNNNNNNNNNNNNNNNNNNNNNNNNNNNNNNNNNNNNNNNNNNNNNNNNNNNNNNNNNNNNNNNNNNNNNNNNNNNNNNNNNNNNNNNNNNNNNNNNNNNNNNNNNNNNNNNNNNNNNNNNNNNNNNNNNNNNNNNNNNNNNNNNNNNNNNNNNNNNNNNNNNNNNNNNNNNNNNNNNNNNNNNNNNNNNNNNNNNNNNNNNNNNNNNNNNNNNNNNNNNNNNNNNNNNNNNNNNNNNNNNNNNNNNNNNNNNNNNNNNNNNNNNNNNNNNNNNNNNNNNNNNNNNNNNNNNNNNNNNNNNNNNNNNNNNNNNNNNNNNNNNNNNNNNNNNNNNNNNNNNNNNNNNNNNNNNNNNNNNNNNNNNNNNNNNNNNNNNNNNNNNNNNNNNNNNNNNNNNNNNNNNNNNNNNNNNNNNNNNNNNNNNNNNNNNNNNNNNNNNNNNNNNNNNNNNNNNNNNNNNNNNNNNNNNNNNNNNNNNNNNNNNNNNNNNNNNNNNNNNNNNNNNNNNNNNNNNNNNNNNNNNNNNNNNNNNNNNNNNNNNNNNNNNNNNNNNNNNNNNNNNNNNNNNNNNNNNNNNNNNNNNNNNNNNNNNNNNNNNNNNNNNNNNNNNNNNNNNNNNNNNNNNNNNNNNNNNNNNNNNNNNNNNNNNNNNNNNNNNNNNNNNNNNNNNNNNNNNNNNNNNNNNNNNNNNNNNNNNNNNNNNNNNNNNNNNNNNNNNNNNNNNNNNNNNNNNNNNNNNNNNNNNNNNNNNNNNNNNNNNNNNNNNNNNNNNNNNNNNNNNNNNNNNNNNNNNNNNNNNNNNNNNNNNNNNNNNNNNNNNNNNNNNNNNNNNNNNNNNNNNNNNNNNNNNNNNNNNNNNNNNNNNNNNNNNNNNNNNNNNNNNNNNNNNNNNNNNNNNNNNNNNNNNNNNNNNNNNNNNNNNNNNNNNNNNNNNNNNNNNNNNNNNNNNNNNNNNNNNNNNNNNNNNNNNNNNNNNNNNNNNNNNNNNNNNNNNNNNNNNNNNNNNNNNNNNNNNNNNNNNNNNNNNNNNNNNNNNNNNNNNNNNNNNNNNNNNNNNNNNNNNNNNNNNNNNNNNNNNNNNNNNNNNNNNNNNNNNNNNNNNNNNNNNNNNNNNNNNNNNNNNNNNNNNNNNNNNNNNNNNNNNNNNNNNNNNNNNNNNNNNNNNNNNNNNNNNNNNNNNNNNNNNNNNNNNNNNNNNNNNNNNNNNNNNNNNNNNNNNNNNNNNNNNNNNNNNNNNNNNNNNNNNNNNNNNNNNNNNNNNNNNNNNNNNNNNNNNNNNNNNNNNNNNNNNNNNNNNNNNNNNNNNNNNNNNNNNNNNNNNNNNNNNNNNNNNNNNNNNNNNNNNNNNNNNNNNNNNNNNNNNNNNNNNNNNNNNNNNNNNNNNNNNNNNNNNNNNNNNNNNNNNNNNNNNNNNNNNNNNNNNNNNNNNNNNNNNNNNNNNNNNNNNNNNNNNNNNNNNNNNNNNNNNNNNNNNNNNNNNNNNNNNNNNNNNNNNNNNNNNNNNNNNNNNNNNNNNNNNNNNNNNNNNNNNNNNNNNNNNNNNNNNNNNNNNNNNNNNNNNNNNNNNNNNNNNNNNNNNNNNNNNNNNNNNNNNNNNNNNNNNNNNNNNNNNNNNNNNNNNNNNNNNNNNNNNNNNNNNNNNNNNNNNNNNNNNNNNNNNNNNNNNNNNNNNNNNNNNNNNNNNNNNNNNNNNNNNNNNNNNNNNNNNNNNNNNNNNNNNNNNNNNNNNNNNNNNNNNNNNNNNNNNNNNNNNNNNNNNNNNNNNNNNNNNNNNNNNNNNNNNNNNNNNNNNNNNNNNNNNNNNNNNNNNNNNNNNNNNNNNNNNNNNNNNNNNNNNNNNNNNNNNNNNNNNNNNNNNNNNNNNNNNNNNNNNNNNNNNNNNNNNNNNNNNNNNNNNNNNNNNNNNNNNNNNNNNNNNNNNNNNNNNNNNNNNNNNNNNNNNNNNNNNNNNNNNNNNNNNNNNNNNNNNNNNNNNNNNNNNNNNNNNNNNNNNNNNNNNNNNNNNNNNNNNNNNNNNNNNNNNNNNNNNNNNNNNNNNNNNNNNNNNNNNNNNNNNNNNNNNNNNNNNNNNNNNNNNNNNNNNNNNNNNNNNNNNNNNNNNNNNNNNNNNNNNNNNNNNNNNNNNNNNNNNNNNNNNNNNNNNNNNNNNNNNNNNNNNNNNNNNNNNNNNNNNNNNNNNNNNNNNNNNNNNNNNNNNNNNNNNNNNNNNNNNNNNNNNNNNNNNNNNNNNNNNNNNNNNNNNNNNNNNNNNNNNNNNNNNNNNNNNNNNNNNNNNNNNNNNNNNNNNNNNNNNNNNNNNNNNNNNNNNNNNNNNNNNNNNNNNNNNNNNNNNNNNNNNNNNNNNNNNNNNNNNNNNNNNNNNNNNNNNNNNNNNNNNNNNNNNNNNNNNNNNNNNNNNNNNNNNNNNNNNNNNNNNNNNNNNNNNNNNNNNNNNNNNNNNNNNNNNNNNNNNNNNNNNNNNNNNNNNNNNNNNNNNNNNNNNNNNNNNNNNNNNNNNNNNNNNNNNNNNNNNNNNNNNNNNNNNNNNNNNNNNNNNNNNNNNNNNNNNNNNNNNNNNNNNNNNNNNNNNNNNNNNNNNNNNNNNNNNNNNNNNNNNNNNNNNNNNNNNNNNNNNNNNNNNNNNNNNNNNNNNNNNNNNNNNNNNNNNNNNNNNNNNNNNNNNNNNNNNNNNNNNNNNNNNNNNNNNNNNNNNNNNNNNNNNNNNNNNNNNNNNNNNNNNNNNNNNNNNNNNNNNNNNNNNNNNNNNNNNNNNNNNNNNNNNNNNNNNNNNNNNNNNNNNNNNNNNNNNNNNNNNNNNNNNNNNNNNNNNNNNNNNNNNNNNNNNNNNNNNNNNNNNNNNNNNNNNNNNNNNNNNNNNNNNNNNNNNNNNNNNNNNNNNNNNNNNNNNNNNNNNNNNNNNNNNNNNNNNNNNNNNNNNNNNNNNNNNNNNNNNNNNNNNNNNNNNNNNNNNNNNNNNNNNNNNNNNNNNNNNNNNNNNNNNNNNNNNNNNNNNNNNNNNNNNNNNNNNNNNNNNNNNNNNNNNNNNNNNNNNNNNNNNNNNNNNNNNNNNNNNNNNNNNNNNNNNNNNNNNNNNNNNNNNNNNNNNNNNNNNNNNNNNNNNNNNNNNNNNNNNNNNNNNNNNNNNNNNNNNNNNNNNNNNNNNNNNNNNNNNNNNNNNNNNNNNNNNNNNNNNNNNNNNNNNNNNNNNNNNNNNNNNNNNNNNNNNNNNNNNNNNNNNNNNNNNNNNNNNNNNNNNNNNNNNNNNNNNNNNNNNNNNNNNNNNNNNNNNNNNNNNNNNNNNNNNNNNNNNNNNNNNNNNNNNNNNNNNNNNNNNNNNNNNNNNNNNNNNNNNNNNNNNNNNNNNNNNNNNNNNNNNNNNNNNNNNNNNNNNNNNNNNNNNNNNNNNNNNNNNNNNNNNNNNNNNNNNNNNNNNNNNNNNNNNNNNNNNNNNNNNNNNNNNNNNNNNNNNNNNNNNNNNNNNNNNNNNNNNNNNNNNNNNNNNNNNNNNNNNNNNNNNNNNNNNNNNNNNNNNNNNNNNNNNNNNNNNNNNNNNNNNNNNNNNNNNNNNNNNNNNNNNNNNNNNNNNNNNNNNNNNNNNNNNNNNNNNNNNNNNNNNNNNNNNNNNNNNNNNNNNNNNNNNNNNNNNNNNNNNNNNNNNNNNNNNNNNNNNNNNNNNNNNNNNNNNNNNNNNNNNNNNNNNNNNNNNNNNNNNNNNNNNNNNNNNNNNNNNNNNNNNNNNNNNNNNNNNNNNNNNNNNNNNNNNNNNNNNNNNNNNNNNNNNNNNNNNNNNNNNNNNNNNNNNNNNNNNNNNNNNNNNNNNNNNNNNNNNNNNNNNNNNNNNNNNNNNNNNNNNNNNNNNNNNNNNNNNNNNNNNNNNNNNNNNNNNNNNNNNNNNNNNNNNNNNNNNNNNNNNNNNNNNNNNNNNNNNNNNNNNNNNNNNNNNNNNNNNNNNNNNNNNNNNNNNNNNNNNNNNNNNNNNNNNNNNNNNNNNNNNNNNNNNNNNNNNNNNNNNNNNNNNNNNNNNNNNNNNNNNNNNNNNNNNNNNNNNNNNNNNNNNNNNNNNNNNNNNNNNNNNNNNNNNNNNNNNNNNNNNNNNNNNNNNNNNNNNNNNNNNNNNNNNNNNNNNNNNNNNNNNNNNNNNNNNNNNNNNNNNNNNNNNNNNNNNNNNNNNNNNNNNNNNNNNNNNNNNNNNNNNNNNNNNNNNNNNNNNNNNNNNNNNNNNNNNNNNNNNNNNNNNNNNNNNNNNNNNNNNNNNNNNNNNNNNNNNNNNNNNNNNNNNNNNNNNNNNNNNNNNNNNNNNNNNNNNNNNNNNNNNNNNNNNNNNNNNNNNNNNNNNNNNNNNNNNNNNNNNNNNNNNNNNNNNNNNNNNNNNNNNNNNNNNNNNNNNNNNNNNNNNNNNNNNNNNNNNNNNNNNNNNNNNNNNNNNNNNNNNNNNNNNNNNNNNNNNNNNNNNNNNNNNNNNNNNNNNNNNNNNNNNNNNNNNNNNNNNNNNNNNNNNNNNNNNNNNNNNNNNNNNNNNNNNNNNNNNNNNNNNNNNNNNNNNNNNNNNNNNNNNNNNNNNNNNNNNNNNNNNNNNNNNNNNNNNNNNNNNNNNNNNNNNNNNNNNNNNNNNNNNNNNNNNNNNNNNNNNNNNNNNNNNNNNNNNNNNNNNNNNNNNNNNNNNNNNNNNNNNNNNNNNNNNNNNNNNNNNNNNNNNNNNNNNNNNNNNNNNNNNNNNNNNNNNNNNNNNNNNNNNNNNNNNNNNNNNNNNNNNNNNNNNNNNNNNNNNNNNNNNNNNNNNNNNNNNNNNNNNNNNNNNNNNNNNNNNNNNNNNNNNNNNNNNNNNNNNNNNNNNNNNNNNNNNNNNNNNNNNNNNNNNNNNNNNNNNNNNNNNNNNNNNNNNNNNNNNNNNNNNNNNNNNNNNNNNNNNNNNNNNNNNNNNNNNNNNNNNNNNNNNNNNNNNNNNNNNNNNNNNNNNNNNNNNNNNNNNNNNNNNNNNNNNNNNNNNNNNNNNNNNNNNNNNNNNNNNNNNNNNNNNNNNNNNNNNNNNNNNNNNNNNNNNNNNNNNNNNNNNNNNNNNNNNNNNNNNNNNNNNNNNNNNNNNNNNNNNNNNNNNNNNNNNNNNNNNNNNNNNNNNNNNNNNNNNNNNNNNNNNNNNNNNNNNNNNNNNNNNNNNNNNNNNNNNNNNNNNNNNNNNNNNNNNNNNNNNNNNNNNNNNNNNNNNNNNNNNNNNNNNNNNNNNNNNNNNNNNNNNNNNNNNNNNNNNNNNNNNNNNNNNNNNNNNNNNNNNNNNNNNNNNNNNNNNNNNNNNNNNNNNNNNNNNNNNNNNNNNNNNNNNNNNNNNNNNNNNNNNNNNNNNNNNNNNNNNNNNNNNNNNNNNNNNNNNNNNNNNNNNNNNNNNNNNNNNNNNNNNNNNNNNNNNNNNNNNNNNNNNNNNNNNNNNNNNNNNNNNNNNNNNNNNNNNNNNNNNNNNNNNNNNNNNNNNNNNNNNNNNNNNNNNNNNNNNNNNNNNNNNNNNNNNNNNNNNNNNNNNNNNNNNNNNNNNNNNNNNNNNNNNNNNNNNNNNNNNNNNNNNNNNNNNNNNNNNNNNNNNNNNNNNNNNNNNNNNNNNNNNNNNNNNNNNNNNNNNNNNNNNNNNNNNNNNNNNNNNNNNNNNNNNNNNNNNNNNNNNNNNNNNNNNNNNNNNNNNNNNNNNNNNNNNNNNNNNNNNNNNNNNNNNNNNNNNNNNNNNNNNNNNNNNNNNNNNNNNNNNNNNNNNNNNNNNNNNNNNNNNNNNNNNNNNNNNNNNNNNNNNNNNNNNNNNNNNNNNNNNNNNNNNNNNNNNNNNNNNNNNNNNNNNNNNNNNNNNNNNNNNNNNNNNNNNNNNNNNNNNNNNNNNNNNNNNNNNNNNNNNNNNNNNNNNNNNNNNNNNNNNNNNNNNNNNNNNNNNNNNNNNNNNNNNNNNNNNNNNNNNNNNNNNNNNNNNNNNNNNNNNNNNNNNNNNNNNNNNNNNNNNNNNNNNNNNNNNNNNNNNNNNNNNNNNNNNNNNNNNNNNNNNNNNNNNNNNNNNNNNNNNNNNNNNNNNNNNNNNNNNNNNNNNNNNNNNNNNNNNNNNNNNNNNNNNNNNNNNNNNNNNNNNNNNNNNNNNNNNNNNNNNNNNNNNNNNNNNNNNNNNNNNNNNNNNNNNNNNNNNNNNNNNNNNNNNNNNNNNNNNNNNNNNNNNNNNNNNNNNNNNNNNNNNNNNNNNNNNNNNNNNNNNNNNNNNNNNNNNNNNNNNNNNNNNNNNNNNNNNNNNNNNNNNNNNNNNNNNNNNNNNNNNNNNNNNNNNNNNNNNNNNNNNNNNNNNNNNNNNNNNNNNNNNNNNNNNNNNNNNNNNNNNNNNNNNNNNNNNNNNNNNNNNNNNNNNNNNNNNNNNNNNNNNNNNNNNNNNNNNNNNNNNNNNNNNNNNNNNNNNNNNNNNNNNNNNNNNNNNNNNNNNNNNNNNNNNNNNNNNNNNNNNNNNNNNNNNNNNNNNNNNNNNNNNNNNNNNNNNNNNNNNNNNNNNNNNNNNNNNNNNNNNNNNNNNNNNNNNNNNNNNNNNNNNNNNNNNNNNNNNNNNNNNNNNNNNNNNNNNNNNNNNNNNNNNNNNNNNNNNNNNNNNNNNNNNNNNNNNNNNNNNNNNNNNNNNNNNNNNNNNNNNNNNNNNNNNNNNNNNNNNNNNNNNNNNNNNNNNNNNNNNNNNNNNNNNNNNNNNNNNNNNNNNNNNNNNNNNNNNNNNNNNNNNNNNNNNNNNNNNNNNNNNNNNNNNNNNNNNNNNNNNNNNNNNNNNNNNNNNNNNNNNNNNNNNNNNNNNNNNNNNNNNNNNNNNNNNNNNNNNNNNNNNNNNNNNNNNNNNNNNNNNNNNNNNNNNNNNNNNNNNNNNNNNNNNNNNNNNNNNNNNNNNNNNNNNNNNNNNNNNNNNNNNNNNNNNNNNNNNNNNNNNNNNNNNNNNNNNNNNNNNNNNNNNNNNNNNNNNNNNNNNNNNNNNNNNNNNNNNNNNNNNNNNNNNNNNNNNNNNNNNNNNNNNNNNNNNNNNNNNNNNNNNNNNNNNNNNNNNNNNNNNNNNNNNNNNNNNNNNNNNNNNNNNNNNNNNNNNNNNNNNNNNNNNNNNNNNNNNNNNNNNNNNNNNNNNNNNNNNNNNNNNNNNNNNNNNNNNNNNNNNNNNNNNNNNNNNNNNNNNNNNNNNNNNNNNNNNNNNNNNNNNNNNNNNNNNNNNNNNNNNNNNNNNNNNNNNNNNNNNNNNNNNNNNNNNNNNNNNNNNNNNNNNNNNNNNNNNNNNNNNNNNNNNNNNNNNNNNNNNNNNNNNNNNNNNNNNNNNNNNNNNNNNNNNNNNNNNNNNNNNNNNNNNNNNNNNNNNNNNNNNNNNNNNNNNNNNNNNNNNNNNNNNNNNNNNNNNNNNNNNNNNNNNNNNNNNNNNNNNNNNNNNNNNNNNNNNNNNNNNNNNNNNNNNNNNNNNNNNNNNNNNNNNNNNNNNNNNNNNNNNNNNNNNNNNNNNNNNNNNNNNNNNNNNNNNNNNNNNNNNNNNNNNNNNNNNNNNNNNNNNNNNNNNNNNNNNNNNNNNNNNNNNNNNNNNNNNNNNNNNNNNNNNNNNNNNNNNNNNNNNNNNNNNNNNNNNNNNNNNNNNNNNNNNNNNNNNNNNNNNNNNNNNNNNNNNNNNNNNNNNNNNNNNNNNNNNNNNNNNNNNNNNNNNNNNNNNNNNNNNNNNNNNNNNNNNNNNNNNNNNNNNNNNNNNNNNNNNNNNNNNNNNNNNNNNNNNNNNNNNNNNNNNNNNNNNNNNNNNNNNNNNNNNNNNNNNNNNNNNNNNNNNNNNNNNNNNNNNNNNNNNNNNNNNNNNNNNNNNNNNNNNNNNNNNNNNNNNNNNNNNNNNNNNNNNNNNNNNNNNNNNNNNNNNNNNNNNNNNNNNNNNNNNNNNNNNNNNNNNNNNNNNNNNNNNNNNNNNNNNNNNNNNNNNNNNNNNNNNNNNNNNNNNNNNNNNNNNNNNNNNNNNNNNNNNNNNNNNNNNNNNNNNNNNNNNNNNNNNNNNNNNNNNNNNNNNNNNNNNNNNNNNNNNNNNNNNNNNNNNNNNNNNNNNNNNNNNNNNNNNNNNNNNNNNNNNNNNNNNNNNNNNNNNNNNNNNNNNNNNNNNNNNNNNNNNNNNNNNNNNNNNNNNNNNNNNNNNNNNNNNNNNNNNNNNNNNNNNNNNNNNNNNNNNNUCUUUCUUCUCUUUCUCCCUCUUUGGUUUGGCUGCUCCCUUUCUUUUUGUCUCCCUCCUUCGUCCUUUCUCCCCUCCUUUUUCACGUAGAAAUAGGUUAGUUAACCUAUAUGUCUUCCAUCACCAACCCAACUAGGAUUAGGGAUCCUAAUUAAGCCCAAUUAUCUCCUUUUCUUUGUUUGACUUCAAAACACCUAAAAACAAAUAAAGUUAAUUAAAAAUAGGAAAACAUCACAAAAUAACUAAGUAAUAAGAAUAAUUAGCAUGAUAAAAGUCGCACAAAUAUGCGACUAUCAUUUGGAUUUGGAGAAUGUGAGAGAUUGUGCAAGUUCUGGAAGUAUUCAUGGUCCUGUGAGCCUUCCCUCUUUAAAAACCAUGUCCCUCAAGGACGUAACAUUUUUAGAUGAUGAGCAGGACACAGCCAUCUGUGCCUUCCCCAGCUUAGUUUCGGGGAGUCCUUGCAUUGAGCAUUUGUCAGUCGAUGGAUGUAAGCUCGGCUACUCUAUCUUGCAUAAUCCUUGGAAAUUAUGCAUUGUCAUUCUAUGAGAGUCACAGUUAGUGCCAUGAAUCUGGAGUCGUUUACAUUCUAUUCGGAUUGUACCUGUUCUUAUCAUAAUACUAUGUACUUGUUGGAAUGUGAUAGCUUGAAACAUGUGCACAUCUUUUGCAAGGGUUUGAAAAGGCUUCUGUCGCAUAAUUGCCUACAAAGUAUGGAGAACUCGUUUUAUACUCCAAAUCUAGAGUCUUUUGAGUUUGGUGGAUAUCUGAAGGCCAAGAUCCAUUUUACAGAAGCUCCAGCGAAUUUAGUAAACUCUACAAUCAGAGUUUCGGAGAACUUAUGGCCCAUUGAAUAUUAUUCUGCUAUGAGAGAUUUUCUUGGAAGUUUCGACUGCUCUAAAAAAGUGAAGAUACAUAUUGAAGAGCCUGAGGUAAUAUAUAAUUAUAUAGUCUGUAUUUCAAUUCUUUUAUUUCUUGCUUAUUGUUUCUGGCCUCUUAUAUCUAGCAUUGCAAUUUACACAUAGUUCCAAAAGUUAGACUAAAAACAAAAAGUAACUUCUAAUUUUAACCUGAGUGCCUGAAUUCCUCAUCCUUUGACAAUAUAUGAAUCUACAGUCGCUUACUCAAAGUAGAAGUAUUUUUGGUUAGUUAUAAGCCCUUUGCCCUAUUUAGUAAGUCCGUGGGGAGAUGAUUUCACAUUUGGAAGUGAGGGAAUGGUUGAAUGCUUGGUAUCAUGCUCUUAAUCCCUUUGGGCAUCCACAGAUUUGUUCUACUCUGAUGCAUUUAACCUGUGAUUCAGAACUUCCUUGUAUAAUACUCCUCAUGACUGAUAGGUAUUGGAGUCAUCAGAAUAGUAGGGAUGUGGUGGAUAGUUGGGUUAGAAUUUAGAAACCACUCAAAAAUGUCAAUUUGAUAAAGAAGUUUUAUUAAGAACUAGCACUAGACUUCUUCCCUCCUUUCUAUUUUUCCUUGCUUCUUCUGUCAAUUUGUUCCUCAUCAGGCUUUGUAAUAUAGAGGUAUACUUGAUAGGCACUCCAGGGUAUACAUAGACUAGCCUUUAUACUACGAACCGGUUAAGUUAGUAAAGAUACUGGAGCUUAGGAUGGAAUUUGAUGUGGAAAAGAUAUCGGGGUUUGAUUCUGUUGGCGUUUGAAGAUCUGCAGCACUGAUUGGGGGUUAAUCCUAUAACCUUCUAAUUACCAUAUCUGAUCUAAGAGAGGAUAUGUAUGCUGCUAUAACCUUCUAAUUACCAUAUCUGACCUAAGAGAGGACAUGUAUGCUGCUGUAGGACUCAGAUCGGUUAUUUGUUACUUUUUGUUGGUUAAUGCGAGCAUUUAAAUUGGAUUAUUUUAUACAGUAAGAUGUGAUGUGAAAAAGAAGUUAUAGUUGAAAAGUGCAUAACGCCAUUACGUUUUUCUUGUGAUUUUCAUCUUUAGUAACUUGUUGUCAAUGGCUUGUAGGGUGUCAUAAUACCAGAACAUUGCAGAACAGAAUUGUCUCCCCCAUUAUCUAGUAUUAAGCAGCUGCAGCUAUACUUUUCUCCUUCACUGGGGGAGAGAGAAUAUUGUUUGAGACAAUCAUUGAUUUGGAUGGCACCAUCUGCUGAAAUUCUACCAUUUCUAGAUCACGAUGACGAUGAUGAUUCUGAUGAUUUUGACGAUGAUGAUUACAAUAUUGUUGAUGAUGAUAAUGGCAUUGAUGAUGACAAUGGGAAUGUUGACAAUGAAGACGGCGACGAGUAAAUUGUGAUUAAGGUAGAUAUUCUGCAUGUUGUGUUACUUCAGAAAAAUGAUCAGUUCAAGCUAUAUUGUUGUGCCUAAUGAAGAUUGUUAGUUCCUAUGAAAAAAUUAAGAUUGUUGUAGUUCUUUUAUUUAAUUUAAGUAUAACGUUUUAUACUCGCAUUGACAUGGCCGAACGAAGCUAAUAAUUAACUGGUAUCUUCAUUCUAUUGGCGCUUAUUCUCGAUCAUUGGCAAUGGAGAGCGUAUUCAGCGCACCCGUCCAUCUCCGCCGUCCAUUUGACGCGGACUUUUGACUUUUUCAAAAUGGACGGCGGAGAUGGACGGGUGCGCUGUAUAAUUUUCGAUUGGCAAUGAUAUGUACUGCUCAAGUGAGAAUCCUUUGCAUGUCUUAAGUAUCUUAAGAUUAAUGUUGGGAUGCCUUUCCAUUUUGUAUUUGCCAUUAAGUUCAAGUUUUCUUUUCUUUUCAGGGAGGUGACCUCAUCCAGCGAAUUGGAAUUCAAGCUGUGAUCUCCAGUCUUUUAGUAUUUUGUACUUUUGUCUGAAUGGUGUAGUUUCGUUAAUUUGAAAUAUAAUAUUUUAUAUUAGCUUCUACGUUAGCUUUGGCAUAAAAAAGGGAAUAUAAGCUUUCACCACUAGACUUUCUGUCUACUUCUGCGUUAGAUUUUCCAGUUUCAAGAGGGUCUAACAGGACCGAGAUCUAAGCUCGAGCAAUACAGAACUGGAGAAGCCAUUAGCAAAGCAAGGGAUCAGUCGGAUGUCGGAUCACUGAUUGAGAAUUUGAACCUCCUGGCUGAAGCAAAAAGCACAGAGAAAGCUUAACUUGGAGACUGCCCAUAUUCGCAGUCGAAAUCGAAGAAGCGGCUCAACAACCUCAUUUUCAGCUGGCUCAUAAGCUCUUCCUUCUCCCAUGUUCUCUCUGUUCUACCUAUUCCAUCAUUCCAUGUUUGUGUUGACGGUAUUUGUAAUCAAGAAUUUCAUGAUAUGUUAGAAGUAAGAGCUCAUUCCCUGUUUUUCAAUACCCAAAUGUGUUGGGCCCUCUAAUCCCGUAGGCCCAAACGUCAUUCUAUUCCUAUAUGACACCUGACCUCUAGAGAGUCCUCUAUCCCUACCUGUCCUCAUUUCACUACCUCAAAAAAUGUGGAGAAGGAGAUGUUACAAAACCUCAAGUCCCCAUUUGUUUAAUGGGAAAUCAUGGUAUGGAAAUGUAAUUAGUUUUAUUUUCCAUUCUAAUGUGUUGCUUGGUUGUAAAUGAAGAUUGGAAAGGAAACAAAAAAUGAGAUAUGACUGAAAAUGACUCCCUUAUAAAGCCUGAAUUGUAUUACCUAGUUAGGGGUGAUAUUCUAUUUCCAUUCCCACCGUCAAAGGUAAAUUACAGAAAUUAGACAUCUAUAAAGUUUAAAUUUUCUUAAAUAGAUUACAUAUGCAAUUAGUAAAAGGGUGUUACUGGAAAUUAUAGAUUUAAAGUUCAUUAUUAUGACUUAUUAAAUAUGGUGUAAUUGGAAUAGAAAUAAAUUAAUAAUUCAAUUAUAAUAACAACCAAACACCUACAUGGAAAUAACAAAACCUUUUCCUUUCCAUAUCAGUCGGGAAAUGAAAAUAAGGAAGCCUUUCUAAUGAGGACCCUUAAGUUGAGGACUUUUCGGUUUAUCCCACAUUUCGAUCUUAUAUCCACAUCUUAACCGUUCAGUUUAUAGGUAAUUAUGAGUAGAUCAUUUCUGCAAAUUUUCAGCCAUAUUGAAAAUAGUUAAGACAUUCAUAAGUGUGAUUUACCAAUUAUGAACUUGAACGGUUCAUGUUUGACAAAUUUAGUUCGUCUAUUAAUUUGAUCUAGUUUGUUACCUUAAUAAUCACCGAUUUGGCUGAAAAUUUGUAGGGUUGAUCUACACAUAUAGACCUAAAAAUUGAACGGAUGAGAUGCCAAGAUGUGAUAAAAAAAUAGGUCUUUUAAACCAUAAACCGAAAAGUCCUCAACAUAUUUCAAACACUACUAAAUCAUUUUCCUAUCCUGACAUUCUUGCUAACCAAACAUGGCAUAAGGAGCAUAGAAGAAGAGGAUGAUGAUGAAACCUUCAUUGAUUUGGAUGGCACCAUCUGCUGAAAUUCUACCAUUUCUAAAUCACGAUGACGACGAUGAUGAUUAUUGUAAUACCCCGGAAUUUUGAUAUUAGUUUCUAAUAUUAUUUGUGAAUUUUUCGAGUUAGAAGUUAGUGUGUUUUGAGGUUCGAAGGAAGAACGGAGGUGUUCGAGAGAUUUCUUUGUUGAAAAUGCUUUAUUUUGAAGGGUCAAGAGUUGACUUUUUAUCUGUAAGUUAUUUUCGAAAACUUCCUUCAUGAAAGUUAUAGAGUUUGUCGAUACGAGUUCGUAGACAUGCGGCACGCAUAAAACGGAUGUCGUAUGAGAAAGUUAUGGUCAGAGGAAGUUAGUUUCCGGUUUUGGAAAUGUGUAUAAGUAGAAAAAUGUGUGUGGGUUAUUUUUAUAAACCCUAAAUUGCAGCAGCCCCAUUUCAGUUUCUCUCUCUCUCUCUCUCCCGUCUCCAUUUUCACCCUCAAACUUCUUCCGGCCAUAACUCGGCCAUCCGGCGACGGAUUUAGGUGUGCUUGGUAUCGUUGGAAAGCUCUCACUCCCCUCUUUCUAUUCAUUCCAGCCUCACACCCUAUGGAGCACUAUGCACGGCGCAGAAAGGCCCGCAAGUUACUGCUGCCGCCGGCGGUGAAGCUCCGACCUAUUCCGGCGACAUCGAGGUUUGAGGCUACCCAUUUCUGGAAGUUCUUGUCCUUCUAAGCAUGAUGAUACCAGCUUUGAAGCCUAAUUCUAAGCGUGGAGCUUUCGAGUUCAAAGUGCUCCUUGUUUCUUUCCGGCGACGUUUGGUAUCGUUGGAAAGCUCUCACUCCCCUCUUUCUAUUCAUUCCAGCCUCACACCCUAUGGAGCACUAUGCACGGCGCAGCAAGGCCCGUAAGUUACUGCUGCCGCCGGCGGUGAAGCUCCGACCUAUUUCGGCGACAUCGAGGUUUGAGGCUACCCAUUUCUGGAAGUUCUUGUCCUUCUAAGCAUGAUGAUACCAGCUUUGAAGCCUAAUUCGAAGCGUGGAGCUUUCGAGUUCAAAGUGCUCCUUGUUUCUUUCCGGCGACGUUUCCGGCCGAAUUGGCUUUGGCCACAGGUAUGAAAACUGUUUCAUUUGAUGUGUUCUACAAGUUUCAUGUUGUGAGUUUCCCCAAAUUUUGAAGUUGGUGAGGCGUGUGGGGCUCACUCGCCGCCGCCGCUUGUGGUGGCGCGUGGGAGCGCGUCCGGGCAAUGUGAUUGAGUUAGUUGCUGUGUUAGCUAGUUGUGUCAUUGUGAGUGACUGCUUUACUGAUUUGAUUUGGUUUUUCCUUAUUUAAUCUUCUGGAAAUUUGGGUAUGUUGCUAUUGCUAUCUUGGUUGUGUAUCGAAUUUGGUUGGUUAGUGACCUUCUUUUGGUCUCGACCUUGUGUCCUAUUUUUAUUGAUCUUUCUGGAAAUUUAGGAUAUUGUUGUUGUAGAUAUGAUGUGGGUGUGUCAACUUUUCUGUGAAUCUUGAGAGGUCUCGAGGAAAGCUUGUUCUCAAGGGACAAGUCUUUGGGUUAAGUUAGGGUCUAGGUCCAAGAGUGAAAUGUCUUGGUCGCAACUAGUUAGUGUAAAUGGCAAUCACUUGUUUUGUUGGUCACUAAGUUGUUUGUGAUAUCUAGGUGAUUAGCGAAGUUGGUGUUGUGCUUGUUCUUAUUGUGUGUGAAGACGCAACAGGAGUUAAAGGUGAGUAAAUCUCACAUGGGUUCAUAAAAGAACCGAGUUUACUUUAUAGUUUAUUAUUGCUAAUUAUGAAGUUGUCCUUGAAGGAAAAUGAUUUUGUCUUUAAAUAUAAAUGAGUUUGAUCGUCAACGACUCAUGGUAAGUGAAACAAGUUUUCUGUUAAUAAUACUCUUUCAAAAGGACUUCCGAUCAUGAGUCAUAAUUAGAGUUGGUAGAUUAUUUUUGUUUUUAAAUAUUUAUAUCCAUGUGUGUAUGUGUGAAAGGCAUAUUAUGAUCAUGUGAUAUUGUGAUGUUAAAAUAUGGUUGUUGAUAGAUUAUUCUAGUGGGAAUAUCUAUGUUUUUUUCGUAUAAAUAUAUCUAGGUGGAAAGAUAUAAUUUAUGAUGUGCUCUGGUGUUGUUGUUGAUGAUAUUUUUUUUAUUGUGAAUUGUUGUUUAAAUAGUCAAAUCGGGUUCUAAGCUUUUAAUCGGGUGAUUGGUUACGGUUAUGAUGAUUUUUUUUACUUUGUGAUUUGUUAAGUGUUAUGAUGAGAGAGUAUUUGAAUGUGUGCCUUAGUGGUACGUGAUUGUGUGCAUUAGUUGUGGAUGUGUGUGCUCUAGUGGUGAUCGUGUGCAUUAGUUGCGGAUAUGUGUGCCUUAGUGGUGAUUGUGUGCAUUAGAUUAGGAGCCUUCGUGGUGGACCGGGAACCAAGCCUUGGCCGGGUGAUUGGUUAUGGUUAGUAUAGAGCUCUAGUUUGUCUGUCAGUACUUCAUGGGAGAUGACUAAUGGGAGAUGACUAAGUGUUAACGAACCCAUGAGUACGUGUUUGUUUGGUUACUUAUGGGGGAUGACUAAGUAUUGACGAACUCAUAAGUAAGAGUAGAGAAAUGAUUGUGUGAUGUUCUUAUGUGUUGUUAUUUAAAUUUCUUGCUUUGAGUAUCUCCUGAACUAUGCUUAUCCGCAGGAGAUUCAUUAAUCUUAAUUAUGUGAUUUUAAUAGGAUUCAUUUAUGAUUUUGAGUGAUUUUGAAUUGUUGUGUUUUUCUUAAUUCUUUUUUUUUUGAAUUCUCUUGCUUUUAGGUGAUUCCUGAACUAAGUUGCUCAUGCAGGAAUUACUAGUUUUAUUAUAUGUGAUGUUGGGAUUGUUGAGUUAUUAUUUUGAGAGUUACUUAUACGAGCUUUUUAGCUUACCGGGUUUGUUGUUUACAACCCGGUGCACCAAUUCAUGGUGUAGGGGUUAGACCUGCAGGUGAUGAUCAACAAGGUUGAGGCAGUGGCUUAGAAGCUGGGUUUUAGACGAUAUACAUUUAUUUGUAUAUUAUGGCAAUUGUUUUUAAGCUCAUGUGAGCAACUUUAUUAUCACUAGACUUUUGAAGUUGAUGUAAUUAAGGAGUUAUAAUAUUUAACUCGGUUGAUGAGCUUAUUGACAUUUACAUUCCAGUAUUUGUUUUUAGUUUGGAAGUUGUUGAGCAGGUUUUGGGAUAUUAAGUUUUUGAGUUAUAUUAUGCCCAAAUUUUUAAAAAUUUAACCUUCGAAAAUUGGGGUGUGACAGUUUGGUAUCAGAGCCUAGGGUUGCAUAUUUGGUGAUAAUCAGUAUCUUUGAGUGAUGGCCCGACUACAGCGGAUCCCCAUCAUACUCUUUGGUACUGAUAUGUCAUUGGGUAUGCGGGAGGCAAAGAUGUUGUCUUAAGCGUUAGGUUUCCAGAGCAUAGGUUUGCUCUGUAAGCAAGGAGUGCGAGUGUGGGUAGAGUUUCUUGAGGAUUAGUCUUUUGAGGAAUAAGAAUCAUUAGAUUGACUCCUUUUCAGCUGCCCGUGGUAAGCUGGAGGAUUUGUGAUUGGUGAGCAAAGUUUAGGAGUGAAAUGUACUUUGUUCUCUUUUCUUCUUCAUGAGAGUGAGCUAUGAUUUUUGGUGUGUCUUUUCUGUGAUGUUGUGGUGGUGUGGUGUUUUGAUUAAGUUAUGGAGUUAAGGUCUUGUGUUGCAGUUAAGGUCUUGUGUUUGACUUCUGUUGUAGAUGUGAUGCAAUUGAAUUAUGUGGCUCAUACAUCAUUCUUUGUUGUGGUGGUAGAGAUUCUCUACCAUGCGAUUUUGUGUGUGAUCUGAUGUCAUGAUCUUUGUGACUUAUUCGGGGUUAGCAUUUAGCUUGGUUGUGGUGUUCUAAGUGGUUGAACACUAUUUGAGUUAUACCCCAUGUGUUAUUGACUCUUGAAAGAUUUAUGUGUAGUCAUUGUUUUAUGUUAUAGUAGCAGGAUAGUUGUGUGUGCGCGGAAAUGCUAUAUUGCCUCGAGUUGGAAGGCGUUAUUAAUUGUUGUUAUGUUAAGUGGUGCACUUAUGCUGAAUCAUUGAUCUUGACGCAUGUUGACCUUCGAGGUCUUACGGCCAUGCAGAGUGCUACGCGUCUAAUUUAAGACGCGAAUUUGUUGUCCGUAGCUUGAUAGAUGGGUUGGACAAUGGGGUGGGGGAAAUGGUCAAUAUGUGGUGAGCCAUGUUUGACUUCUAGGUGAGCAUUGUUAUGCAUCGUAGGAUGUUGUUACGUCUUUGUUAUGCUGGUGGAAAUUCUAUGUCAUUUUUCUUAUUGCAUAAUCUCAUGUUAUUAAGAUAUAUAUAUAUAUAUAUAUAUACAUUUUUUUAUUUUUUUAUGUGACUAUAUGAAUGAGUUUUUGUGUGGAUCUGAUGACUUCGUGAUUUAUGGACUUGUAGCAAUGUUGAUUUCGGUUGUGUGCCAAUGUUCUUUUGAAAGCUCGUAGUGUCAUGGUGAGUUGACAACGAUGCGAUGUAGAUAUUGUUUUGGGUUGAGUUCACAUUCUUGUGUAGUUUGUGUGUGUUAUUUUGGUUAGCAACGUAGUGGUUGUGAAAUAUGCAGGGACGAGUUUUGCGAACCAUUCAGUUACCACCAAGUGGGGUGGUAGGGUGAAUUCGUGUCUGGCUUCAGGUGACCAAGACAACGAAAGCGGUGUGGUUACAUUCAUUGUUGAUGUUCGACUUGAUUUUCUAUGAAGUUGUAUGGCAAAAUUAUUGAGGAAACUCGAUAUGCUUGUGGAGGCUUUGAGACGAGAGAGAUUGUUUGGUAGUAUGAACCUGUUUUUGGGGGAGAAGUUAGCAGCACUUGGGUGGAGUAGUGCAUUUAAAUUUCAGGGACGAAAUUUCUUUAAGGGGGGUAGAAUGUAAUACCCCGGAAGAAGUUUCAACUAUACCAGUUUUUUUGAUACGAAAGUAAAUCAAAUAUAAAACAUUACAGACAGUUGCCUCUCAGACAACCAGUUCCUAAAUUAUCAAAUUGAAUACAUCGGGUGACUCUUCUCAGAAGGUUGUUUUCCCAUACUCUUUCUUCUGUGGUUUGGUGUCUUGUGCUUGCAAUUGCAUCUGCCGCAAAGUUUGCUUCUCUAUAAAUGUGUUUAAAGGAGAUGGUGCUGAAACCUUUUGCAAUUUUCUUGAUGUCUUGGACAAUUUGCUUAAUCCUCCAAGGUGAACUGAUAUUCUCAUUAACUGCCUCAAUGACCAUUUUUGAAUCCCCUUCUACUUGGAUGUCAGUGUAACCUUUUGCUUUAGCGUUGAUUAGGCCGUCUCGUAAGGCAGUAGCUUCUGCUAUUGGAGCUGAAGUGAUGCCCAGGUUUCUUGAACUUGCAAAAACUGGGUUCCCUUCUGAAUCUCUGAAAAUUACUCCUGAAGCAGCAGAGGUGUUUGAAACAGAACCUUCAAAGUUGAUCUUCAAAGUCCUAUCAGGAGGGGGAAGCCAUCUAAUAGCUUAAGUAGGGUUUUGAGAGGUCUCUCCAUGAUAAACCUGGUUAUGAAGACUGUAGCUUUUUUCAAUGGCAGCACCAGCAGAAAUUACUACUUGUGGUCUUUCAUUGAUAUUUCUAAAGGACAAGUCAUUUCUUGCCUUCCAUAUUUGCCAACAGAGAAUAAUAUAUUUAGCAAAGAGAUCUGUUUCAAUAUUUUUUCCUGAAGAGAGUUUAUUUAGAUUUUCAAUAUAGUUAUAAGAAAAAAGAUAAUGGUGUAAAUUGGAUUUUCUCCAAACUUCUAUAGCAAAAGGGCAGUUCCCAAAAAGGUGUUCUACAGUUUCAUUAUCAGAAUUGCAGAGAUUGCAAGUGAAUUGCAAGUGUUGUCAUUCAAAUAACCAAAUCUGGUUAACCUGUCUUUUGUUUUCAGUCUGCCUCUCAUAAGAAGCCAACAAAAAAUUUUCACUUUUGGUGGGAUAUUUAGUUUCCACAUCUUGUUCAUAAGCCUAGCUUGGGGGUGUUUUUCAGUAUCACUGCAUUGUAUCCAAGUAGCAGUUUUUAUGGAGAACUUACCAUUAGCUGCAGGGCCCCAGACAAAUUGGUCUUUUUGAUUCCCUGAAGGGAUAGGAAUUCCAAUAAUUUGUUUAACUAUUUCCCAGUCUAAAACUCUGAGGAGUUUAACUUUAUCCCACUUAUGACCUGUAAUAAAAUCUUUGACAGUAGCCUCCCAAUUGAUAUUAUUUCUUUGGUUAAUGGGAAUGAGAUUAGCAAAGAGGAAAUGGGAAUAUCCAAUUGAAAGUCCAAAACUUAAUGCUUUCCCCAUUUCCAAUUGUCCAUCUCAUACCUUCAUUUACCAGCUCUCUACUAUCUAGAAUGCCUUUCCAGGCAUAAGAGGCUUUAACUUUCUUGGUAGCCUGAAAGAAGGAUUUUUUCGCAGGUACUUUCUUUUAAUAAUUUGUACUCACCAAUUAUUAGGCUCCGUAAUUAUUUUCCAAGCUAGUUUAGCAAUUGCAGCAUUGUUAUAGAAGGCAGUUGGUCUCACACCAAGUCCCCCAACUUUUUUUGGGGUGCAGACUUUAUCCCAAGCAAUUGGGGGAGUUGUAGCAUUUGAACCCCAAAGAAAGUUUCUAGCUUCUUUAUCUAUAGAAUUUGAGAGCUUCUUAUUGCAUUUGAAAAUGAAAGAACAUGGUUUGGCAUUCCAGAAAGGUUUGUCUUAAUGAGAGUUAGUCUACCAGCUCUCGAUAAGGUACUUUUUUUCCAACCCGCGAGCUUACCAUUUAUUUUGGAAAAGAGUUCUCUAGAGUUAACUGGGUCUUUCCAGAAAACUAUAUUAUGAAUUCCUAAAUACGUCCCUAUAACUUUUUUCUGUCGGAUACCAAGUAUACUUGAGAUAUUGGUUCUAACAGAGUUGUUAGUAUUAUUAGAAAAGAAAAGGGAGGACUUAUGAAAGUUGAUUUUUUGACCUGAAACUUUAGCAAAAAGAUCUAGGCUAUGUAGAAUGUUUUUAGCAGCUUUGUUAGUAGCUUUAGCAAAGAUCAAACGGUCAUCCGCAAACACUAGGUUUGAGAUUCUAAACCCACAGGGGGAGGAAAGAAGACCAACAUUUGUUUUCAAGUUUUUGGUCAGAGAAUUUAGAUUCCUAAUUAAAGGUUCCAUGCAAAGUAUAAAGAUAUAAGGAGACAGAGGAUCUCCUUGUCUUAUUCCUCUACUUGGUUUAAACCAAUUAAUAGAUCUUAUUGCUUUGUUGAUGCGAAUGAUAAGCUGUUAACUCAGACGACUAAUUUCUAUUAACUGCAACUAUGAUUGACGUGUGACUUUCGUUUUUCUCCUUACACCUCGUGGUUGGUAUUGUGGUUUUUGUUUCGCUGAAUUAGUGGCUUUCGUUUAUGCAUGUACAUUUCUGGUGCGUCUAUUGUUACACUACUAAAUAUUUUUGUUCGCUCUACACAUCUUUGGUUUGUUGUAGACUAAAAUACUUUAGAAUUACAGGAAAACACUUGUUUUAGAAAACUUAUUUACCUAAUAACCAAAGUACAAUUUUCUUUGGGUGAUAUACUUUUCACCGGUUUCAGAAUGAUGCCUCCUUUGUUCUUCUUCUUAAGAUUUUCCAUUAGACCUUUGAGAUCAUGGAUUGCUGAUUUCAAAUCUUUGAUGGUAAUGUUGCAAAUGCAUGCUUUUAAGAGACGCUUCUCCGGUUCUCUCCAUUUUAGAGCUAACCAACCAUUGCUGGCAGUGGAUCAUCUCCUAGCUCAUUUAUCAAAAUUCAGAAGCAUCAUUUGACAUGCAUGAUACAUCGUCGCAAAGUUAUUUUACAAAAAAUAACAGUAAACGAAAAGUUAGUAAAGGACACAAGUCACACAACCACUAAGAUCAAAUUUUUACUAACAAUAUUAAUAGGGAAGUAAAAAUACUCUAUGAGUCUAUUAUGAGUCUUUUUUGUAAGGAACUCUUCUAACGAGGACAUUUAACUGUGUAUUGCUUCAUCCAUUUAAUAGGGAAGUAAAAAUACUCUAUGAGUCAAUUAUAAGUUUUUUUUAAGAAACCUUUCUAAUGAGGACCAUUCUAGCAAAGUUUUUAUGUAGUGUUUUUCUUACCACGUGACGAACUCACAGUAAGACGGCUCAAUAGAAUCACAGAAAAUUACAUUGAAUGACAAAAUUACCCAUACUUUUCUAACGUGUAAUUCUCAUAAUUACCCUGAUGGCCCAAGUGUAUUUCAGUCUUUCCAUUCCUAUAUGCCCAAAGCCCCCCCCGACUUAUCCUAGUAGCGUCGUCACAUUUCACUACCACCGCCGAAAACACUGAAAAAUGUGGAGAAGGAAAUGGUACAAAACCCUAAGGAGCACAGAAGAAGAUGAUGAAACCGCUGCCACCUCCGCCAACACAAUCCCUUACUUACCUGACAACGUCAUCGAGAAGAUCCUCUCCUUCCUUCCAGUCAGAGACGCCGCUGUGGCAACCGCCGUUUCGAAGCAGUGGAGAUCCCUCUGGCCUUCCUUCCCUGUUAUCGAUAUCGAAGAGAAACGCUUUCGCGAACCUCGAUGUUUCGUCGACUUCUUGCGCUACUCUCUCAGACGAUGCAGGGGUCAGAGGCACUUGGACAAGUUGAGGAUUCGAGCCAACCUCCAAUACGGCUACUUUUUGGUAAGAGAAUGGGUCGAUUUUGCAAUUGAGAGGUGCGUCAAAGAGUUAUAUCUUCAGGAUAAUAAUAAAUUGCAUCAAAACUUGCUGAUUACCCAUGACGUUUAACUCUGCAAUGUUUAACUGGACUGAAUUUGGAGAAUGUGAGAGUAUAUGCAAGUUCCGGAAUUAAUGGCCCUGUGAGCCUUCCCUCAUUGAAAACCAUGUCCCUCAAAGACGUGACAUUUUUGGAUGAUAGGGAUGCCACAGCCAUUGGGGCCAUCCCCAGCUUAUUUUCAGGGUGUCCUUGCAUUGAGCAUUUGUCAAUUCAUAGUUGUAGGCUUGGCCGGUCUACUAUGGACCUUGAAAUUUCAAGUGACAGUCUGAAAUCCUUGGAAAUUGUGCAUUGUCAUUCUAUGAGAGUCCAAGUUACUGCCAAGAAUUUGGAGUCUUUUACAUUCUAUGCGGAUUGUACCUGUCCGUACCAUAGGACUAUGUACUUAUGGGAAUGUGAUGGCUUGAAACAUGUGCACAUCUCUUGCAAGGGAUUGAAAAAGCUUCUAUUGCAUGAAUGCCAACAAAGCAUUGAGAACUCGUUUAUACUCCACAUCUGGAGUCCUUUGAGGUUAGUGGAUAUCUGAAGGCCAAGGUCAAUUUUGCGGAAGCUCCUGCGAAUUUAGUAACCUCUACAAUCAGAGUUUGGGAGACCUUAUGGCCCAUUGAAUAUUAUUCUGCUAUGCGAGAAUUUCUUGGAAGUUUCGAUUGCUCCAAAAAAGUGAAGAUACAUAUUGCAGAGGAUGAGGUAAUCUCUAUCUCAAUUCUUUUAUUGCUGUUUAUUGUUUCUGGCCUCUUAUAUCUAUCAUUGCAAUUUGCACAUAGUUGUUCCAGAAGUUAGACCAAAAACAAAAGGUAACUUUCAAUUUUAACCCGAUUGCCUGAAUUCCUCAUCCUUUUAAACUUAAUGAUUCUAGACUAGCUUACUCAAAGUAGAAAUAUUUUUGGUUAGUUAUAACUUAUAUACCCUUUCCCCUGAUUUGUAAGUCCGAGGGGAGAUAAUUGCACACGUGGAAAUGGGGGAAAAGGUCAUUGCGUUACAUCAUGAUCUUCAUCCCUUUGGUCAUUUGCGCCUUUGUUCCACUCAUGCAUUUAAUCGGUGUUUCAGAACUUUCUUGUGUAAUACACCUCAUGAUUGAUAGGUAUCGGAAUCGUCGGAAUAGUAGGGAUGUGGUGGAUAGUUGGGUUAGAAAUCACUCAAAAAUGAAAGGUAAGAUAAAGAAGUUUCAGUAAGAACUAGGACUAGACUUCCCCCACCCCCCUUUCUACUUUCCUCUCUUCUUUUUUUUGUGUGUCUCCUCAUCAGGCUUGGUAGCAUAGAGGUACAUUUGAUACGGAAGCUAUACAUAGACUAGUCUUCAUACUACGAAGAGGUUAAGUGAGUAAAGAACAUGGAGCUUAGGAGGGAAUCUGAUAUGGAAAAGAUGUUGGGGUUUGAUUCUGUUGGCAUUUGAAAAUCUGCAACCCCUGAUGGGGGCUAAUCAUAAACCUUCAAAUUACCAUAUCUGACCUAAGACAGGACAUGUAUGCUGCUAUAGGACUCAGAUUGGUUUUAUGUUACUUUUUGUUGGUUGAUGUGAGCAUUUAAAUUAGAUUAUUUAGUAUGAUGCGAUGUGAAAAAGAAGAUAUAGUUUAAGAGUGCAUAACACAAUUACGUAUUUCUUGUGAUAUUCAUCUUAAUAACUUGUUGUCAUUAUGGCUUAUAGGGUGUCAUAAUACCAGAACAUUGCAGGACAGAAUGGUCUCCUCCAUUACCUAGUAUUAAGCAGCUGCAGCUAUACUUUCCCUCAUUAGGGGAGAGAGAAUAUUCUUUGAGACCUUCAUUGAUUUGGAUGGCACCAUCUGCUGAAAUUCUACCGUUUCUAAUUCACGAGGAUGAUGAUGAAUAUGAUAAUUUUGGUGAUAACGAUUACAAUAUUGUUGAUGAUGAAAAUGACAUUGAUGACGACAACGAGAUUGUUGGAGAUGAUGGAUGACCGCGACGAUGAGUAAAUUUGGAUUAAGGUAUAUAUUCUGUCUGUUUUGUUACUUUAGAACAAUGAUCACUUGAAGCUAUACUCUUGUGCCUAAUGAAGAUUGUUAGUUCCUAUGAAAAAAAUUAAGAUUGUUGUAGUUCUCUUAUCUAAUGUAAUAAAUAAGGGUUUAUGCUCGUACUGACAUGGCCGAAGCUAGUUAAAUAACUGGCACCUUCAUUCCUUGGGCGCUUAUUCUUGACUAUUGACAACGAUAUGUACUGCUUUAGUGAUAUUGAUAUCCUUUGUAUGUCCUAAAUAUUUUGAGAUUAAUGUUGGGAUGCCUUUGCAUUUUGUACUUGCUAUUAACUUCAUGUUUUCUUUUCUUCCCAGGGAGUUUAAGAGUUCAAGUUUCAGUAUUUAACUCUCGGACUCAUCCAUUGCAAAGCACAGCGAAUUGGAAUUCAAGUUGUGAUCUCAGUCUUUUUGUAUUUUGUCUGAAUGGUGUAGUUUCGGCAAUUGCAAAUAUAGUCUUUAACUGUUGGACCUCAUCCAGUGCAAAGCUUAGCAAAUUGAAACUCUUGCUCUGAUCUUAGUGCUCGCAUUCUUGUUGGAUUAGUGUAGUUUCCUUUGCACAAUUUGAAUCAUAUCAUCAGUUCAUCACUCCUUGUCAGAUAGAGAUUUCGGAAGAGUGGGAAGUCUCCUCCCGUGGAAACAAUUUUCUGCUUGCAGAACCAAACAUGGCGCUGAAUAAGAGCAUGGAGCAAUUAUCUUCAAGCUCUUUUAUAUGGUGAAUGGAGAGCAUUGCUGAUUAUCCUAGAUGCUUUUGCCUUAACUUGAGCAUGUUAAACACUAGAAUCCAUCUUUUGCAAUUGUCAGUGAUCUUAUUGCUUUGUUGAUGCAAAUGAUACUUUGUAAACUUAGACAACUAAAUUUCUAUUGAAUGCUGAUAUGAUCGAUGCAAGUACAAAACAGAACAAAGCAAGUGUAAGCUUGAAUGUUGGGUCAGUGAUUGAAGCUCAAGUCAUGCUCAUACAUAUGCGUAUUUUUGAGGAGCCUCCCCUCCUUGCUGAAGCUAAAAUCACAGAGAGCUUAUGAGGAGAACCGCGGAUCGCCUAACUCUGCGGUCAUUGUUACCUAUUUGCGUGAUACAAAUGAGGGUUCAGGCUUGUAUACCGAGUGAGAGUGCUCUCGAAAGAACUUUGGGGCGUGGCAAUUUAGCAAUUUAUGUUGUCACUAGCUAAUCAAGAUAGUGACAGUGAAUUAGACACUAGUUAGAAUUAUCAUCUACGUUUUGAAAUAAGAAUAAUAAUUCAAGAACAUUUUUACCAGAUUCUCUCUCAGCUCGUUAGUUAUACUAGAAAACAUGUUUAGGCUUUUAUCAGUUUGAGCAUGUUUAGUUUUAUUAGGUACUAGAGUAGAGUAUAGUAAUAUUUGUGAUUCUUUUAUUGAUAUCUUUGAUUGCUAUGUACUAUUCAUGUUCAUGUGCAUUCCAAGGAGGCAAGGAGUGGUUAUAUGGCUCUCCAUUUUAUUUUCAGUUAUUUUGCUCCUAAAUAUUCAGAGGCAUCAGACUUUCUAUAAUAUAAACAUUCAUUUUAAUUAGCUACUUUUUAUUCAUAUUGAUUAAACUAUAUAUGUGACCACAACAUGGGAAUCAUGCGACCACAACAUGGGAAUCAUGCUUCAAUGAAUGAAAAGCAUUUUAUCACUCAAAUGAAAAUAAAGCUAGCAUGCAUAACUCAUCAAAUGAAUAAACUGAGGGUUCAAAUGAAUAAGCUAGCGUGCAAGAUUGAAUGCUUCGUGUCUUCUUUAUCAAUAGAGCUCAUGUCAAUGGGGGGCCAAUGAACAAGAAAAUAGUUGUACCAGAUAAUGAGAUUGGGACAAGAAAGUGGAGAAACAAAAAAUCCGGGCCAUUAUCGAAAACCAAAAUACAUGCAUUUUGGACCAUACCAAUAGUCCUUACUCAUAAGUGAUCCCAUCUACUUGAAUGAAACCUCAUUUUAGAUGAACGAAAAGUAGUUAACCCUCAAACUUUGAAGGUACAGGUUUAUUAGCACAAAUUGACAAUGUCUGAAUAUGAAAAGGGGAAAGACAUUGUCCCCGGGAAUAGAUUGAAAAGCCUCAAUCACUAUGAAUAUGACCAUUACAGGCAGCCACAUAUGUAACAAUCGUGGUACUAUUUACAUACAUUUAUAUAAAUUGACUAACGAAUCCUUCAUUAUUGGUUGGUUUGAAUCACUUGUAUUUCUAUUGAUCAAAAUAUUUUCAGUACACGACAUGUAUUUUCAUUUUCUUUUUAUUGAAUUGUUCUUAUUUAAAUUCAUUUAAUGUAAACUACAAUGAAAAUAGUUAGAGUGUUUCUUUACUUCUCUGUCAUCAGCUAUUUAGACAGGAAACUAAAGUGAUAAAUCAAUGAUUCAAUAGCUUUAUUAUUAUCUUCGAUCUAUUUUNNNNNNNNNNNNNNNNNNNNAGGAGUCUCUCUCUCUCUCUCUCUCUCUCUCUCUCUCUCUCUCUCAUGAAGCAUGUAUGGUGCUCUAGAGAGUGCAUCCCCUCUAUUCAACCGGGGUUGUUUGGUUGAUUAUUGUGGUCCUCGGGUGGAGAUGGAUCGGGAUUUAGUUUGUUGUAGGUGAAGGAAUUUUAAUUAGUGCGGAAUUAGUUUAACCAUUAAACUACUAACUAAAUAAAAAUUCCAUUCCUUUAACCCAUGAUCUUGGUUUAUUGUGAUAUGUAUAUAAACAUAGCAUAUAUGGUAAGGAAGAACAAAGAGGGAGUUUAUGUUCUACUCACCCUUGGAGCGUGAUUUCAAUCCGAUCCAAGUGAACCACCAAAGCUCUUCUCCUUGAUCGAUCUCUCCUUGUGUGUGUUUCCUCCACCUUGAAACACAUGAUUAAGAACUCAUUGUGCUAGUAAGCUCUUCCUUUAUGUAGUAACUAAAGCCACAAAAUAAUGUGACCUCUAAGGAUCUUCACCAAGUAAGUCAAGAGAUGAAGAAGAUGAAAGGAAUGAAAGAAGUAUGCAAGUAUUCUUUCUUCCUUUGUUACCAAAUUAUGAAAAUGGAAAGAGAGAGAGAGAGAGAGAGAGAGAGUUUUUCAGAUCAACUAGAGAUAGAAAAUGAAAAACUCAUAUUACCUUACGUCCAUGCUUUCACUUUAUAUAGUUGGAAACUUUCACUUUAUAUAGUUGGAAACUAUUUCAACAUUAAAGUGAAAUAUUGACUUUUAUAAAGCCAAUAGUUGGCUGGUCAAUAUGUACUAUUGGGCCUAAAAAAUGUGUCUUGAGCUUUCAUUUAAGUAUCUCUUAGUGAGGCCCAAGCACAUACCAAAAAGGCCUGACAAUCAGUUAGGCCUAAUAAGCUCGGUUUUACCCAAAGAUCCUAAUUAUGUCCAAAUAAUAAAUCUAAUUAAUAUUUGGUCAUAACCAACUCUUAUUUAAUCUUCUUUAUCUCAAUGAUCCACUUAUAUAGUGUGCGAUCUCUUAGGUUCUAAUUAACAAGGCAGUAUAGUUUGUUGAACAAUUCUAUUUCGUUUACGAAUCAAAACUCCAUUUUGAUUAUCCCUUGUUACUAGGAUUGUAAAAUCAAUCCUCAAGGACUUCACAAGCCAUGAGCAACGUCUUGCAAUAUAUCAUGACUACCCUAGUUAAUAUAGAAUGACAAAGAACCUAUACAAUUGGAAUCACAAUACAAUACGGUCCUUCUCUAAUACAAUGUUCUAAAUCACAUCAUCGGGGUAUGGAAAUAAUAUGUCAAUCCCCUAUUGUGAUUUCCAUUCUCAUGUGAUUCGUAGAAUGUGAUUAUAGACUUCUUUUAAUCUCAUUCAAUUGGAAUCACAAUACAAUACAGUCUUUCUCUAAUACAAUGUUCUAAAUCACAUCAUCGGGGUAUGGAAGUAAUAUAUCAAUCUCCUAUUGUGAUUCGUAGAAUGUGAUUAUAGACUUCUUUUAAUCUCAUUCAAUGAUUUGGCCAAAGACUAUUUGAAUCACAUCUUUGAACAUACACCUUAUUUACUUAUGUAUAGAGAUUCCUUAUUGUACACUCACAUGUCUCUAUAAGCGAAUUGAUUACACCAAUGAGUGCAUGGAUCAUAUCCAUUAAGGGACAUAAUGUUACUGCAUCAUCAAGAGCAAAUUCAUUCACUCAUAAGACAACCAUAGUGUCUCAGGUCAAAUGACUAAUUUGUAUUAUUGCAAUUUAGAGUUCAAGUUUGACAUGUAAGUAAAACUCCAUACAAGAACUCUAACGAUCACGUUUAGUGUACUCUUUAAAAUAAGAGCACCCACAUACGUGUAUUAGUGUCUCUACACAAAUGAAAAGAUCGAGACAUAUCAUCCUCCAUCUUGAGCAUACAUAAUAUGUGCUAGUCUUUCCGGAUUAACAAUGUCCAAAUGAUAAUACUAUGACUAGGAACAUUUAGGAUAAGAGUGUAAAAGAGUAAAUGUCUCAUACAUCUAACUCUUUAGAUUACUUUCUCUUUAACUCAAUUUCCUUGGACCUUGUUCAAUCAAAUAUUAAAUAUAAGCAAUGAACGAUCAACUUGCCCUUUUGAUUAAUAAUAACUACAAUAAUAAUUACAUCAUAAUGAUUGUUUUAGGACAUAACUCCUUCAGUAGGAGAUUGAUCUCUGACAUUGGAUUGCACGGGACAUUCCGAUUUUAGGAUCUCGGAACCAUCCUUUUCUUUUUACGAGUUAGAAGUAUUGGCUAUUGUGUAGUCAACCGAGGGCUAUUUCUGAUUGACUUGUUGGACCUGCACGGGUGGGUUAUGGAAUUUGCGGCAUUUGGCUACAGCCCAGUGUCCUAUUUGGUGUCGCGGGGGUGAUAAAAUGCUAGAACGGCAGCCAAAAUCGAAGCGAGUCAUUGUGUCAACAACAUGGAGGUUGGGACUGUUAAGGGCCAUUUCUAGUGGAAUACGAUGGGGCGACGGUGGAGGUCAACGCCAAAGCGACGAUGGAAGUCGACGUUGCGACCACUGACAGUGUCAACGCUGAGACGUCGACAAAGGUCGAUGGAAAGAUAUAUGGAUGUCCAAAGUAGGGUUGGAUCCCCCAUUGUGGGAUUGGGCUAUUGUGGGCCUGGCUAGAGUGAGGUGGGCUUUCUUAAGACCUACUCACUGUUCUCGGAUAUAGGACCCAAGUGGUUGGUUUGGGCUGAUUUGGGCUCUAACUCUUUCUUAGAAUGGAGACCCAAAUUUAUGGUUCAUCUUCUUAUGGUUUGAUUGCUAUCCAAGUUUCUAACACGUUUGGUGGCCUUUGCUCCCUCGAAAGUCACCUCCCUCUCCUCUAGUAUGGUGUAUCUCCUUAGUUACAAAUAUAAUCCUGGUUACGUACAGUUACUACUACAUUUACAUUACUCUCGUGACAUAUGCGCACAAUGUAGCGAUGUCUUGCGACAUCAAGUCACACGAUUACCUCUCAUUAAAGAUGUGUGUUUGUGCAUCUUGGAUAAUAUAUAUCACAUCGUUAACCAUCCAAUAUCCAGCUCGAAAAUAUGGGUAAUAUAUAUAUAUAACUUGGUUAUUGGUUGUUGUUACAGUUGCUCUUACCUUAAUACCCUCCUAAAUAAACCAUUUGUAUAUUAAUCGAUCGGUGUAGGUUCUUGAUCAGUAAUGCCUUGUCCCCUUGAUGUUGUGGCAGUAUAGAUCGCCGUAUUACUAGCUUCAGUAACAUAGGGAGAUUUGAGGUACGCCUUAACUUUGUUUAGAUUACUAUACAAACUUAAUUUCUAGAUGACACUCGCCAAAGUAUGACGCUCUUCGUGAAUGGAUUUGGAGCUAGGUUAAACUUUCAACGCCACCAAUUUGAUGUUAUCCUUGUUGAUAUAUGAAUCUCACAUCGGGAACAUGAGACAUUGUCUGUGAGUUUAUAAAAGUUUGAGUCUCUCCACUCAUUGCCAAUUGGUUUUGAAUGUGAACCCAGACUAAUUUAUCAAUCCUAUACGUUGGAGUAGAGCUGCAUUCAGAUCAGAUUCAUUUUUUAAAAUAUUUUUUAAAAUAGGAUCCAUGAUCCGAACUGUUUAAUUUUUUCGGUUCGGAUUAUGUAUUUUUUAAAAAUAAGAUCUGAAUGGAUCCGAAUACGAAAAUAUCGGUUCGGAUCUCGGUUCUUUUCGGGUAUGGAAAGCCUGAAAUUUGAGACAUAUCUCAAUGAAAGCAAAGACAUAUUUCCAAGAUUCUAAGAUUCCAAAAAUUCAUACCAACUCGGACAGAGAAUAACAUUAAGCACUAAGCAAUUCAAAGUUUCAAACUUACCCAGGUCUUGACAAAAAAAACAAAAAAAUCAGAGAAAUGAAAAUGAAAUAAACCAAAGUCACAGACGAACUUGAAUUUUGCCAAUUGCAAUAAGCCUGGAUACCACACUCGAGCUCGUUCUUGACUCGGGAGUAGUCACUAGGUGACGAAUUUGAGUUCGGAGUUGUGAGCGUUUGUGGUUUUUCUGCUUCCAGAUUAGGUCUUUAUUCUUUAUUACUGUUUCUGCAUAAUCCCGGAGACUAUGUAGAAUCACGGUGGAACACGAACAUGAACAAUAAACAUCAUGGGCAAGAGACAAGCACGUAUAGUGGUUCACCAUGCCAUCGGAGGACAUGGCUACGUCCACUUUAGAAUCAACUAUCAUGACCAAUAUGCCUUUGGGGUCGGGAGAGAGAUCAUCAUGCAGCCAGCUAGCUAGAGAGCUUUCUACAUAUGGGAAGCCUUCCUUUUAUAGCUAAGGAAGGUUUCCUCCUCUUACCUAUUAUCAAUGUGGGACUAACUACUACACAUGACUAUUAUCAAGGUGUCUUCUUGUGGAGCUUGGAGGAACACCUUCCCGAUGUGGUACGGAUAAUAUUUCACCAUGACGAGGUAGCCUGGAUGUCGGUCUACCGGAAGUAUGUCAGGGGCGAGGCCCUUCGUGGCCAGAAAACAGUCUACGAGGUCGUUGCUUAUGCUUGCGGUAUAUAUACCAACAUGUCCCCCCAACUCCCGAAUAAGAGGACCAUCUUAUUUGGAGAGUUACAAAUAAAUUGUAUGCCGCCAAGUGUAAGUAACGACCGAGUAACGACAUACACCCCCUGUCCCCCCAACUCUCUAAGGAAGAAAGUUCUCUUACUCAGAAUUAUUUCCCUCUCCCCCUUUCUCAUGAUUUUCUUCUCUCUUUUUGAAAGGAGUGACAAGAUUCACAAUAUCCCCCCAAGUCUUGCUCGGGUGUUUUUCCAUUUUAGCAUAUAGGUGUUAUCCCCGGUGUUGCUUUCUAUUUGUUUAUACCACCGAGGAAUUUGGUACUCGGGUGGGUAGUUUUCAAUGUGAUUCUCGGGUCUUGCUUGUUGAUAUUCUAUACUUUUGACAUAUUGGUCUUGCUCCUUUUUACACAUCGGUGUUACUCAGGUGUUGUCUUUACUUGCUACCCAUUAAAUCUUACUCUCGGUUAAUGUUAUCUUUUCCUUGUAACGUAAGAUCUUAUUCCGGGUCUUACUUUUUCUUGAUAUACACCAUAAUCUAUAAGUCCGCUGAUAAGACAAAAAAUGUCCCUCUAGACCCCCAGCCUCAAAACUUACUCGGCCGGGCGAUAUGUUUUCACGUUUCCAAUGGCAAGAUACCGUUGGCUCCCCUUUUACGGCCAUCCGGGUGUUACACUUUCCCAUGGACAAAGGUAGCGAGCCCUUUCCAUAUCCUGUAUUUCUACUCGAGUGACGGGGUGUUAACGUCGUCUGUGGUUUAUCAAGCCACUUGCUCCGUUUUUAAGGGGAUGAUAUAAAACUUAUGUCUUUCGGUGGAUUACCUAUCCCGCUUGGUGUUACUCGGGAUUUUAAUGACUUAUGCCUCCCGGUCAAAUACAUAUCCCGUUCGAUGUUACUCGGGAUUUUAAUAACUUAUGCCUCUCGGUCAAAUACAUAUCUCGCUCGAUGUUACUCGGGAUUUUAAUGACUUAUGUCUCUCGAUCAAAUACAUAUCCCUCUCUUGGUCGAAUGCCAAUCUCUCGGUGGUUUCUCAGUUUAAUCAUGAAGACUUAGACUUUCAUAUCCUGAUUGUGUUUUCAAUCUAAUGAAAGGCAAUCAAAUGAGGGACUUAUCUGCCGAAUGGGUGCACAUAGGAGGUACGGUAGAAUGGGCUUUCACUGGAGUCCCUAAUGUACUGACAUAAUCACAUCAUUAAUUAAAUGAACUUAAUAUUGACCAAUCAUAAAUUCAUCGACCAAUCAUAACUCACAAAACAUUUCAUCUUUUGGAUGCUUACAUUUAAUCGAACAUGUCCAUACGGCCAUUUCAAGGCCUCACAUGCAACCUUAGAAUCAUACCACAAAUAGGUCUAGCAUAUCAUAUAAGCAAACAAAAACCAUAUCAAGGCCCUCACGUACAUAGCAGCAACAUUAAUUCCAAAACCACACCACUCACACCAAACUACUAUGGACACCCAAAGCUCAACAGAAAACAAGGAAGCAUAUUCAAAAUUAAAAACAGUGUGCAAGAUGCUGUCUUUGACUUCAAUUUCUACCCACUCAACUCCAACCAAAAUUAUUGAACCCAAGCCUAUUUUAAAGAUGGUACUACAGGCUUUAAAUACAUAGCUUAAGUUUUGAAAACAAAGCCCUGGAUAGAAAGUUACGGUCUUGCAAAGUUGGAACAAAAUCUGAAAAUCCAGAAAACUCAGUUUUGCUGAGUCUGCUACUGUUUUUGGCAAGCUAUUUGUCACACCAAAAGGGAACCAAAACCUGUGAAAUUUAACACACACAAUGAUGGAUAUAUGAGCUUUACCAAGGUAUUUUCAGAUUUCAAAACAAAGGCCUGAGCUGAAAGAUAUCAUGCCUCAAAGUAGGCAAGAAAAUCAGCUUUUCUGCAGAAUUCUGGAAAUUUACAGCAAGAACAAGACUUGGUUUUGGAAGCUUUAAUUCGACUUUGGAAGUACCAAAACAAGUUCUAAAGCUUCAGAACAGAAAGGAACAGACUUCCAGAACACGAAAUCAUCUUAAACAUAGCAAACAAGGAAUCAAAAUGACCCAAAAUUUACUCUGGACACCCAAACUCUGGACAGCAAAACAACAAAGUUCUUCAACCCUCAAUACCAAAUUUAUUAGAUUCGAAUAACCAAAUAUAACCCAUCCACUCUCUUUCCUACCCACAUUUCUCAACUCAAUACUUCCCCAAUUUACUUGCAUGCCUUUACAUGAUUCCUUCAUCUUCUUACCAAGACAACCCAAAUAGGGAAAUUUUCAGCAUAUAUACUAAACAAUACUACUCAUAACAUGCAAAAGCAAGCAACUUUCUUCUUCUUCCCUCUCUAAUUUCACAGCUAAUUUAUACAUGCAAACCAAAUCUACCAACUACCACAGUGUUUAAACACCAGCACUGGCAAAUCAAAGCAGAAAGAUCACAACACAUAAACAUUCCCAAACCACAAAUUUUCAUCUCAAAAACACAAUAAUCACAAAUUGAAAUCAAUGCAGGGUGUUAAGUCCAUAGCUUGAGACCCCCCAAAACAGCCAAAAGCAAAACCAUGAACAAAGCUAAGGCGGUUUCACAAAUUGACCAAUGAACUUCACAAAUUGCUUCUAUGGAAGAGAGAUGCAUUGCCCAACUCAAUAUAAACUCAGUGGAAUAGCUUGUAACUAAUAACCCCAUCAAAACAGGUAUUUGCAAUUCUAAAUGGCUAAUGCCUUAUGACUUGCUUCCUCCCAACUCUAACAUACAGGACUGAAUCUAUUUGCAUAUAUGGACUGCCUGCCAAUGUAAUCAAGGAUUGGAUCCCGAACACAAGCAACUCUAUUUGCAUAUAGCAAAGCUAGCACAAAAUCACACAAUAAUUAAACAUGCUUCCCAACGAAUUCCCAAAUUUAAUCCCGGACAGAUUUGAAUAGACUUAGGAGUAGAAAGACUUAGCUUGUUUGAUUGGUAUGCCACUUUUAGAAUCUGGGGAAGAGCAAGAUGAAUCCAGAGCUCUGUAUAGAAUUUUGAGUGAUCAAAGUUGCUCGGAGUAGACUGGAAAUAGCUCCGAGUUGUCCAUUCAUAGGAUAUCACGCAGCAUAAUGUACUGUUCCCCAACCCCGGGAGGGAGACGAAGCUCUGAUCAGAGAUUCUCUCUGCUUUGAAAGUUUGAGACAUAUUGGAUCGGGUUUCACCGGGAGAUCAAAUUGCUACCGGGAAGGACUUCUUCUAUGAACGGGUGUCCAUAGCAGUUGGCCAAUUGUUGUUAGGGUGCCAAGAGUAUUCUUUCCCUGCUUUCAACCGAUGCCGACUGAGAGCAGAGCAUGCCGGCGCCCGGCGAAUCAUUCCUGGCCGGCGGUCGACGAGCUUGUCCCGGAAGAGUUACUCGGGUCGGACCCGGGAACCGGCAGGUGAUAACAACGGAUCUGCAAGCCAGCUCGUCCUUAUGUGGUGAACCAGAUAUUAUCCAGACCGAUCCCUGCCUCCCGAUCAAUGGCGUCGAAUUGAUCGGGCCUGAUCCCAAUUCGCACAACUCUCUCCUCAUGAACUCGGUCAACCAGACACAUGAAGACGCUUGGCCCGAACUUGAAACCCGCUUCCCGGAGACUGCUCAUCCCGGAGACUGAAUGCUAGGCAGGUCCCCUCUUUCCGGGCGACAUCUCAUCCUGGGCUGGAGCCACCGGGAUAAGAAGAUGAUCGGGACCCGGAGAGGUGGUGCUGUAAGUUUUUUUAAUUAAUUCUAUACCAGAUCAAUACACGUAAACUAACAUUGUGUUUAUAUGUCAAUUGUACUUAGGAUUGCAAACAUUAUAUUUAUCCUAUAUCUGCAUAAAACAUGAAUAUAUAAAUAUGAACUCAGAAUUUACCAGAACCAUUUUGAUUAUCCAUUCAGCCUUCUUAUUUCACCUCUAAGUUCUUUUAGUAAUGGGACUAAGUAUGAGAAUCAGAUAUGCAUAAGAAGGGACUAACAUACAUAUAUAUAGCAUAUUGUAGGUAGUUUCAUCCAUAAAGAAACUGUCAUAAACUUAACUGUUUUGUCAUAAAACUGCUCUCAACUGCAAUUUAGAUUUCAAAUUCAAAUGUAAAGCUUAUCUACAGAUUUAUCUUAAGGCUUUUACACAUGUCUUAAACUCAAAUCACAUUAUAUAUAUUUAUACUGUUUUUCUAAUAUCAGUAAACAAGUCUUUGUCAAGUUCUUAUAAGCUGAUAUGCUUACAAUCUCCCACUGAACUUGACAAUCCUUUAAAUACAUGUAUUACAGUAUAAUCACAUAUAACAAUGAUUUACUUAAGUGUGCACUGUGAGUCUAAAACUUUCUUAAAUAAUUCAAAAUCCUUCAAUUGCAAAUUCUGUCAAUAAUACUUAUGUCAAGGAACUCAAGAACAACAUAGGAAUAGAAUAGACAUCAGUGUUCCAAAAUCACCUCUCAACAAGCUAAAAUCACAUGAAUUUCAACUUAAUAGCAGUAAACUGAAUGUGUUAUAUAUAAAUGCAUUCUAAACACAGUAAUACCAAAUGUCUUACUUAAUACCAAAAUUUCUAACUAAAUAGAAAUAAGGCAAAUUAUAUUCACCGUAAACUUCAUCAUGUUCUGCAUAUAGGUUUGUAUUGUCAUUCAAAGACUUACAAAAUGAAGUUGUACAACUUAAUGUGCAGAUUAAUAACAAGAUGAAAUCUUAAUAAUAUAAUCUUAUUGAUCAAUUUCACAACUAAAUAAUAAAACAUAAUACAUACUAACUGAUUAUGAUGCCAUCUGAAGUCUCCAACUUUAAAGUUCAUCUGCAAUCCCCAUAUUCCUUGUAUGCUUGACAAAAUCUGCUACUGGUAGUGCCUUUGUCAAUGGAUCUGCCAACUGCUCCUUUGUACCAACCUUAACAACCUCAAUUUCACCAUCUCUAACACUCUCCCUUACUGAAAAAUACUUAACAUCAAUGUUUCUUGAAGCUGAUGUUCUCUUGUUAUUCUUAGAGAAAAACACUACUGAUGAAUUAUCACAGCAAAUCAUCAAAGGCCUUUCAAUGGACUUAAUCAACUUCAAAUGAGAAAUAAAAUUUCUCAACCACAAUGCAUGUCCAGUAGCUUCAAAAAUAGCAAUGUAUUCAGCCUGAAAUGUUGAUGUUGCUGUGAGACCUUGCUUUGAAGUUUUUCAAGAAAUAGCUCCUCCUGCUAAAAGGAAAAUAUAACCAGAUGUAGACUUUAAGUCAUCCACAUCUGAUUUAUAAGAGGCAUCUGCAUAAGCCUCUACUUCAAGUUCUUGUUCAUCACUUCUCCUAUAAACUAACAUGUGAUCUUUAGUCUUCUUUAAAUACCUCAAGACCUUCUUCCCUGCUAUCCAAUGAGCAUGCCCUGCAUUGGAUUGAAACCUGGCCAACAUGUUUACUUCAAAUGAGAUGUCUGGUCUUGUACAAAUCUAAGCAUACAUCAAACUUCCCACUAAUCUUGCAUAUGGCACAUUCUGCAUUCCCUUUGCUUCGAACUCAUUCUUAGGACUUUGCUCUUUAUGCAGCUUAUCUCCUUUGGAAAUUGGUGCAUCUCCAGACUUGCAUCCUUGCAUACCAAAUCUGUGCAAUAUUUUCUCCAAAUAAUUUCUUUGAGACAAACCUAAAGCAUGGUGCUUUCUAUCCCUGGUUAUCUCAAUUCCCAACACAUAGUGUGCUUCUCCCAUGUCUUUCAUGUCAAAUUGACUCAACAGAAAAGCUUUUGUUUCCUUCAACAUGCAAACAUUACUACUAGCAAGUAGUAUAUCAUCAACAUGUAAGAUAAACAAAAUAAAAUUGCUCCCACUGGUCUUAAUAUAUAUGCAUUCAUCAAGUUUAUUUUCCAGAAAACCAAAUUGAGUGAUUACCUUGUCAAACUUUAGGUACCACUGCCUUGAUGCCUGCUUAAGACCAUAUAUUGAUUUCUUCAGUUUGCAGACUUUAUUUUCAUCUUCUACAAAACCAUCAAGCUGCAACAUGUAGAUUUCUUCAUGCAAAUCACCAUUCAAAAAUGCAGUCUUGACAUCCAUUUGAUGUAACUCGAGAUUCAAGUGUGCAACAAGAGCCAUAACAGUUCUGAAUGCAUCUUUGGUAGAAACCGGAGAGAAUGUCUCAUUGUAAUCAAUACCUUCCUUCUGAUUGUACCCCUUAGCCACUAACCUUGCUUUGUGCCUCUCUAUUUUGCCUUCAGCAUUUCUCUUUGUCUUAAACACCCAUUUGCACCCAAUCAGCUUAAAAUCACAUGGCUUAUCAACCAAAAUCCAUACAUUAUUCUGAGACAUACUCUUAAGUUCAUCUUCCAUUGCCAAUUUCCAUUUUGCACUAUUCACUGAUUGCAUAGCUUGUGCAACUGUAAGUGGAUCAUCCUCAUCUCCCAAAUCAAUUUCUUCAAUUAAAUACAACUAAUAAUCAUCUGGUAUAGCAGGCUUCUUGAUCCUUAAAGAUUUUCUCAAAGCUAUAGGUUCAGACACUUCUUCGUUUUGCACUUCACUUGCUUCCAUUUGCUGCUGAUCUUCAUUUCCUUGUCCUGCAAUAUUUUGCUCUAUUACAGUAGCAUCUUGAACUUCAUUUUCUGCUUGUUGUGUAGAUACGUUAUCAUUCUGAUUCUCUGGAACAAGAUUCACCAGUGUUUCACUUCCUGAAGCCAUAUUAUUAUUAUUGUUGUCCUGAACUGGGAUUGAAACAGCACUGCAAUCCUGGUACACAAACCACUCUUCAAAAUUCUUGUUACUCCUUUCCAAUGCUUCCAUAGGUUCCUUUGACACUUUACUUGCAUCAUUAUCACAUUGUUCAUCAUAAAACAUGGCCCUAUGUGACUCCACAAUUCUGCAACUUCUCUUUGGACAGUAAAACUUGAACCCCUUGGACUUUUCACAAUAGCCAAUAAAAUAACCACUUACAGAUUGAGAAUCAAGCUUUCCAUUUGCCACAUUGUGUACUCUAAUCUCUGCAUUGCAGCCCCAAACAUGAAAAUGAUUCAAACUAGGCUUGUAACCACAACUCAAAAGAGGUUUUCAACACAGCCUUGCUUGGAGUUCGAUUGCAAAUAUAAUUUGUUGUUUUCAAUGCUUCUCCCCACAAAAAUUUUGGAAGUGCAGACCUCACUAUCAUGCUUCUCACCAUGCUUAUCAAUGUUCUAUUCCUCCUUUCUGAAACACCAUUCUGUUGUGGGUUGUAUGGAGUAGUGUAUUGUGCUACAAUUCCACAUUCCUGCAAAAACAAUGCAAAAGGGCCCUUACGUUGGCCCUGCUCAGUAUACCUUCCAAAAUAUUCACCUCCCCUAUCUGAUCUGAUAACCUUAAUUACCCUGCCUGUUUGUUUUUCAACUUCAGCCUUAUAAAUUUGAAAAGUUUCCAAAGCUUGUGAUUUUUCUGAAAUUAGGUACACAUAACAGUACCUAGAGAAAUCAUCAAUGAAGGUGAUGAAAUAACAAUUACCACAGAUAGUAUUGACUGGAAAAGGACCACAAAUAUUUGUAUGAAUUAAAUCAAGAAGACAUUCACUCCUCUUUGAACUUGUGUUCCUAGCCUUAGUCAUUUUCCCUUUCAAACAAUCAAUACAAGUCUCAAAAUCUGUAAAAUCUAAUGUAGGCAGUAUGUUUUGUUUCACAAGUUCACUCGGUCUUUGUUUUGAAAUAUGACCAAGUCUUUUAUGCCAAAGAAAAGAUGAUUCUACAAAUUUUCUCUUUGAAAUCGUUUUACUUAAAGCAAAAACAUAAUGCUCAGCUUGAUUUUCAGAAACAUUAACACAAUUAACAUGCCAAUAACCACUUAUCAAACUUGAAUCACCAAAACACUUAUUAUCAUAAUAGAAAUUCAUAGCUAUAUUAUUACUUGAGAAACUAUAGCCAUUGUUUGCUACAAACUAAGAACCAGAAAUCAAAUUCCUACUAAUACUAGGGAUACAAUAGACAUCGUUCAAUACUAAUACAUAGUUAUUCCUAAACUUGAGCUUGACACAUCCUACAGCCUUAACAGCCACCCUUUGGCCAUUUGCUGUACAAACUUUUGUUUCAUUCCUGCUUGGGAUGGAAAUCUCUGACAAUCCCUGUAAUGAAUUAACAGUAUGAAUGGGUGAGCCAGUGUCAAACCACCAAGAAUCAUCACUUACAAAAUCAUUUGACUCAAAUUUGAAAACAGAUUUAACAAGAAAAUCACCUUUCUUCUUCAGCCAAGCUUUGAAACAUCACAAUCUUUCUUAAAGUGACAAGGUUUCUUACAAAAGAAACACCUAAUGCCACCUGCAGGUUUGUACCUUUUAUCAUGAUCAAAUUUCUUAAUAGGUUUAGAGGUGCUUACAGAGGUACUAGCUUUGCAGUUCUUGUUGCCAAACUUCUUGAAUUUUCCCUUUGACAUCAGAUUCACAGCCACAGCCACACUUUUUCCCUUCUUCUUAACUUCAUCCUCAACUUCCACACAAAGUGAAAUUAGCUCGUUCACUGUCCCCUUUUCCUUUUGAGUCUUAUACAACGACUUUAGUUGAUCAAACUCAUCAGGUAGAGAAUUAAGCAACAUGUAAACCAGAAAAGGCUCCUCUACAAUCAUACCAAGAUCCUUCAGACUUUCAACAAUAUUGGACCCCUUCAUAAUGUACUCCCUUACACUGCCCUUUCCAUUAUACUCCAUUCUCAUGAAGGAUUUCAUGAGUCUUCCAGUCUCAGCUUUGUUGGAGAUGAGGUACUUUUGAGCAAUAGAAUCCAUGUAGACUUUUGCCAAUUCAGAAUCUGGGAUGCUACCCCUCACACUGCUGAUCAUGCUCUUCUUGAUCAUUAUCAGUACCAUCUUGUUGUGCUUGUACCAGUUAUCAUUCUUCUCUUUCGCAUAUGUGCUUGCAUUCUCAGCCAAUGCUAAUGGUGGAUCUUCCUUCAGCACAUGAUCGAAAUCCAAGAUUCCCAGAUUAAGUUCUAUGUCACAUUUCCAUUGCUGAAAGUUUGAGCCAUUCAGAUGCUCAAUCUGAUUUAUGGACAUUGGAAAUUGCAUAGCUGUAUGUGAAAAAAGAUCAAACAAGUUAAUCCAGUGUAACUUGAUACCAGAAAAAUUUGAAUGUCCCAAAUAUAGUAUAUAAAUGUAUAUGCAUACAGUGAUAUGAAACUUAUCAAAUUCAAGACUCUGACAACCUUUGUGGUGUACACAUCUUUAUUGAUAUGAAUGUUCAUUUACUCUUUACACAUACCAGAUCACAAAACCAAAUGUCUAAACUGAGUCUCUAUGGAAACCAGAAUAAAUUUAAUUUUAAGUUUUUAAGUUUAAGAUCUGUUCUUGAUGAUGGAAUUGUUGCAGUCCUGUUUAUCUUCUAACAUAAAGCCACUAUGGCAGCACAAAUGUUCAAAAGAUCAACUGAAUGAUACAUAAAAUUUCAUUCAAUGCAUUUCAGGUCACUAUGGCAACACAUAAUGCAUACACCAUUUAUAUCACUCAUAUCACUUAUAACAUCAGCAUAUUCAUAUAAAAGAUAUAAUAUAAAUCACUGCAUCAGAUGAAUAGGCAUAUAAACGAGCAUACAUAUAUAUUGCAAUAUAUAAGCAUGUAUUUUCUGGCUUAAUGUGGAUUAAACAUAUAGAUUCCCAGCAUACAAGUUAUAAAGGAAAAAAGUUUCUUUUACAUGCAAUUGAUCUAAGCAUAGUCGCUCUGAUACCAAUUGUAAGUUUUUUUUAAUUAAAUCUAUAUUAGAUCAAUACAUGUAAACUAACAUUGUGUUUAUAUGUCAAUUUUACUUAGGAUUGCAAACACUAUAUUUAUCCUAUAUAUGCAUAAAACAUGAAUAUAUGAAUAUGAACUCAGAAUUUACCAAAACCACUUUGAUUAUCCAUUCAGCCUUCUUCUUAUUUCACCUUUAUGUUUUCUUAGUAAUGGGACUAAGUAUGAGAAUCAGAUGUGCAUAAGUAGGGACUAACAGACAUAUAUAUAGCAUAUUGUAGGUAGUUUCAUCCAUAAAGAAACUGCCACAAACUUAACUGCUUUGUCAUAAAACUGCUCUCAACUGCAAUUUAGAUUUCAAAUUCAAAUGUAAAGCUUAUCUACAGAUUUAUCUUAAGGCUUUUACACAUGUCUUAAACUCAAAUCACAUUAUAUAUAUUUAUACUGUGUUUCUAAUAUCAGUAAACAAGUCUUUGUCAAGUUCUUAUAAGCUGAUAUGCUUACAGGUGCUGCUGCCGGAUGGGUGUCCAUAGCAAUUUUUCAGUGGGCACCCAACCGAACACAUCUGCAGUUGAAUGAUGCCAGCAGAUCGAGUGACCCACUCCAAGUCGAUCGAGGCCGAUCACAGUCCCUCGGUCAGGUCUGAUCCCAACUCCCACAUUAACUCCCUCUCCUGUUGAAUCUGACCAACCGGGAACAUAAGCUUGCUUUGCCUGAACAUGGACUCUGCUAUCCCGGAGGCAAAGUAACUGUUGGUUGCUUAUUUCGAUAUCGAGUCUGGCAUUGAACUCGACCAUGAUAAAACGGGCUCCCAGCGAAUCCGUUUGCCCCUAACUGAUGAACUUGACCCGAAGGAGCUCAUGAAGCCGGUCCUGAGUGGUGUCGAAGAUCCCGGUGAGUUACAGCUGGCUGCACACCCGCACUUUGACGAAAUCGUGAUCGAGAUCAUCGACUGCCAUUAAGACGAGAAGGUCCCGGAUGCUGGCUACCGAUUGGGAACCCGGGAGGGUCACUCCUUGGACUGUGCGGACAAGGGUCCGGGAUGGGUCUCACGGCUGCCGGCAGAGAUCUCUGGCGAUUUGGAACAAACCGGAGGCUGCCACCGGGAGAGGAACCCUUGGGUCUCGCUGAAUCAUCUCUGGGACGGUGGUUGGAGUUUGUUGUUCGGCCUUGGCAACAUCCCGAUGAUAAAAGGACCGGGCGGGUCAUGCCAUCCCUCUUAGUGGCAUGGGCCUGCAUAUGGCCUCCUAAUGGGUUGGGCCUGAGAUGGUUCAGGCCUGCAUGAGCUUACUGGCAGGGCAACAAGACUUUUUGUACUGAUUCCCACAGAGGGCGCCAAAUGUUUCUGCAUAAUCCCGGAGACUAUGUAGAAUUACGGUGGAACACGAACAUGAACAAUAAAUAUCAUGGGCAAAAGACAAGCACGUAUAGUGGUUCACCAUGCCAUCAGAGGACAUGGCUACGUCCACUUUAGAAUCAACUAUCAUGGCCAAUAUGCCUUUAGGGUCGGGAGAGAGAUCAUCAUGCAGCCAGCUAGCUAGAGAGCUUUCUACAUAUGGGAAGCCCUCCUUUUAUAGCUAAGGAAGGUUUCCUCCUUUUACAUAUUUCCAAUGUGGGACUAACUACUACACAUAACUAUUAUCAAGGUGUCUUCCCGAUGUGGUACGGAUAAUAUUUCACCAUAGCGAGGUAGCCUGGAUGUCGGUCUACCGGAAGUAUGUCGGGGGCGGGGCCCUUCGUGGCCAGAAAACGGUCUACGAGGUCGUUGCUUAUGCUUGCGGUAUAUAUACCAAUAACAAUUACUUCUUUAGGAUUAGGUCAAACUGGCGAAGGAGAUUCAUUUUUUUGUUUUAAUUUUUUUUCUUACCUUACCAAUCUAACAGCUUACAAUAAACCUAGUUCAAUCUAAUGGUUAUUUGGGUUUUUGUAUUUUUUUUUUAACAGGGUCCUAUCCGAACCAGAAUUUCCUGAAACAAAUCGGAUAAAAAAAAAUUUGUUUUUUACUAACCAGGAUCUGAUCCGCACCUUAUUAUUCGGAUCGGAUCGGUUUGAUCGGUCUUAGAACCGAGACCCAGAUAUGCAACCCUACAUCAGAGUGUGUCUCUGUUUCUUCUGAGAAAUGUGGGUAGACUUGGUAGUUCUGGGACAUGUGUAUAUCAUGCUCCGGUCAGUUUCUCAUACAGUGGACUGUAGUUGGUGCCUUGAUGGUUCUCGUUCUAGUAUUAUUCAUAUCAUUUUUCUUUUUUGAUAAAAAAAAGAACUAGAUUAAAUGGAUGUGCCUCUAAUGCACCCGCGGUUUAUAGAGUCAAAAGACAACGCUAGGCUAGCUUCCAGAGGAACAAUCUCCUCCUAGAAACGAACAUCUCCUACUUUGUGGCUAAAAUUUGCAACAACAUUAGCUACAAAAUUGGCCUCUCUAAAAACAUGCUUGAAACUAAUAUAAUCAAAGGAGUUCCUCAAAAUUCUAAUUUCUUGAACUAGGUUGAGAAUCCUCCAGGGUGUAGCAACAGUGCCAUUAACUGCAUCGAUGAAAAGCUUCGAGUCUCCUUCAACCUCCACUUUGGACAAGCCUCUCUCCUUGGCACAAAUGAGGCUGUUUCAGAGUGAAAGGGCUUCUGUAACUGAGAUUGUGAUAAUUCCGAAAUUGGAAGAAGCUGCAACAAGUGAAUUGCCAUUAGGGGUUCGGAUUACGAAUCCUCCUGUUGCAGAGUUCCUCCAGACUAAGCCAUCAAAAUUGAUUUUAACCCUAUCAUUAGGGGGUGGUGACCACCUGAUCAUUUCAAAUCUGUGCCAGGAGUAUUCAAAUUCUUAGUUGAACUAGGAUCACUCUGAGUAUUACUCAUAGCCUGUAGAUGAGCUACAACAGCAGCUACUGUGGCAUUGGAUCUAGGGGUUUUGCCCCUAAAAACCACAUCAUUCUUGUCCUUCCAUAUCUGCCAACAAGUCUAUCACAAUAAAUUUCCCAAAAAGAUUAGUCAUAGUGAUUAUCUAUAAACCAUUUACGAGCCACCUUAAUAAGGCAUUCCUCCCAGUCAGUAGGAGGAGUCAUGGCAGUUGCAUUCCACACAGAAGUUGCAAAUUUGCAGUAACCAAAUAAAUGGUCUAUUGUUUCAUUAUCCUCAUUACAAAUCACAUCUGAUCCCAAAACGCGAUAGUCUGUCCCUUGUUUUAUGUCUACCUUUGAAAAGAAGCCAACCAAAGAAUUUCAUUUUUGAUUGAAUAUUUAGAGACCAAAGCUUCCUAAUAAGCCCCAUCUGAUCAUGUUUUUGGCCAUCCUGUAGUUGCAUCCAAGUUGCAGACUUUAUAGAGAAGUUCCCAAGAGUUAUAUAACCCCAAACAAACUCAUCGUUAGUAGGUAUAGAAGGAAUAGAGAUUCCUAUGAUUAUUCAUAUCAUAAAGAGUCCCGUACAUCUCCCCUAAACAAAACUAUCAGCAGCCUAAGCACGCGAAAGUACUAAGAAGGCACAUACGGGAUAGACGUCGAUGAUUCAUAAUCCACGUACGCAUGGUUUUCAUUUUCUUCCAGCUAGCUAGCUAGCUAGCCACUUAUUAUUAGGUAAAACCAAACCCUAGCUAGCUAGCUAAGGCGUGGUCGAGUUAGGCACAGCACGAAUCCGUAUAUGAAAUCAUGAUCGAUCCCCGCCGUAUGCUCCAAAAAUGGCAAGACAGGUUGGAAUGAUGUGCCAUCGAAUUGUCAGCCGGCGUUAUAAAAGGUGGCACUGUUCUGUUUGGCCAAAUCUGGAUAGAUAUACAUGGAUUAUGGAGCUGCUGCCGCACAUAAGUCAUUCUGGAUAUCUGGGAGCAGUAUUGGAAUCUGUUUAGUUCUCUGUGUUGUUUCGUGGGGUAAUUCCAAAACAUCUUUUGGCUUCAGGAUUCAGGAAUUUGAUUCCCAACUCUUUUCCAUUAUUCGGCAAACGUGGCCAUAGCACACGACUCCCUAUUAUUUGCUGGCCUCUUCCAAUCGGAACCAUAUAUACAUGCAUACAGAAGAGACACCUCUCGAUCACUGUGACGAUCCAAUAUUAUCUUGUGGAUAUGUUGCGAUUUUGUGAACGAUUUUGCAUGUCGGGGUCUGUGAUUAUCUUCAGGCUAGCUAGUCAUACGAUCCUCGACUUCUGAAAACAUCAAGAUCGGAAGCCGGUAUUGGCUGUUUGUGUAUUUUGUGCUCAUUCUGUCUAGAUAUUCUGGAUAUCGGCCGUAUGGUCUAAAUUAAGUCACACGUAAUGGAAGUAAAACAAUGUCAGCCUGUAGAACAUUUAUCACUAGUUGUUUGCAGAGUUCAAUACAUACUUGUUCUGCUAAAUAUGAACUUUUUAUUGUUCACUGUAGCAUUAAAAUUAGACGUGUGUACUUUUUGUGUACAUACUUAAAGAAAACAUAUCUAUGGGAGAUUUUGUCUCUAGAGAAAUCACCUUAAGAUUUGUCUCUAGAGAAAUCACCUACGGAGGACAUAUAUCUACGUGGUUGUUUCUGUUAAGGUCCUGCAUAUUUAUUUAUGGAAAGAAAAUACUUGCGUCCGGACUAGUAUUAUGUAUGUGUGCGUUCGGGGUUUCUCUUAUUUACAUACUUUUGUCAAUGUAAAUCAUAAUUUUAAUAGUUUAAAAGUUAAAUUAACUAACAAAGAUUAGCUAUGCAAAAAAAUCAAUGUAAACAAAAUUCGUUUGCUCAGCCCAUUUUAAACAAAUAGACAAUUCUGGUGAAAGUUAGCAGUCUCAUGAUUAACUGUUAAUUUGUUUGAUUCAUUAAGCUAAGCAAACGAUUUUUGUUUACAUUGAUCUUUUGCGGAGAUGAUCUUUAAUUUUGAGGGAAUUUACCCUAUCAUGUAUUGGGCAUGCAUGUAUCGUUGUGGUGUGUAUUUAUUUAUUUAUUUAUUUUUUUGAAAGAGUCAGUUACGACUUUCAUUAAUUUAGGUAAAACGAAUGUUAAAAGCAGCUAUUACAUACUCUACCGCUAUCAUCUACAGAUAGACAAGUAGUUAUGAGGCAUACCUCACCUAGUACAGAGGAUAGAUUACUUUUUAAUAAUCGUGCUCACUUAUUCUGUAAGUCUAUUUCUACUGAUGCAUAGACAAAUAGGCUAAUGAUUUAAAAUAGAUAAACUUAAAAAAUGUCUAGUAGGGCCAAACCCAAUCUGCUAAGGCCCAGAAAAACCCUAGCAGAAUUGAUGCCGGUAGCGUAACCGUUGUCGUCAACACAGACUACAGCAACCAAGCCAUCGACGCCGACAUUGCAUCCUCCUUUGUUGCCGCCACAAGCCUUGUUGUUUUCGCCGUUGACCUGAGCAUCACUGCUACCAUCUAAAGUUCCAUGCGUUGCUUUCACAAGUCAUGCCUUCGUACCAACAACACCAAUCCAAUCAGAUGUUAAAUUGGUUUUAGAUCUAGGAGAAAACCUAGAUGAGGAAACAACAUAGACGCCUUCGCUAGGGAAGAAGUCUUCCCUUGGACCUUCACUUCAGUUAUGCUUGCGGUGAAGAGGUGAGAGACACCAGGGGUUGAUUGGAUUGGUGAUGACCGUUGAUAGAUUGCCACGCAAAGACAGCAAGAGGCAGAGGAUGAAGAUCUGCAUAGUGAUGGUGAUUUGCACCAUUGAUAGAGCCCCGAGUCAUGACGGCCAGAGUUUGGUAGAGAGGAAAAAGAGGGAGCCAUUAGGUCAUUCUGUUUCGUUGUGGUGUGUAUUUGUCUUCGGUUUAGGGUUUAAUUACAUACGGUAUAUGUGUAUCGGGUAACUACUUUCCAAAUAAAAUUUACAAUAAUAAUGACACCAGAGUUUAGGGAUGGCAAUGGGUAGGGUAGGGUACGGGGAUCAAAAUACCGUACCCAUACCUUUUUACAUUUUUCAUCCCCGUACCCGUCCCCGUACCCGUAAUUAGAUAAUGGAGAUUCCCCGUACCCGUACCCUUUGGGGAUUACGUUUUCAUACCCGUACCCGUACCCGUUAACAAUUAUGUAUUAAAUUAAAUUUUUUAUUUUAAAUACGAAAUACAAUUAUAUAAAAGUAUGAAAUUAAAAUCAAAUACCAAAAUAAAUAAGUUUCAUACUUCAAUCCAAUAAAAAUAAAUAUAAGUCUUGGUUAAAACAUAACAAUACCGGUAAAUUUCAUUAAGAGAAUAAAAAUAUAUAAUAAAAAGGAAGGUCCAUUAAAUGUUUAUUAAGAGAAUUACAAAUUUUUUUACAUAAAUAUUUAUUUAUAAAUUAUAUAUAAAUAUAUAUAAUAAUAAAAUUAUAUAAUUAUAUAUAAUAAUAUUUUCAUCCUUAAUGGGUGGGGAUGGGGACGAAUAUCAAAAUACCAUACCCGCCCCGUACCCGAUUUAAGAAUCCGAAUACUAAGGAUCCCCAUCCCCGUUACCCGUUUAUACCCGUAUAUCUUCCCCGUUAGGGUCGAAUACCCGUGGGUACCCUACCCGCUGGGGAUUAUUGCCAUCCCUACCAGAGUUAUAUACUCAAGAAAAUAUAUAUAAGCUACCAUAUUAUAUGAAAUCAUUUCCUAAAUGAACCAAGAAACUAUAUAUGCAUGUAGGUUUGAAGGAUGAGGUUUGGGUGUGAAUUUCGAGAAAAUCUACACAAAAGAUCUCAUUAUAUAGUUAUAAUUCUAUAUCACGUACAGACAAUAUUCUUAGACUCAAAACUCAAUCAAGAUUGGUUUUUGACACAAUAUAUAUAUUUUCACUUCAUUCUCAAAAUUUAGAAACUAAAUUAAGCUCAAAGUUGACUAGUCGAUCAUGAUGCAAAUCAACACCCCCUAAACUCCAAAAUAGCGUUUUAACAUGUCGUGGGUCUCUCUUUGCUGCAUGGGGCACUUUUGUCCCGGCCGUUCUAAUAUGUGAUAUAUAUAUCUUCCAGCCAGAUGAUCUGCAGCUGCCUUAUAAGUGCAUAGUCCAUCGAAAGCAACUAGAUGAUAUGCCAACUGAGAAGACGUGGUUGUAUUUUGUAUAGUCUAGCGAUCUAUAUGUAUGAGGAUAAUCAUAUAGCUCAAUAGCUAACUUUCUAGGAACAGUUAAGAACAUGCACCUGUUCGACUUAUCUUGAUGUAUCCACACUGCAGUCAAAUUUAUCUUGAGGAAUCAUGUAUGUGGAAAAUAUACAGAGAGGCAUAGCUCAGAGCUUGGCAAUCACUCGAAAAUCUAAUAACAGAUUCGUUCUUACCUAUGUGGAUGUUCUCCUGACAUCCUAUACGUCCAAUUGUCCAAAUGAGUCUCAUUGUCAUCAUUGCUAUAGGACUAGCUAGCUCGAUCGCAUGGAGCACAAAGCAAAAGGGAGCUUGCCAUUGCUGAAUACUAUUAAUUCUAAUAUCUCCACGUACUGAUUUUGAUUCCACUCGCUCGUAUAUCCUCUUCCACACCCAACGUUUUUGUCCUCUUGAUCAUCAUGACUAAACCAUUUUUAAUGAUGGCAUGGGUAGAAGCAGAUCUAGAGAGCUUGAGGCUCCCAUGCUUUGCUUUUCAAUUGAAUUGCUGGCAUAGCUCUUAAGUCUUAAGCUAGGGUUAAAGAUCAGCUCUAUCUCGUACAUGAGAUAUACGCAUUUUUAUAAAGAUUUUGAAGAUUAAUGUGAAAUAAAGAAUUUGUUGGAGUUGAAUCGAAGCAUAUAAACGGUAAAGGAAUAUUGACUUUUUGCUUCAUGAUACAGAAAUUAUAAGAGAACUGUUGGAUUAUUAAGUUGUUAUGCGAGCGAGCAUUUGUUAUAUACUUAGGCUUGUAUGGCCCCAAUUUAUCUCUCAAAGGAGAUCGACAUUAAUAUCAGCUAGCAACCGUAUAUUAUUUGACAUGAACCAACCUCGAUCUCUUUAGGUCCUAACAUCUGGUGUUUACCGUGUUAUUUAGUCCAGAGAUUUUACUCCAAACAGAGCCAUUUGUUAAUUAGUACAUUAAUCCAUGGCUGCAUGUGUGGUUUUUUGUAGUUUUAAGGAAAAUAUUGACUCACAGUCUUAAUUGAACGAGGAAAGCAAGUUAAGCAAAGAAGAUGACUGCUGAUACCUAUAUGGAUUGUGUGUUGUAGUCAUGUAGAAAGGUAGAGGAUGAGAUAGAUGGCUUCUACUCCUACACAAGGCCGGUCUUGGCGCAGUGCAAGCAGUACGCUUGCACCAGGCCUAGGAACAUAGGGGGCCUUAAUUUUUUUUUUUUCAAUAUGUUAAAUAUAUUAAUAUAUAAUUAUAUUAAUAUAAAAGAAAAAAACAAAACACAAUUAAAGUCCCAAAAGACAUUUUCUCUUUUGUCGUUCAAUCUUCUAGACUUCUAUUUAGUUAUUCUUAUUAGUUAUGUCCUAUUGCGUCAUUCUUGAUUUUCUUAGAAAAAAUGUCUUCCGUUCACUCUUCUUUUCUUUUAAUUUUUUCAUCUUCUUCUAAAUUCAUAAUUUCAUAUACUCAUUGCAUCGAUUAUGGAGAAGAUUCGUUGUCGAUUGACGAUUGAUAUUCUUCACAAGACCACAACCCAAUCUCAUAUAUAGUCUUUACUUCAUUUGUCGAUGAAAUUGUAAAACUCUCUAUAAAUUGCUCACAUUCUCACAAUCAUGCAAAGUUCUCCAUCCUCUCUCAAUUUUGGACUCUCAAUUUUGCAUAUCUUCUCUCAUAUAUAAUCUAAUUUCACAAGACUGGACCGAAGGUUGCUCUGAACUUCACAUUUUUAAAUUCUUCUUUUUUGAUUCUGUCAUUUUGGAUGUUGAAAAAUGUUGCUUUAAAUUUCCUCUGUUUUUUUUUUCUUUUCUGAAAUUAUGUAUAUGAGAUACAUAAAAUUGAUGUACGAAUUUGAUAUAUGAAACCCCAAAAAAAUUGGUAUAUUUUGAAUAAAAAAAUUAUAUAAGGGGCACAUUUUUAACUUUCGCACUGGGUCUUGAAUCCUUUAGGACCGGCCCUGCUCCUACAUCUUUCUGUGUUUUUGAUGUACCUACCUUAGCUAGUUAAUUAACUGCAUGCCGCCAUGCAUCUGUAUGGUAAUGGAUAUAUNNNNNNNNNNNNNNNNNNNNNNNNNNNNNNNNNNNNNNNNNNNNNNNNNNNNNNNNNNNNNNNNNNNNNNNNNNNNNNNNNNNNNNNNNNNNNNNNNNNNNNNNNNNNNNNNNNNNNNNNNNNNNNNNNNNNNNNNNNNNNNNNNNNNNNNNNNNNNNNNNNNNNNNNNNNNNNNNNNNNNNNNNNNNNNNNNNNNNNNNNNNNNNNNNNNNNNNNNNNNNNNNNNNNNNNNNNNNNNNNNNNNNNNNNNNNNNNNNNNNNNNNNNNNNNNNNNNNNNNNNNNNNNNNNNNCCAGCUUAUGUCAAACUAAAACCGUUGAAGGUCAUUAAAACUAAAUUGAACUUUUGAAAGCCUUAACGAUCACCAAAUCAUAUGAAAUUUUGUAGAGGUGAUCUACUCAUAUAGACCUAAGAUAUGAACGGUGGAGAUGUAAAAUUAUAAUCGGGAAGUUGGUGUAAUACCAUAUCCCUAUAAAUGGCUUAAAAUAUGGAUCCCUCAUUGAAAGGGCCAUAUAUAUAUAUAUAUAUAUAUAUAUAUAUUUAUAGACACACACACAUACACACACAUACAUCUAUAUAUAUGGAUUUGCAUCAUUUCAAGGAUUUUGCCAUUUCAAGUUAAACUAAUUUGAGAGGAAUACGAGUAAGACGGUAAAAUAAUCAUUUUAGACCACGUACAUAUUUCUUUCAAGCCCCUAGAUCCAUCUUGAACCAUGUAACGUACUUUGAUCCAAGCAAACUCUAUUGAAGUUCAUUUGGAUUCGUCCGGCGCCCGAAUUCCGGACUAUUGAUUCUAAAGGAUAUUCUAGCUCAAGCAGACAGAUCGAUCGUCUGCCCUAAAUUUUAGUUUCUGUUUAGGGAGGUCGACUGAUAAGAAGUCUCAUCAUCAGAGCUAGGUCCAAACAAAUGAACCCUAAAAUGAUCGAACUGUAGGUUGCCUGCGUUCUAGGUUACACUACAUCGACGACGACUAGUUAAUUCUCAUCCCGUCACGAACUCUCUCGACUGGACCACGGAGAUUUCUACACCUGUCCCGACGAACCCUGACGUCGCUCUCGCCUCCGAUUCUUGACGUUAGGUGGUGGUCACGACGCAGUAGGGGACCAACAUCUCCAGAACCUUCCACGUCGGCUAAUCGGCGGUUGACCGUACAGUUCCCCACCGACGUACCUGGGUCCAACGACAAGCUGGCCUCUUAUAUUAGCUUGGGGGAUUAUCCGAACGGGCUCAGCUGUAAUACACCGCCGUCUCGGGUCCAUCUGUUCCACAUGAAUAUGGCGUCGCACAGGUAAAAUCUUAUAUUCUCGAUGUGGGAUUGAUAUCUCAACACGCCUUUGCACGUGUGGUGAAUUUUCAAGCCUAACACGUGGACCUUGGACGUGGGUAAUCCGCUCUGAUAUCAUGAUAAAGUAGUAUGCGGUUCACGUCUAAAACCAAUUGGCAAUUGGUGGAGUGGCCCAAACCCUUAUAAACCUACAGGCAAAGUCUCAUAUUCCCGAUGUGGGAUUGAUAUCUCAACACUAACUUUGCGACUUCAAGGGUUUUAACUUGCUCCAUCGAAAACAAUGUUAUCAUGCACUCAUCCAUGACAAAGAGUGACAUGAUAUGGGGUGCUAGAAUAUAUAAGAGAAAUCAAGAAGUAUGAGAUUAUCUUAACGGGAUGGAAAAUGAGAAAUAUAUCAUCAUGUCUUGGGCAUGCAAGGUGAACUUGACGGAAAAUUUGGUUAAUAAUGCUUAACGUUGAUAUGUGGUUGGAUUAAAUUAUUAGAGGCAGGGCAAGUCUUUAGCGACCUGUGUAUCUUAAAAGAGGUUAGCUAGUUUUAACUCUUUACCGAUACAUGUUUUGUAUGUGUAAAAUAACGUUAUUUAUAUUUUUUAAGUUUUAAUAUUUAGAGUAUAAAGUUAGAAAUUAUGUCGGCACGAUGUGAAAAAUUAUAUAUGUAGAAUGUGGGAUGUGAAUUUUGUCUUAUUAUAUCAACGACUUUUAGUAAUACGAUAACUAUUUUUUCACUAUGACUUGCCACUUACAAAUAGACAAAUGUUACUAGACAAAAUGAUACUAGGCUAGCUAUUCUUGAUAAAAUUUUGUAAAAUUUUAUUUCUUUAUUAUUCAAAAUAUUUAUUCCAAUAUUCAUCACAUAAUAAAAAUUUUACAAUGUGUUAAUGUAACUCAAAAUACGAUUAUUCGUUAAGAGUGAUUUCUAAAGGAAACAGGAAAACUUUAAUUUGGAUUUCUUAGGUCAAAAAGCUUUUUUUCUUUUUCUGAAAAGGGUCUGGGAUUGGCCAAGAAAGUUUUAUCUGGCUAAGCUAUAACUAUUCAAGUUCAACAUGACAUGUUCUUAUCCUUUCAGCAACCUUCCCAUUUCGGAAGCUAACACUACGUAUACAGUGAGAGCUUAAUUCAGAACCACAAUUUACAAGUCAAACGAUUCAAUUCAAACAGUGAUUUCUAGCAUUCACCAUGAGUUUGAUUGUGUCAAGUCUAAGAAAUCACUUUCCAAACUUUUAGCAAAUUAUUUAAUUUCCUCCUAAUCCCAGUUCACAGUUUGUCUCUUUGUGCAGGUGGAACUCCUCCUUCCUCCUAUAUAUACCCCAGCCCUCCUCUUUUCCUCUCAUCAUUGACAUUACCUCCCUUAGCAACCAUCAUUUCCAGUUCUUCACCAUCCUUCAGUACAGAAGAGAAUUCACAAAGAGAGAACCAGAGAGAGUGGUGCUACAUUUUUAUGGAGAAAAUUGCUUCUACUUUGAUAUACAUAUUUAUCUCUCUCUCAGCUCUGUUCUUAUAUCACUGCAUAAAGAAACAAAAGAGAACAUUUCUGCAUAAGGCUAAGCUUCCCCCAGGCUCAAUGGGGUGGCCUUGCAUAGGAGAGACCCUGCAAAUGUACUCUAUGGACCCAAACAUAUUCUUUUCCACAAAGCAGAAGAGGUUUCUAAUCAAUUACCAACCUCUGAUCAUAAUUUCAUGUUUACAUCGGAUAUUGCAUGGAUUUAUCCAACUUGUUCUGCUUUACUUGUUCAUCAGGUAUGGAGACAUAUUCAAAACCCACAUACUUGGCUGUCCUUGUGUCAUGUUGGCAAGCCCUGAGGCCACAAAGUUUGUGCUGGUUACUCAUGCUCACCUAUUCAAGCCCACAUACCCGAAAAGCAAGGAGAAGCUGAUCGGCCCUUCUGCUUUGUUCUUUCACCAGGGAGAUUACCACAGUAGUCUUAGGAAGCUCAUUCAGAGCUCUCUGUCUCCAAACCCCAACACUAUGCAGAAACUGGUUCCUGACAUUGAAGCUUUAGCCAUUUCUGCCUUGGAAUCAUGGGCUGCAGCCGGAACUGUCAUCAACACCUAUCAUGAAAUGAAGAAGGUACAUGAAAUUUUGGACCCUCCAUAUUUGAUUAAUUACAUGAGUUAAAGUAGUCUUCUGCACCAACACGUUUACUUACGUCGUUUUGCUCAUGUAUGCUUAUGUCGGCUUAUCUUGGUUUUGCCACUGGUUCUAAUGUAUCUGUCCUUCCAUUGUCGUCUGCAGUUUGUGUUUGAUGUCGGCUUUCUUGCCAUUUUUGGCCGAUUGGAUGAUACUUACAGAGAGAAGCUCAAGCAGAACUACCACAUGGUAGACAAGGGUUACAAUUGUUUUCCAACAAACAUGCCAGGCACUGCAUAUCACAAAGCUCUCUUGGUAAGCAAAAUCAACUCUAUCGGUAUAGUUAUAUGUAUGUAGUACAUGUUAAAGAGAUUUUAAUUUGACAAUGCCUUUUGUUUCUUCCACUUUCUUCUUAAUCAUCAAAGGCGAGGAAAAGGCUUAGUCAGAUUCUGAGACAGAUAAUUUCUGAGAGGAAGGAAAAGAAAGUACUGCAGAAAGAUCUCUUGGGUGAUUUGCUGAACUUUCAAAAUGAAAAGGGGCAAAACUUAAGCGAGGAUCAAAUUUCCGAUAACAUCAUUGGAGUGCUGUUUGCAGCCCAAGACACUACAGCUAGUGUUCUAACAUGGAUUCUGAAGUACCUCCAUGAUAACCAAAACAUUCUUGAAGCUGUGAAGGUAAGGAUUCCACAGAAGUUAAAACUUUCAUGCAAGUUAUGCAUGCGACAGAUUGUUAUAGAUAUUGUGUAUACUAAGCUGUUCUAUUUUGCAGGCUGAGCAGAAGGCAAUAUGUGAUGCAAAUGAUGGGUGUAAGAGAUCAUUGACAUGGGCACAAAUCAGAAAUAUGCCGCUUACACAUAGAGUAAGCCCAACUCAAAGAAGGCUCAUCAGCUCAUGUGGUCAAAAUUUUUAAUAGCUAGAAAUUAAUAAUAACAGCUGAACAUGUAUAAAUUUUCAGGUUAUAUUAGAGAGUUUGAGGAUGGCCAGCAUCAUAUCUUUCGCAUUUAGGGAAGCUGUGGUUGAUGUUAAAUACAAAGGUAAGUACUUACACUCAAUUUAUGUCAUUUAGGGAGAAAUUGAGAGAAUUUAUUCCACUAAGUUUACCCAGUGCUAAUCACGUGAAAAAAAAUUAUGCAGGAUAUCUCAUACCAAAGGGUUGGAAGGUCAUGCCAUUGUUUAGGAACAUACAUCAUAAUCCUGAGUUCUUCUCUGCUCCUCAAAAUUUUGAUCCAUCUAGGUUUGAGGUAGGUGCUGCAUUUCACAGAAACAGUUAGUUUUUUUUUUUUCCCGUUUUUCGCUUUAACAAGAUGAGAGAAUCAAAUCGGUUGCCUUUUUUGUUUUUGAUCAGGUUUUCAUGCCCUGUUCCUAAUUUUUUUUUCUGGUUGUGGAGGAUAGGUUGCUCCAAAGGCUUAUACUUUCAUACCAUUUGGCAAAGGAGUACAUGCUUGUCCUGGAAAUGAGCUUGCCAAACUGGAGAUGUUCAUUUUGAUCCACCAUCUCGUGACUAGUUUCCGGUACUAUGUCCAUCACAACUUUCUCACAGAAGACUGAUUUUUUUUAUUUUUAUUUUUAUUAUCAAUAAAGGUGACUUUGAAAAGAAAAAUUUAUAAGGGUCUUAUUUGUUAAUUUUCUUCUUUCUGUUUAUGGUUUAUAUUUACAGAUGGGAAGUAGUGGGAUCACAAAGUGGGAUUCAAUAUGGCCCAUUUCCAGUUCCUCAGCAUGGACUACCAGCCAGAUUUCUGAAAGAACAAGUGAAUCCCAAACAAGAUUUCCCGACCACUAGUUAAAUAUGCCUUCCCCACCUAAUUCAUUUCACCUCCCCAUAUGCUAAAAGUAUUCAAUCUUCAACCCUAUUGUUUUUGAGAUGGGUUUUUCGUUCUCUCUAGAAUUAUCCCUUCUACAUAGAGAUCUAGCCCUUGUAAUUUUCAAGGAGUAAUUUUAGGAUUAUCCAAAUCAAUGAUUGAGGGGGGUUAAAGUUUUCAUAUCACUCUAUUGUAAGCUUAGCGAUAUUAUUCUUCCAUCACUGCUCAUUGAUGUACUCCACUACAAUAAGCAGGACUUAUCAUUCACCAUCAUCCAUAAUUCCAUAUUACCAUAAACGAAAAGGUUUGUUAAUAAGCACAAGCGCUAUUUCAGGAUUGCUCUUGAUAUUUGGACAACAAAUAAUUUAAAAUGAAUGAUGAAAGGAUGAUUAAUUGUAAACGACGUAUCUCAACAUUUGCUCUGAAGAUUUCAGUCUAUCAAGUUCUCUAGUGAGGUUAACUUGAUUGCACGACACUAGCUUCUCUGGAUCACACUGGCUCCCAUGAUCUGCAGUGGUAUAUUAGCUCAGCCUUUGACUUUUGCAUCUUGGAUAUGGAAUGUUGUAGGGGAUUCAUCUAGUAACUGUCCUAUCAUGACAAAAGAAAGAAAAUUUACUUUUCACUUCCAACUUUUACCAUCUUCCGUACUUUGCGCAACAUUUCUUACGUAAAAUCUAGUGUAUAAUGUAUAGUGUGUACUUACGUAUUAGUAUGUGCGUAUGUUAUACUAAUUGAGGCAUGGGGAAGAUCAGUGGAACUAGGCAUUGUUCCCCUGAUGGGAACUUGCAUAUUGCUUCACACCAUGUUCAUUAACUGUGGCCACAAAAAUGCCACAUGUUGCAAGCCAAUAGUGAAUAACAGGGAUGCCAUUCAUCAGCAGAAAGCUUUGGAUGAUUGGUUGAUGUAGGAUCAAGGCCAGGUAGCCCUAGCCGAGCAUGACCAACUCCGACCUUCUAAUUGCUAACACAUUCUGAAGCCAAUAUUAUUUUGACGGUGGCCCUGAGUUUGAUAUUUUGUUUAGAGGAGAAAUAAAACUGUCCAAGUUCUACAGUAGGGCACCCCUACAGGGACUGACCAAGAAGCAUUGAUGUCUGCAAAUUUCUGACCUAUUUAUGACCUUCAAGGCUGCAACUUCGAAUUCACUGACCGCAGUUCUGCAUGCUUCCAAUUCUGUACAGAGUCAAACUAACACCAAAUGCAUGACUAGCAUAGAGUGUAUUCAGCAAAGUGUAUCAAAUUCAAUAGUACGUACAGCAAACUUCUGGUUUCGGCCAAUAUGUGACUGCCAGAAGGAAAACUGAUCGAAAGGCCCAAAAGUUGUGCUUGAUGGCUCUGGUAUCAGUCAUGUAAAGCUACAAGCAUUUCUGCACUACUAGCUAUGAUUAAACAGUGUAUCAAGCACAAUGUGCAAGUAAAAGGGAAAGAAAAGCAAGAACAGGGUAUUCUAAUCAGAUCAAACCCCCACCAGAAUAACACUGUAGUUCUGUUGUGAGGUUGACACGACUACUGGAAUGUGCUUGUGUAUUACAAAACUUAGGGUACCAGUGGCGGAAAGGGGAAAAUGACAUUAGAUCAUCACAUCAUUUUCCCACGUCAGAGACGAUGGAAUCGUCUCACCGUCACUACAAAUAAUGCACAAAUAACACCACAAAUGUACCAGAUAUUCACAUGGCACCAGCCACAUCAUUCAUGAAUAGAGCAUUAUCAAGCAAAUGUAGCUGUUGUGGGAUGAACAGUAGUUAAAUAACAACCUUAUUGCCUUCAAUUCAUCAUGAAAAUAAGUGAGACAAUGAUAUAACUUACGGUGUCAAUGAAGAUUUCACUUGGUGCAAUCCAUACCACUUGCAUAAUCCUCCAAGAUACUUCCAAUCGUCCAUGCCAGCAUAAUGAUGAGGAACUUCAUUCUAGUAAUCUGUACAUUGAAUGAAUGCCGUUUUCAUCAGUCAGAAUAUAAGACCAUCAAGACUUAUAUUAUCAUAGUUAUUAGUGAUAAUGAUGAUAAUUAGUUUUGGUACGUAACAUAUGAUGAAGACAAUUCAAACAAUGUAUGUGUUAAUCAAACACUAAAGAAGGAAAAAGUCACGCAAUUAAGUUACGUGAUCCGUAAAAGGUGUCGUGAACAAUCUAGAUUCAGAUCGGCACAUAGCAUAUUUCAAUUUGUCAUCAUUAUCAACUAUCGUAAAAACAUUCAUCUUUCUGUAAAUAGAUCACGACUCAAUUUCAGACAGACAAAAUGGUAUUCAUAAACAACCCUUAAUGCGUAGAUCAGAUCGUGAAGCUUGUAAUGCACUGACACAUCAAUAAUGGAUAGAAGGUAGAUCUUCCAGAAUUGAACUCGGCUUAUAAAUAAGCACCUGAUGUGAACUCUCCUACUCAUAGAGAUAUUGUGUCCAUUCUCUACCAAUCUCAGACCUCAACUCGAAAGAGGCAGGAAUGUGUACAGUAUGAAUUUCUGAAGACAAAAGAGACUUCAUUAUAAACUUCAAUUACUUAAGGAACAUAAGCUCCAGUCCCUGAACAAACACAAUAUACUCUGGUAAUAAAAGUUGAAUCAGCAGAACAAGGAUUUUCAAUGAUCCCCAACUUAAUUAUGACCAUGCACCAAAUCUUACUAUGUCCUAGAUGAAUUCACUAUUAGUUUUACUUUUUCAAGUAGAAACAUGCACAACAUGCAUGAAAAUAUUUUGAAACCUAUUUUCUCAUCACAUUGAGGAUCAUCAUGUCUUGAAGACACAAAUUUUCUGGUGAAAACAUACAACUUCACCACAGAAUGCAUGGAAUAUAUAUUUCUUAGCAAAAAGUACUUAGACCACAAGUAUUCUUGACCUGAAACAAAUUUCUAAUCAGUAACUUUCCUAAUAUUGCAUUCUGUAUAUAGCAUGUUCUUCAGUUUAUUGCAUGCCUGAAAAAACCUUGACACCAGUCUAUGCUUCAUUUAAAGAAAAAGAAAUAAACAUAUGUGGUCUAAGUUUCUCUAUAAUUAGAGUUACUCAGGAAGAUCUUGAAAUGGAAUAUAUAUACCUAGUCCCUUUUUUGUUUUUACUUUUCUAACUUCCAAAAUGGUAAAGAAUUUCACCCUUCUCCUCAAAUGUUCAUAAAACAUCAUAAAAACAAAGAAACUUCUUCUAGCCAAUAAUAUCUUGACUGUUACAAUCUGAUGUUACUUCUCCCUUCCAUCAGCUUGAGGGGGCAUGUUAAGCGAAAAAUGGGUAAAUUAUCUCAAGUCAAGUCAUUGUAGGAUAUAUUAGGUGUACACAAAAACAAACUGCAAUAGAUUGUAUCAAAGUUCUGUGAUACUGAGGCCGUUUUUCAGAUCAAUAUACAAAACUCUCUCUCUUUUUUCUGGGUUUUCAUCAUCUUGUACAAGCUUUUUCUUAUUCUGACACUUCUAACCUGUUUGAUUCAUAUGAAGGACUAGCUAUUCACUUCUUCUUAACUCAAACUUCAUAACAGAUUGCUAAGUUAAUAAAUGAUCACUUGGUUCCAUAUAUGGCUAAAAGAUAGUAACAAGCUGAUUUCUAAAUAACAUUUCUUUCUUAAGCCUUUCGAGUAAGAAAGAGUCAAUCUGACAUGAUUCUUCUGGACUCACUCUACCAGACAGGUCUUUUCAAUAUAUAUAUUCCUAUAGAUCAAUGAAGAAAUAAUAAAACUUCCAAAUUGACUAUUUUUUUUUUUUUUUUUUGAAUAGCAAAAUUGACUAAUUUAGUAGCAUGAAAUUUAAUUAUAACACGCAGAAGAAAAUAUCAUAAGAUAUGAACAAUGGGAAUGUUCACCUCAUUCUUCUCAAGUGUUAAGCCGAAGAAACUCAAGAAAGCCAGGAAAAAUCUCAUUUUCCAGGAAAGGAACUAAACAAAAGAAGAUAACGUACGUGUGCAAAUAGAUAUAAAUGCAUUUGGAAAAAUAAAUUAAUCUACCCAAGAUUUUGCAUGAACCAAACAGGUCCGGUGCUUUAUUCGAUAGAAGAAUGAUCCUUGACCUUAACAUAAGGUUUGAUCAUCCAUCUUGUCAAGGACAACAUGUAAACCAAGAUCAUGCCGGGAUCGUGUAUGCUAGAUGGUAGUUGUCAAGCAAAAUAGCUAGAUACAAAUUCUUUCAAGGACUAUGGCAGUUGGAUGAAGAAUCUGCUGUUCUUGGUAGGAUAAAUCCUAAACUUCUUUGAUGUAGAAUUGUGUAUGUUACCCACAUUAUCAAACCAUCCCUAAGGCUGGCACUAAUAAAGGAAUCGACCUUGCUAGGAUGAAGCAUUACCAAACUUUCAGGCUUUCAGCAUUAUACUGUCUAUACGUACACAGAACGGGAAUCAUUGACAUCUAAUUGCAGCAAACACGAAUGCCAAAUGACCACGAAGAAAAAGCUUAUGCCGCUAUUGUGACAUGUAUGGCGGAUGUGAGGGAGCAUGACUUCAUAUUGCAUUAAUAAAAUUGAUAAUUGGAAAAGCAGUUUGGUAAUAUGAGACUAUGAGUAGAAUGACCAGGAUUUCAUAAAACCUUACAACACUUUGUGAACCAUGAUCAAACACAAUCAAACCUAUUCAUAUUAACAGUGUCAUUUGAAUUGUUAAUUUUCUGGCAACUAUUUCAAAGAAAUCAUCUUGGACAGAAAAGUGAUGAGAACGAAGCAUAAUCCAUGGAAAUUUGAAGAGAAAAACAACACUGUUUGCUUGAAAUGUAUCAAUUCCUGCAAUUAAAUACCAAAUGAUACAUUUUUUUCAGAAAAAGAAUACUGUUUCAGUUUCUUUCUCAUCCUAUUAACACAGGCAAUGAUCAGAUUGCCCCCAGUAAAAUCUCAAGUUAGUCUUCUGAACAACUUUCUUGAUAGGUAGGUAGCAGUAAUAAGCAAAACUUUGUAACACCAACUUGAUCUAUACCAAACCUCAACGUAGAUAGGAAUUUAACAAUGAUUCAAGUGAUAUGGUCUCCAUAUCUCUGCAUGUUUUCUAUACGAAACACAAGUUCUAUUAACAAUGCCGGCAUGUGUGAAUUGUGAUUGUAUAUAUAUAUAUAUAUAUAAACGAGGGCAUGUGUGUAUUGCCACAAAUAUCAGUUCUGGGGAAACGGUUCUUGAAUUGUUAAUAUAAUGUUGGGAAACAAAGAAUAGUAAGUGACCAAACCAAAACAAUCAAAUUAAACAUGCAAUUAUUCGUUCACAGAGGCUUUGCGGUCAAUAAAAAAAUGAGAAGCCAAACAAGAAUGAAUCAGUGCAAUGCAUCCUUACAUUGUCUAGAAUCCAGGUACAUAUCAUCAAUCAAAUUAAACAUGCAAGUAUUCUUUCACAGAGGCUUUGCUGUCAAUAAAAAAUGAGAAGCCAAACAAGAAUGAAUCAGUGCAAUGCAUCCAUAGAUUGUCUAGAAUCCAGGUACAUAUCAUCAACCAACUUUCUGAACUGCUGAAAGUAGACGAAACCCAAUCAUGAAAACUGCUUAAUCUCGUCGGCCAUGGCAGAAUACAAAUUAAACUUAGGACAGAGAGAUUACUAAAGAGCAUGGCAGAGCAUUUGAGUUUGGAAGACGGCUGGAGCAGAGAUGCAUGCAAAAAGGGAGAAGCCGGAGGAGGUAAAAGGUUGAGAAUCACCAAGGCUGAAAUUUCCGAAGAACCAAAAUUUAACAUUAAGCUAUGGGUGUGUUCGGUUAGGUUUGGUUUGGCUCGUUUUGAAGCCGAACCUUGACCGAACCGUAUUUUUCGGUUUGGUUAUAUUUCAACUCGCAACCGCAAUGGUCGAACUGAUAUUUUCGGUUAUACUAUGUAUCAGUUUGGUACGUGUCAGUUUUAGUGUGCACCGUUUUUAUUUAUCUCAACUAGAAAAUGUGAACAAAAGUCAGGCUUCCGCUAUUUUUACCUAACAAUUUCAGCUAGGCAUAAACAAUUUUUAUUACAUUUAGAACAUCUCCAACAACUUCUCUAUAAAAAAUAAUUAAAAAAACUUAUAUGAUGAAAGAUAAAGUAUAGAGACAGAGAGAAAUAGCAAGAUAAUAGAGAAAGAGUGCGGUUAUUGACACCCCACCAAAUGCUUUUUUCACCCCGCAUUUCAAUUUUAAACUAAAUAUUCCAAUACUAACUCCACAAUCAAGAAUUUUUGUGAAAAUAUAAUAUUAAACUAAAAUCUAAACAACACAAAUUCUCUACAUCUUUACAUUGGAAAAAAAAAAAACAAAUCUCUACAUUUUUCAAAUCAUAUUUGAGAAUCAUUUCAAUCUUCAACAUGGUGGUUAUACAGUGUGAUAUAUGGGAUUGUUCGUUCUUAUUUUUAUUUUAUUUAUGGCUUCAAACGUAGUAUUUCAUAUAUAUAUAAUAUUCAUAAUCGUAAAGAAAGAACUCAAGAAAGAGAUUGCGGAGAACAUAGGAUGUGGUUUGAGAAGAAUGGAGGUAUGCGUCAAUUAUAUUGAUGAAAUAUUUGUAUAUAUUUUAUCAGUUUUGUAAUUGUAAGUUAAAAGAAAGAAAAUAAAAACUAGAUUUUCACAAAAUUUUAAUGGCAGAAUUGGAAUUUUAAAGGUAAAAAAUUAGACGUGGGGUGAACUGAGCAUUUAGUGGGGUGGAAAUAGCCGCACCCAUAGAGAAAUCAUCAUCUUAUUCAUUGAUAGGAGCUCUUUAUAUAGGAAAUUACAUAAUACCAAUAUGGUAAGGAUAAUGAAUACAUAGAUCUAGUCAAACUACAUAUCCUAAUGUCACAAGGCCAAGGCACACAUAAAGAAUAUCUAGAAAUAUACAGAAUAUCUAGAAAUAUACAGAAUAUCCUAGAACACUCCCCCUUCUGCCGCGCGCUGAUAUGCCGAUGGUGCUGAUCUGUUGCCUCGUCAAGUCACAAAAACCCUGUGGGAGAAAAACAGAACAUUGAUCGUAGAAGAAAAAGAGUACAACACACCCUUCACAUUUGAUAGUGACAUGUAUGUAUGUGCUAGACUCCCCCUGAAGUUCGCACCUCCCCUUGAUCUUUACAUCAAUCAUAGGGUUCUUCAUGAUUCUUACCAAUCACGGAAAUUUCAAUAACUUAGCAUGUCAAUGCUCUUUAACAUGUCUUCAAAUGUGGCAUUAGGCAAUGAUUAACUAAAUCAUGCCGUAUUGUCCUCAAAUGAUCUUUUACACUUAGAUCUUGAGGAGAAGGCCGCUUGUGAACUCAAAACAUAAGUUCGGGCAGGAAAUCAGAUUUUCGCGCAGCAUAACCUUCAGUUACUAGAACAAUCAUAACUUCCUCUAGGAAAUACAUAUGAAUGAACCGUAAACGGUUUUGGAAACUAGACUCAUUUAGCUUUCCAACCGUAUAUUACACACGUUCUGGUUCGUCAGGAGCUAUUCACAAAGUCCCGUCGAAGUUGACUAUUUUGCCAAAAUCAGAUUCUCGGACAUAUUCCUACUUUACGAAAACGGCCAUAACUCACUCAAUAUGAUAGGUAUGAUCAAAUGGUUGGUGUCCCUGGAAAGUAGACACAUAGACCUUUCCAAUGGUACCAAUUUCACCAUUUUCCAGUGAGUGAGAUAUUCUGUAGGUCUCGUGAAAUUUGACCUACGAAACUUGGCAGAUUCUGAUUUCGCUUUUGAUGUGUUUUUCUUAUGUAGGGAUAGAAUAAGCCUCAACCUUUCAUACCAUUAAGUAUUGAAAAAGGAGUUACUGCCAUUACAUUGGCGUUGCGUGGGCGCAUAGCUACACUUAGUUUUACAACUUUUCAUAGCGAAUGAGAUGUCAAGUCUUUCGUAUUGUGUUGAGUACAUUGAUGCGUCUUAUUGUACUUAGAUGGGAGCUCUAUCUCUCAACACAUAUUUGUCAUCUUGCUUUAGACAAAACAACGGAUCUCUCUUUAGAGCAAAAACUUUGAUUAAUCAUGGGAGUAUAUGUAAGCCUCACUAGUUAUAGAGUGCCUAAACCGAUUGAUGGAAAAUCAUCAUCAAUACAGUCAUCGAGUGCCUUAUCGAGACUCGUAGAGCCAAUAUGUAUCAUCAUCAAUACAGUCAUCGAGUGCCUUAUAGAAAAAGUUCUGAAAACUAGACUCGUAGAGCUUUCCAAUGAUAUAAAGCUUAUUGUCUGGUUCGUCAGGAGCUGUUCACAAAGCUCAAACGAAAUUGACUGUCCAGAAGGGACAAAUUGCUGUUUUUCACAGAGUUGGCAUGUGCAAAGCUAUGAAGCUUGCAGGUGGCAUGUAGGCUUUUACCUUAGCCAAAAGUGACGUGUGUAUGAUCAAAACCAAGUCCUUUUGGUCAUUCUAAGGUCGUAAAAUCCAUGACUAGUUAGCAAAAGCUCCCUGACAUGAACAUAAACUAACUCAGAUGACCUAGAGGAUUCGAUCAUGAUGAUAAUUUUUUGGUUUUGAUAAGUCUUCAACGUCUUUUACAAGACGGCAAUUGGUUUAAUAGCGUAGGGGGAUCCAAAAUCAAAAGUUUUCGAUAACUCCAAGUCAGUAUGACCAGACAUGUCUGUGGAGGGUCGGUAGUGCGAGACACACUUGAAACCACUAUCUCCUUAAUUUCAGACAAUUCUAAGACAUCACACUGAGCUUGGAUAAGCCUAGUUGAACAAUUGAUAAUGGAAAAUCCACUAUAAGGUAGAAGACUUAACUAGAAACACGUUGGCGAUCCUCCUUGAGGAUGCAAGGCCGUGCGUCAUCUUCACUUGGAGAGACCAAAACGGUACAAUCUAACCAUGUAGAUUGUAAAUAUGUCAUUCUUCUAAGAACGAUGUAAAAAUGUACAUCUUGUUUGUAAAUCAAUACGAACCCUAAGAGGAGAAAAGUUUCAUAACUUCGAAAAAAUUCUCAAGGCAUUCAUUAUUGCUAAUGUAAGUACAUCGAGGUCUCAAAUAGACGACGCCUUAUUACAUAUAGCUUGGAAAGAUAAUCAAUGUCUAGCCAAUGAUGUCAAAGUCAUGGGUAGCUAGAACUGGAUCUGAAUCUUUGAAAUUUGUGAUCAUGAGGAUGACGUUAUUGUCCUCAUAUUGAUUUUCCCUACCUUUUUGUAUGCAUUUAUAUUUUGAAGGAGAGUUCGACAACUCUUGAACCAAUGAUCCGGAGAUCCACAACAGUUGCAUUAUCAAGAGCUGGCAUGAGUUGUUUUGACAGAUUGGUGUCUAGACCAGGAGUGUCGCCAUUAGGGCCGGCGACACCUCCCCCUCUUUUCUAAACAACGGCACGGCGUUUUCUGCCGUUGCCGUGACCCAUAUUAUUGUCCCCACAUUAGGGGAUAAUCUCAAAUACGUUUAUCGCAUUAACGUAUAUACAAUUCUCGUUUGCAAUUGUAAGAUCAAAAUCAAGUCUUGUUGGUAAUUCUAAACCAACUUGGAGGACCUAGAGAACUUGAUGAUGAUCGGAUCCGCUAAAGAUUAUGGACAAUAUGUAGUCAAUUAAGGUGGUAAGCAAUCCACUUGACUAAUAACUCAACAAGUAGAGUUAUAUGAACGUUUCAAGAAACGCUCUAUGAGUACAUUCCACAGUACUUUGUGGUCAUUACUUUUUGCACAGAUUGUCAUUGAAGGUUUUUAUCGAUGGGGCGCGUCAAAGACUUUGAGCGCAUGAGAUGUGAAAUCUCGGCAUCUAGGCUUGUUAGCCUGGGGGUCAAAAUAUGUGGUUUAAUCAUUUCUAAUGAAAGGUUCCACAGAUACAAAGCGAAGAUCCGCCUUAGGACAGACAUCGAGUAUGUCAAAACUCAAAAGAGCAGAAUGUUACAUUGCUCUUGCAUACAAAACCAAGCUGUUAUGAGACUCGAUAGAGGUCACAAACAAUGCUUUUAAUGGUUUGUCCUUUGGAUUGAUCAUAUACAAUCCGGAAAAGCCGCGAAUUGAUCAAACACAAUUCGGAAAAGGCCUCGGAUUGAUCAAACACAAUCCGGUGAUAGGUCGGGGUUGAUCAUACACAACCUGGAUAAGGAAACAAGAGUAAUCAAACACACUCUUGACCCGCGAAUAAAAUUCUGGGAUUUUUGGUACAUGCACACACAAAAUCUCAAACAUGGAAUGAAGAUGGAGAAUGGGAGAAACCACUUUAUCUCCCCCGAGUUUAUUGAACUUUGAACAGUUUAGGGUUUAAAACAUACCGUAAAAUUUCUUCAAAAACUCGGAUUUCUUGAUCUAAAGCUCGAUCGGCGAAACCAGAAAAGAAGGCGGAGCUGACGGCCAGGAAGCGGCGAUCAGGAGCAGCGACAACGUCGGGGUCGAGGCAGGGCCGAGAACUUUUGGUUUGAGAAAUAAUUGUUUUUUAGGGUUUGGAAAACAAAUGGUAGGCUAUUGGCUCUAGGGUUAGAACAAAGUGCAUGAUAACAUGAUGAAAGAUAAAGUGUAGAGACAAAGAGAGAUAGCAAGAGAAUAGAGAAAUCAUCAUCUUAUUCAUUGAUAGAAGCCCUUUAUAUAGAGAAUUACACAAUACCAAUAUAGUAAGGAUAAAUAAUACAUAGAUCUAGUCAAACUACAUAUCCUAAUGACAUAAGGCCAAGACACACAUAAAGAAUAUCUAGAAAGAUACAGAAUAUCCUAGAACAUUCUCUAUAAUUUCUCUAUUAUAGGGAAGCAAAAGUCAAUGUUUUAAGCAAUUUUUCUUCUACAACUCUAACAAAUUCCUUAUUUUGGAGAUUUUAUUAUCAUUCAUUCCCCAAAUCCUUUAAAAAAAUCAUAGAGUUUGUAGCAAAUAGCUGGGAUUUGGUUUUCACUCUCAUCACAUUCCUCUUUUUGGUGAAAGUUUUAAGAAUCUGUUGAAGCAAAACACCCAAAAUCUCCCCAAAAUUGAAACAACCAAGAAUUUGGGGAAGCUAUUGGAGAUGCUCUUAGAGUACCCACACAGAUCAUGCUCCAAAUAUCAAAGAACUAGCAAAAGAUCAUAUUUAAACACUUAACAAACACACAUAUAUCAAUUAUCGAGCAAACAUAACAACUAGCAAACCUACAAACUUACAUGGGAAUGGAUUUCUUAUAUAUAACAAACCAUCAACCAUCAAUAAAGAAUUAGAAAAUAAAAACACAUGUAAUGAAAAUAAAUUCGAUGCGGUUAGGUUUGAAUCGCAUGGUUUAUGACUCAUAACCAACCAAACUGUUUUUAUGAGGUUCGUUAUGGCUAUAAACGAUCCACUUUACUUCAGUUUGUAUGAUUGUUUUUUCGGUGCGGUUGGGUUGGUAAUCACAUUUUCAGUACCGUUCGAUCGGUAACUGCCGGUUCAAAUCGUUGACCCCUACAUUACGUGACAUUGCAUUUUGAAUCCCCAAAUAUAAGGAAGCACAUCACCUGUUUCGGAAUAUCUUGUGCCAAACUUGUGCUACUAAUGGGAGCCCGACAUGUGGCCACUAUCUUAAAAGGAGUUAUAUUCGUGGGUGAGAAUCAAACACAUGACCAAAUCAGAUCGUGUGCACCCAAUGCCCUUCAGCCGUCGGCAACCCCACCAUCGGAAUUCAGGAAUGUGACUCGUCUCUACCCACCACAUUUCUCAUCAUUAAUCAACAUUGCUUAAAAAACUGCGAAAAUGUCACUUGACGCAUAAGCACCGCAACUUUGACUUCCAAGCUAGCCACCGGAAGCUUGACUAUUUGGGCCAUCCGGGGUUAAAUAAGUCCACAACAAGGACCAGCCCGGCCCAAAGAAAACGUAGCCAAAUAUGGCAAAACGUCCCUCUCUUGAUAUGACAGAAAUAGCAACAAGUCGCAAUUCCCCAUUCACUGGCUCACACGUCACUUCUAGUCCACGACCCGAUUAUUAAAUUAUUUAUAUAUAAAUUAUUUUUUUGAAAGAAUAAUAGGACUAGUAGGAAGCCUAUAGUCUGCGAUAUUAGAGAUAGGCAAGCAUAUACGGCAUAUAACCAUACACACAUCUAUACUCCAUUUCCAGAGAGAAUCAAGCACAAGAUCUUGACCUCUCUCUCUUCUCUUAUCUCUCUCAUCCUUUCUUUCUCCGGUUCUCAGUUUCCGAGCGAAUUAGGGCAAAGCGCAGAUCGGAAAUGGAAGAAGAUCGCGGGCAAUCGUCGCAUUGCCGAUUCUGAUUUCUUUUUCCGAUGCACUGAGGUCGGCGCCGGCGCGUGAGUUUUGAUCCGGUUCGGUUAUUGUUUUGAUGCGAUUGGGCCGAAUUGUGGUUCCAAAGACUCUGAAAUGGAAUCGUUCUGGAGCCACAAUGCCGCCCCAGACUCGUCGCAUUUCCUCGUCGCCGUCUACUUCGCCUUUGGAUUCUUCUUCGCUCGGCUCUUCCUUGAUAGGUUCAUCUUCACCGUAAGAUUCUUCUUCUUCUUCCUCCUUUUUUGCAAGUAGCUAAAUCCUGCUUUCUGUAAUUUUUCGUUGAAUCUUGAAUUUUUGUGUGUGAAAUCUUGGAUUAGUUUCGCCUUCAAUUCUGCAUCAUGUGGUUCUUGUGCUAAUGAUAACUCGGUUGAGCUUAGAAACUAUGAUCGUUGCGAAAAAAUGGAGCAUUAUGUACAAUUUUUAGGUUCAUUAUCAUUAUGCAAUGAGUUGGCGGUUCGAAUGAUUGAGCUAUUCCGAAUAGUUGUAGUUGGAGGGAAAGAAUAAGAGGUGAGGUUAGCGGACAUUUUGGAAUUACCGGAGUUGAGUAGGUUUGGGUCUAGGGGGAUUCAUAGAAAAGAUUAUUGUGGAGCAGUUCGAGGUUGCUAUGCGUGUCGUUAUUCUUGGUUGCAUUAUGUUCUUUUAGGUUGCAGUUAGUGUCAGCUUUAUAGUGAUUGCGGGGGCAAGUCUGAGAUUUCUGAUUAUUUGUAAGAUUUUGGGGUAUUUAAGUGGUUAAUUAAGAUGAUCAAGAACCUGAAACUGCAAGGAUUUAGGUCUAGCAUCUGGAAAAGGGUGAUCUUUCUAUGUCUUCAACAUGAUAGUUGCCUAGCCUCAUGAAUUCAUGAAUUGAGUUCUGUGUUGAUUUAUUGACUUGGUUGAUAGUGAGUCAUUCAAGGUUUUGGCAUAGCAUCUGAAAAUUUUGAAUUUUGUAUUCCCUACUUGUCGGGUGUUAAAAUGAAUUGUAGACGUUUGUUGAUAAUGGAGGUUGUCACUGCCGGAGAGAUUGGCUUAAUCAGUGUCAGCUGUUGCUUCAAGGUUCAGUAUGUUGGGUUAAAUCUUCUUCUAGACUUCUAACUUGGUUUUGUUUAAAGUAAACUGUAGGACCCCCUGUAAUAUAGUCUGUUUGUAACCUAUUAGCUUGCUUUUAAUUCAAGGACAACUGUGUCUACUAGUCUGAGUGAAGACUAAUUCUAAGGAAUAUACUAAGUAGAAUUGACAUCUUGGAGUUCUAUAUAAAAUGCCACUUUAAUCUAUCCAUAAGCUAGAUCCAAUUAUUCAUCCCUGUAGUGAUACUUGUUCAGUUGUUCAUCAUUUGGACAUUUGAUUAAGCUUUCUCAACUUCUGUCCAGUGUCCAGUGUCCAUCUCUCUCAACAUGGAAAUCAUUCCAAUACUACAGUACUAAGUCCUCCUUUCUUUUUGGUCAUAAAAACACAUGUAGAAUCUAUUUGGAGAUAGGCUUAGAAUUUGAUUAUAGGACUAUGCUGAAUGCCUGAACAUUAGGUGAGUAUGCUUUGAAUAGGAAUUUUGCAUUCUGUACAUUUUGGCAUUUAGGUUUAGCAAUUAUUCAAUGGCUCAAAUCCAGAGUGUGUACAUUACUUAAUUCUGAUGGCUUUCAGAUCUGGGAAUAGAUCUGCAUAAGUUUGUUGUCAUAAUAUUAGCUGUCAACUGUUAUGAUAUAUGUAUAGACAAACCUAGAUACACAAAGUUUUGCCUAAUAUUUUGUUUGCCUUUUUUUGCCUAGUGUUAAUGUCAGCAUCAAGUCAAGCUUAGUAAAAUGUAUUUCUCAAGACUUGGGACAAUUUAGAUGCGAAGUUUUAAAUCAAAAAAAAAAGAAGUUGCGAAGUUUUGAAUUUUGGAUUUCAUUUGGAAUUCAUAUAAAUCUGGUAAAGUGGCAUGCUUGCAUAAUUUUUGUUUACUUAACCAAAUAGGAUCAUCAUCAAAUCCUGUUCAAGGUGGACUGAGAAGCCUGGAAAAUAUUCAAUUGUUUGCUUUCCCUCUUCAAACAAAAAUUUUCAAACCCACAUACAUUAGGGUAUCAGGUUUUCUUUGAGUUCCCUUUAGGGACAAAUGUUGACUUUAUCAAGAAUGUCAAUAUCUCUGGCCAGGGACGGAGCCAGGAAUUUAAAGUAGGCUGGGCUAAACAUACGUGAAAAUUUCAAAGUGUAUUUAAAAUUUUUGACUACAUUUAAAUUUCUAUGCCUAUAAUUUAAUAUUUAGAUGGCAAGAUCACUUAGAGGAGACUUGUUAGACAGGGCUAGGGGAAAGUAUCACUUGGACGAGAGACUUACUAGAGAAAUAAUGAUAGAAGCAUGAUAAAUUAGCUUGGGAUUGAAAUAAUGGAGAGAAAUAAGAUUAUUAUAACGCGAAUGAGACAAACCAAAAACCAUAAUGGAAACUAAAACAAUUUAAGUCGGUAUUUUAGUCAAUAAACCACCAAGUUCUUUAGAUUUUUAGAGAUUUAGAGAUUUUUUUCUGCUUAAAAGUUACAAAUCCUUAUCACUUUGUUAAGAGAUAGCCUUAUGAUUAGAAAUUAAGAAGGCCUGCAUGUCAUUAUUCAUGUGAGCAAACCUACUGUCUGGUAAUCAUGAUCAUGGAUUGAAAGUCAUACUAUCAAGAAUCAAGAAUUGUACUGAUUUCUAACUGGUUGGCACUCUUCAGUUCUUUCUAUGACGUGGACUUGUUUUAUUCAUGUGAAAGAAAUUGAGUUAUAGAAAUGAUGUUUAAUGAUUAAUCUGUCAAUAGCUUUUGUCUAUUGUUCAUGUCUUUGUUCCCCUCAUUUCAGAGGCUUGCCAUCUGGAUGUCGAGAAAAGGUUCUGCUCCAUCGAAGAUAGAUAUGGUCCAACGGGCAAAGAUUACGAAAUGCUCAGAGUCUAUGUGGAAGUUAACAUACUAUGCAACUGUCGAAGCCUGCAUUCUCAGCAUAAGCUACCAGGAGCCAUGGUUCACAGAUACAAGAGAGUACUUCAAAGGAUGGCCAAACCAAGAGUUGGGGUGAGUAACUCAUACGGUGGUUAGUUAUUCUGCAUUCCCACUACUGGAUAGAUGAACAUUUAUUUAGUGUCGGAGAUUGGAAUUGAUUUGUUCUAAUAUCUAAAAGAACACGAGAAAAUAAUUUCUGUUUAUGUUCUCUGCAGACCAGCAUUAGUGUCUGAUCUUGUUUCAGAUAUUGGUUGAAUUGGGCAUAAUGCUUACUGAUAAAUAUUAAGGGAAUUAAUUAAUUGGGAAGUCAAUUAGCAGUUUGUCGAAUGCUGGAGACAUACUCUGUAAAUAUUAUUUUUAAACUUCACAGCUGUAACUCUUUUUUUUUUCAUCACUUUCUAGUUGAAUUGAUUGUUGACGUGAACUCUGUUAUCUCCUGACCAUUUCAGAAUAUCAAUUUUUUAAUUUUUUUUAUUAGUUUGGUGUCAUUUUCGUUUUGCAGAUCAUUAUUUUUAAAGUAAUGUUUUAUUUUUGGUCUCAAGAGAUAGGGCAAUGCAUUUCAAGCUCUACCCCUUGUAUAUGCCAUAUUGAAGAGCUUCCCUACUCCAUUAGUGUGUUAUAUGUCUGAAUGUAUAAGAAGGUGUUUCCAUCCAACUUGGUGGACAAGAUGAUUGUGGGAUAUACCUUUCAUCCUCAUCCACACAGAUUGGAGGGCUGUGUCAGUUCACGUUUAAUUGUAAUUUUACUAUAUGGUUUGUUUUUUUUUUUUUCUUUUGUUCAUCCUAUGACAUUUUAUAUAGUUUCUAGCAUCCGGUAGGUUAGAACUGCAUAUUGUUUAAUUAGCCAGCUCGUUUCUGUAUUUGUAUCUUAAUAAAAUCUCUGUGUUUCUCAUGGAGAAGAAACUAAAAAUGAUCGACUUAAUUGUUAUAGAAUGAAUAAUUUUGAUGACUCAGUUUUAGCUUAGCAUUUACGAAUUGAUUAUUCUGAUUCUGUUCCUUUAUCAUUUCAGGCUUCCCCUAAAGCUUGUGUAUAUGUGUCAAUGUGGAUUCUAUACCUACAGUAUUGUUGCUCUCCUUACAUGGGAAACCCGAAGGAAGGAUUUCUCAGUGAUGAUGUCUCAUCAUGUAAUUACCGUCUUCCUGAUUGGAAUGUCAUACAUUACAAGGUAUGUUUGUGUAUGUGCAAUUCAUUUUUUAUGUCAGUUUGUGUUCGUAUGGGGAGGACAUCAUGCACUUAUUUUCUUUCAUUCUUUUAAAAAAAACCUGGUAACCUGGGCCCAUAACAGUCUUUCCUUUAUUGUUAGUUUGAUAUGGUCACUUGCAGUAGCUGUAGUCCUAAGUUACUAAUAUAGCAAAUUGUUGUUGAGAUACUGUUUCAAUAAAACCAGUGUCCCUUAAACUUUGGGUGAUAGUAUUAAGUAACAAACUCUUACUAUGACAGGUCUCUCUCUUUACAUAUAUAUAUAUAGACACACACAGUCCCGUUCACAGGUGGACGUCCGCAAUUGUGAGAAAGUGCAGACUGACACUCUCUACCAUUAGAUUGGUUAUAUCAAAUUUAACGGCUCACAUGAAAAACCCAUGUGGGUGUAGGAACACGAGUCUUCUUGCACCCUCAGUCUUCAACUCAUCACUUCUGAACAAGGAACGAAUUUUGGAAACAUAAUGAAAGAUAUGGAAAUUGGAGAUGUUUUUUUUUUUUUUUGAUGAAGUAAAAUUGUGGAGAUGAUUACGAAUGAGGUAGAUAAAAGUUACACCAAUUCCUCUCUUUAUUGGUUGGCUUCGAAUGUGCCAAAGCUAUGUCUAAGCUUUCGCUGGGUGGGAUUCAGGUUUUGAAUGACUUGUUUUUGUCUUUCAUUUUCUUUUAACUUUAAUUGAAAACUGAACCCAGUUCUUCAUCUUCAGUCUUAUGCUAAAGUGAAAUAUAUGAAGAUUUAUUUUUCCCUCGGGGCGGCCUUAGAUCGGAUUAUUGAGUAUAAGCCAUACUCUUUAUGGAUGGAACGAGAGAUAAAUCAUCGACAUGGGUUUCGCCUUUUUCAUAUGUCUGAAUCCAUCCCUCCAUCUGAGAUGCAACCCGAUCAAUCUCAGACUUGGACUGGCUCUAUGGUCUCUUUUUGUUUGUUUUCCUUUGAUUCAAUUUGAAUAGAGAAUUGUGGAAGACCGCUCGACAGUGUGACCAUGUCACGGUAAUGACAUUGACUGGGUUCGAGGUCGGUGAAGCUAAUCAGCCAGAAAGGCCAUGUGAAGAUUGAGAAUAAGCAGGACAUCUGAAAUUCCUUGAGCCGUUGAAGUUCAUUUAAAUCAAUCCUACAGCUCGGCACUUUUGCAUAUAUCAUGGACAUCCUUCUCUGAUUGCGCCUGUAUACACACACAUACACUGAAAAAAACGCUCUUUGAAGCUUAGCUCAUCUAAGACCAUUAGUAUCAAUGGAAUUUUCGUUGGAUUUGCAUAUGUUGACAUAUAUAUGUGAAAAUCUCAAGCAUUGUAAUAAAGCUUAAACGCCAUGAUCCUUUCCGAGAUUAUAGGCAGGCUUCACAAAAAUUGUAUGGGGUAAAUCCCAAACAAAUGAGUUGAUCAAACACCCUAGCUUUGGUACUCGAACGCCAAAUGUAUUUUCUUUGCUUGUCCAUGCCACUAAUGUCUACACUUGGGCAUGUGUGUGUGUGUGUGUGUGUAUAUAUUUAUAUAUGUAUGUAUACAGGUAUACAGGUAUAAUAUUUUUAUUAAUAGAGAUGAACCUAUGAUCGAAGCUUUAGGUUCAAGCCCCAUUUUGUAUUAAUAUACUAAAAAAUUUCUUGGUUCUACAUGUAUUAAAUCAAUUUCAGUUGAAAUGAUUAACUAAGACUAGAAGUAAUCCACUGUCCACUUGCAGCUUUUUCCGAAUUGGCUCAAUCAUUCUUGCCCUGCAUGAUGGGAGUGAUGUAUUCAUGGAAGCUGCCAAGGUCUUCAAAUAUUCUGAGAAGGAGCUUGCAGCAAGUGUGUUCUUUGGGUGUUUUGCUUUUUCAUGGCUCAUACUGCGGUUAAUAUACUUCCCCUUCUGGGUCAUAAGCUCAUCAAGGUCUGCUCUCAUGGUAAAUCAUUUUAUUAUACCAUAUAUAAAUGUAUGGUAACUCCUCCUGCUUAUCUGUUCUUAUGGUUGCUUUUUUACAGUUAUGACCUUGUUAAGCACUUGGAUUUGUCUUUGUCCUCUCAUACAACACUGUACUAUCUGUUCAAUACGAUGUUAAUGACGCUGCUUGUGUUCCACAUAUACUGGUGGGUUAUGAUAUGCUCAAUGGUUAGGAGACAACUGAGUAAUAGUGGAAAGGUUGGAGAAGAUAUAAGAUCAGGUAAACUAUAUGUGCUGCUUACAGGUUUGAAUUUUACAUUUCAGUGCUUGUUAUCAACUUUGAAAAGUAUAUACUCUCCACCUCUCACUUAUUGGUUGAGUAAUACUGGAAACAUUUAGUAUGUUAUGCAAGGAAACUCUUCAGCUCGUAUUUAUAUCACUUGUCAAUACACACCUGGUUGUCAGUUGUCACUGAAUUUGAGGUGUGGGCUUUCUCCGCAAAUGAAAAUAUGGCUUCUUGGCUUAAUAUGUUUAUCUCCAUACCUUGUGUCGGCCUUAGCUUGGUCCACUGGGUUGCUCUUUGUAUAGAGAAUGGGUCCAAAUUGACAUAAUUAAUAUAAGGUUUUUUUUUUUAUUAGUGUUUCAAUUUUUCCAGUCAAGUCAUGUUCUUCAGUCAUUAUACUCAGACCUACCUUGUUGUAUUGUUGGGACCGUAUGCUGAAACUACGCUCAUGGAAGGUCAAACACAUUUUAACAGUGAAUACCUGUUUGUAAGUUUGGCUAAUGAAAACAAUGUAAAGUUACACCUGGAAGCUUGUUGUGUAUCAUAGAAAAAAUCACAUUCUAACAUCAUACACAUCCAUCUUGUUGCGUUGGUUUCUUUUAAUGGUUUUAGAUUUCACCACUUCCUUUCUAAUGAUUUUCUCUGCUGUUUACAGAUUCAGAUGAUGAUGAUUAGACGGAAGAUUUUGUCCAAGGUUUUCUUGCCUUUGUUAAUGCUGACCUGUAUGUAGGUUAUAGCUGCACUCAAAAGUGGCCCUUAUCUGUAGGAAGGGGUUGAUAGUCUCUUCCGUUAUCAAAUUUUGUUUCGAGUCUUCACAGAUCAUGGCUCAUGUCACCGUGUAUUCUUUUCCUUUUUCUUUUUGGAUGGAGUCUCUUGUUAUAUGGUGUAUAAGAAAUAGGUAAAUUUGUGUAUAAUUCUUCUCUCAGGAUAAUCACUUGUAUUGAGACUAGCCUUUUGUAUGGAGAAAUGAAAGGUAUUCACAAAUUAGUAAAGAGAAAAUAUAUCAUGGACUUGUCAUUGUUUCUUUCACGCUUAAAUAUGUCGAAAUGCUGCACGGUACUCACAUUUCGUGUGCUAUGUUUUCUUUCUUUCUUCUGAAAUGGGUACACACCAAUGAGUACGUUAUCAAUCUUUUGAUGAAGCAUAAUCGUUGGUUAAAGAAGCUCAAAGCCAAUAAACUUUCAACAAUGACAUCCAAAAGAACAGUUAUAUGACUUGUGUAUGGACGUCUCUUUUGGUACAUGAAAACAAUGUCAAGUUUUGAUCGUAACGUUUACGGUAACAUUGUUCUUUUUUCGAAUCAACUUAAAGACUCGCGAAAACUUGACUUGUCCAUGGAAAGCAGAUGUGCCUGCGUGAUUGACGUAAUUGGAAGCUGAUUUUCGAUGACUGCUCAAUCUCAGGUGUUGAUUUUCGAUGACUGCUCAAUCUCAGGUGUUGAUUAGUUACCAAAACAGUGAAAACGGACGCCUAUAUAUAAUAAGCUCUAGAGUAGAGGUUUGCUUCAUCACAAAGCAGAGGAGAGGCAUGAAUUCACUUAAAAUUUCCACCCUUUGUUUCCUACUCUCUAUCAUUUCCAUACCCAACUUCACUGUUUCCCAAAUCCUAUUUCAGGUACAGAAAGAAGCACAUAAUCUCUCUCCCUCAACUUUUUGUUUUUGUUUUAUUUGUUUUGUUUUGUUUUUCUGAUGGUUGUUGGUUGGUGAUCUCAGGGGUUCAAUUGGGAAUCAGCAAAGAAGGGAGGAUGGUACAACAUCUUGGAGCAGUCCGCAGCUGAACUAGCUUCUUCAGGAAUUACACAUGUUUGGCUUCCACCACCUUCUCAGGCUAUUUCAGAUGAAGGUACUUGAUUUUUUUUACUUUCACAAAACUCUCUUUUGUACUUGAGUUGUUUCCAUUCUCAUCCAGAAUUUGGAGAACUUUGUGAGCUACCUGAUGCUCUGGUUAAAACGACCAAACAAAUGUCCACCACAAAUAAUUAAAUUGUAACAUUUCUUUUCUCUGGUAUUGAAUAUUAACAAUGAUGCGAGUUUGUUUCGAUAAUGACAGAGAAAUUCUUUGGUAUUGCAAGGUUUGUAACAACAUGAAACAGAAACUCUUUGGAAAAUGCACAAACAUCCUUUUCAAGUCUUCAAAAUUGCCGAACUGUUGCAGAUUUCAUUUGCAAACCAUCUAGCUACCUAUACCAUCUAUACUUUAUAUGAUGUAUCUUUAAAAACUGAUAAUUAGUAUAUACAUCUAUCAGCCGGGACAAUUGCCUUUUCGAUACCUGUGUUUUGAAUUCACAGUUUAACUUGGUGUGUCUUUACACCCUGUCUCAUUUAGCAAAGAGAUCCUAAGCAAGUGUAUUCAUAGCGAUGGCUAACAUUAUCAAAGCACUGCUGAGAUAAAAGCCGCAAUUGUAUUGUUAGGUGCAUGAUUUGUCAUAUAUGCAGCACAAUUCAUCUGUAAAUUAUGUCAAAGAUUAUGCAUUUGAUUGUUAACCUAACCGGUUUGCUGUUCCUUCUAAGUGCGACUAGUACAUAACUCCUCAGCAUUUCUGGUAACUGUUGAUAGCAUUGUCUUUGGCUGUUAGCAUCAGUGGAUUCAGUUCUACGAAUAUGAAACUUAAGUGAACUUCUUUUUUUUAGGCUACAUGCCUGGCAGGCUCUAUGAUCUCACAUCAAAAUAUGGAAACCAAGAUGGAUUAAAGGCACUGGUAAAAGCCUACCAAGACAAUGGGAUAAAGAGCGUAGCAGAUAUUGUUAUAAACCAUAGAUGUGCAGAGAAGCAAGAUGAAAGAGGAAUAUGGUGCAUUUUUGAGGGAGGAACACCAGAUGAUCGCCUUGAUUGGGGGCCGUCUCUUAUUUGCAGUGACGACACAAAAUAUUCUGAUGGCAAGGGAAACCCUGAUACUGGAGCUGACUUUGGUGGUGCUCCUGACAUUGAUCACAAAAACACAAGGGUCCAGAGUGAGCUCUCGGAUUGGAUGAACUGGUUAAAGACCGAAAUUGGUUUCAGCGGCUGGCGAUUUGAUUUUGUCAGGGGAUAUGCUCCAGAGUUCACCAAGCUGUAUGUGGCCAACACAAAGCCUAGUUUCUCAGUAGGAGAGUAUUGGAAUUCCAUUGCUUAUGGAAGUGAUGGAAAACCUGAGUACAACCAGGACAACCAUCGCAACGAGCUCGCUGGAUGGAUAGGGAAUGCUGGAGGAGAGGUUACUGCUUUUGAUUUUACAACAAAAGGGAUACUUCAAGCUGCUGUCCAGGGUGAACUGUGGAGGUUGAAGGACUCGAAUGGAGGUCCUCCUGGAUUGAUUGGAAUAUCGCCACGCAAUAGUGUGACAUUCAUAGACAAUCAUGAUACAGGUUCCACACAAAAAUUGUGGCCAUUUCCAUCAGAUAAAGUCAUGCAGGGAUAUGCUUACACUCUUACUCAUCCAGGCAUCCCAUCAAUAGUAAGUCUUUUUCAUCUUGAUAUGCCUUCUUACAAACUAAAAUGACAUCGUCAUGCCAUUGCUCAUGUGAAAGUGUUUAUAGUUUAAUUACCUGUUGUCCAUUUAGAUAACUGUUUGUAUUUUUUUGUAACAGUUCUAUGACCACUUCUUUGACUGGGGAUUGAAAGGGGAGAUCUCGAAACUCACUGCAAUUAGGUCCAGGAAUGGGAUCAAACCCGACAGUGCCGUCCGUAUCCUAGCAGCUGAUGCAGAUCUCUAUGUAGCUUCCAUAGAUGACAAAAUCAUAACCAAGAUUGGUCCAAGAUUCGACGUUGGGAACCUUGUACCGCCAACAUUCAAAAUCGCAACUUCUGGAAAGGAUUAUAGUGUUUGGGAGAAAUCAGCAUGAAGGUCUUGUUUGUAAAGCAAUGAACUAAUUAAUAAAGUACUUGUUAUUCAUGUAUUGCAAGUGCUUAUCAUGAAGUAAUGCAAAGGAAAAUUUUGCCUGUAAAGCCUUACUGGGAUUGCCGGAAUCAAUUUAGAACCAAAAAAAAAGUUCAUGAUAAUGCUACAAUUGAGCAGAAACGAAUUAAUCUUGGACUAAACUGUGGUAACCAUCAAAAUUCAACUAAGGUUGCACAAUCUCUUACUAAUCUUGGUCUUCAAAACGAAGUUGUAAUUGUCUUCUGAAAUUGAGUAGUCAAGACUCUACUGAAUCGCUGCUCUAGGUGCCAUCCAAUUCAAUGAAUCCCUCCACUCAGAGCCUCUAGCACCUUUCCUACGGCGGAGGUGUACAUAGAGAUUCUUGCAGAGCAAGCCUGGUGAAGAGCAAGAUUUUCUGAUAUUUUCUGGGAAUAAGAGACUGCAGGAUUCACAAAUCUUGAUCAGUUUAAGGCAAAUGAAUCAAUAAUGUAUGGAACAUGUAAAACAGAUAUGUAGAUUAAAAAGAAAAACAUUAAUGACUAUAUCAACAUGUCCGCAAUUGCAGUAGGUAACUUCUAAGGAUUUGAGACUUCAACUCGAAACUUUGAUAUCCAAACGAUUAAAGAUGAAGCCACCGAAAUCUGAAAUUGAAGAUAGUGUCAAAUACUCGAUGGAAGUGCACCCUGAAAUGAAGCUGAACAAGUCUUUGGAAGUCAGUUGCACACGCUUGAGGGACAGAGUUUUCAAAGACGGAAUUAGGGUUUCCAGAUGAUGACCAAUCCUAAUAAUUUUCACACGCUCCAAAUUUAAAAUUGUUAUAGAUUUUGCACUCAGAAAGUUAUCCAGGGGGUAAAUAGUAGCCUACAACCCCAGAUUUAGUUCCAAGGCUAAUAUCUAAUUCCUUGACGCCUUUCUCAAGUGCAAAAAUGCAAAGCUUAUCUACCAUGGCAGAAUCUCCAAAAACAUAUCUGUUCAUGCGAAGCCUGAAUAUAUCUAAGAGCCGUUUUUAAUCUUUCUCAUUCUCUUGUGGAACUUGAAAAAUAUGUUUGGAGGAUGUUGCUGUUACAUGACUUGUAUGACUUGUGUCUAGUCGUCUCUUUUUUCGUAACGUUUACGGUAGUUCUUUUUUCCAAUCAACUUAAAGACCACGAAAACUUGACUUGGAAAUUAAACUCUGACAGUAACGGUUGGGUUGGAAAACUCGUCCAUGGAAAGUAGAGGUGCCUGCAUGAUGGACGUAAUUGGAAGCUGAUUUUUUGUUACUACUCAAUCUCAGGUGUGGAUUAGUUACCAAAACAGUGAAAACGAACGCCUAUAUAUAAUAAGCUCAAGAAGAGAGGUUUGCUUCAUCUCAAAGCAGAAGGGAGACAUGAAUUCACUUAAAAUUUCCACCCUUUGUAUCCUACUCUCUAUCAUUUCCAUACCCAACUUCACUGCUUCCCAAAUCCUAUUUCAGGUACAGAAAGAAGCACAUAAUUUCUCUCCCUCAACUUUUUGUUUUUGUUUAAUUUGUUUUGUUUUGUUUUUCUGAUGGUUGUUGGUUGGUGAUCUCAGGGGUUCAAUUGGGAAUCAGCAAGGAAGGGAGGAUGGUACAACAUCUUGGAGCAGUCUGCAGCUGAACUAGCUUCUUCAGGAAUUACACAUGUUUGGCUUCCACCACCUUCUCAAUCUGUUUCAGAUGAAGGUACUUGAUUUUUUUACUUUCACAAAACUCUCUUUUGUACUUGUGUUGUUACCAUUCUCAUCCAUAAUUUGGAAAACUUUCUGAGCUACAUGAUGGUCUGAUUAAAACUACCGAACAACGUCCACCACAAAAAGUUAGAUUGUAACAUUUUUUUUCUCUUUUUACCAACGAUUUAAGUUUGAUUGCAUAGUACGUACUUCUGUAAUAACAUGAAACAGAAACUCUUGGAAAAUUCAUAGUGAUUACUAACAUUAUCAAAGCACAGAGAUAAAAGCCGCAAUUGUACUUGUUAGGUGCAUGAUUUGUCAUAUAUGCAUAUAUGCAGCACAAUUCAUCGGUAAAUGUCAAAGAUUAAGAGUUCAAUACAAAACAGUUAAUUUUCAGAUUUCGCAUUUGAUUCUUAGCCAAACCGGUUUGCUAUAUUUCCCAAGUGGACUAGUGUUUAUAUCGUCGUCUUUGGCUUUUAGCAUCAGUAGAUUCAGUUCUACGAAUAUGAAACUUAACUGAACUCAACUUCUUUUUUCUGAGGCUACAUGCCUGGCAGGCUCUAUGAUCUCACAUCAAAAUAUGGAAACCAAGAUGAAUUAAAGGCGCUGGUAAAAGCCUACCAUGACAAGGGGAUACAGAGCAUAGCAGAUAUUGUUAUAAACCAUAGAUGUGCAGAGAAGCAAGAUGAGAGAGGAAAAUGGUGCAUUUUUGAGGGAGGAACACCGGAUGAUCGCCUUGAUUGGGGGCCGUCUCUUAUUUGCAGCGACGACACAGAUUAUUCUGAUGGCAAGGGAAACCCUGACACUGGAGCUCCCUUUGUUCCUGCUCCUGACAUUGAUCACAAAAACACAAGGGUCCAGAGUGAGCUCUCGGAUUGGAUGAACUGGUUAAAGACCGAAAUUGGUUUCAGCGGCUGGCGAUUUGAUUUUGUCAUGGGAUAUGCUCCAGAGUUCACCAAGUUGUAUGUGGCAAACACAAAGCCUAGUUUCUCAGUAGGAGAGUAUUGGAAUUCCACUACUCGCGACGAGCUCGCUGGAUGGAUAGGGAAUGCUGGAGGAGAGGUUACUGCUUUUGAUUUUACAACUAAAGGGAUACUUCAAGCUGCUGUCCAGGGUGAACUGUGGAGGUUGAAGGACUCGAAUGGAGGUCCUCCUGGAUUGAUUGGAAUAUUGCCACGCAAUAGUGUGACAUUCAUAGACAAUCAUGAUACAGGUUCCACACAAAAAAAGUGGGAAUUUCCAUCAGAUAAAGUCAUGCAGGGAUAUGCUUACACUCUUACUCAUCCAGGCGUCCCAUCAAUAGUAAGUCUUUUUCAUCUUGAUAUGCUUUCUUACAAACUAAAAUGACAUCGUCAUGACAUUGCUCAAGUGAAAGUGUUCAUAGUUUAAUUAGCUGUGGUCUAUUUAGAUAACUGUUUGUAUUUUUUGUUAACAGUUCUAUGACCACUUCUUUGACUGGGGAUUGAAAGGGGAGAUCUCGAACCUCACUGCAAUUAGGUCCAGGAAUGGGAUCAAGCCCGACAGUGCCGUCAGUAUCCUAGCAGCUGAUGCAGAUCUCUAUGUAGCUUCCAUAGAUGACAAAAUCAUAACCAAGAUUGGUCCAAGAUUCGAUGUUGGGAACCUUGUACCGUCAACAUUCAAAAUUGCAACUUCUGGAAAGGAUUAUUGUGUUUGGGAGAAAUCAGCAUGAAGGUCUAGCAGCAAAUAAUUAAUAAAGCACUGGUGAUUGCAACUUUGCAAGUGUAUAUCAUAAAGUAAAAGGUGUUUUAGGAGAGAAUCUACCGUUAUUGUUCGAUAGAAAUACUUAUUUAGAGCAUCUCCAACAGCUUUUCCAUUUUCUUGAAAUUCUCAAUUUUGAGGAAUAUAGAGCUAUUUUUAGGUCCAACAGCUAUCCCAUCCUAUUCCCCAAAAUGGGGAUGAAGAAGAAAAAGAAGUUUUCAUUCCCUAAAUUUGCAGCAAAGCCUUCCUUCUCCAAAAUUAAAUUCUUCACAUGCUCCAACAAAUUUAAGACAACAAUAGAAUAUUUUAUUGGGUAGUUUAUUGUUACAAUGAAAUAUAUAAUGUUUUUUUGUUAUAAUUAAUGAUGAUAUAUUAUAUUUUAUUGUUGUAUUAAAUGCUGAAAUCUCCAAAAUGGAGAAGCUGCUGGAUUUUGAUCAUAAUUUUUUUUUAGAGAUUUUAGGGUGUGUUCGGUACCGUUUUGUGAAAUGGUUUUUUGUUUUACAAAUUCAAAAACAGAAGUAAAACGCGUUCGGUUGAUGUAUUUCAAAAACUCCAAAUAAGAUACAGGGAGUACAACUCUAAAUUCAUGAGUAAGUUUGGAAAACAUAAAAAGGACGUUUUACCCGUUUCUGAACACGGGAUAUUGCAUUGAAAAACAUGGAGAUUUUUUCGGGAGCUCUCUGCUUCAUGACACAGACUGUUUUAACUUUUAACCACCUCUUCUAUGUAUUAUGUGCCACAACUUCCAACUAUGGCGAUCAAAUUGACAUCAUCUAUGAGAUUGAUUUUUCUGUUGUAAAUUGGAGAAAGUUCUUCGUACCUAGUUGCUAGGUUGUAGCUUUAGGAUUUAGACUCAGUUUGAAAGAAUUACCUCAGAAAUCUUCCUACCCAGAUGGCCAGAUGAGUUUGUUGUCGCUCUGAACCUGUUCACAAUUUUUGUCGGUGAUACUAUUCCUCUGUCGAUGGAUAUGGCGAACCGAGCAUACUCACGUUUCACCACUAUUCAUGAUGAUUCACUUCUGUUAUUCGAUGAGAAUCCAUGAUUCCAGUUGAGAGUUUUAAGUUGAAGAUGAUGAAAAAAGCAAAUGCGUUUAUGUGGUGGAAUUUGAUGCAAACAAUAUUUAAAUGAUAUGCCAGAUAGCUACAGUAAAUAAUUAUCAUUAUAUUAUAGAAGAUUGAUAGAUGUAGCUGUGCAGGUGAUGGGGAUAAACUUCAACAAACUUAUAUUGAUAGAGUUAGAGACGCAUUGGUGAGGAACAACUGAAACAUGCUUUUACUUUUUUACUUUUUGUAAAACUCUUCCACAGUUGUGCUAUCGGACGCAUAUCCAAAUCGUGAAAAUAUCAAAUUUAAUUAUUUAUUUUCAUUUUAUAAAACAGUUUUUGAAAAAUGAAGUUGUAAAACAGUACCGAACACGCCCUUAGCUUUGGCUUCACCAUUUUAGAGAAAUUUUAGAGAAGCUGUUGGAGAUGCUCUUAUAAUGAGGGAUUUUUUUAGGGUUAUUUUAAGAGAUAGACUCUCUACCGUCAGAUCUAGUUUGUUAAAAAUAAAUGGAUGAGAUUAAAACAAAGAGUGUACAUCCUUCUCACUCUCUCUUUCUGCAAAACGUUGAGACCAACCUUUGAACCCAGAUUUUCAUGGUGAGUCUAAUCCCGACGAGGAAGGUGGAACGGAGGUCGAGACGGCGGAGCUCGGAGCGAGGUUGAUUCCGACCCAUGGUGGGUCUGAUUCCGAGGCUGAUUCUCAUAUCGUUAACCCCAUUCUGGGUUCUCAAUAAUCAUCAAAUUCGCAUCUCAAGCACUUCUCUUUCUUCAAAUCCUUUUGAAAUUGACUGGGUUUUCCGGCUGGAUCUUGUAUUUGUAGUGGGAAUACGAGGGAUUAAGAGAAGUAGUCCUCUUGUCUCAUAUUUGAAUUCAACCGGAGCAAUUUUGAGGGAAAUAGUUGAUGCAAAGAGUUCAUCUUUUGGUUUCAAAAUUCAAACUGAUAACAAAUUUUGGGUUUUUUUUCUCAUAUGGAAAACAAAUUUGGACUCUUGUUUGAGAUAGUCCACUCUUGCCCUCUGGUUGUAUUUUUCAGUUCUCAUAUUGAAAACAAACUUUGGGUUUGUUCUCUGGGCAACGAUGGCAAAUGCAAAAUAAACAGAGUACACAUAGUGGGAAGAAACUACAAUUGAAAUUAGUUUGAAAAGUGCUUGAGAGUGGGGGCUCGAGGGAAUUGUGGUUGAGAUUGGAUUCAGGAGAAUUGUUACUGGCAGAUCACAGAUGUCUCGACAUAAUUAAGAAUUUUGGAGAUUGGAUUUCUGGGUAUUUGAAGGGAUUGAGAACUCUGGGAGUAUGAGAACUUCAGGCAAGUUAGGAAGGAUUCUUUGCUUUAAUCUCAUUCAUUCAUUUUCAUUAAACUAGAUCUAACUGUAAAUAGUCUAUCCCUGUUUGGUAAUGUGGUAUGGGACAAAAAUUCACAUAUUUUAUACUUUUAACAGAAUUUUAGUGGAGUAAUUUUAAAUACACACCCCUAAUCUCUAAAUACACAUCCAUUACUUAAUACACCACCCAUUUAGUUUUUCAUUUCAAUAUUAUACUAAAUACACAUCUCAAACUGCCUAAAAUACCCUCAAUAUCUAAAACUAAUAAUAAUUUGUAUUUAAUAUAAUUAUUAUAUAUUUACUAUUUCACAACUCUCUUUAUGCAUUCUCUUUUAUUUUCAGUUAGAUUUUUUUUUAUCGGGUUGGAAAAUUUUUUCUUGAUAUUUAUCAAUUUAUAACCAAAAGAGUAAUAUUAUAUUCGAACUCCAACUCCAAUAUGACAUCAAUCAGCUAGAAUUUGAAGAAAAAUAAAUUAUUGAACAUACAUAAUUUUUUCAAGGUUAAGAAACUAGUAGUAGUACAAUAGCAUAAAAACUAAUUUUUAGUCUGCAAGAUAAAAACUAAACUAAAAACUAAAGUUGAUAAAAAGAACCAAAUGAAUCAGUAAAUAGUAUAUGUGAUUAUGACAGUAGAUGAAUUUCAGUUGAUGAAUUUUGGAGAAGAGGUUUUUAUUUCUUUUCUUUUGAUGCGUAAUAAUAGUGGAGAAGAGUUAGGUUUUAGGGAAGAGGAAGUUUUUUUUUUCCUCUAAUAAUUUAUGAAUGUUUUUGUAAUUAAACAUACCUAUAAAUUUGAUGUGAAAUAUAAAAUAAUAGAGAUGUGUAUUAAGAGAUUAGAGGUGUGUAUUUAAAAUUUCUCUUUGGUCAUUUAGCUUACCUAUAAAAUCUUAAUAGAAACAUAAAAUAACAGAGGUGUGUAUUAAGAUAUUAGGGGUGUGUAUUUAAAAUUUCUCAUUUUAGUGUUUGGUAAAACUUAAAAAACAUGUUAUAAUUAAUCUUGAGGUCGAUAAACGCAGAUUUUCAGAAACAGCCCCUUGACAUGCUUUCUCAAAACUCGGUUUUGCAAAAGCGCGAAGGGCCGCAGGAGAGUGAAAUGAAAAUUUAGAAUACCGAGAGCACCCUCGUGUUUGUUCAAAAAGACGGGUUUGUAUGGUAUGACAUACAUAUUGCAAAUGUGUCUAAUUGUAUGACAUAUGAGGACUUUUAAAAGGGUAUAUGGUAAUUACAUGGUCAUUUAGUUAUUUCUUCAAUCAAUGAUAGUUACACAUUUUGUGAGGCAUGCUAUAUCAUAUGGUAUACUAGAAUUUUCCCAAAAAGACUGCUAUGUGUAUAUCUUUCACAUUUCUUCUCUCUUCAACGUUCUAGGCUUCUAAUCUGCAACUCAGUUUAAUCAGCUUUCAUCUUGGUUGUCAUCAUUCAAGGAUUCCCCCUAAAUUUUGGUGGUUACAGUCUAAUCCAUGUCUCAAUCUAUUCAAUUUGAAAUUGAGAAUUUCUAUUCAUGUUCAUUAUUUUACCUGAAUACUUUCUGGGUUAGAAGCUUCUACAUAGUAGUUUGAGUUUCUCUAUACUUGAAGUCUCCUUUUUGUUGUCUUAUAUAUAGCACAUAUAUUUGGCUUCAAAUGAGAGCAUAUGAAGGUUUCUGAUCACUGAUUCUAUAUACAUAUAUAGACCACAAAUUUGAAUGGGUUUGUUUGAUAAACGAAUUAAAAAUUUUUAAAGCUUAAAAGAGAAAUAUGAUUGAAAAAACAGGAGAGGAAAAGAAUAGAGAAAAACCCUAAGAGGAAAAGUCCUCUCAUCCGGCCUCGCCGCCAUUCCUAUGUUGGCCACUGGCCUCGCCAGCGUGAGUCGACUAUGGCCGGACGGGAUGCUAGCGAAGUUUGUUCGUUUGGUGAUCGGUGGCUAGGGGUUGAGUUAGCCCAUUCUACAGCAUCUUCAGUCGAAGGCGGUGACUGCACAGGGUUUGAUCUCGCAAAGAAUGGUGGUGGCUGAUUGCGUGGAGCGAGAUCCUCACAUCUGACCUGGCUUGUGAAUCCAUGGUUGCUUCCGAGCGUGAUCCGCCGAAGAUCCGAUGAAGAUUGGAGGCGGGUCGGAAGAUGGAUUUGCAAAGGGUUGAAGUCGGACUAUCAAGGUUUGGGAGGUGGGGAUCGGGAUGUUGUUGUACUGAUGGUUUGUCGGCAGUGGAGCAGUUCAAGCCAGAAAGCAGCAGUGGUUCAACGGUAGGUGGGGCGAGAAGAUUUGGACGGUGCGGACCCCGUUUUAGGUUUUGGGCCAAUGAUGGGCUUCUCAGUCUGGAAGUGGGCCUAUUUUGGGCCGAGUGGCUGGGCCAUUUCUGCUAUGGGUUUGUUUUAUUUUAUUAGUUGUUUUGCUGUUUCAGUGGUUUUAAUAAAUCCCUAUCGUUUUUCAGUAGAAGUAGGUGCGUGCACUCUUUGUGCCUUGUCCGUUCUAGUUUGGUCGCGAAUCUCAUGUAUUAGCACAUGGUCGCAACCUCUUAGUAGCUGGAAUAUGUCUACCCUAGGUAUGCAGCGAGUUCUUUGCUUCGUCAAAUGGUCACUGCCACCUAAUGGUAGAGUGAAGCUAAGUGUCGUCGGAUUUAUCCUCUGGAGGCAACAUAGUAGGAAAGCUGUGCUUGUGGAAAUUAUGUUUCGCAAUAGUCGAGUUAACUUUUCGUUAUAUCACCACUAUGUUAAAGUCACCACUAUGUUAAAGCAAAUAGAGCAGCCAUUAGAGCACUAUUUGCUAGUCGGUGCCUAGUUGAGUACAUGUUUGUAGAGACUGUUGAUAUUAGUUCAGGUCUUUGUAAUCAGAGGUUUAGGCUCAAUGUCCCCCCUUGUAUUCAAUAGUUUCAUUAAUCAAAACUUAAGGGCAGCCGCACCAACUCUUUACUAAAAAAUAAAAAAUAAAAAAAAGAUUCUGGAGUUGGCUUAUGUUUAUCAUCUUGUGCAUAACUUCUGUAUAUUGAACCUUAAACAAUUCGUAGAACUCUUUAUAAAUUAGGGUAUAUUAAGCCAACUCCAGAAAUAUCCAACGCUAUACCAACGCUAACGCUUUGUCCAUUUUUGUCAUUUCAUGGUUUUGUAUUGGGUUUAUGAAAGAACUUACGAAACACUUCCAAUAUCAGUUUGAUGAUUAUAUUAAUUACCAAACACUUACCUGAGUUUUUAAACAGUGGAUUAUUUUACAACUGAGUUUUUAUACUGCUGAUCGAUUAUUGUGAUCGCAAUACCAAACUAAACCAAAAUGAACCCAAAAAAUGGAUCCCUCAUUGGAAUGGCCCUCUUAUUUAUAUGCAUUAUAUAGAGUCUUCCGAAUAAUCUAGAAGUUCUAUCAAUAUAAGAGUAUAGAGAUUUAAUGUGGAUUGAACUUGGUAAGAAAAAAAAAAAAAAAAAAAAGGUAUGCAAACUGAAAUGAAAUAAAAUCUAUGUUUGUAUCUAACAUGCAAUUGGAUAGAGGUAAACCCACCUGGCAUCAUCAACAUGUAGGACUAGUUUUCUGCAAGCUUUGAAAUACUCGAGAAAAUUUCGAAAGGCAUAAUGAUUUUCCAUUCUGUCCUCGAAGGCAGCGUCUUCGUCCAAAAGAUGGAUAUCUGCGUCCAUUACAAAUUCUGAAUUAUAUAUGGAUAUCUAUAGUGGUCUCUUUCAACAAAUUUCCACAACACCAUAAUCGCAAACAAUACAGGUUAUGUGUGCGGUUGUUGAUAUACUUUAAGUUUCUGCAAUUGAAUAUAUGAAACUCACGGCACAUGCAAGGAUUUGAGACUCGAAUCCGAUAUUUCAAGUUGCAGAAAAUCCUCAUCGAAGUUAGAAUUUAAACUUUGUGACAGAUACUCAAUAGAAGGCAUCCGGAAAUCAAACGGGACAAAGUCAUGGAAGUCAGUCGCACACUCUCGAGGGACAUAGUUUUCAAAGUCGACGGAAGCAUGUCAUUACUAGAGAUGACAUCCACCUCUACAUUCAAAUCCUCCAAAUGUAAGGUAGUUAAAGAUUUUGCAGCACUAAGAACUUCAAGUAGCAAUAUCAUCCGGUUAUCCAAAAUAGAACAUGAAAAUAGUGACAGAGAUUCAAUGGCAGGGAAACUGGAAAAGAAAACCAACAAAGCCUCGGAAUUCAGUUGCACAAUGUUCUUCAGUGACAGAUAUUCAAAGACGGAAGGGUAACAGAAUGGUCCUCCACAUCUAAUAUCACAAACUCCAAACUUGAGGUAGUUAAUGAUUUUGCAUCAAUAAGGGUGUGAAGUGAAAAAUGGUAAAGCAACGACCUUUGCUAAUGUCCAAUUCUUUGAGUCUUCUCCCGACUGCGAAAUUCAAACACUUGCCUAGGAUACCAGAGUCUCUCUCUAUACUGAAGGUAGACGUAGUCAAGCGAAGCCUGAUCUAAGAGCUUCUUGUUUUUGUGUUAGUUUUCAUAUUGGAGUAUCUCGAGCUUUUUGUCACUAUGUUGUGCCGGAUCGCCAUCAUCGAGAACUAAUACAGAGAGGGAGAACCAUACAGCUUGCCAUUGCUUUGAAAGAGAGCUCAUUCGAACGGCAGAUUUGGUUGGACCGUAGGAAGGAGUGGGAGUAUUUGGUGGAUAACAUCGUUCAUGGCCAUGGGGUUUUGAACAUAAUGAUCUUUCUUUAUCUGGCCCUGCUUUGAGAUCUUGUUAGUUGAGUUAGGGUUCUUCGCCGUCAUGUUCCUGCGUCUUUUUGCUUUGGUAGCCAACAGGCAGCGGCCAAAAGCCACAAAACAAUGUGGCUUACGUACGUACGAAAUGACAAAUAUAACUGCAAUUGAAUUAGAUCUCAACUACCAAAGUACGAAAAGAUCAAUAUGUAGUAGAAAACUACAAACAAAUCUUCUGAGAACUGUUUCCAGAUAAGGAUAAACAUCAAACUUGUUUAGAGGGGAGGCCAUGCAUGCUAGGGUUUUACCAGCUGGCUGGGCGUUCUGGGAUUCGAACUUGGGUCGGGCUUCACGGGGCUUGCUUCGCUAAAUUUUUUUCGUUAUUUUUUUUUUUUUACUUUUUAUUUUUCUAACUUUUUCGAUAUGAAAGUUAGAAGAAAUUUUAAAUACAAAACUCUAAUAUCUUAAUAUAUAUCCCUAUUAUUUUAUAUUUCACAUCAAAUUUUAUAGGUAUGUUUAAUUCCAUCAAUUAUGAGGGGAAAAAAAAAACUUUCCUCUCCCCUAAAACUUUUUUUUUUUUUGGUUCGAAUCCUUAAAACCUAACUCUUCUCUACUAUUACUAUGCAUCAAAAGAAAAGAAAUAAAAACCUCUUCUCCAAAAUUCAUCACCUGAAUUUCAACUACUAUUAUAAUCACAUGUACUAUUUACUGAUUCAUUUGGUUUUUUUUCUAUCAAUAUUAGUUUUUAUCUUACAAACUAAAACUUAUUUUUAUGCUAUUGUAAUUAAUUCUACUAGUUUCUUAACUUUGAAAAAAUUAUGAAUGUUCAAUAUUUUUUUCUUCAAAUUUUAGCCGAUUGAUGUCAUAUUGGAGAUUGAGAGUUUGAAUAUAAUAUUUACUUACUCUUUUGAUUAUAAAUUGAAAAAUAUCAAGAAAAAAUUUAUAACCCAAUCAAAAAAAAUAUAACAUAAAAUAAAAAAGAAUACGUAAAGAGAGUUGUGAAAUAGUAAAUACUAUAAUUUGAGCUCGCGCCUGGUGUAGGCACGAUUGAUUAGAUUAGUGAUGAUGGAGUGAGAUAUUGACGAUGAUGAUAUCACGUUGGAAAAUAAGCGAAAUUGACAUAAGAAUGUAAAUGUAAAAAGAGCAUGGAUCCACAUACAUGGGUUGUAUGGCUGCAUAUAGUACAAGAGUAACAGCUGCUCAGAAAUCAACCAUUUGAAGAAUGAGUUUUCAAAGGAUGCAUUACUUUCAAAUCAGUGGAAUUGUUUAAUAAGCUUAAAAUUGGCUAUCUUACACUGGUGGAAGUAACAUUUUAACAUCAAAACAUCAGUUCCACUACUUUAGUAUUUGAACAAAUCUAAGAACUAUCUAUUUAAUCAAAGCACCAAUAAUUCACAUUUCCAAAAUUCAUGGUUCAUUUCUUUAGUUCCAUUUUGACUCACAACCAACACCUAUACCUAUCGAGUUCCCUGAUCUUCUCUAAAAUAACAAACGUGUCAGCUAACUUCAAGGGCUGGCAUUUCAUUUACUCCUCUACAUGAUCCAUGAUAGCAGUCUUCAUCCUGUAAAUACAUAUCAUCAGCUCAAAAUUCUUAAAUGUAAAUAGGAAAAAGACAAUUUCACUAACUCUUCAGAGGUUUCCUAACUCCAAAAACAAACAUGAGGCGAACAUAGAGUACUUGAUUUUAAAUCCUCAAUUUGCUAAAAACUUAAAGCAUUUCAGAUUAAUCAUGUGUUCUCAAAUAUAAGCCAACAAUUUUUCAUUCUUCAAACGUAGUAGUAUUAUAUCAGGAAAUGACUAAAUAAGAACACUAUCAAGCAACAUUAUCUCUUUCAAAUAGCACAAUGAAUUCAGCUAUUCAAAUUUUCAGCACACUAUCUAAGCAAUUGAGCUGAUGCUUACAUCCACCAUCUCUAGUAUAGCAAGCAAUCCCAGGAAAUUACUAAUUGAAUCAAAUAAAUUACUAACCGAGUCAAAAAAUUGUAUUAAUCUCUGCAAGAUAAUGAUCAAAGAAAUUUGUUCACUUGAUAACUGGAAUUUAAAACUAUCAAAUACCAUAACCAAAACUCUCUCAUAUCCCAUAUCUGCAACACAUGAUUCCAUUUUAUCAAUCACCCUACUUGUAGCAAUCUGAAAUUUGAUUAGAGUUCCAAAUUACUAACUGAGUAUUUGGUUUGUUAAUUUUUUAAUGGCACAUAUCCAUAUCAACUCUGAGUCUUCAGGCUUCUCAGGGUUCCUAAUAGUACAUGUUUCUGCACUUUAAAUUUAAAUUAUUCCCCUCAGAAAGCUUUGAAGCUACCAUGUUUUACAUAUCCUAAAUGCAAAACAAACAGUUUCUACUCAACUAUAUGUUUCUUUAAUCUAACAACAACCUUCGCAGUUUCACCUACAUAACUAUUCUAAUUUUUCUAUAGGCAGAUUGAUUUGCAGAGGUGCAUGAAAAGUGCUGACUAAAAGCAAAGAGAAGGAUAGUAAUACUGAAAGAGAUUCAAUCUAUUCAGAGCAAAAGAAUAAAAAUUGUGAAUUUGCCAAAUAGUUAUAUACAACAGUAUCAUACUUAUUAAGUGGAUAAUAAACCAUCUGAUUUAUAUUCUGGUGAACAUGAAAUUCUAAAUGCAAGUUUUGAGGACUGAUAUUAACGUGGAAGAGGAACAAAGAUAAACCAAUGUAUGGAAAAAGAUACAUAGAAUAUCACCAGUAAUUGCAACUCAUAACAGGAGACGGAUUCUCUACUCACCUAUGUUCUAUUGCUGUCCACUUCCAGCUCUUGUUGCGAGUUUAAAACAGCUAGUUUUAAUUGUUGGAUAGAAGCCUAUGGCAGACAAACAAAAUUAUAUAUACAUGAAAAUGGAACUACAAUGGAUUAUAUUUCUAUAGAUAAACUAAAAUAAACUCCAUAUCAGACAGAAACGAAAAACAUAUUGAAUAGAAGAUCACAAACUAAUCUAAGUACACUAAAGGUCAGCCACCUAUUUUUUUUAUAUAUUUAUAUAUAGAUAUAUGUGUAUGCACAUAUAUCCAAUUACUUUAUUAUGUUGAUCCUCUCCUGGUAAACGAAAAUCGAUCAUCUCGAUCUAAAUAUGCUUAUAAAAGAGGCCAACGGCCAACCAUGCAUAUCCAAAGCUAUCAAGUAUCAAUAAAGCUGUCAAGUUUUGAUUUCAAAGUAAUAAAAGAUCUUAAUAUCUGUUGCAGCAAGUCUUGAGAGCUAUUCAAUUGGGGAGAGCCAUACUUUUCAGUGGUAGAUCGCUGGGCAAGUUCUGGUGUAGCUGUAUCUUAUUUUCAAUACAGAACCAUUUAUUUAACUAACAGAUAAUAUAUAGCAAUCGAUCAAUCAAGUUCGUCUAUAUGAUGAAAGCAAUCAAAUAUAGAUGAAGAUGAAACAUUAAAGAAUCCUUACUUAAAGAAACCUGAAUUCACCAAAAACCUUUGAUGCUUGAUUGAAACCCAAACCCGCAAUAAGCAAUAAGAUGGGUGAAAUCAAACCUCGAACACCUUAUGCAUUAAAAUUUCCCAAACAAACUCAAAUCGCAAUCACCCUACCGGCCUCAUCAAUCGCAUAAAUUCAAAGACCGUAAGGCCUGUUCAUUCUUACCAAAGCAACACAUAUAGAGAGAGAAGCACAUACCGGUUCGACGUCAGCUAUCUGGAAGACGACUAUGAGCAAGACGGCAGCUGUGUUUCGGUUUUGAUGCAAAGGCCUGAGGGGCGGUCGGUCGCGACGGCGACUUUAGCAGAUGGCAUAGAUCAGAGAAUUGUUAGGGAAAAAACAGAGGAGAAGAUGAAUCACAUACCGAUACGGUGAAGAGUGGCGUAAGAGAUACAAAGAAGAGCGAAGGAAAGUGGAAAGUUGCUGAAGACGGUUGGCAGGGAAAACUGUUUGGCGAUGAUAGAGACAGAGGAAGAAAAGAUCUGAGGCAAGAAAAGUUGUCUUUCUUGUGUGUUUUGGGUGAGGUCGAGUCAAGAAUCAAGAUGAGGAAGGGAGAUUUCAGGUUUGACUUUGAUUUGGAGCAUUUAAGUGAGUCGGCGUCUGUUUUGGACCAAAAACAGUUUUGGGCUGAUUGGGAUAAAUGGCAGAAGAAAUAUCUGAGGCCCACUGCUACAGUAAAUAAACAGUGUUUUCUAAACUCUGAAUUAGUAUAUUGUAAAUAUAAUAAUUAUAUUAAAUUUGUUCUAGGAUAUUCUGUAUCUUUCUAGAUAUUUUUUAUGUGAGCAUUGACCUUAUGUCAAUAUGAUAUGUAAUUUAACUAGAUCUAUGUAUUCAUAUCCUUACCAUAUUGGUAUUGUGUAAUUCCCUAUAUAAAGGGCUCCUAUCAAUGAAUAAGAUGAUGAUUCUCUUGCUAUCUCUUUGUCUAUACACUUUAUACUUCAUCACGUUAUCAUGCACUUUGUUCUAACCCUAGAGCCAAUAGCCCACCAUUUGUUUUCCAAACCCUAGAAUCGGGCAGCCUUGUUUUUCCCUAUUUCCGACCAAAAUUCCGACUGCCCUCCGCCGGAAUUUUAUAUCCCCAGAAAGCUCUCUCCGUCCCGGAUCCAACACCGCCGGCCUCACCCUGAGAACCGGCCGGAAAGUCUCAGAACCGGCCGCCGGAAGAUUCCAGACCGCCGCCGCUACCGACCACCGUUUCACCACCUUCCCUUGCUCCGAUCAACCUAAAAUUUUGAUAGAAGCUUCCCCAUCCAGAACUGCUCCUCUUGUCAAAUUUUCAGCCCCAAAUUCGAAGUAUAAGUAGGCGAAACGUUGUUUCUCCUCUCGGCAGCCUCUAGAAACCAAAGAUUUCAAGAUUGCUCGUCUUCCAAAGAAACCAGAAAGGUAUGUUUUGAAACCUUAAACUUUUCCAAGUUCAAUAACUCGGGGAGGAUAAAAUCCUUUCCUCCCUUCUCCAUCUCCAUUCUAUGCUUGGGAUUUUGUGUGUGCAGGUACCAAAAAUCCAGAAAUUUUAUUCACGGGUCAAGAGUGUGUUUGAUCACUCUUGCUUCCUUGUCCGGGUUGUGUAUGAUCAACCCCGACCUUUCUCCGGAUUGUGUUUGAUCAAUCCGAGGCCUUUUCCGAAUUGUGUUUGAUCAAUUCGCAGCUUUUUCCGGAUUGUGUAUAUUAAUCAUAUGAACAUCAAUUCCAGAAACCGCGUCUCCUAUGGUGCCUCUAUAUAUUAAUCAUAUGGUCUCUGUGCUUUUGAAGAUUCAUUCAUUCAUUCACCCUCAAUCCCAUUCAUGUUUGGAGAUUCAUUCAUUUUUAGUGAACGCGCCCUCAGUUUAACCUGCAUCGAUCAUUUGAAAAAUCAAAACAAACUUUUGAUUAGUCUCUGCAUGCAGAAGUGGAAAACUAAUUAAUUAGACAUGGAUGGAAAUUCCUUAGAAAAAUUAAAGGUGAUCACGACUGCUAGCUAGGGAUUAAACUUUUUCCAAAUAUGUAUGCAUGCAGCUUAAAAAUGAUCAAUCCGAAUGACAAACCAUUAAAAGCAUUGUUUGUGACCUCUAUUGAGUCUCAUAACAGCUUGGUUUUGUAUGCAAGAGCAACGUAACAUUUUGCUCAUUGAGUUUUGACGUACUCGAUAUCUAAGGCGAAUCUUCGCUUGGUAUCUGUGGAACCUUUCACUGGAAAGGAUUAAACCACAUAUUUUGACCCCCAGGCUAACAAGCCUAGAUACCGAGAUUGCACAUCUCCUGCGCUCAAAGUCUUUGACUCGCCACAUCGACAAGCCUUCAAUGGCAAUCUGUGCAAAAAAUAAUGACCACAAAGUACUGUGGAAUGCACUCAUGAAGCGUUUCUUGAAACGUCCAUAUAACUCUACUUGUUGAGUUAUUAAUCAUGUGGAUUGCUUACCACUUUAAUUGACUACAUAUUGUCGAUGAUCUUUUGUGGCAUCAUGAUCCAUAACCUUUAGCGGAUUUGAUCAUCAUCAAGUUCUCUAGGUCCUCCAAGUUGGUUUGGAAUUACCAACGAGACUUGAUUUUGAUCAUACAAACGGGAAUUGUAUGUAUACGCUAAUGUGAUAAAUUUAUUUAAGAUUAUCCCUUAAUGUGGGGACAACAAUAUGGGUCAUGGCAACGGCAGAAAACGUCGUGCCGAUGUCUAGAAAAGAAGGGGAGGUGUCGCCGGCUCUAAUAGCGACACUCCCGGUCUAGACACAAUUUUGUCAAAACUACUCACGUCAGCUCAUGACAAUGCAACCGUUGUGGAUCUUCGGAUCACUGAUUCAAGAUUGUCAAGCUCCUUCAAAUUAUGAAUGCAUACAAAAAGUACGAAAAAUCAACAGCCCUAGCUACCCCUGACUUCGAUGUCAUUGGCUAGACAUUGAUUUUCUUUCCAAACUAUAUGUAAUAAGACAUCGUAUCGAUGUCCUUUGUUUAUUCGAGACCUCGAUAUAUACUCACAUUAGCAAUAAUGAAUGCCUUGAGAACUAGUCAUAAAUGCCUCCGAGUUAGUUUAUGUUCAUGUCUGGGAGCUUUUGCUAACUAGUCAUGGAGUUUACGACCUUAGAAUGACCGAAAAGACUUGGUUUUGAUCAAACACACGUCACUUGUGGCUAAGGCAAAAGCCUACACGCCACUUGCAAGCUUCACAGCUUCGCACAUGCCAAUUCAGCGAAAAACAGCAAUCUGUCCCUUCUGGACAGUCAACUUCGUUUGAGCUUUGUGAACAGCUCCGGAAGAACCAGAUAGUGAGCUUUAUAUCAUUGGAAAGCUCUAUGAGUCUAGUUUUUAGAACUUUACGUGGUUCGUCCAUAUCUAUUUUAACGAGGAAGUUAUGGCUGUUUUAGUGUGCAAAGGUCAUUCUACGCGGAAAUUUUUAUGUACUCUCGGGAUUGCAGCUUUUCGUAGCUUCUUUUAAUCCUUCUAAAUGGUUCAAGUGGAACUAUUAACUAGCCUAUCUACUCCUUGUAGAUAUGUCUCAUCGAGACAUUGAGUGCUUCGCAGAUAGUGGAACUAUCCACAACAUUCUAAGGAACCGGCAACUAUCUUUGGAUUUUGUGCCUUUGUAAAUCUUCUGUGACUAUAAUGAUUGAAUCAUACCGGCCUUUCCUCGAUGUCGCAUUGGCCUCCUGCAAUGCUCAUUACUUGUUUUGAAAGCCUAUUCUUUAGCUAAAUUAGGAGUGAGACCCUCCUACGCUAAAUGACACAAAAGUGAACAUUCUAUUCUUACAUCAAACUAUGUAGAUAGAUACAACCAACUUGCGGACAUCUUUUAUGCUUUAUGGUGUUGGUUGAAGUGUUAGCACACUGGUCACGUGUUACACUAUUAUCUACUGUUUAUGCUGUUUAUACUUCUACGGGCUCACUAUCCAUUCUUUAAAGAAAGUUUAUCGGGAUGUAAGUUGAAGUGUCCUGUACCUCAUGUUCACAUGCAAUACGGUCUCACCAAGGCUACGACUAAUUCACAUGCAAUACGGUCUCACCAAGGCUACGACUAAGCAACUUUAGCUUGUCGCUCGAACAUUAUUGAUGCGCACCAAUCUUUCUAUUGCGUCUUGGGGCUAUGCAAUAUUUGCAUGCAGCUUUACUAUUCAUCUACGACCCACCAUCAUUGAAUAUUUUUGUACUACAGCUCGUGACUGUGUACCAGGAUUGCAAUCUUUGAGCUCAAACAAGAUUGAAACGGAUCUCCAAUCAUUGAGCUCAGCUAGAUGUUUAUUCUAGGUGCCAAAUCGCACUGCCACUGCGCACAAUGAUGGGUCAUUUGAGAUAAAUACGUAUUUAGGUUGGAUGUGAACCUCCACCUAUAAUCCGCAUAUGUAAAAACCUUGUUAGGCGAUCUCUUUCACCGCUAUAUUGCGGAUUGUCACUUUGAUGAGACAAUAUUCCCGCUGUUAAGGGGAGAUAAGAACACAAGUGUUCAAGUGGAAUGACGUGAAUUGUCGUGGUUUGUCCUCACUAAGUCUCAUCUUGAUCCCAAAUGCUUAAAAUGUUAAAGUGACGAGAUCACAUGCUGCAAAUAUGUCUGCAAGGAUUGAUGUCUCCUCAAGAGGACAUGGCGCGACCAAAAUGUGUUGGUCUUGACACCAUCACCAUGGAUGGUGAUAUAGUGACGCCAUAUAGUGGCAAAAUUGGUGUCACAAGGCUGUGUGGCUCCCUAAAAGGAGGGAGGCCCUUAGGUUCGAUACUUUAUUGCACUAGGAAGAAAGCGAGUUUGGCACAACCUGAUCCAUUGAUCAGUGAUACUCAAAUCCGUCUCAUGAAGUCUGAAUUGUGAUUAUCGUUGGGGGACGCGUCAACGUCAAAUCCAAUCCAUAUAGAGAUCUCUACAAGUAUUACACUAGUAUAUAUGAGGACGUGGGAUAAUGAGUCUACUAUCGAACCACCUUUCGUUGAUGGAUAUCAACUUAGUUGAUUGGCCUAACGGAAAGAUGCGAUCCAACAUUAACAAAGAGAUAGGUCCUUGGGCAGGUGAUGCCGACACCGCAAGCUAAACCCUAUCAACUAUACCUUUGUUAGAUAGCGUAGUGAGAACAAGAGUUUAGACUCACCUUAUGGCGCAAGGUCUCUCACUAUCACGCACUGAGAUCGACUACGUUAAGAUAUGCUUUCGUAAUGGAUGUCAUUGAACUCCACUACUUUGUCAGUUUGGUAGUUUCCGAAUAACUGAACAAGCAGCCUAUGAAUGUGGUCAUAAUAACAUCUCUACGGGAUCAGAGAUAUGCAUGAAGGUCUUGAACAGACUUCAUUCAUCUGAAUCAAGUGGCUCCAAACCACAAGAGCACGCGUUUGCUAAAUGUAUUGAAACGCACAUGGACUCUACUUGAUUUGGAAGGGAUAUGGUGAAUUAUGCCUUUGCGUGUUCAUUCCGGAUUUACAUGGACUCUUGAUGACUCAAGAGAUGCCAAUAUGUAUCAACAUCCGAAGAAAAAGAUCUUGGGAAGACAUGGUCUCGAUAAGACACUCGAUGACUGUAUUGAUGAUGAUUUUUCAUCAAUCGGCUUAGGCGCUCUAACGAAAGUGAGGCCUACAUAUACUCCCAUGAUUAGUCAAAUUCUUUACUCUAAAGAGAGAUCCGUUGUUUUGUCUAAAGCAAGAUGACAAAUAUGUGUUAAGAGAUGGAGUUCCCAUCUAAGUACAAUAAGACGCAUCAAUGUACUCAACACAAUACGAAAGACUUGACAUCUCAUUCGCUAUGAAAAGUUGUAAAACUAAGUGUAGCUAUGCGCCCACGCAACGCCAAUGUAAUGGCAGUAACUCCUUUUUCAAUAUUUAAUGGUAUGAAAGGUUGAGGCUUAUUCUAUCCCUACAUAAGAAAGACAUAUCAAUAGCGAAAUCAGAAUCUGCCAAGUUUCGUAGGUCAACUUCCACGGGAUCUACAGGAAAUCUCACUCACUGGAAAAUGGUGAAAUUGGUACCAUUGGAAAGGUCUAUGUGUCUACUUUCUAGGGACACCAACCAUUUGUUCAUACCUAUCAUAUUGAGUGAGUUAUGGCCGUUUUCGUAAAGUAUAACGAAUCUGUCCGAGAAUCUGAUUUUGGCAAAACAGUCAACUUCGACGGGACUUUGUGAAUAGCUCCUGACGAACCAGAACCUGUGUAAUAUACGGUUGGAAAGCUAAAUGAGUCUAGUUUCCAAAACCGUUUACGGUUAGUUCAUAUGUAUUUCCUAGAGGAAGUUACGACUGUUCUAGUAACUGAAGGUCAUCCUGCGCGGAAAUCUGAUUUUCUGCACGAACUUAUGUUUUGAGUUCACAAACGGCCUUCUCCUCAAGAUCUAAGUGUAAAAGAUCAUUUGAGGACAAUACGGCAUGAUUUAGUUAAUCAUUGCCUAAUGCCACAUUUGAAGAUAUGUUAAAGAGCAUUGACAUGCUAAGUUGUUGAAAUUUCCGUGAUUAGUAAGAAUCAGGAAGAGCCCUAUGAUUGAUGUAAAGAUCAGGGGGAGGUGCGAACUUCAGGGGGAGUCUAGCACAUACAUACAUAUCACUAUCAAAUGUGAAGGAUGCGUUGUACUCUUUUUCUCCUACAAUCAAGGUUCAGUUUUUCUCCCACAGGGUUUUUGUGACUUGACGAGGUUUUUGACUAGGCAACAGAUCAGCACCAUCGGCAUAUCAGCGCGCGGCACAAGGGGGAGUGUUUUAGGAUAUUCUGUAUCUUUCUAGAUAUUCUUUAUGUGUGUCUUGGCCUUAUGUCAAUAGGAUAUGUAGUUUAACUAGAUCUAUGUAUUCAUAUCCUUACCAUAUUGGUAUUGUGUAAUUCCAUAUAUAAAAGGCUCCUAUCAAUAAAUAAGAUGAUGAUUCUCUUGCUAUCUCUUUGUCUAUACACUUUAUACUCCAUCAAAAUUCAAAUUAUUAUUAAUUUUAGAUAUUUAAGAUAUUUUAGGUGAGAUAUGUAUUUAAUAUAAUAUUAAAAUAAAAAACUAGACGAGUAGUGUAUUAAGUAAAUGGUAUGUAUUAAGAGAUUAAUGUGCGCAUUUUAAAAUUACUCAAAGCAACACAUUUUACUCCCCCACAACUCUAAGCAGCAGCUGAGGUUAAAGCUUCCCGGCUGAGUUGGCCGGCGCUAAGGCGACCAAACAAGGAUGCCUCUAACUCGGAAGGCGAAAUGAGUGCGUCAUCAUAACCUGGAGAAGGACGCAAGCGCUUCCGUAAUCAAUUGUAUGAGAGAUGGAUACGCAUUCAGGUGUUCCGUCCAUAGCGCAAGAGCGCCACGUAUGAUAAGCUUUAAUUAGAAACCCCUGUACGUGCGUGACUCUCACUCGCCCCUCCCUGAUCCGAAGAGCCGAUCAAUGAAACACAGAGAAAGAAAUGGCACGUGCGUACCAACACUGCGUGUCUGAAGUGUGUGAACAGCUGUCCUUCCAAAGCGUAUAAAAGCCCCUUGACUCUCAAUUCUCAAACCUUGACUCUCAAUUCUCAAACACUUCCAAUUCAAAGCCUUUCCGACAACAACAGCCUAUCUUCAACUCGGAAGCACCUCGAUCUCCACAGCAUGCAAAACAUCUUCAAGCGAUCCAAACUCGACACCGCCGGAGCACCACCAAAGUCGACCGGAAACCCACUUCCUCCGCCGCCUCUCCGCCUCACCCACGAGCAAGAACUCGCCGUAAUCGUCUCAGCUCUCCGUAACGUCAUCGCCGGCACCACCACCACCAUGGACUUCAACUCGCUCUUCCCUUCCUACCACAUCCUUGCAGCAUCCGACGCCGAUCGUUGUCCUGUUUGUAACAUCAAAGGUUGUCUUGGAUGCAAUUUUUUCCCGCCACCAGCUCAGGAGGAGAACAACAUUAACAGCAGCAACAAGAAGGGACCCAAAAAGAGGGUGAAGAAGAACUACAGGGGAGUGAGGCAGCGGCCUUGGGGAAAAUGGGCCGCCGAAAUCCGAGACCCGAGAAGAGCCACUCGGGUCUGGCUCGGCACUUUCCACACGGCCGAGGAGGCGGCCCGCGCCUACGACAAGGCCGCCAUUGAGUUUCGCGGACCCAGAGCGAAACUCAAUUUCCCGUUCCCGGAUAACUCGCCAGCACAGGCGCCCAUUCAAGUACUACCUCAGAAGCAGCCAGUAGUUGUUGCCGAGACAAAGCAAGAGACCAAGAGCGUGGAAUAUUCAAAGGAAAUGGAAUCGGCGGGAAUGGAAAGUGAGUUCUGGGAAAGAAUUGGAGAAGACGAGUUGUUUCAACGGUGGAUGAUGACGGACUACGGAUGCAUGAUAUAGCUUUAGAUGAUUCAUUCAUAAACAUUAUUAAUUUAAUUAUUCAUUCAUAAACAUUAUUAAUUAUAGACUGUAGCUUUAGAACAAGCUUUUUUUUUUCUUUUCUUGUUUUUUUGUAAUAGAGCUUUACAACAAGCUUAGCACCAGAGGUUUGCAUCACAAAGCAGAAGACAUACAUGAAUUCACUAAAAAAGUUCCGUUCUCUGUUUCCUACUCUAUCAUUUUCAUACCCAACUCUCUUCACUACUUAUUUGUUUCCAUUCCCAAGCCAUAAUUUGGUUAAGCUUGAAGAAAACAUAACUACUUAAACUAAAACUGUACGUAAUCACGUAGUCAAGUCAACUUAUUGUAAAGUCAACUUAAUGUAAUCAAAGUAUACUUGUAAAUCAAUGUUCACAAGAUCUAAUCACCCACUAUCCAUUGGUCGGAAGAAAAAAGACACUAUAAUCACGUACAUUAACCAAAGCAACAUGGAUUCACAAAAAUCACUUGGUCUUCGUUUUGGUAUUCUAUAUUUUCAAUCUGUGGACAACCCGCCAUCCAUUUUAAUGAGUCCCUCAAGUAGGGAUGGCAAUAAUCCCCAGCGGGUAGGGUACCCACGGGUAUUCGACCCUAACGGGGAAGAUAUACGGGUAUAAACGGGUAACGGGGAUGGGGAUCCUUAGUAUUCGGAUUCUUAAAUCGGGUACGGGGCGGGUAUGGUAUUUUGAUAUUCGUCCCCAUCCCCACCCAUUAAGGAUGAAAAUAUUAUUAUAUAUAAUUAUAUAAUUUAUUAUUAUAUAUAUUUAUAUAUAAUUUAUAAAUAAAUAUUUAUGUAAAAAAAUUUGUAAUUCUCUUAAUAAACAUUUAAUGGACCUUCCUUUUUAUUAUAUAUUUUUAUUCUCUUAAUGAAAUUUACCGGUAUUGUUAUGUUUUAACCAAGACUUGUAUUUAUUUUUAUUGGUAUUGAAGUAUGAAACUUAUUUAUUUUGGUAUUUNNNNNNNNNNNNNNNNNNNNAAAUUUAAUUUAAUACAUAAUUGUUAACGGGUACGGGUACGGGUAUGGAAACGUAAUCCCCAAAGGGUACGGGUACGGGGAAUCUCCAUUAUCUAAUUACGGGUACGGGGACGGGUACGGGGAUGAAAAAUGUAAAAAGGUAUGGGUACGGUAUUUUGAUCCCCGUACCCUACCCUACCCAUUGCCAUCCCUACCCUCAAGUCAGAAUCUCUCGCAUCUUUUGGAGAUUUAAUAUGCAUACCUGGAGAUUAAGGAUACAAGGUACUGGUGGAGAGCAAUUAAGUGUAUCUGAAGUUUUCUGGAAAUAUGAGAGUCUACACAAUGCACAAAAAUUGGAAAAGGGAAUUGAAAUGAGUAAAUCUGUAGGAUUGAACUUGGUAGAUAAAAAAGUAUACGUACCGAAAUGAAAUGAAAUUUAUGUUUGUGUCUAACAAGUAAUUGGAUAUAUAUCAAUCUCACAUCGAGAUAUUGUUAUUGGUUUUGGAUGUGAACCCCAAACUACUUUAUCAUGGUAUCAGAACGGGUUACUCACGUUCACGUGUGAAACCCAAUGGUCACACGAAUACGGUAAUAUGAGACAUUGCAUAUGAGUUUAUAAGGAUUUGGGUCAUUUCACCCAUUGUCAAUUGAUUUUGGAUGUGAACCUCAAACUACUUUAUCAGCUUUAAAAGAGAGCUUUGGUGGGAAAGAGUGGAAGAAUUUGGUGGAUAACAUGGUUCAUGGCCAUGGGGUUAUGAACAUAAUGAUCUUUCUUUAUCUCGCCCUGCUUUGAGAUCUUUUUAGUUGAGUUAGGGUUCUUCGCCAUCAUGUUCGUGCGUGUUUUUGCUUUGGUAGCCAUAAUAGAGGCAGCGGCCAAAAGCCAUUGGUAUUUUUGUUAAUUAUAUCAAAUGUUUUCAUUUAAUUUUUUUAUUUUAUUUUUACUAAUAAGUUUUGUUUAUUUUUUAAUUUUUGAUUUUCUAUUUCCUUGAUCGCCUCACCCAUCUCAUGAUACCAGUGUGACUAGAACGUUUUUAUUUUGAGUUAAAUGAAUAAAUUUUUGAUAGUAUGACCAUACGAGGUUAUCGCUAACUAUUCACUAGAAAUAAACUUUCUCAUAAUACUGCCUGACUAGCUGUGAAGAGUGAAGACUUCCUAGCAAGUAAUACUCAAAAUGCAGACUUUACUCAAAUGAUUACAAAACUAAACGCAGAAAAGAAGUUAGCUUUAGAAGAAGAUCGAUUUCUGUGUAAAAAUUUGAUGCAGAAUGAGAAGGUUCUUAGAAUAUGAUAGUGUGAAAAACAUAUUAAUUAUACUAUAUCAUGGUUCCAAAUGAGCUGGGCAUCAGAAUUAUGAUGCGAAACGAGUGCUCCCUAGUUCUCCCAGUGCCAUUCGUACCAGGAUGUCUACUUCAUAGUCGACAAGGCAACCCCAUCCCAGAUUAUAUAGGUACAUGAUCGAUCUCCUAGCCUUUCAGUGCGGUCCAGAGUUAUUUUAGUUGUUUGGCUUUAUACUAAUAUGUGACAUAUGCUCGCAAACAAUCAAAACGUGUGUUAUUCUGAAUAUCAAUACAAUCGAUUUCUGUUUUGGUGAUAUCAUAGUGGACUAGAAAUUUUAUUUAUGUCACGGGAGCAUCACGUGACAUAAUGAAGUGGUUAUCAAUCUUAUAAAUGUUAACGGUCAAACGUAAAUUUUUGACCCGUCAUAUAAGAAUAGAUAAAUUUCUCGUUAAACCAAACGACAUAAGAAAAAAGAAUCUCAAUAUCCUCUCCCAUUGUUUAUCUCCUCACCAGAGAAACCCAACAUCCUGAAAUCAUAAUUAAGCAUUCAACAACACUAAUUGAUGGCUUGUUCUAAAUUUACUUGUUAUUACUACUUCAUUGAGUUGGUUAGAUUGAAAGCGUUAAACGUGUUUAUGCUCAUAUAUAUGUGAUUAUGAUCUUGGUAUAAUGCUCAUUCAGUAUAACAAUGUGCUGUGCUGAUCGAGCUGCUGCAGUUGAAGCUUCCCGUUGAGUUGGGUGCUACCUCAGGCCACCAAACAAGGACUUGCCUAUAUAGAAAUGGCUGACUAUUUGAUGGGGUCAACAAUUUCCAAAAAAAAAAUGUUCGUCUUACACUUUCACACCUGUGUUGGAGUCCAGAUGGGUCAUUUUUGGGAAGCUUUUAGUUUGGUGUUUAUUCUGUUGUAUAGACCGUGUGUGCUACUAUGUUGAUUAUAACUACUAAUGAGAUGACAUUGCCAACUAUUAUCCAAGAAAAAUAAAGAGAUGACAUUGACACUCGUGUUUUAUAUUAUUCCAAACGCCAAAAGGUGCCGCCAAGUAAAAGGGAUCCAUUUUGACCACACACACAAAAAAAAAGUAAAAGGGAUCCAUCAGAUAUCAUUUGUCAUUUGUCAAUUGUCAUGUGUCAUAUUUUCUAAUAACCGACAUAAUUUAAUCAAGUGACGAAAAAUAUUUGGUUUCAUGAUAAUCAUAUCAACAUUAUCUCUAUUUAUUAGACAGGUAGAAAGGUUUAUAUAUAUAUAGGAUUUUUCUCAACUGCGAACGUCCAUAUCAAUAGUUUUAGUGUGGAUUUUUAUUUUUACACCACUUUUCGAUCGAAUUUCCUCAUCUUCAUCGUCUAGUAUCUAAAUAAUAUUGUGUAGAUCAUCUUUGCAAAAUUUCAGCCAAUUUGGUAAUCGUUAAGGCCCCUAAACUCGAAAAACAAAUGGACGGACUGAAUUCUGUCAAACAUGAACCGUUCAUGUUUAUAACAGAAAGACGCAAUUUUGAGGGCCUUAAAGAUUACCAAAUUGGCUGAAAUUUGCAAAAAUGAUCUACACAAUAUUAUCUAGAUACUAGACGGUGAAGAUGAGGAAAUUCGAACGAAAAGUGGUGCAAAAAUGAAAAUCCGCACCAAAACCAUUGGUGCAAACGUCCGCAGCUGAGAAGACCUGUAUAUAUAUAUAUAUACACAGUUUCCUUUCAAAGUGGUGUCCCGCUUUGAAAUUAAAGUGUGGACUUCCUUAUUUCGCUCAUUUUCAGGACGUAUUUCCACAUCUCAACCGUACAAUAUUUAGAACAUAGUGUAUAGAUCAUUCAUGCACAGUUUCAUCUAAUUUGGAGAUCAUUUGUACCGAAUUAGAUUAAAUAAAUCAAAAGAACAAAAGCUGUCCAAACAUAACUGUUUGUGUAAAUCACGAUUAUGGAAGCUCAAAUGAUCUUCAAAUUGGAUGAAAUUUUGCAUAAAUGAUCUACACACAAUAUUCUAGACAUUGUACGGUUAAGAUGUGAAAAUGCAACCUGAAAGUAAGCGAAAUAAGGAGGUCCACACUUUAAUUUUAAAGCGAGACACCACUCUAGAAGGAAACUGUGUGUGUAUAAUAGAAGGCUACAUCUUAUAAAAAAAAGGUAGGGUUAUAUAAAGUAAUUAACAUCAGGGAACUUGUACUUUCUAUUGAACUUGCGAAAUCCUAGGUUUAGGGCGACAGUGAUCGUGUGUCUUGCCCCAACCAAGCAAGUGGCGUCCCCCAACAUUGUGUGAGGGUGAAUCUCGGUUUCAGUCUCUCUUGGGGAUUACAUAGAUGUUUUUCGGCUAUGUUUUGGGAGCACUUUUUCAGAUCGUCACCGACAGUGGAUCGCUAUCGCAUCUAGAUAGUCUUGAUCAGUUAAGCCGAACAUACAAGGGGAUGUUGUUUUGAAGUGAUUGCUCUUGUGAUUGUACUUUUGACAUUGACUUAAUAAGGUUGCAACAAAUAUUUAUUUCAAUUUCUUUAAAAGAAAAUGAAGAGAGUUAGGGUUUAAAUUUUAUUUUUCACAAAAUAUUAGUUUUUGAUUAUUCAAAAAAUAACAGGUUAAUCAAAUAAAAGAAAAAAAACAGAGGUUAAACUAGAACUCUGCCAAAUCAGCCCAUCACCAUUUGGUGUAGUGGCAUAAGUCUCUCUUAUAUUAGUGGGAGGUCAUGAGUUCGAUUCAUAACAGACUCAUUGUUGUAUUUUUGAGUUAUUUGAUUGAUAAAAAAAAACUCAGCCGGCGCCUGACGUUAGCACUCCCGUAAUCAACUAACCGGCAUUACGUCACUCAGUCCUAAACAACCGGAAACUUCAGGUGCCCCGUCCGUAGCACAACAUGUCGCACCACGUAUGAUUAGCGUUUCCAAGCACCUCCCGCGUGAGUCUCACUCGCCUCCCCUCCCUAAUCCGAAGAGCCAGUCAGACCGCACUGAAAACCCAAAACAGAAAAAUUAAGGCACGUGCGGACGCAAACUUGCGUGUCUGAACUGUGUGACAGCUGUACUCCCAAAGCGUAUAUAAACGCCCCCAAAACCCCAUUUGACUCUCAAUUCUCAAACACUUCUCCAAUUCAAAGCCUUUCCCACCACAACAAAACCCAAAGCCUUCAGCUGAACUCAGCGGCACAACUCCACAGCAUGCAAAACUCCUUCAAGCGAUCCAAAUUCGACACUGCCGGAGCUCCACCACAGUUGACCCAAAACCCACUUCCUCCGCCGCCUCCCCAUCUCACUCACGACCAAGAACUCGCCGUAAUCGUCUCCGCUCUUCAAAACGUCAUCGCCGGCACCACCACCACCAUGGACUUCAACUCUCUCUUCCCUUCCUACCACUGCCCCACCCUCACUUCCUCCUCAUCCUCCGCUCCCGCCCUCCUUGCAGCAUCCGACGCCGACACGUGUCCCGUCUGUAACAUUAAAGGUUGUCUUGGAUGCAAUUUUUUCCCGCCACCAGCUCAGGAGGAGAACAACAUUAACAGCAACAACAAGAAGGGACCCAAGAAAAGGGUGAAGAAGAACUACAGGGGAGUGAGGCAGCGGCCUUGGGGCAAAUGGGCUGCUGAAAUCCGAGACCCGAGGAGAGCCACUAGGGUCUGGCUCGGCACCUUCCACACGGCGGAGGAGGCGGCCCGCGCCUACGACAAGGCCGCCAUUGAGUUUCGCGGACCCAGAGCCAAACUCAAUUUCCCGUUCCCGGACAACUCACUGUCGAUGAACCAUGAAACUUCAAUGACGCCAGCACAGACGCCCAUUCAGAAGCAGCAAGUUAAUGUUGCUGAAACAAAGCAAGAGACCAAGAGCGAGGAUUCAAAGGAAAUGGAAUCGGCGGGAAUGGAAUGUGAGUUCUGGGAAAGGAUUGGAGAAGACGAGCUGUUUCAACAGUGGAUGAUGACGAUGGACUACGCAGCUGAUCACUCGUCGGAUUCUGGAAACGGGUCUGCAGGAAAUGCUCACAGUUACUGAUGCAUGUGUUAUAGCUGUAGAAUGAUAUAUCAGUGUUCAUAAAAAAAAAUGAUAUAUCAGUGAGCACUAGUUUUUGUUUUUUGUUUUGUUUUGAUUAACAUUCAUGUGAAAUUUCUUGUUUUUGAGGGGAAAUCACAUAGUGUUACUGUUUGGUUAAAGAUUGCGAUGUAAAAUUUGGUAAACAUUACGAGGUUAUCUUUAUCAAUUAGAUUACUUGCUGCCAAAUUUGAAUUACGCACGAUACAAUUUUGAGUUUAAGCACUUUUUAACAGAGCUCAUACGUGUGUGGGUCCUACGCGGACCAUUUACUGACUGGUUGACAUGAAGUUUAAAAAGGGAACAUAAUCUUGUAAUAGAGCACGUGGGUUUUUUUUAGAGGGGGCCAUGGAUCAUAGGGGUGUAAGCAUUAAGUCACUCGCAAAAAGGACAUGUGCGGAUUGAUUUUGUUUUCUUCUGGGGCUAUUUCCCAUGUUUCUCACGUUUUUGAUUUUCACGUGUGAAUUGCAACCGAUCUAAAUUAAUGCAUUAUCCAUAGGGGACAUCUAGUUCAUGAUUUCAUAUAUCAAAUAAAAUUAUUCUAUUAAUUCAACGUACAACUGGAUUAAAUAAAAGAGUAAUGUACAUUCUAUUGGAACACAAUUAAGCUUGGUAUUACUCACUUCCUCUCACUGCAAAAUCUGUUUUUUAUUUCGACUAUUUAAGAGUUGGUUACGAAAUCUGUUUUUUAUUUCGACUUUUUAAGAGUUGGUUGUGUUAGGGUUUUAGCUUAUAGUAGAAAAAAUUUAAACAUUCAAAAUAGUGAUAACAAAAGUAGAAACGGGUAUUCUUGGAAAUCAUAAACAAAUUAAAAUCAAGACCAUGGAUGUUGAAAUAUAGUCCCGUUGAAAACCUUACUAGACAUAUCAUAACUGGACAUAUCAUCCAUCACACCUAUUUCCUGAAGGGAAAGCUUCCUUCCAAACUCAUAGUAUGUUUUUUGUCCGUUUAUGCUUCUUGACCCUAAACAAGAGCAUUUCGAUUGCAAUUGAUACCUUCAAAUUCGCCUUCAAAUAUCUGAUUUCAUCAAACAUAGGGCCUCCCAUACCGAUAUCAGUUUCUUAGCUAUUGAGAGCUAGAAUAAUAGUAUUACUAACCGCAACUGUCCACAUCAAUCCUAAAGCAACUUUAGCCCAUGUAACAUUGCUAGAGCCUCUGUUGCUUAUGCUGACAAAUUACCCAUAAUAAUAGCUACAGAAGAACGCACCUUUGCAAAAAAUUUGAAUCAUUGGCGUCGAUUAGAGAACUAUGAGAGCUCGAGCUGUUAAAAAAUGUAAAUACUGGAACGGAGAUACAAACAGAAAUUCGGAUAAUUGAAAGGAAUCUAAUGCCAACUUAUUCUCCAAAAAAAAAAAAAAAACCUAAACGCCAACUUCUUUGUUUUGUUUUCUGCGGAUCAAUCCCACAGUAUAGAACAAGUUUGAAAAUUAUUUUCAACCUGUUCUAAACGUUUGACCAGUGUAUCUGUUUUCAAUUAAAUUGAAAAGAAUAACCGGAAAAUGUACAAAAUCAAUAUUGAAAUUUAAAACCUAUUGUGCAUUGCAGCAUAUUGUACUGGAUACAAAUUAUACACUACGGGUACGUUUAGUACAUGGCAUUACCUAAGCCAGUGUUAAAUAAGGAGUCAUUCAAGGCUAAUCUCAUUUUUGGUCUCUCUCGGUACUAAUAUUAAUGGUGUUAACUUGGACCUGUUUUUCAAUUUCGCCUCCUUAGGAGGGCUUAGCGUGGGUACUCCGAUUAGAGGCCCUUAGCUAAGACUCACUAACCACCUCUCAUUCACAUCGCUUCCACAACUCUUCUCUUUUCAUUCUUCACCUCCUCUCUGUUUCACCCCGAAGAAUCUUUGCUCCACAACUUUUCUCCUUUCCGAUUUCAUAGACGAUUUCCAUUCUUCACCUCCUAUCUGACCUGCGCCGUCUCUGACUUCUCCCAGACCUGCUCCGUCCUCAACGCCCUCGGCCCCCGCCCUGACCACGAGGCCGUCGACACCGCCAAGGCCAAGCUCGCCCUCAUCAACUCCUCUCUCUCCAAGAAGCUCGAGGACCUCGUCCUCUCCCCACGCCCCACCGAAGUCGACCGCUUCCAAUGGCGGGGCCACCUCGCCUAGCGCGAGCAGGAGUGCCACGACUCCGCUGACAAAGACAGGCAGGACUGCAAGGCCAUUCUCCAGCUCGACGAGCUCCACGCCGCCUACGAGAAGCUUCUAAAGGAUGCCGAGGAAAGACUCAACAAAAUUUAUCGCUUCGCCUAGGACAGCGUUGUCCAGGAGGAGCCGCCGGUCUCCAACCAGCUCCACGAGGAGGUCGUCGGCAUUCUACACCAGGCCAACGGGACCGCACUAGACCGCAUCAACCUCUCCGGCCGCCUCUUAAGGUUCUUGCCGGAGGCGUUUGGCAGGAUCGUCGGGUUGCUACACCUUGAUCUUUCCAGCAAUGAGCUCAAGGUUUGCUUCCCUUUUCUUUCUUUCUUUCUUUUCUUGCCAAGAAAUUGAACUAGUUAUUGAUUGAAUAGUUUGGUGUCAUUGUUAAUGAAAGAGGGGAUUAUGAAUCAAGAAGCAAAGAAAUUGAAAUCGAAAUAGAAAUGAUUGACUAGUUAGAGUAAUCGAGUCUAAUCCAAUGCAUCACCAAACAUGAGACAUCUCUAAUUUAAUUUUUUUUUCCCUAAUCUCAUGCAACACCAAACAUGACCCAGUAUUAGUACAAUUUAAGGCAGUCCACACUAGUCCAGGACAGUCUUAAGAAUUAAGGAGGUGUAAUGCAGUACUAGGUACCAAACGUGCACUACAUGGGCACUUUGCGAAAUAUUCAACAAUUGAGCAGUGCAGUACACCUUAGUGUUCAACCCUACUAUACAAUACAGUGUCGGCGUCAAAAAGAGUAUCUCGACUCGGAAUUUUGAAAUCUCUCGACUUCUAUUAAAAAACUAAGAUAGCUCCAGUUGUUUGAAACUAAGUAAUGGUUGAUCGAUACCAUGUCUUUGUGGAAGUUCUGGUAAUAUGAGAUCCUGCAACAUCUUUUACAACAAAGUGACACACUAAUUAAACAGGGAACUUAACAUACGUAAGCUGAACAAACUAUGAUUAAUCAAACUAUGUAAAUUGAAAAGUUAUCAUACAAAAUACUUGGAAGCAAAGGAAAGUCUUAAACAUAUGAAAAGAGAUUGAGAUUCAAAGCAUAAAUUUCAAAUGGCUGGUAUUUGCAAUGCAAAACAUCCAACAGUCUACGACAUGAACAUGAAGGGAAUUUUAAUCUCUAACAAACUUAAAUGCACGAUAUUCACAACGCAUGUUUGUUUAUUUUGCUUUCUGGGUCAAGGAUGCAUAAAUUAGGGACUCUCACUCAUCAGUACAUCCAUUCUUAUGUCUAGACCAAGGAACGAAGAAGAUUCCAGUUGAUUGUUAAACUUCAGACAUGAAUGCUCUUUUAUUCUUUAUUACAUAUUUUAAAUAAGAUAAACAUGGAUCUAAAAAUCAAUAAUCGCAAGAGUAUACAUAUAGCACUGCUAUUGAUCAAAUUUUAUCAAUGAACUUUAGUGGUAGAAUCAUUAACUUUGGCAAAAUUCUGAAUGAAAGAAGGGAAUACCUGACAGUCAAAUGGGAGGGAUGGUGCUAUUAUACUGAUGGGGAAGAAUCUCCGCAGAUGAUGCUAUCCAAGACAAGGAGGGAUCCAACCAAUAAUCUCUGUCCCAUAAUGGAUUACUAAAGGUUAGCUGCAGCUGCUUGACACUAGGUAAUGGUGGAGACCACUCCUUUCUGCAAUGUUCUGGUAUUAUGACACCCUACAAGCCAUUUAAAAAAAAUGUUAAAGAGGAUAAUUACUUGCACAUAAGAUAAUUACACUUUGUUGGCUUGUUUUGCACAUUGCACCAUCCAGUUUCAUACAUCCACCAAAUAACGAGUAGCAAAGACUCUAAAACAGCUAGUUGCAGUACGAGAAACAGGAGACUGCAAUAUAACCGUAGCACUAGAAAAGAAUUGAAAAAGAAUAUCAUCAUACCUCAGCAUCACGAAUCUCUAUCUCCAGUUUUCUGGAGCAAUUGAAACUUUCAAGACAAUCUCUCAGAAAAGAGUAAUACUCAAAGGGCCACAUCUCAUUCGUAAUUCUGACGGUAGCAUGUAACAAGCUUAUUGGAGAUACCAGGAAAUGAACCUUGGCCUGCACCAAGCCACUAAACAGAAAAUGCAACAGACUUGGAGUGAAAAUUGCAUAAUCGAUACUCCUUUCACAAUCAAGCAAAAGAAGUCCUGUCAAGCCCAAACUAGAAAUGGUGAGAUGCUUCAGUCUGUAACACUCCCACACAGUCAAAGCACCAUGGUGGGAACAGGUGCACUCAGAAAAGAAUACAAAAUUCUCAAGAUUGAUACAUUUUACUUCAAAAUCCAAAGCAUGGCAAUCCGAGAUAUACAACGAUUUCAGACUUGGAAUUGAAACUUCCAGACACCCGAGCGUGUAGCCAAGAUCACACUGAUUCAAUUCUAAGUACCAGAGACGAGGGCAACCCGAAAGCAAGAUCUCAAGAUCAUUUUCGUCGUCGAAUUCAACCUCUUUGAGGGACAUGGUUUCCAGUGAACUUAGGGUUAUAGGAUCAUCAGCUUCUACUCUAGAACUGAUAUCGAUUUUAACUUUCUCCAAAUUCAAGCUAACCAAGAAAUGUGAAGAGAAAACUGCUUGGGGGAUCAGGUACAAGCUAACCUCAGUUUCGGCUUCUUCGACGAAACAGAUCUCCAAAUCUUCCACAAAUCUCUCAAGUGCAAACGUCACGCACUCGUCAAUCGUGCCGAUGUCGUCUCCGGCGAGGCUGUGUGCGAUUCGAAGCCUGAGCUUGUCUAAGCUCAUCUGAUUCCGGCAGCGUUCCAUGCAAUUCUCCAAGAAAUGGAGGAAUCUUUGGGACUUGGCAGGGUCGUCGGGAUCGGAGGGGUCGCCCUCGUCGAAAUCGAUUACGGGGAACGAAGGCCAGAGGGACCCCCACUGCUUCGAAACGGCGGUGGCGCGAGCGGCGAGCUUGAUCGGAAGGAAGGAGAGGAUGUGUUCGAUGACGUUGUUAGGUAAGUAAGGAAUUGCGGCGGCGGAGGUGGUGGUGGUGACGGAGGCGAUCAGGCGGUUGUGAUCGGUGUCUGAGUUGUUUAGGGUUUUGAGUCGUUUGAAUUUGGGGGAAACCAUUUUUCCGUUGUUUUGGCGAAUGGUCGAUAUUUAUAGGGGAAUAGUGGGAACUGGGAACUUCACCGCGGCAAUAUAUCGCGAGAUCUCAGAUAGAAGCGAGUAUUGUUUUGUUGUUUUUAUUCAAAAAAUAAAAAGUUAAAAGAUGUGUUAUCCAAUCCAACUUUUACCAGCAAUGGUUUUAACGAGAAUUAUUAAAUUACGGAUUAGUUGAAAAUUUUUUCGUUUCACUCUGUUUUCGAUCACAUAUUCACGUCUCGACCGUUUAAUUUGUAGAUAUAUAUUUUAUGUACAUCACAUAACAUGCAUGUCCACUUCAAAAAAAACACAUAAUUUUAGAAAUUUUAGCUUCGACUGAGACUGUGCAAAACGCCCCUUGAAGAUGGGGCACCUAAAUUGCUCUAGUCUCUAAAGUGAUAGCUCACUUGGUCACCGAUUUUAUAACCAAAAAAAGAAAGAAAAAGAAACGAACAUAUUCCAUCUUACACACCAUAUGCCAUGUUCUCUUUAUGUACACCACAGUUCAACCCUAAUGUACAAUACAAUGCACCAAAUCAAAAAAGUCUCCCAACUCGGAAAUUUGGAAUCUCUGGCAUCUUUUAGAGAACUAAGAUAGCUGCAGCAGUUUAAACCAGGUAAUGGUUGAUUGAUAGUUCGAUAAUAUGGCUUUGUAAAGUUCUGGAAAUAUGAGAUCCUGCAACAUCAUCCACAACAAACUGAUUAAACAGAGAACUCACCACAUAAGGAUUGAUAAUCGAUUGCACAAACUCUCAUUAAUAAAACAAUGUACAUUGAAAAGUUACUGUACUGUAUAUAUAAUAUACUCAAGCUAAUGAGCAUACAUGAAAAUUAUUUCAGAGGAAAUCAAAGUUUUUCAAGAUAAUCACUUAAAGCAGGUUAAUUAUUCCCUAGACAGUUUUAUGAUGGAAGGCAAUGAUCAAGUUAAAUUUACAGGAGUACGAAAGAAAAUCACAAAAAAAAAAAAAAAAAAAAGAAUUCGAGAAAAAAAAAGUGAGGAGGCCUCCGUAAUGUUUUGGAAAUGACAAAACUGAUGGGCUUUCAGCCGGUCAUCACCAAUGGAUUAUUACAUAUCUUUCACCAAUGGAUUAUUACAUAUCUUUCAUCCGCACUCUCAAACAGCGGAAAUUCUUAAACAUGAGUAAAAAGAGUGAGAUUCAAAGCAUCAAUUUCAAAUGGUUGGUCUUUGCAAUGCAAGAAAUCCAACAGUUCAGGACAUGAACAUGAAGGGCAUUCUAAUCUUGAGAAACUUAAAUGCACAAUAUUCGCUGCACCUGUUCAUUUAUUUUUGCUUUUCGGGUCAAGGAUGCAUUACUCAUAUCAGCAAAAACGAGGGACUAUCAUCAGUAUGUAUCAUUCUUAAGAGUCAAGACCAAGGAGAAGAAGGUGCCAGUAGAUUGUUUAACUUAAGCCAUAUUAUAAAACUCUACUACUUAUCUUGAAUAAGUUGUUAAUGGAUUGCAAAAAUAACUAUAAGUGAUCAAUUUUCUCAAUUAAUUCUACUGGCAGAAUCAUUACGUAUGACAGAGAGUCUGAAUGGAAGAAAUACCUGACAGUUAAGGAGGGACGGUGCUAUCAUAUUGAGAGGGUAGAAUAUCUACAGUUGUCCUACACUGCUAUUGUAUCGAUGGGGUAAAAUCUCUGCAGAUGGUGCUAUCCAAGUCAAGGAUGGAUCCAAGUCAUCCAACUGAUAAUCUCCAUCCGGUAAUGGAAGAAAGGUUAGUUGCAGCUGCUUGACACGAGGUAAUGGUGGAGACCAUUCCCUUCUGCAAUUUUCAGGUAUUAUGAUACCCUACAAGCAAUUGACAUCAGAUAAUUAUAGAGGGAAAUGAACGUAUCAGGAUUUGUCUAUAAGAUAAUCACACUAUACUGACUUCUUUUUAACAUUGCACAUUGUUGCUGUUCCGCAGAUACAAAAAGUAACACUUUAAAAAAGCUAGGUGUAAUAAGAGAAACAGUAGACUGCAAUAUAAGAGUAGAGUUGAGAAAGAGGUUCUAUAAUACCUUAGCAUCAUGAAUAUCUCUCUCCAAUAUUCCGGUGCAAUCAAAAAUUUCAAGACGUUCUCUCAAUAGAGAAUAAUAUUCAGAGGUCCACCGGUAAUUCUGAAUUCUGAAUUCUGCAUCUAUCAAACCUGGCGGAGAUUCCAAGAAAUGGACCUUGGUCUCCACAACUCCACUAAACAGAAAAUACACCAGACUUGGAGUGAAAAUCGCACUCUCCAUACUCGUUGGGCAUCCAAGCAAAUGAAAGCGUUUCAACCCCACACUAUAAAUGUAGAGAUGCUUCAGAUUGUCACAUUGCCACACGGUCAAAACAACAUGGCGGGCACAUGAACAGUCGGAAAUGAACUUAAAAGUCUCAAGAUUGACACACUCCACAACUUCAAAUACAUAUUGAUGGCAGUCGAUAAUUUCCAAUGAUUUAAGACUUGAAUCCCACAUUCGAAGAGAUCUGGGCUCGUCCGCCUGGUCGCCAAGAUCACAUAGAUUUAAUUCUAAGUGCUCGAGGCGAGGGACAUAUUUCCCCUUAAGUAAUAUCUCAAGAUCAAUGUCAUCGAUCUCAACCUCUUUUAGGGACAUGGUUCUCAGUGACAGUAGGGUUAAAGGAUCAUUAACUCUAUCCCUAGUUAUGAAAUCAAUUUUAACUUUCUCCAAAUUCAAGCUAACCAAGAAAUGUGAAGAGAAAACUGCUUGGGGGACCUGGUAGAAGCUAACCUCAUUUUCGGCUCCGAGGAAACAGAGCUCCAACUCUUUCACAAAUCUCUCAAGUGCAAACGUCACGCACUUGUCAAUCGUGUCUUUGUCGUCCCCGGCGAGACUGUGCACGACUCGAAGCCUGAGCUUGUCUAAGCUCCUCUGAUUCUGGCAGCGUGGCAUGCAAUUCUCCAAGAAUCGGAGGUAUCUUCGAAACUUGCCAGGGUCGUCGGAAUCGAAGGGGUCGCCCUCGUCGAAAUCGAUUACGGGGAACGAAAGCCAGAGAGAUGCCCACAGCUUCGUUUGUAGUACGAUCAAAAUCAAGCCUCGUUAGUAAUUCCAAGGAAGUAAACUAGGAAGUAAACUGAAACAUAAACCAACUUGAAGGACCUAGAGGGGUUGAUGAUGAUUGAAUCCGCUAAAGAUUAUGGAACAUGAUGCCACAAAAUAUUAUCGAUCAUAUGUAGUCAAUUUGUCACACCUCGGACCUGGUGUUGGGGGAGACUCGAUCCGAGUCUGCAACUGAUCCAAGUUCAAGCCAAUCCAAAAUAUAUAUACUUUCCAAUGACGCCCUGAUUAAACGGUCAAUAAAAUUCAACGGUCCAGAUCAAACCGCCUUUAUUUUUCUAUUUUCAAUUAAUUUUUGGAUAACUUCAAACUUCCAAAAAUCAUUAAAAAUAGUUCUGAUGUCCAAAAAUACUUCCGUAAAAUCCUACAAACUCGUAACGACGUCUAGUUUAAUCCUAUGGGCUCGAAAGAUAAAAUUUGACAAACUAAAAAUUUGAAUAAGUUUUGAAAGCCACAAGGAAUUUAAAGAAUAACAGAAAUUGAAAUAAUAAUAGCUCAAAAAUAAUUUCUUAUUUAAAAAUAGAAAAUUUAAUUUUCGAGAUAUUACAUAAUUAUAUGUGCGUAGGCCAAUAUGUUUAUCUUAUUAGCGUAUAUGCAAUUCCCGUUUGCUAGUAUGAUCAAAAUCAAACCUCGUUGGUAAUUCCAAGGAAAUAAACUAAAACAUAAACCAACUUGGAGGACCUAGAGAGGUUGAUGAUGAUCAAAUCCGCUAAAGAUUAUAGAUCAUGAUGCCAUAAACUUUAACCAUAUGUAGUCAAUUAAGGUGGUAACAAUCCACUAGACUAAUAACUCAAUAAGUUGAGUUAUAUGGACGUUUCAAGAAACGCUCCAUAAGUGUAUUCCACAGUACUUUGUGGUUAUUACUUUUUGCACAUAAUGUUGUUGAAGGUUUUUGUCGAUGUGUCUCGUCAAAGACUUAAGUGCGAGAGACUUUAAAUCUCGGCAUCUAGGCUUUUGUUUGCCUUGGGGGUCAAAAUAUAUGGUUUAAUCCUUAACCAAUAAAAGGUUCCACAAAUACCUAGCGAAGAUUCGCCCUAUGAAUCGAGUAUACGCGUCGUCAAAACUCAAAUGAGCAGAAUGUUACAUUGCUCUUGCAUACAAAACCAAGCAGUUAUGAGACUCGAUAGAGGUCACAAAUGAUGUUUUUUAAUGGUUUGUCCUUCUCGAGGAUCGAUCAAACAUAAUUCGAGGAAAGGACAAAGAAACAAGAGUGAUUAAACACACUUUGCUAGUUUGCCAAAUAAACUGUGUUUAGUAGCUACUUUGCAAUUUUUCAUGCUUAAUUCCACGUGUGUAUGAUGAAGUUGCUUAUGUAAUUCCAUUUGAUUCGUUGCGCGGUAAUGUCAUGAAAAAUAAAAACAUAUGAUUAGUCAUAUUCACCAUAUAUAUAUAUAGAAACCAUAAAAACUUUCAUGAAAGAAAAAGCUGAAAAAUUAAGCCAAAGGAGGCCGGGAAAAACGACUGCCGAUAUGGGUGGCAAUAGCUGAGGACUGGCGGCCGAAAAAGGUUGAACUGCGGAGGUUGGACAGCGACCGAGAAAAGGUUGAAUUGCGGCGGUCAGACGGCGGCCGGGAAGCAAACGGUCGAUGGCGGAGCCGAGAAGGCUGAUAGGUUUUUUUGGAAAAUUUAGGACAAGGAAAAUUUAAGGUGAUGGUGGCCAGCUCAAGAGCUGCUGAUAACGUGUUUAAGUAUUGUAAAGAAUGAAAGAUAGUAAGAGAAUCAUCAUUAUUAUUCAUUGAUAGGAGCCGUUUAUAUAUAAGGAAUUACAAAAUACCAAUAUGGUAAUGAUACUGAAUACAUAGUCCUAUUCUAACUACAUAUAUAUCCUGAUAGCAUAAGACUAUCCUAGAACAAUGCGAAAUAUCCUAGAACAGAUACAAAUUUAUUUUAUUUUCAGGAAAAUAAAAUAAAGAAUUGAAGUCAUGGUUUUAUUUUGAUCUGAAUGGUCUUUAAAGUCACGAUUUUUUAUCCAAAUGCUCUUUCCGUCAAUUUUUUUUGUUAGAAUACUAUCAUGGUCGUUAAAGACAUUGUAAUUUUUAACAGUCACAUACGGUAGCAAUUUAACGGAGAAAAUUGACGGAAUGACGUACUUGAAUGAAAAAUCGUGACUUUAAGAACCAUUCAGAUUUUCCUCUAAAAAAGAACCAUUCAGAUUAAAAUAAAACCAUAAAAACUGAACAAAUAUUGACUUCAAAUUAGAAGGAUUAUAUAAUAUUUUACCCUAAAAUAAAUUACGUAUCUAUCUAGGGUUAGUUCUCUAUAAAAGAGAGCUCUCCUCUUCACACAAAUCACAACUACUACGUCGUCUAUUAUGACUGCCAUAGAAAACCCUAGACUGCCUCAGUUACCUAAUGAUAUCAUUCACCAAAUCCUCCGUCGCCUUCCCACCAAAUUAGCCGUUCGUAUGCGCUGUGCUUCCAAGAAGUUCAAAGAUCUGUGGUCAAUAGAUCUCGACGAGGGCCAUCCACCUGAUACGGAUCAUGACAAUCCUCCUCAUCAGCACACAGAGUUCAUCAACUUUGUGGAGACCUGUUUGGAUUCCCGCAAAAACGACCAGCACGUUGAUAAAUUCCGGCUUCGCAUGAUGAGGUAUUCAUCUAACGACAAUGCUUUCAUAUCUAGAUAUCUGGCUUUUGCUUUCCAGAGAAACGUCAUGGUCUUAGAUGUCAGCGUUAGAUCUAAACCUGGGUUAACAUACUACAAUUUACCCUCUGCCUUUCUCGAACAAAAUUAUUUAACUUCCUUGAGUUUGGAGUACGUGAGAAUGAAUCUAGGCAAUCGUCGUAUAAAACUUCCGUUGUUGAGAACUUUGUCCUUCAAAAAUGUUGUAUUGGAAAAGCAGAAUGCUCUCUCACAGUUGGUUUCAGCGUGCCCUAUAAUUGAGAAUUUGUCAGUGAAUUUCAAGGACACUGAUGACAAAAAGUAUCGCUUCUCGUUAGAGUCUCUUCUGGGUUUGAAGUGUAUGACUACAUUACAUGUGGAGAAUAUGCAUCUAGUGAGUGAUCAUGAUAAUAUUAGCGUACACAAUCUGCCUGUGGGUAAUCUGCCUUUGAAAACCAUGAGCCUCAAAACUGUCCACUUGAACUCAUCGAUUUUUUCUUGCUUAAUUUCCCGUUGCCCUUCUAUUGAGUAUAUGUCACUCAGUUCAUGUUCUUCUCCUUGUGGGUCUUCGAUUCAAUUUACAACUUCUAGUCUCAAAACCUUUGAAGUUACCGAUUUCAAUGCUCAGCAGUUAAAUGUAUACGAAGCUACGAAUCUGGAAUCUUUCACAUUGGUUUCAGAACUUCCGGUACUUGGUUCAGAGAUUUCAGAACUUCCGUUACUUGGUUCAGAAAUUGGACAACUUACUCGAGCUUCGUUGUACGAGUGCAAAAACUUGAAACAUGUGAACAUUCGCUCUGAGCACCUGCAAGAAAUCAUAUUAGGCGGCUGCAAAGAUUGUGUUGAGGCCAGAAUUGAUACUCCAAAUCUAAUGUAUUUCAACUUUGUUGGCAAUUUGAAGUCCACAAUUUCUAUGGAAGCUCCAAAUUUAUGGGACACAAAUAUUACACUUCUGUGUGGUGAUUCGACUCCUCCAUGGAGACAUUUCCCAACUGUGGUAGACUUUCUUAGAACUUUUGGUCACAGCAAAAGAAUCCUUCUAAAUUUUGAUGAUGCUGAAGUGGAUUUCUUCUUUCCAGAAAGUUUCAGAAGAAGUGUCUCCUGUCCACCAUUGCCUAGUCUCAAGAAUCUUGUAGUCUGGCGUAAAGAAAAGCUCAAGGGAAGAGAUUCAGAUUUGCAGAAUUCCAUGCUUUGGAUGGCACCUUGUGCAGAACUUAGAAUAAAAAAUAAAUGAGUUUGGCUUUAAAGUUAAAGUUUUGUUUGCAAGUUCCUCCAAACUUAUCCUGCUAUCAGUAUUGAUCAAUGAAUAAAUUAUCAGAUGAUGAAUUGCUUUUGGUUAUCUACUAAAACAUGGUUCUUUCUCGUUGAGAUUUAUUAAAUCAUGAACGGUUUUAUGGUUACCUUUGUACAUCAUACUUCACUACUUAGAAAAUUUGGUUAUCCCCAACUGAUGCUUCAUGGUUCGAAAUUUGAUUAUCAUAAACCCUAGACCGGCCCUGACCUUGGCGAUAGAGGGUUAUUUUGUUGAGCUGCUUCUUCUUUUUGUUCAUUGCAUUUACAGAAAUAAAUCAAAUAAUAAGUCAACAGUUUGGAUCUUAUUUUGGUUCUCAAUGAUUGUCCCUUCCUAACAGUUUGGAUCUUAUUUUGGAUCUUAUCUUAAUUAUAAUAUUACAACGAAAGCAGGUUCUUCAAGGACAAGGCUGUUCUUUUCUUUCUUUCUUUUUUUUUCUUUUUUUUCUUUUUUUUGCGAAUAAAGGAGGACAAGGCUAGCAACUCUACAUCCAUUAUAAUUAGGAACGCCUAUUAACUCUUCCAUUAGCAUUCAUAGUUGAGAAAAAGAAUACAAGACCGACGAAUAUUUGGAUAUCCAAGUAUCUGGCUUUGCUAAUCCUCGUGUGAUUUGCGAAAUAACAACAUUCACCUGGCCGCUACAUCUAUCAAGCUAUCAUAUGGCUACCAAGACAACAAUACACAGCCAAACUUAUGGUUUGUCCCUAGUCAAGACAGCACCACCUCACUUACCUGAAGACAUUGUCCGGCAAGUUAUCUCACUCCUCCCCACUAAUUCCGCCUUUCGCAUGAGCUUUCUUUCAAAGCAAUUUGAAGAUGUGUCGUCUUUUCUCCCUGUGCUGGAUCUUGACGAGGGUGACGAUGAAGCAAACCUCAACGAGCCAAUUCAAGAUGUGAAAUUCACCAACAUCUUAGAGAGGUAUCUGAAAUUUCGUGAGAAAAACUGUAAACCCUUGAAUAAAUUUAGGCUUCGCAUGGCGAUGGACACUGUCAGAAAAGACAUUGUACAAAAGUUAUUACGGAGUUUUGCAGCUGCAAAUAGCAUCAACGAUGAGUUGGAUCUCAGCCUGAGAAGUGAACCUAGAGGCUACUGCAUAAACUUGGCCCUUCUUAAUCUCAACUCUUUAACUACUUUAAGUUUGGAGUAUGUCAGAAUAAAGGGUCUUCAUACUUGUUCUCUUCCCUCUUUGAAGACUAUGUCCCUCAAAUCUAUACACUGGUCUGCACCAUCAAUGUUUUCGGCACUACUCUCUAAGUGCCCUUCUAUUCAGUAUUUGUCACUGACUUCAUGUGGUCUUUGGGGAUCCAUCAACGUUUCAAGUUCUAGUGUCAAGACCUUGGAAAUUAGAGACUGCGAUUUUCAGCGUAUCGACGUGCAUGGAUCUAAUCUCAAGUAUUUUACAUUAGUUUCGGAAUAUCCAGAACUUACGGUUGUUGGUUUACAUGAGUGUGAAAAUUUGAAAUAUAUGAACAUUGAUGCAAAGCACCUGCCAGACUUUGGGUUAUACGGAUGCACAGAUUUUGUGAUGGCCAUAAUGGAUGCUCCAAAUCUUGAUCGUUGUAAUGGUCAAGAACUUGGUGGUAUGAAUGGAAGGUUUAUAUUGAGUGAUUUCCAAUGGUCUAGAGGUAUGCUGAUAGGGAAGAAGCAAUGUUUCGACCGAAUUAGAAUGAGCCUGAACAGUUUGUGAACAAAUGAUUGCAUCAUUCAAAGGAUACAUUUCAUCAAAAAAUUACUGCACUUUCGGUUUAUGUCCUACUGGUACAAUGUAGGUCAGUUGGGACUUGGGAGAUACUCACAUUUUAAGUCCGAGGGUUAUUAUUAUUAUGAUUAUGCAUGCUUCUUGUUCUUAUAAAUUCCUCUCCUUGUACUUGUAGUAGAAAUAAUGGAUUGGACGGAAAUACUUGCUAGCUUAGGUUAACCAAUUUGUUUCACCUCUAUAUAUAUAUAUAUAUAUUUGAUCACAAGCAAAUCAUCAAAUUCUUAAUAUUGCACUGAUCCUCCAUAGUAAGAAAAUUUUGUUCCAUUUUUAUUUUUUAUUGUAAUUAAUUUCGAAAAAUAGGCCACUAUGGAAAUUCUUGUAUGCACAACGUGUAUUUACAUAACACAAUUUUAACCAUUCAUAACAAUUCAUAUGUUUGACCACCAUGUUUCUAUAUUAUUUCCUCUAAUCCUGACUAUCCAUGUAUGUAUGUAUGUGAAAAUACACGCUGUGCACUGAAGAUACUCUCAUUAUAAUAACCUAUUGAUCCCUUCCUUUUACAAGUAGGAUUUCAAUGGACUCUAUCCAACCAAUACGCUAUCUUCACCUUCUACAAGGAGGAUUAUACCAUUAUAUAAAGGAUCAGAAUCGACUUCUAUCUUCUCUCUGCAUCUAUCUCUUAAUUAUCAUAUAUGGCUACCAAACGAAACACACACACACCACCAUGACCGGAACUCCAAGACUAUGGCACGACAUGAGUUGCCUGACGAUAUUAUCCGCCAAAUCAUUCCAUUUCUUCCCACUAAAUCUGCUUUUGACAUGAUUUUUCCUCUUCAAGCAAUUUGAAGGCGUAUGGUCUACACACCCAGUAAUAGAUCUCGACGAGGGCAACCUCUCUAACAAGGCACUUGAUCAAGAUAUGAAGCUCACCAACAUCUUGGAAACCUACUUGAAGUUCAGGAUUCAGGAAGAAUGACCCUCCUCGCCCCUUGGACAAGCUUAGGCUUCGUAUGGAGAUGAACCCUGUUAGAGAAGCUAUCGUGAGUUUUGCAGCUGAGAGAAGCAUCAAAGAGUUAGAUCUCAGCCUUAAAACUGCACCUUUGAAAGGCUCCAACUACAGCUUAUCGUUGAAACGUUUUAAUGUCUAUAGUUAGUUUAAGUCUCGAGUACGUGAAUAUCAAAGAGUAUUCUAUUAGUGAUGGAGUGUACGUCUUCCUUCUUUGAAAACUAUGUCCCUGAAAAACGCAUGUCAGUUGGUACGAUCUGUCCGAACUAAUUAAGGGCUGCAGUUCUAUUGAGUAUUUAUCUAUAACUUUGUGUUCGAGUCGCUUUAGGGCAUUCCUUUGUAGUUUCAAGUUCUACUGUCAAGUCUUUGGAAAUCAGGGAUUGCGUUAUUGGAUAUGCUGAGGUACGACGAUCCAAGAAUCUUGAAUCCUUUACCUGGGUUUCAAGCUCCCCAGAGCUUCGACAUGCGGCUUUGUUGAAAGGCCAAAGCUUGAAAUAUAUUAACAUCCAUGCAGAAUACCUGAAAGGCAUAAUGCAAAGAUCGUGUGGAGGCCACAAUGUAUACUCCAAAUCUAAAAUAUUUCAAUUUCAAUGGUUUGAUACCCAACAAUGGGGGGAGAAAGACUGUAGUGAUGUUUCAUCCUUCUGGUGUGUUGCAACUUGCAAGGAGUUCCGAUUAGAACCUGCAAAGGUUGAUUUUUCCAACGGAUAAUAGAGCGCACUAUAUUUCAUGUCUCUUUGGAUUAUUAAGGGUAGGCUCGCUGGACACUCUUUUUUCCUUCACCUAUUUCUCACAUGCCAGCACAAAAUUCAAUUUCAAAUAUCAACAUUCUUAAAACUCCAUCAUCAUAUUCAAUUGUACAAAGCGUAAACACCCCUAUGUCGCAAACAAAGCCCGACAGAAAAAAAAAAAAAAAAAAAAAAGGUACAACGAGAAGCUUACAACUACGAAGCAGGAACAAACCUAAUGAUCCAUGAAAAAAGCAGCAGAGAAUUAGGACUACAGCAAUUCAGUAUGCACAACACUAAUGAAGAAAAUGUUAACUCAUAUACAAAGAGAUCAUCUUUUGCCAGAGAGGCUGAUCGAGCUGACUUUCAUUGGGGUUGCCACCACCAGGGGAGCUUCUGGGGAGUCGCUGACAGCAUACUUAUCAUGCAUGAAACGGCUCUCCACAAUGGACUCGUCCUUCAAAAGAAUCUUGUAGCAGUAACAACUCUUGAGGCCUUGCUGAUUCCUGUAACAUUCAUGGGCACUGUUUUUCACCUGCUGGAAAUCCCAUAUGACACUGAACUUUCCCACUGUUGCAACGAGGUGACGCUCUUGUUUACCACUUUCAGUGACCUGUAAACACACAUUAACAAAAAAAAAAAAUUCAGAACUUGAUCAAAAGGGAAACAAAUCUCAUACUCAGCACAUGUGAACACAAGAGUUUCUAAAAUUAUACUAUGAUGAUGCACAAUGUAGUGCAAAUCUUCUGCAUCCCAAAUCCAAAAUCAGGUACGAAAUGAACAACUAAGAACUAAAUAUGUCAGAUUUUCUGUUAUCCAAACACUUUGAAAAAAGACUCGGUGAACAAAGCAUAAUGAUUUUAACCUGUUUAUUUCUAUGGAGUACACAAACUUUCUAAAGCCAACAAAGCACGCAACAAACCUUAGCAUUUUAAUCCAACUGCUAACCAGAAAAAGUUGUACUUAAAAGUCUUAACAAACUACUACUGAGGAAUGAGCUGCAGGGGUGCAAAACCUAUAAAGCCAAAACAAUUGUUCUCUUGGUAUGAUGCACCACAAGAUAAGCUGUUGCCCAUAUCAUAGCAUACAGGGCAGUGAAUAUUGACAAACUGAAACACACGAUAUACAACUAAGAAACACACACAAUUGAACUAGGCAAUAGAGGGAUAAAAAUACAUAGAUAACAUCAAAGUUUCUAAAACUUCCAAAAUGACUGCUUAAUAUGAAAUUUCCAGCAAGAUCAGUCCAUGUCCUUUCCAGCACCAGUUUCAAGUCACUCCCUAUGAAACUUUUGAUCAAAGAAAUUUAUCAACUCCUCACACAUGAUACUCUUUGGAUAAGGACCUAACAACUAUAGCCACAACUAAACCACGAAAGCACCUAUCGGUCAAUGAUAUCAUUAAGUCACAGAGAAAAUAUUAACCAAAUAAAGAACAUAAAACCUAAAGGUUGCAGAUGAAAGAUAAAGCUGUACGGAAAUUCAGCUAAUAUAAAGGCGCAAGACUUUUGAAACCCAUUGCUAUAGAUGGACAAUUGGACACUAAUCUAACCAAGACAUAUUAUGAAACUGAAGUGUAACACUUAAAGAAAAUGAAAACUCCUUCAAGACUCAUUAAUAUAGAUGGACAGUUGAAACCACAAAGUAUGAACUUUAAAUUACCAACUACAGCAAACAAUAUCAUAGACUCCUUAUAUCUCGUUAAAGCAUGCAUAUCAAACAAUUCAAUAACUGUAGCAAUUUAAUGGAAGUAUUCUUACCCAAGAGAAAUGGCCUCCAUGGAACUUGUUGUCUGCGCCAGCCAAAUGCGAGUCAAGAGGGAUCAGCUUCAACAACCUGGGAGCUGGUAUCUUGUUUCCCAUUCUACCACUAAACCCAGUCUUUGUCUUUCCAUCUUUGUCAGUGAACAAAGUGCAUAUAAGGACCAAAUAAGUGUCGGUCGUACCCAACACCCACUUCCCAUCAUAAGUCACAUCAACAUGAGUAAUGGGGGAACCCAGCCCUGGAAACGCAGUCUUUGCCUGCCUCAUUGAGGUCUUUGAAUACAACCGUAUCUUCCCAUCCAGAGACCCAACAACAAUAGACCCAUCUCCAGUAGUAGCAAAGCACUGAAAAUUCGUCCCUCUCGAAAACUGAUGCCCCUGAGACCACUCCAGGACAGGCGAAUUAGCAAUGUUCUGAACCAUUCCUCUACGCUCACGCAUAUCCCACUGGCAAAGCCUGUUAUCAUCCAGACCCAGAAACGUCGACUCAGAAGGAUCCAACUGCGACCCUUUUGUGUCAUUAGUAAUAUCCCUCAUUGUCAUCUCAGUCCCAUCCUUCUCAAACUUCCACUCAGUCACAAUCUUCCCAGUCUCAAUGUCCAGCUGCUGCAGCCCAUUCGCUUGAGGCUUCCCCUCCUUUAAUGGACUCAUAAGCAUCAUAUUAGUCUCACCCCUCAUCAGCAGAGCCUUCUUGGGCGUCAUUUUCAAACCACCCCCACUGUCGAAUUUCGCAACCACGCCCUUCCCAUGAAUCCCAUGGCUGAAAUUCUUAUAAACCUGCACACCAGAAUCAUUCACCAAGAAACUAUUAUCCAAUGCGCCAAGUGUCAAGCUCUGAACACCUCCAUUCGCAGCCUCCUCGAACUCCUCCAUCAACUGCUGGUUGGACCGGACCGGCGUCACCGAAUUGGGGCUCCUCGCCAUGUCAUAAUCAUCAGCAUACUCCCACGCCGAGUCGUCCGCCGCCUCCGGCUUCACCCAGCCCAAAAACUCCUUGCCGUAAAUCUUGACCUUGUUCUCCUCCGUCGCCUUAAGCCCGUACACAUUCUCAAACAAGCAGUCCUGAAACUCCGUCACGAAUCUCCGGUACUGCUCGUCGGUGUAGAAUUUCAAAGCCCAGACUCCUUUGGACACAAAAUCCACACGUCGCUGAUCGCCGAACAUCUUCAACUGCAUGUCGGCGGAAACCCUAGCCCUUACUUUUCCCGCAACCUUGAGAAUCCACUGUCCCUUGCCGUCGGCGGAGCCCUCGUAGUCGUCGUCGUCGCUGUCGCCGUCGACGUUGGUGGUCUUGACGAAGGAGAACGAUGUGAGCUUGCUGGAGACGAUCCACUUGGCGUUGGGAGUGUUGCCGCCGAUGUGGAGGUAGAGCUUGACGGCGUUAUGCGAGACGACGGAGGCGGAGGCGGAGGAAGAAGAAGAAGGUGGAGGAGUACCGUACUUGAGCUUCAAGGCUUUGAGCUUGGCGUCGAUGUCGCCGAUCGGGGUGGGCUGGGUCUCCGGAGCGUCCUGAUAGUCUUCGUCGUCGGAUUGGCGUUGUCGUUCGUCUUCUUCUUCGGAGUAGUCGUCGGAGUCGGAGAUGUGGUCCUCGCGGCUCUGAGAGGUUCCCAUGGUUUCAAAUCGGAGCUUGGGAUAUACAGGGAUUUCGAAAUUUGGGGAUUUUGGAGGAUUUGGGGAUUUUGAAAAUGAGGGAGAUUUUGGAGGAGCGGAAUUAUAGAGAGUGUGAUUUGCUGGAGAGGAGUUUAAAGUUGGAUUGAGGACCCGGUGGGAUCGUUUUUAUAGAUGCUCUCUGGUGUAGACGCGUGGCGAGUUCGAAAGCGAGUAGCGUCGAUUUGACGUCGGUGGCCAACAACAAAAGGGGAAAGCGUUGUGUUACUUUUUUUUUUUGUUUUUUCUUUAAGGGAAGCGUUGUGUUUCUUAUUUUAUCGUUGAUGGAAAGCGUGAUUCUAACGACGGCAUUACUUCUUGGCGAAGAAAAUGAAAAUUGUUGUUUUAGGUCUCCUCUCCCUAAAUUGAUUUCUUGCUCAGCUCCGGCAUCACCGGUGCCAUGGAAUCCGUCACCGGUCCGACGAAUUUUGGGGCAUUGACUCUGCCACGAGGGCAGCCUCUCCUUAGCUUGUAAUCCUGAGUUUCCAGUUGCUAUUCCUGGCCAAGGUUUUCCAAAGUAAGCUGCAAAGGCAUCAUUUGCCAAACUGUUCCUCUUCUUGAGCUCUCCUCAUUCCAGUCAUUUUAUAACAUUUGUAUGAUUCUCUAUUUUAUAACAUCUCUCUAAUAAAAAUGAAAUUUGUACUGUUUGUGGUCAAUGCAGCCCUCUUUUGUCCCUUACGAUGGUUUGGAUAGUGUUAAGUGACACAAAAAAUUAGUUUCUCUUCUUCAAAUCAAAGAAAACAAAAGAAAACAAUAUCGAUUACUGAAUAAUGCAAGUCUCCAACAAUAUUGCUAACAGAUAUCAGAGACUUAAGCCUCACAAUAUAAGGUACUAUUGCAUAGCUUCAUUACAGGGUCUAUAGGCUUUAGCCUCACAAUUUAAAAUUCCAGCUUUUGCCGAAAAAUUACUCUACAUACCAGCAGACAGUUCAAUUUGCUAAUAAAAACAGAAGUGCCUUGGCCACCUAAUUGUAUCCUUAAUCCCCAGAACAUCAAACAAGUUGCUAGUUUUGCAUCUCACAAGGCGUCACGCGCAGCAAUCCGGCAUGUAAUAGCAUCAGCAAGUGAGGACAUCCCUAACUCCUGGCUAGUUACCUUAUAAUGCUGAAAAUACAAAUGUUGAUUAUCAUUAACUGGAAAAACCAGCAACAAAGGAAAACAGGUACCAGACUAGCAGCCGAGUUGAACAAGAUGCACACAUACCUUCUGUAUCUGGGCUUGGUCUGCUCUCCCUCCCAGCUCCUCCAAAUUAAUCUCUUUUCCAUUGACAAGUUUCUCUACUGCUUUCUGUUCUAUCUACUAUAACAAGGAAAUUAUCAAAACAGGAAGGGCCAACAUUGUUCUGCCAUAGUGAAGCAAUACAAGGCUUGAACUGCUACAUCUUACAUGACAAAGGGAUCUUACCUCAUCAGAAGUAGCAUUGAAACGAGCGGCAAGCACAUAAGUUGAACUUUCGGAGAUACCACAUCUUUUCAAGGAUUCUGUGAUCUAGUCAAGAUCAAAGUUAAACUUUUCAGUAACAGGAAAAUAUGGAAUAAAUCAUAGACCAUAAUAGUUAAUUAAGAACUGAUUACAUGCUUGGAUCCUGAGUAGUUGUAAACAAGCUCAGAAUGAAGAGUGCGUGUUGUCAGUGAGUCUCGGGACUUGGAUAUGAGUGUCUUAUGUGCAGCUGCAAGCAAAGGGAAAACAUCUGGGAUCUGUUUCCAUGGUAAAUGAAGUUAGCAUUAGUGAAACUCAGCAAAAAGAGAUUACAAAGUUGAGACAAAAAAGAAAAGAAAAUACAAGUAGAUCAAAGCAUGUAGGACUAUACAAGUGAAGCAUUCAGAAAUGCCACUUCUGGAUCUAGUGUCGCAGCUUGCAUCGAGUCAAGCAGUUCCCUGCAAGAUAGAUGGGUUUGCUAAGGACUUCAGUUCUCCACAUAACAUAGAUAAUAACAAAGAUGGUAAACUUGAUGCAAUUAAUGUUUCAGGGAAGAAGAAAUAAAUUGAUCCUCUCAUUUAGAAUCUUUUUCGUAAACCCUGAUUUAGAAUUUCUCAUGGAGCAUACGUAGCAGGGGGUUUUAUUCAAAUGUAACUCAAAUAGAUUUUCUCAUUCUUUUACUUCUAUUUUGAUGUGACUUGUACUUGUACUUGAGAAAAAUAACCCAUUUUCAGUGCAGAUAAACAUUCAAAAAUUUCUACCAUGAGGGAUGUCUCCUACAUUCACAGGCAUUGAUAAUCUGGUUAUAAUUAGAACUAUGUUGACUAAAGAGAUAAAUGAUGAUAAACAAACUUUCUUUCUGAAAUUUUAAAAUGAACAAGUUCAUAUCUACGAUUUGCUAAUAUCUAAGAGCACAAAACUCCCCAAUAUGAUGUAAUCCCAGAAAUUUACAUGAGAAAGAAACACCCAAAUUAAGCAAGGUUUCAAGUGAGGCAGUAAGAGUACUUGGAAUUGGUGACUUCAAUGAAGAGAGCAAGAGAGAGUGUGUUUCCAUUGACCUCAAACAGCUUCAUCGUCACUCCUUCAAAGUUGUGAGCUCUGUACUCUGCAAGAAACAACGGAAUUGAAGCUCACAAAUUGCUAAUUUGAAUACAGAAUCAAACUAUAAACUCGUAACAAUCCAAGAUAAACUAUAUAUAUGAAAUUAGUUAUCCAAUGGUGUCACGCCCCAAACCCAAAUAUGAAAGAACUGUGACAAUAAUAUAGAAAAGAAAAACAGUAGGAAGACAAAGAGGUCAAGAACUUCCUAAUUCUUUUUGAAAUAAACAUUACUCCUCAAGGUAGGAUUACAUUUCUGAACUUCCUAAUUAUACAAGGUUCAGUUUUGAAAAGAGGUAUAAUUACAAAAGCUUGCAGCAACAGGUCUGACAAAGGUAUACAAGAUAUUAACACAGAAACAAUAUGAACCGAAGAGUGGUAAAACAAAAAUCUAUGCACUCAUCCCAUUUCCUAAGGAUCUGUAAAAGAUAACAACGAGAACAUGAGCAACUAAAGCUCAAUGAGUAGUAUACUGAACUGUCACUAAACAUAAAACGAAUAAUAAUGGGAUGCCACAGCGACCUGUUAGCUAAUACUAAUAUUAGGAAUGCCACAGCGAUUCCUGUUAACUAAAAUGGCUACCACAACCAAUGAUCAUGCCAAACAAGCGGUCACAUCAAGCAUAAGCACAUUGCCAACACCACUCUCUUGUUGGCUAGAGGAUAUAUAUAUAUAUAUAUAUAUAUAUAUAUAUGUGCUGAUCAGGUGCGGACGUCCGCACCAAAGUUUUUGGUGCGGAUUUCCAUUUUUGCACCAUUUCCCGAUCGAAUUUACUCAAACUUCCUUCNNNNNNNNNNNNNNNNNNNNNNNNNNNNNNNNNNNNNNNNNNNNNNNNNNNNNNNNNNNNNNNNNNNNNNNNNNNNNNNNNNNNNNNNNNNNNNNNNNNNNNNNNNNNNNNNNNNNNNNNNNNNNNNNNNNNNNNNNNNNNNNNNNNNNNNNNNNNNNNNNNNNNNNNNNNNNNNNNNNNNNNNNNNNNNNNNNNNNNNNNNNNNNNNNNNNNNNNNNNNNNNNNNNNNNNNNNNNNNNNNNNNNNNNNNNNNNNNNNNNNNNNNNNNNNNNNNNNNNNNNNNNNNNNNNNNNNNNNNNNNNNNNNNNNNNNNNNNNNNNNNNNNNNNNNNNNNNNNNNNNNNNNNNNNNNNNNNNNNNNNNNNNNNNNNNNNNNNNNNNNNNNNNNNNNNNNNNNNNNNNNNNNNNNNNNNNNNNNNNNNNNNNNNNNNNNNNNNNNNNNNNNNNNNNNNNNNNNNNNNNNNNNNNNNNNNNNNNNNNNNNNNNNNNNNNNNNNNNNNNNNNNNNNNNNNNNNNNNNNNNNNNNNNNNNNNNNNNNNNNNNNNNNNNNNNNNNNNNNNNNNNNNNNNNNNNNNNNNNNNNNNNNNNNNNNNNNNNNNNNNNNNNNNNNNNNNNNNNNNNNNNNNNNNNNNNNNNNNNNNNNNNNNNNNNNNNNNNNNNNNNNNNNNNNNNNNNNNNNNNNNNNNNNNNNNNNNNNNNNNNNNNNNNNNNNNNNNNNNNNNNNNNNNNNNNNNNNNNNNNNNNNNNNNNNNNNNNNNNNNNNNNNNNNNNNNNNNNNNNNNNNNNNNNNNNNNNNNNNNNNNNNNNNNNNNNNNNNNNNNNNNNNNNNNNNNNNNNNNNNNNNNNNNNNNNNNNNNNNNNNNNNNNNNNNNNNNNNNNNNNNNNNNNNNNNNNNNNNNNNNNNNNNNNNNNNNNNNNNNNNNNNNNNAGAAAAACGACAGUUUUGAGUGCCUUAAUGAUAACCAAAUUGGCUGAAAUUUUGCAGAGAUGAUCUAUACAUUAGUAUCUAAAUACUAGACGGUGGAGAUGUGAAAAUUCAAUUGAAAAGUGAGUGUAAAAUGGAAAUCCGCACAGUAAGAAUAAAUGCGGACGUCCGCAGCUGAGAAGCGAUGCGUGUGUGUGUGUAUAUAUAUAUAUAUAUAUUUAUGCUUCCACAGCAUAAAUAACUAUCUCACCAAGUUCAGAACUUUCAAUUCCACUUUCACAUUCAACAGUCACCGUAUUAUGAUUAUUCCACAAAACACAUUCAACAUGUAACAAGAAUCCAAUGUAUACUGAGUAACCAAAAUGUACUCACCUCUGUACAAGGAAGAUAGUUGAAACGGUACACAAAUAAAAACGAGCUCAAGUAGCUCCCUCAACACCUAUCAGAAAUACACCCUGAAUUAGACUCUGCAAUUCAAGUUAUGUUUGAGGGAUAAUGAAAAGAAACAUAGACAUUAGCAAAACUUUGUAUCUACUGGAUUGGAGAAGAUGAUGUUGACCAACAGAAUAAAUGAAAUAAAUAUUUGCAGAGAGGAAGAACAUGAUGAUGAUCAACGGUUAUUAGUUUUCGGAUUUAUCAGUUUGACCUCUUCCCGGCCCCGACUCUUAUCCCGUGAAAAAGGAAGAAGCAACAGCAUGCAUGCAAAUCCUAAUGCUUGUCGAUCUUAGAAGAACAUGGGAUUUGAUUAACAAAAUUUUGAGAAGAGCUACUAGAAUGUGGGAUUUGAUUAAACGCAUUCUAGAUCAGGGGAUAAGAAACCAACUUGACAGAGACAAUAAACCAUACAAUUGGUGUGCAAUAAUGUUGAGAGCAGAAUAGGAUAGAAAUUGAGAAACCCAGUUCUCAAUCAUCUCCAGGUUAUGUGGAAAGCUAACAAAGGGAUAGAAACUUGGAAGCUAAAUCUAAUUGAACCCAUAAACAAAACUAUAGCUUUUGAAGUUUACCAGAGAAAACAGGGGAACUAACAAAGUAUAAACUUCAUCAAAUUAAAGGAAAACAGAGGACUAAGUAUUACCGAUGAAUUUGCAGGGUUUUGCAGAGCAGUCAAGACUGAAGCUUGUGCGAGCCCAAACUAAAUUAGGGUUUGGAGUAGUCCAAUUUUUUAGGAGGGAACGACGUCGUUACGGUGGCCAAAAUUUUGGCCAAAAAUUUCAUAAUCGCGCCAGGUAGGGGUCGAACCUACGACUUUCUGCUUAGGAAACAGACGCUCUAUCCACUGAGCUACAGGCGCUUGUUUGCUCAUGUAUUUGCUCUAUAAUAUAUGGCACAAUUAUUAUUGUUGAAAAUUUUAAAAUAUUUACUUGGUCAAUUAUGUUCUGGGGUAUAGUCUGUGACUGUCUGUCUAUCUUCAAGCAGAGCCCUUGACGUGUCAAAAUGAACCAGAUCACAUCUUUGGCGCGUAUUCCUGAAUUUCUGAAGAAAACUGAAUGACCCUAUGGUUUUGCAUCUUUUGGGCUUUUUUUUUUCUGGGCAUAGCUUUUGUGCCUUCCCAGGACAAACAUGUCCCUCUGCCUCCUACUCCUAUGGAUGCUCACCAUUCCUCUCCAAGCCAACUCUCAACCUAACCCUAGAGGUCUGUAUACAUAUUUAUUCAAACCCACAUUUUGUUCUUUUUGCUUUUGGGGUAUUUUUAUUAUUGGGUAAUCAUUGUUUGUGCAUUUUCACCCUAAAAAUCUGGUAAGGUGAUUGUUAAACCUAUUUUGUUGAUUUCGUCUGUUGGGGUUCCUUGAUGGGUUUUUCUUGUUUUGUUUGAUGAGAAUAUUUAGACAUGAUUGGGGUGUGUUCCAGAUUAGGCUUUGGGUUUUUCAAUUUCAUACCAGCAAGUUUCGUAUGACAAACCAAAUUUUCAGGUUUUGUCCCAAAUUCUAGAAAUUGCUUUUCUAAGGGCUAAAGUCCUGUUCUUUUUUCCUUGUUCUAUUUCUCAUUUUGGCUUUAGCUGUAGUAGAAUAUAUAUAAUCCUUGCAAAUUGAAGAGUUUCAAAUGCAUAUAUAAUCCUAUGGUUUUUUUUUUUUCGUUAAAUUGGUAGGGGAUAAAAUAUUCAUUUUCCCAUUAUCUUGGCAAAUUGAGCUUACCAAGAGAAUAACACACCAACAAUUUAGCUCAAUGUCAUAUGAAAAGUUAUGUGUUCUCUAAUGCAUGACCAAAACUGCAGGUUACCUCCUAAACUGUGGCGCCGGGGCCUCAUCCAAUAAUGACGUGAUUGUAGGUAACCUGAAGUAUGUCACCGAUGAAGGUUAUAUAUCAGUUGGAAAAACAAGCAACAUCAAGAACAAUGACUUGGUUCCCAUACUCACUACAUUGCGCUAUUUUCCAGACAAGUCUGCCCGAAAAUAUUGCUAUGAAAUUCCGGUGAUCAAAGGGGGAAAGUACCUGGUCAGGACGACUUACUAUUAUGGUGGUUUUGAUGAUGGUAAGGAGCCACCGAUUUUUGACCAGAUUGUGGAGGGGACUAAGUGGAGUGUGGUUAAUACAACAGAGGACUAUACCAAUGGACUUAGCUCGUAUUAUGAGACAGUGGUGCUGGCAAAAGGGAGGACACUAAGUGUGUGCCUUGCUAGGAACAACAUGACCGGGACUGAUUCUAGUCCCUUCAUCUCAGCUCUUGAGCUGGAGUACUUGGAUGACUCAGUGUACAACUCCACCGAUUUUAACAAGUAUGCACUUAGUACUGUAGCAAGGGGAAACUUUGGAAUUACUGAUGAUGGUGACGUAGUUGGGUACGAACUUUGCUCCUCCUUUAUUACUUAUUACUCGCUGCAUUUACAUAAUUUCAGUAUUAUAGUACUUGCUGAUAUUUUAGAGUACAUUUUAUACCAGUAGUAUCAUCUGUAUAAAUCACAAAUGAGGCAGGACUAACCUAUAGAAUUGAGUUCUUUCUCUAUUAGAGAGAUGCUCUACAAUAUGAUCCACAUGAUUUUAUUGUUAAUUAUUAUCUUGGUACCAGCUGUUACUUUGAUAUAUGUUUGUUUACCCAUUCUUGGUUUUGAGGUCAUAGGAAUUAUAUGAUCUGGUAAUAGAUAUAGUCUGUGAGGUUCAAACUUCUGUAUUCUGUUAAUAUGAGUGAUGGUCUUGGUCUGCACAUCCAUAUUCUCAUUAUUUGUUUGCAACUCCAUGCUAAGGUAUAAUGGCUUUAUAAUGGCUUAAGAUUUUGGGUGCAUUGGUUUUAUAACAGAAGUACUACUGCAUUUAUCACAUCUGUUCGUCCAUCUCUGUAAGAACUGUGGUGCAAUGUCGUCCAUAAAAAGUUUCUCUUUUUAGAUUUUAUACUAGCAAAUAUUAACCUUAAGGUAAGUGAGACCGUCAUUUGAGAGUCAUUAAUCUUGAUGUAAACUUGUAAUACUACAUCACUUGUAUUAGGUGAUCCACCUUUGUAAGAAAUGUCGUAGCAAAGUUGGCAGCAAAAAGUUUCUCUUUUGUACACUAGUAAAAAUGAAUCUUGAAUUUUUAUGCUGGAGAUGAAAUAUUUUUACAGAUUAACCAAAAGGAAAUAUAAGUUUCAUCUCUGGAUUUGGGCAUGUGUUUUGUGCUAAAGCAAUGUCAUCUAGUGUAGAAAGCCAUUAGGAAUCAGCUGACAAUUAUAUAUCCUGAAGAACUAUGAUCUGAUGGUGAAUGUGUAAAUUUGAACAUAGCUUUCCAGAUGACAAAUUCAACCGGUUAUGGCAACCGUUCAAGGACAACAACCCCGUGUCCACUAACAAGGCCAAUGUCACUCCCUCAGAUUUUUGGAAUGUCCCACCAGCAAAACUAUUCGAGACUUCUGUUACAACAAGCCGAGGGAAGGAACUUCAGAUCCAGUGGCCAUCUGUGUUACUCCCCAGUGCCGCUUACUACAUUGCAUUGUACUUCCAGGACAACAGGAACCCAAGCCCUUUUAGUUGGAGAGUUUUCAAUGUUUCAGUGAAUGGCAAGCCCUUCUCUAGCAAUGUCAAUGUCACCACCAAGGGUUUAACAGUUUAUGCAGCAAAGUGGCCUCUGUCUGGAAACACUGAGAUUGUCCUGACUCCUGGUGCAGGCAUGCCUGUUGGGCCGGUCAUCAGUGCUGCUGAGAUCAUGCAGAUUUUUCCUCUUGGAUUAGAGACUCUCAACAGAGAUGGUACACAGUUUAAUCAAUCUCAUGGUUAUUGUUCACCAAAGACAUCAUCUUCUCUUUCUAGUUUUAAACAAGAUUGUAAUCUCUUGUUUGAUUUUACUCUAGUCACCGCAAUGCAUGAGGUGAAAAGAAGUUUUGACAACCCACCUCCCGACUGGAGUGGAGAUCCUUGUCUGCCUGAAGGCAAUGGUUGGACUGGUGUUACAUGUUCUCAUGACAAAUUUGCUCGAGUAAUAUGUCUGUAAGUUCACAAAGAUCUUUUACAGAACUAAAUUGUUUUACUGAUGUAUAUAUAUUUGUAUGUCAUACUUACAAGAUGGGUAGUAUUACACUAGAGGAUAUAAUAUUGAUCUGCAGUCAAUUUGUUUGUCCUGUCAUUUGAAGGAAUUUAACUAAUGUCGGGCUAUCUGGGUCAAUAGCACCAAGCAUAGCAAACUUAACUGCCCUACACAAUAUGUAAGUAAUCACGCAAACGUUAUCAGCAUUGAUGGGAUUCUCUCAUCAUUUUAAAUGGUGCCUUUGAUGGCGUUGUUUCCUUGCAGUUGGCUUGGCAAUAACAAACUUGCAGGCGAGAUCCCAGAGAUGGGCGCAUUGAAGGAGUUGGAAACUUUGUAUGUUAUAUAUAUCGUCCUAUCAGUAUUCAUGUUUUAUUACUUCCCCGUACUAUCAAUCCAUGCAUAUGUCUUCUGCAAUGCUUUGAUUCUCUUCUGUUAUCCUGGUUAAGGCAUCUAGAGAACAACCAGCUUGAAGGUAAAAUCCCUGAAUCAUUAGGCCAACUUCCGAAACUACGUGAGAUGUGAGUAUUUGACAAAUGAUUAUUAGACCAGUCACAUGUUUGUUAUAAUGUUAUCUGCUAACCUGCUUUUGGUUUAUAGAUAUCUGCAGAAUAACAAACUCAAGGGCGAUGUGCCUAAUACACUACAAGAUAAGAAAAUAAAGAUUCAGUGAGAAACACGGUCUUAAUUUCUAGUUUGCAUUUCAUUUGUGACUUCGUGGACACACAUUAAGGUAACACUUAUAAACAACAUUGCAGGAUGAAAUACCAGGAAGAGAUCAGAUCACAAUCUCCAGCUGAGAUGUAAAUAGGACGCUGUAGUAGAUGGAAUGGAACUAAAUGAGUUGAGGGACAGGAAUGGAUCCAUCGUACCAUAGAGUGGAGAGAUGGCAGAUGGGGAUUUAUGAGCCCUAGACUAGUUUGUUUUGUGAAGGCUUCGUGUCAAUGUAUCUCAUUUCUCAAACUAUCACCUCCCAUAGUUUUAAACUCAACAAACUAAUCUAUAACAUCUGGGAUAUAGACCGCUAACUUGUUAUACAGAAUCCAAAAAACUACUUAUACAGAAACUGAUUACUUGAUUGCUAAUGAGAAUGUUAUGAAAGGCAAAGCGCAGAGGUUUUCUGAUAUUGCCUUAUUGUUUUGCUUGCACCCUGUGAUUAAAUGGAUUGCAUAUAGCUCAAGCAAAUAACAAUGAAAAUGAGAGAGUUUGUUCGAACAGAUUUUUAUCAAUAGCAAUGUGGUAAUACCCGCCUAACUAUUGCAUUAGGAAUGAAUGCAGUCCUCCUCUGCUGUAGCAUAUCGGCAUAUCCUAACUGAGUAGUCAAAAAAUGAUAUAGCUGUUCCGCCAUGGAAAAUUAUUCUAUGUAACUUCAAGCUCAAUUAUAGUCUGUGUUUGUUUAACAAAUGCGUUGUAUGCAUACAAUAAUAUGUAAUAGGUCUAAUGUAACCACUAUUUAUAUUUGUUCCGAGCCGAUAAUAUAGAUUUUUCAGUCCUUGAUAAAGAUAAAGAUAGUAGAAUAAUAGCAGAGUCUCGCAGCUAGGCGCGUGCAUGCUAUCUAGUGCUAACUAACCACACAUAACAUGCCCUACCCUUACGAUAUCACAAACAGUAUCCAACUACCCAACGCUCAAGUUAGACAUCUUAACAGAUAAUCUCUUUUGCAGAUAAAUCUCAAUUCGCAUGGACCUCUGUGCGAAUUCCUUUUUAACCCUUAGCCAGAUUUUUAACCUCAAGAUAGUAGAAUAAUAGCACAGUCUCGCAGCUAGGCAUGUGCAUGCUAUCUAGUGCUAAUUAAACACACAUAACAUGCCCUACCCUUACGAUACCACAAACAGUAUCCAACUACCCACGCUAACAUGUUUGGCUACUCACAGUUAAUUUCUCCCAAUAUCUGAUUUCCUUUAACAAAAAUAUGGAUCUAAGAAUGAGUGGAGAACACUACUCACCAAUUCACAAACAAUACUAGAUGAGGAAUUAAAACAAAGAACUCAGUAGUCUUUCUUUUGAAAUUGCUGAAAUCAAAUUUGUUAUGAGUUAUGAUUGCGUACUAACUGUAUGGCCGCAAUUAUUCACGCAGAGCAUAUGCCAGCCUUAUACUGAUCUGAUACACACAAAACUGGCAUGAUGAUAUGCAUGCCUCAAAUUUCUGUGUUCAAUAUCUAUUGCAUGCUGGGGUGUAUAACAGUAUAGGUGUGCAUUUGAAUAAGAAAAAACAUGGCACUGUGAUUAACUUGAAGGUGUUCUAGGAUAUUCUAUAUCUUUCUAGAUAUUUUUUAUGUGUGCAUUGGCCUUAUGCCAAUAGGAUAUGUAGUUAGACUAGAUUUAUGUAUUCAUAUCCUUACCAUAUUGGUAUUGUGUAAUUCCCUAUAUAAAGGGCUCAUAUCAAUGAAUAAGAUGAUGAUUCUCUUGCUAUCUCUUUCUCUACACUUUAUACUUUAUCACGUUAUCAUGCACUUUGUUCUAAACCUAGAGCCAAUAGCCCACCAUUUGUUUUCCAAACCCUAAAAUCGGGCAGCCUUGUUUUUCCCGAUUUUCGACCAAAAUUCCAACUGCCCUCCGCCGGAAUUUUAUAUCCCCAGAAAGCUCUCUCCGCCCCGGAUCCAACACCGCCGGCCUCACCCUGAGAACCUGCCGGAAAGUCUCCGAACCGGCCGCCGGAAGAUUCCAAACCGCCGCCGCUACCGACCACCGGUUCACCACCUUCCCUUGCUCCGAUCAACCUGAAUUUUGGAUAGCAGCUUCCCCAUCCAGAGAUGCUCCUCCUGUCAAAUUUUCAGCCACAAAUUCGAAGUAUAAGUAGGCGAAACAUUAUUUCUCCUCUCGGCAGCCUCUAGAAAGGUACCAAAAAUCCCGGAAUUUUAUUCGCGGGUCAAGAGUGUGUUUGAUCACUCUUGUUUCCUUGUCUGGGUUGUGUAUGAUCAACCCCGACCUAUCACCGGAUUGUGUUUGAUCAAUCCGAGGCCUUUUUCCGAAUUGUGUUUGAUCAAUUCGCGGCUUUUCCGGAUUGUGUGUGAUCAAUCCGAAGGACAAACCAUUAAAAGCAUUGUUUGUGACCUCUAUCGAGUCUCAUAACAGCUUGGUUUUGUAUGCAAGAGCAAUGUAACAUUCUGCUCAUUUGAGUUUUGACGCACUCGAUGCCUAAGGCGAAUCUUUGCUUGGUAUCUGUGGAACCUUUCAUUGCAAAGGAUUAAACCACAUGUUUUGAUCCCCAGGCUAACAAGCCUAGAUGCCGAGAUUUCAUAUCUCAUGCGCUCAAAGUCUUUGACGCGUCACAUCGACAAAAGCCUUCAAUGGCAAUCUGUGCAAAAAGUAAUGACCACAAAGUACUGUGGAAUGCACUCAUGGAGCGUUUCUUGAAACGUUCAUAUUACUCUACUUGUUGAGUUAUUAGUCAAGUGGAUUGAUUACCACCUUAAUUGACUACAUAUUGUCGAUGAUCUUUUGUGGCAUCAUGAUCCAUAAUCUUUAGCGGAUUCAAUCAUCAUCAAGUUCUCUAGGUCCUCUAAGUUGGUUUGGAACUACCAACGAGACUUGAUUUUGAUCAUACAAACUGGAAUUGUAUAUACGCUAAUGUAAUAAACUUAUUUGGGAUUAUCCCCUAAUGUGGAGACAACAAUAUGGGUCAUGGCAAUGGCAGAAAACGUCGUGCCGAUGUCUAGAAAAGAGGGAGAGGUGUCGCCGGCUCUAAUAGCGACACUCCCGGUCUAGACACCAUUUUAUCAAAACUACUCACGUCAGCUCAUGACAAUGCAACCGUUGUGGAUCUUCGGAUCACUGGUUUAAGAUUGUCAAGCUCCUUCAAAUUGUGAAUGCAUACAAAAAGGUAUAGAAAAUCAAUAUAAGGACAAGAACGUCAUCCUCAUAAUCGCGAAUUUCAAAGAUUCGGAUCCUGCUCUAGCUACCUAUGACUUUGAUGUCAUCGACUAGACAUUGAUUUUCGUUCCAAGCUAUAUGUACUAAGGCGUUGUAUUGAUGCCCUUCGUCUAUUUGAGACCUCGAUGUACUCACAUUAGCAAUAACGAAUGCCUUGAGAAUUUUUUCGAAGUUAUGAAACUAUUCUCCUCUUAUGGUUCGUAUUGAUUUACAAACAAGAUGUACAUUUUUACUAUCGUCCUUAGAAGCAUGACAUAUUUACAAUCUACAUGGUUAGAUUGUGCUGUUUUGGUCUCUUCCAAGUGAAGAUGACGCAUGGCCUUGCAUCCUUAAGUAGGAUCGCUAACGUGUUUCCGGUUAAGUCUUUUACUCUAUAACGGAUUUUCCAUCAUCAAUUGUUCAACUAGGCUCAUCCAAGCUCAGUGUGAUGUCUUAGAAUUGUCCGAAAUUAAGGAGAUAGUGGUUUCAAGUGUGCCUCGCACUACCGACCCUCCACGGACAUGCCUGGUCAUACUGACUUGGAGUUACCGAAAGCUUUUGAUUUUGGAUCCCCCUACGCUAUUAAACCAAUUGCCGUGUUACAAAAGACGUUGAAGACUUAUCAAAACCGGCAAAUUAUCAUCAUGGUCGAAUCCUCUAGGUCCUCUGAGUUAGUUUAUGUUUAUGUUCAUGUCAAGAAGCUUUUGCUAACUAGUCAUGGAGUUUACGACCUUAGAACGACUGAAAGGACUUGGUUUUGAUCAUACACACGUCAUUUUUGGCUAAGACAAAAGCCUACACGCCACCUGCAAGCUUCAUAGCUUAGCACAUGCCAAUUCUGCGAAAAACAGCAAUCUAUCCCUUCUGAAUAGUCAACUUUGUUUGAGCUUUGUGAACAGCUCCGGAUGAACCAUACAGUGAGCUUUAUAUCAUUGGAAAGCUCUACGAGUCUAGUUUUCAGAAAAUUUCGCGGUUCGUCCAUAUCUAUUUUAAUGAAGAAGUUAUGGCUGUUUUAGUGCGCAAAGGUCAUUCUGCGCGGAAAUUUUUAUGCACUCUCGGGAUUGCAGCUUUUCGUAGCUUUUUUUAUCCUUCUAAAUGGUUCAAGUGGAACUAUUAACUCGCCUAUCUACUCCUUCCUGUAGAUAUGUCUCAUCGAGAUAUGGAGUGCUUCGUAGAUAGUUGAACUAUCCACAACAUUCUAAGGAACCGGCAACUAUUUUUGGAUUUUGUGCCUUUGUAAAUCUUCUGUGACUACAAUGAUUGAAUCAUACCGGUCAUUCAAGGAUGCGGUUUAGCUUAAAUCUUGAUGCCUCAUGACACCAUGAUCAAUGUCACAGAUACCCUCUAUGCAUUGAGAGGCAAUCGAACCAUAUUGAGCUUUAAAGACAUUCCUGCUAAUAGUUUUCAUUUGAAAACACAUUGUGAGAAUGAACAAGAAUUCUUUUGUGUAUACCUUCUCAUGAAUGCGGACUGAAGCGCAUCUUGGAGAAAUUCAUGAGUCAAUCUAGUGGAUUGUAUGUCACUACGAUUCGAAUAUCGAAUCCCAUGUUGUCGCCAAACAUGAUAUUUGGGACACCGACUCAUAUAGGCUUUGAUUUGACCAAAUCGGUCAUCCUGGAAGAGACAUAAUGGUCCAAAUUUUUGAGAAAUUCUCAUGGAUAUCCAUUCUUCCGCUCAAAACGAAGACAUUCGGGAUCUAGCAUCACCAUGAAGCAUGGUGGUGACCCAGGGGACAUUGACGUCACCCGAACACGGCUCCAACUUCCCGGAGGCCGUCCGGUCAAUUCCUCAAGCAAUUGAGGUACACCGGUCUUCCCUCGAUGUCGCAUUGGCCCCUUGCAAUGCUCAUUACUCGUUUUGAAAGCCUAUUCUUUAGCUAAAUUAGGAGUGAGACCCUCCUACGCUAAAUAACACAAAAGUGAACAUUCUAUUCUUACAUAAAUUAUGUAGAUAGAUACAACCAACUUGCGGACACCUUUUAUGUUUUAUGGUGUUGGUUGAAGUGUUAGCACACUGGUCACUUGUUACACUAUUAUCUACUGCUUAUGCUGCUUAUACUUCUACGGGCUCACUACCUAUUUUUUAAAGAAGUUUAUCAGGAUGUAAGUUGAAGUGUCCUGUACCACAUGUUCACAUGCAAUACGGUCUCACCGAGGCUACGACUAAUCAACUUUAGCUUGUCGCUCGAACAUUAUUGAUGCGCACCAAUCUUUCUAUUGCGUCUUGGGGCUAUGCAAUAUUUGCAUGCAGCUUUACUAUUCAUCUACGACCCACCAUCAUUAAAUAUUGUUGUACUACAGCUCGUGACUGUGUACCAGGAUUGACACGAAAUUAUAAUCCUUGAGCUCGACAGGAUUGAAACGGAUUUCCAAUCCUUGAGCUUAGCUAGAUAUUUAUUCUAGGUGCCAAAUCGCACUGCCACUGCGCACAAUGAUGGGUCAUUUGAGAUGAAUAAGUAUUUAGGUUGGAUGUGAACCUCCACCUAUAAUCCGCAUAUGUAGAAAUCUUGUCAGGCGAUCUCUUUCACCGCUAUAUUGCGGAUUGUCACUUUGAUGAGACAAUAUUCCCGCCGUUAGGGGGAGAUAAGAACACAAAUGUUCAAGUGGAACGACGUGAAUUGUCGUGGUUUGUCCCCACUAAGUCUCAUCUUGAUCCCAAAUGCUUAAAGUGUUAAAGUGACGAGAUCACAUGCUGCAAAUAUGUCUGCAAGGAUUGAUGUCCCAUCAAGAGAACAUGGCAUGACCAAAAUGUGUUGGUCUUGACGCCAUCACCAUGGAUGGUGAUAUAGUGACACCAUAUAAUGGCAAAAUUGGUGUCACAAAGCCGUGUGGCUCCCCAAAAGAAGGGAUGCCCUUAGGUUCGAUAUUUUCUCGCACUAGGAAGAAAGCGAGCUUGACACAACCUGAUCUAUUGAUCAAUGAUACUCAAAUCCGUCUCAUGAAGUCUGAAUUGUGAUUAUCGUUGGGGGACGCCUCAAUGUCAAAUCCAAUCCAUAUAGAGAUCUCUACAAGUAUUACACUAGUGUACAUGAGGACAUGGGAUAAUGAGUCUACUAUCGAACCACCCUUUGUUGAUGGAUAUCAACUUAGUUGAUUGGCCUAAUGGAAAGAUGCGAUCCAGCAUUAACAAAGAGAUAGGUCCUUGGGCAGGUGAUGCCGACACCGCAAGCUAAACCCUAUCAACUAUACAUUUGUUAGAUAGCGUAGUGAGAACAAGAGUUUAGACUCACUUUAUGGCGCAAGGUCUCUCCCUAACACGCACUGAGAUCGACUACGAUGAGAUAUGCUCUCGUAAUGGAUGUCAUUGAACUCCACUACUUUGUCAGUUUAGUAGUUUCCGAAUAACUGAACAUGCAGCCUAUGAAUGUGGUCAUAAUAACAUCUCUAUGGGAUCAGAGAUAUACAUGAAGCUCUUAAACGGACUUCAUUCAUCCGAAUCAAAUGGCUCCAAACUACAGGAGCAUGCGUUUGCUAAAUGUAUUGAAAUGCACAUGGACUCUACUUGAUUUGGAAGAGAUAUGGUGAAUUAUGCCUUUGCGUGUUCAUUCCGGAUUUACAUGGACUCUUGAUGGAUCAAGAGAUGCCAAUAUGUAUCAACAUCCGAAGAAAAAGAUCUUGGGAAGACACGGUCUCGAUAAGACACUCGAUGACUGUAUUGAUGAUGAUUUUUCAUCAAUCGGCUUAGGCGCUCUAACGAAAGUGAGGCCUAUAUAUACUCCCAUGAUUAGUCAAAGUCUUUACUCUAAAGAGAGAUCCGUUGUUUUGUCUAAAGCAUGAUGACAAAUAUGUGUUAAGAGAUGGAGUUCCCAUCUAAGUACAAUUAGACGCAUCAAUGUACUCAACACAAUAUGAAAGACUUGACAUCUCAUUUGCUAUGAAAAGUUGUAAAGCUAAGUAUAGCUAUGCGCCCACGCAACGCCAAUGUAAUGGCAGUAACUCUUUUUUCAAUACUUAAUAGUAUGAAAUGUUAAGGCUAAUUCUAUCCAUACAUAAGAAAGACACAUCAAAAGCGAAAUCAAAAUCUGCCAAGUUUUGUAGGUCAACUUCACGGGACCUACAAGAAAUCUCACUCACUGGAAAAUGGUGAAAUUGGUAUCAUUGGAAAGGUCUAUGUGUCUACUUUCCAGGGAAAUCAACCAUUUGAUCAUACCUAUCAUAUUGAGUGAGUUAUGGCUGUUUUCGUAAAGUAGGACGAAUCUGUCUGAGAAUCUGAUUUUGGAAAAACAGUCAACUUCGACGGGACUUUGUGAAUAGCUCCUGAUGAACCAGAACGUGUGUAAUAUACGGUUGGAAAGCUCUAUGAGUCUAGUUUCCAAAAACGUUACGGUUCGUUCAUAUGUAUUUCCUAGAGGAAGUUACGGUUGUUCUAGUAACUGAAAGUCAUGCCACGCGGAAAUCUAAUUUCCUGCACGAACUUAUAUUUUGAGUUCACAAGCAGCCUUCUCCUCAAGAUCUAAGUGUAAAAGAUCAUUUGAGGACAAUAUGGCAUGAUUUAGUUAAUCAUUGCCCAAUGCCACAUUUGAAGACAUGUUAAAAAGCAUUGACAUGCUAAGUUGUUGAAAUUUCCGUGAUUAGUAAGAAUCAAGAAGAGCCCUAUGAUUGAUGUAAAAAUCAGGGGGAGGUGCAAACUUCAGGGGGAGUCUAGCACAUACAUACAUGUCACUAUCAAAUGUGAAGGGUGCGUUGUACUCUUUUUCUCCUACGAUCAAGGUUCAAUUUUUCUCCCACAGGGUUUUUAUGACUUGACGAGGUUUUUGACGAGGCAACAGAUCAGCACCAUUGCAUAUCAGCGUGCGGCACAAGGGGGAGUGUUCUAGGAUAUUCUGUAUCUUUCUAGACAUUCUUUAUGUGUGCAUUGGCCUUAUGCCAAUAGGAUAUGUAGUUAGACUAGAUAUAUGUAUUCAUAUCCUUACCAUAUUGGUAUUGUGUAAUUCCCUAUAUGAAGGGCUCAUAUCAAUGAAUAAGAUGAUGAUUCUCUUACUAUCUCUUUCUCUACACUUUAUACUUCAUCAGAAGACGUACAUUCAACUAAUGUAGUAUUGUUGUCCAAAUACGCAUAUAAGACUUGAGAAUUUGGGGUUCAAAUUUAUCUUUUUAACCAAUGGCCGGAUUCAAUAAGCAAUAAGCUCAAUAGAAAGUUUCUUAUACUAUGUGUACAUUUAAGUCAGUUGUAUUAUACAUAUGUGUACUGUGAAUUGUGAUAAAGCAUAACCAAAAAGGAAUGGAAAGUCCUAUAAGAUCUGGUUAAAAACAAACAGCCGAGACAAAGUUAAACAAUACAAAUAUUUCAUAAUUAAAAAGGAAUAUGGUCCCACAAUCAUGUAUGACAUGCGUAUCUCUAAAUUUCUCCAUUUCCAUUAGCUUUCGUUAUGAAACAUAACUUGAGCGUCGGAUUAAGCGCGCCAUUUUUAUUGAAUAUUGAAUUUAACUAGUAAUAGUACAACUCAUGUAAUUAAUUCAUUACAUGAGUUGUACUAUUACUGGUUAAAUUCAAUAAGAUCAAAAUUAAACAGCAAUGCAAAAAUUAACCGCUGGCCGAGUUAGAUUGACAAAGAAAAAAAAGAGAUUAGGUUAUUUUGUUAAACUCACAAAAAUACAUAAAUAUCCCACGAUUCAUCAAGCCACAAAAAAACAUAAACAUGAGUCGAACUCGUAACCUCUCGUGAUUCAUCGAGCCUUAAAAUCAGAUUAGUCCGUGUUUGGUCGGCUGUGGGGCGAGCUUUGGAGUUCUACGUUCAAACCAAGCUACACGCUUCCACUUUCACAAAACAAACCACACCAGCCACACCACGUCUCUACUCUUACCAUUACCGCGCGCUCACCUCCACCCCCAAAACUCUCAUAUAAAAAUCCCGCCUUUCAUCUCUCUCUCUCUCAGAGUGACUCACCUAAAUUGAUUCUCUCUCUCAUUCUUGGAAUGUGGGCUACCAACCCUAGCCUCUUCUUCCCCUCCAAACCCUUCUCCCUCCGCUGCCGCGCCGCUGCCGGCGACCCUCCUCGGACCGCCGCAUUCCCUCGCCUGAUCCAGUUCCCCUUCGCCGCCUCCGACGUCGCCUCCGUCAGCGGCCGAAUCGGCUUCGACACCGAACUCGACGGCGGCGCGGCGAGACCUCGCGGCGGAAGCUCCGGCGGUGGUACUAAGGUGACGGCGAAGGAGCCCAAGUGGUCGCGGGAUAGAGAGAGUUACUUGGUGGACGAUGGAGACGCGCUGCCUCUCCCCAUGACUUAUCCAGAUACGGCUCCGGUGACGCCGGAGGUCGUUGACCAGAGGCUCCGGUGCGACCCUGUAGUUGAGGUUAGAAUUGUGAAUUUAACUUCAUUUGAUUAGGGGAUGAAGUUGUGAAAUUGGAUGUGGAUUAUAAUUUGAUUGAGAAAUUUGGGUGCUUUGUAGGAUUGCAAGAUAGUAGUGUAUGAAUGGACAGGAAAGUGCAGGAGUUGCCAAGGCUCAGGAUAUGCUAGUUAUUAUAACAAAAGAGGGAAGCAAAAUGUAUGCAAAUGCAUACCUUGCCAAGGAAUCGGUAAGAUGCUUGUUGAUUUUCUGAGCUUGUAUAUGUGCUUUUUAAGUUCAUGGAUGAAAUUAAGUAUGUGUUUUUAACUAAAUUACUUGUUGAAGUAUCAUGCUUGUUCGGUUAUUCACUUGUACUUUAUGACUGUAAUGUGGCAUUUGUCUGGUUUUGGUUCAUUACAUGUGUGUGUUCGAGUGUGUGUUCUUACAUGGAGGUUAAGUAAAUACUCUUCGCUCUUACUGGAGGAAUUAUGAUUACAUUAGUACUCAGUUGAAGGCUUAUAAAUUCUGUUCAAUAGGUGUGAUCAAGUUUAGAUAAUAAUAGUGGUGAAGAAAUACCCGUCUGCUUGUGAGUUAGAUAUACUUGAGUAGUUUACAUAUUUUAGUUACAUAAGCUUCUCUUUUUACUUGGUAGUAGUAAACUUAUAUAUCCAACUGGUAAUCUUGACAGCCUAACUCAACUUUUUGGCCUUAGAAUAUAGCCGUAUCCAAGUCCUUGGUUCAAAUCCUCUAAUGCACACAAGCCAAGUAAACGAAGUCCUGAGAUUUUUUAUUGGGGUAUCUGCUCUCAUUGGUUUCCCAGCAUCUAGGAAAUCUAAUGUGGUACAUUUUGCAUUUGGUUUUUCAGAAUUCUUAGUGCAAGGAUUAUGGAGAGAUUUUAGCGUAGUCUGCGGCUAAGUUGGACAGUAAUUCAUUAUUGGAUACUAUUUAGCAUUUUCUUACUUCAUUAUUGAAUAUUCAUAUUAAUCCUAAGUACAUUGGACCUGCUGAAUACUGCGGACAAUACAUGCUUGGGGUGUCAAUUCAUGUAUUGUUGACUUUAAAUGAUGCCCUCCUUUUUAUUUAAACUCGAUGCUUUUCAAUAAAAAUGUUCUCUUUUCUGAAUAUCAUGUAAUGGGACUUUUAGAUACAAUUACAUUAAACCUCUUGAAGUUUCUUAUAGUUGCAUCGGGACUUAGUUAUCAUGAUUCUUGUUUUGAAUUGACUAUGCAGUUUUAAUAGGUAUUUUAAUAAAUCAUAUGGCUGUAUCUCACUCAAUAUGAAUUUAGUCAUUCAUAUUUUAUCUUAUGGGUGAGAUGCAAGUUUCCAAGCUGUCCUCAACUUAGGUACCUAGGUUCUGGUUAUAAAGUUACCAUAUUGGAAAAUGACUGUCUUUAUAAGAUGUUUAGAAUUGAAUGAACUCACAUCAGCAUUUCUCUUUGGAUUGGAAAACCCACAUAAGCAUGCAAUGGAUCCUGAGGGAAAAGUGUUGCUAAAUUUAUGCCAUCCGCAAUUUCAUAUAUGAUUACGGGUCGAACCAAAACAAAAUACUUUUUCCUGGUGGGUGUGAUCCAUUGGACAUAAAUCAAAUUUUUCCGCUUUUUUGGUUCCUUAGAAUUUAUUCCUGGUAUCAAGAUGCCAUUGUGUCGGAAUAUCUUAUCCAUCUCUCCGGGAAAAUGGAUAUCUCCAUAAAAGAUUUUAAGUUCUAUUCCUUUUUUUUUUUUUCUUUUCGGACCAAGCCACCCUACAUUGGAUCUCUUUUGGUCCAUUAUCAAAUUAAUAGCAAGCUUUGCCUUCACUCAAGCACCUCCUAGGUCCACCAAUUUGGUUUUCUUUCAGACUUUAACUGUUGGUGUAAUGCUAAACUUAGGACCACACAAGCAUUCUUUCUUUUUGGGUAAGAAUGCAUCCACCUUCUUUGUUUCUUGCAUAUCAUUAAUUGAUGGCAUAUCUCAUGCCUUAAGUUUGCCACUUCUUAGUUCAUCAGUUUGUGGUUUGAUGGUAAAGCCAGGACCACGGAUAAUGUAUAGCAAGCAGUUCAGGAGUCUCCUUUAUAUGUACACUUGGAGGGAUAUAUGGGAAUAUUUGAUGGUAUGGAGGUUCAUGAAUCAUGACCCUCCUUUAUCACACGGAGAGAUAGAUGCGAAUAUCUGAUGAUGUGGAGGUUCUGUUGCAAAAACUAUACUGGUUCCUUUAGUUUACUUUUGUCGUUAGAAUUGGUACGUCUUGCAAGUUGUUUGCUUUUUCUUUUACCUGCUGUAUUUAAUAUAGACACGAAUGUUUCUAAACCCCAUUUUUCUGUUGAUGUAUAUCCCUAGAGUUCUCACAAAAGAUGUUCAUGAUGGCAGGAUAUGUACAAAAGAUAACAACUCGAACCAACAUUGAUGUUAUGGAGGAUUUGGAUAACGGAAAACCACCAUGAGCUGAACAAAAGUAUAAUUUUUGCAAUUUUUCGAAUAUCGGGAGUAUUUACACUUACUUUGAUGAGUUCCGGUUCUCCUGCUUUGAAGUAAGAAAGAGAUUUAUCAUUGUCUAUUAUUUUACUAGGUUGGGGAGCUGUGGAGUAGAUAUAGGAUGAGGCUUCUGACUUGUAAAAUAAGUUGACAGUGUUGUACUAUUGGCUUUUUUGGGGGGAUAUUAGUGUCAGGAAUGAGUUGAUUGGUUGUAAUUCGAUUUAAUGCCAUAACAUUUUGUAUCUAAUUACAAAGAAUCUUCAAUAAAAUAUCAACUUCUCACAAGGAAAGUUUCGUGGUCUGGAAAGGAGAAUUGUAGUCGCCUUAGUUUUUGCAAAGAAUAUGUUCUUUUCUUAUCUAUUCUUUGCUUUUUUUCACUUCCACUUUGGAAUAUUUUGUUCUUGAGGUUGCUACCGGUUUGGAAUCUUUACCUUUUACCUCUCCUUUACGGCAUACACAUCAUAUAAAGGCUGCACGGGAACACCCAAUUUCCACCAUCUCAUACUGAAGGCUUUUGGAGAGUUCCAUCAAAUAUUUGAUUCAGAUAUGUCGAACAUGAGCUUCCUUGAUUUCCAGUACAACCUAUCAAAACGGAAGUUUCUGCGCACACCAACUCGAUUGUUUUCCUCCCGGGACAGACAAAACUCUGGCUUAACACCUGGUUUCGAGCCAAAUCUCAACGAGAUGAAGCGAGUCUUUGAGAAGUUUGACACCAACAAGGAUGGGAAGAUAUCUCAGCAGGACUACAGGGCCAUAUUGAGAGCACUUGGAAAGGGAAGCAUGGUUGGAGAAGUGCCAAAGAUUUUCAAGCUUGUUGAUUUGGACGGGGAUGGGUUUAUUAACUUCAAGGAGUUCAUGGAAGUGCACAAGAAGUCAGGUGGGGUGAAAACAAUAGACAUCCAGAAUGCUUUCCAAACAUUUGACCUGAAUGGGGAUGGAAAAAUAAGUGCAGAAGAAGUUAUGGAAGUGUUGAAGAGGCUGGGAGAGAGGUGCAGCCUCGAAGAAUGCCAGCGAAUGGUAAGAGCGGUAGACACCGAUGGGGAUGGUAUGGUCGACUUAGACGAGUUCAUGACCAUGAUGACUCGAUCCAUGAGACGAGUUUAGAAAUGUCCGAUGUGUGUCUGCAGUAGUGUUUAUGCUCCUGUAUGUAUAGCAGUCUGCUGUAUAAUGUGCUAUCUGUAGCUAAUGCUGAUGACAUAAUACGGCCUGAUGGCCUUUAUCUUUGUUUGUUUGAAAUAAUGCUUCUAAUCUCCUUUUUAUGCACCAUUUUGCUCCCAUUCUGGCAUUUCUGACUUUGCGCUUGCUUUUGUAUUUUAACUAUCUUUCAAAUGAUUUGGAGUAACAGCUCUCCUUGGCUUACCAGACAUGGCUGAAAUGUCAUUUGAAUGCAAUUGUAUUUUAUGGCACAGUUAAGAGUAAAAGGUCAGCUACUGCAAUGGUUCAAAACCACAUUAGGUGGUAAGCAGAAUGUCAUAUAAGCUGAACGACCCUUGAUUCCAGCUUUCUCAACAUGCCAGAUAAACUAACAAUAUGUCAUUCCCAAAAGAAGAAAGGGCAGAAAAAUUACAAAAAAAAAGAAAAGAAAAAGAUAGAAGAAGAAGAAGAAACAAAGUUCAACGACACAAUCUCACUUUUAAUUUAUUUUCAAGCUACCAUCCUCAUGUCCUAAUGAUACAUAAAAGAUUAUAUCGACUGAAGCUAUGGGUCAAUCGAAAGAGCGAUCAGAGAGCACAAGGGGGAAAUAGCAAACGAAUCAGCUUGGGAACAAACAGGGCUGAUUAGUUGGCUAUUAUUUACGUUGUGUUUUUGCUGUUAGCUCUCCAGGGAUUACUGACUGAUUGACUCAUCUGGCAAACAAACAUGAAGAGGCAACAAUAAAACAUUUCACCAUGAAGAUUGAAGAGGCAUGCUUCACUAAGAAGUGAACACUCCUCCAGAGCACAAACCAACCACUAGUCACGACAUGUCAUUAGAAACUAGCACAAAAAAUCCAUGCUCUCACAUGGCUAUUGGCUAGUGUGGUGAGGAACUAAAGCCACAACCAACUCUACAGGUGUACUGAUAGAUUUUAGGACUACAAAAGGAAGCUAUGGUCACAAAGAAAUGUUCCCGUCACAAAUUGUCAUGCACAAGAGCCGGCAGACACUGUUAAUCAUGCGGAUGACUGUUGACUUGCUGCCCAGUGACCACUCAUAGAGCAAAGGCCUCAACCGACAAAUGCACUUAACCAACAAAUUAGACCAAUAUCCCACACCUCAGCAAAUAUGGUAAUGAGAUUCAAGAACAGAGUGGCAUAGAACACAAACAGAAGCCGAGUUGCAGAGAAAACCCAAUACAGUAUAACAUUAGGUUCAUAUGAUGAUUGAGCAGAUUAACAAAAUAAAUGCUAUCCCAAAAUAGUACCAAAAAAUUGGGUAGAUUAACACAUGAUGUUUCUAUAAGUACCCUUCGAACUUUAAGACACCAUUAACCAAAGAUGUUAUAAUUGCAUCAUAAGACAAAUCCGUAAGCUGAAAAAGGAUGUGAUAAAAUGAUUUGGCAUUUUGACAAAUAAUAGAUCCAAUGUCAAAACAAGCUGACAUUACAUAUAUAGCUCAAUUAUAUAUGCCAAAACAAGAAAUGGAAAGUUUAUCUCCUACCAACUAGGAACAACAAUGCUCAUCUAUCUUCAGAGUAUCCCAUAUAUUGCUCGGCAUUGUUCAUACUUUUUACACACCACUCUGCAACUGGGACAAGAACCUCUUUAGACAAGUCUUCAAGUGACAUUUGACUCACCAAUAAUCCCCACAAGAGCAUUUGCCAUCCUUGAAAUGAUGAAAACGUUUAUUGUCCCUAACAAUUAAUUCCCUUCCAACAAUCUUUGACAUGAUCUUAAUGGCAUUGUGACAGUCACCACAAACACGAAGGUUUUUUAUGAUCCUAAGUGGUGUCCUUGCUGGUGUACUAAUCAGACCAUAUGCGAUGGCCAAACGCUCACUGUGAUAGAGCAAGGCUUGCUCCUUUGCCUCCUGGUCAAUGUCAUGAAGAACAUAUCUUGUGUCUGGUACAUAACCUCCUCCUCUCAUCGAAUUGAGAGCCUUUAACUUUUCGUCAUCCUUGUAUAAUGUGGGGUUUUUGAACUCAGUGAUUCUGUUUUUACCGUCAAGCAUGCUAAUAGCAGUACGCUUUUUUGGUGGUGGAGUUGGGAUCUUAUCAGUAAUAGCCUUUGACGGAUCAAGAGCUACCAUUAACUCCUCAGCAUGAUCUUCAAGAUCAAUAUCUCCAUGGAUCCGAGCAUAAUUCCACAAUGCCUCCCAAACUUCCACAGUAGGUUCAAAUGGGAGUUUCUCAAUAUAAUCAACUGCUUCAUGUAGAUGACCACAUUUUCCAAGCACAUCUACAAUCCCCAAAUAGUGCUCCUUCUCUGGAUCAAAGCCGUACUCUUCUUUCAUCGAAUAAAAAUGUAUAAAUGCUUCUUCCACAGCAUCUGCACUAGCACAAGCCGAAAAAACUGCAAGAAAAGUGUCAGAAUUGGGCUUCAACCCUUGCUCCCUCAUCAGCUCAAACAUCUGCAACCCAUCAUCUCCUAAUCCAUUCUCCGCAUACCAGUUGAUCAUCAAAUGCCAAGAAUCAAUAUUCUUCUCCACCAGGUGAUCAAACACUCUCCGCGCAUCAGUCAUGCUCCCACACUUCCCAUACAUCUCAAUUACUUCAUGGCUCAAGUCCCGACUACUCCUAGAUGUAGACUGCAAAAAGAAGUCAUGAACCUUCUUCGCAUUCUCAAAAGACUUCGAAUCCCCACACAGCUUAAACAGAUAACGAAAGCAAUCAGCAUCAGCCUUAACCCCGUCUUCACCCAUCAACUUCAGAGCAUCUUUAACCUUCCCCUCUUCACACAACCGCCUCAAAUCAUCCACUGAAGGCGGCACAACCACAGCUGCUUCAUUCUCCGCCCGAACCUUAUUGUUGUUGUUCCACUGGUUAGGGCUCUGAGCCUGAGGAGUCCACUGAUUAGAGUUUCCAGAUUGGGGGUACCCCCGAUUCUGAUUCUGAUUGUUCCACUGAUUUGGGUUUCUGGGCUGCUGAAAAUUGGGGCUUGGAGGGUUCACCUGAUUAGGGUUUCCAUAUUGGGGGUACCCUCGAUUCUGAUUUUCAUUCCAAUGAUUUGGGCUUCUGGGUGGUUGCUGAAAAUUGGGGUUUGGAGAGUUCACCGGGUUAGGGUUUUGGCUCCAUUGAUUAGGGUUCCCACGCGGUGGAUAGCCCUGAUUCUGAUUCGGAAAUGGAUUAGGGUUUUGCUGUUGAGGAUAGCCCUGACUCUGAGCCUGAGGAUUCCACUGAUUCUGACCCUGAUAAUUGCUAUAACCAGGUCUCUGGGUCUGUGGAUUAGGGUUUCCGUAGCCCUGGCUCCACUGAUUAGGGUUGAAAUUACUAGGAUCGGAGGGUGGGUUUUGCUGUGGAGGAGCUCCUGGGUAGUAAUUUGGGGCGGCGGAGGUGCUCAGGGUUUUGGAAAUGGUUAGGGUUUGGAGGGCGGUGGUGCAGUGAAAUGAGUGAGAAGGGUGGAGAGGGCGUACCUUGUUGAAGAUGGAGGAGAUUAGUGCUGGGCUUCGAGCGCGUCGAGUCGCCAUUAGAGAGGCCAUUUCUGAAAGGGAGAGAGAUAAAAGCUAAAACCCUGAGAAGUGAAAGCGAGCUCCUUUUGUAGUCUUGUAAACCCUGAUUCGACCCGGUUUGGGUGGGGCGGGCCAAAAACUCGGAUCAAGUAGUUUCUCAAUUGGUUAUUUCUCGGGGUCGUGUCGUGUCAGGUUCGUGUCAGGUCAAGGAAUUUCACGUGUCACAAGAUACAAACUCAAACCCAACCUAUUUAAUAAUCGUGUCAAAAAUCUAAAUUCAAACUCAACCUGUUUUUUAAACGGGCAACAUGUUUCUUAAACCCAACAUGUUUCUCAAAUAGUUUCUCAAUUGGUUGCUUCUUGGCUAUCAAUGGGUCGUGUCGUGUCGGGUCAAAGAAUUUCACGUGUCACAAGAUACAAACUCAAACCCAAUCCAUUUAAUAAUUGUGUCAAAAAUCUAAACCCAAACCCAACUUGUUUCUUACCCGUUUUCAACCCGUUUAACCCAUUUAAUAAAUAGUAAAUGACAUCCAAUUACCCCAAACAGUUGCAAAAAACAGAAAACCUACAUUUCAAAAUAUAGUAAAUUACUAUAAAGUUACUGAUCAAAUUUCAGUUUACAAAUACAUCCUUUACACAAUAUCUUACACAUUUAAGGACAAAAUUUAACAAAUUAGGACAAAUUGAUGUCCACAUGCCAUCUGUCACUACACAUUUUACGAAACUACCCUUAAUCACAUAUUAUAUUGCUGCUACUGUCAACUAGGAUGCCUGUCGCUGCUACUGCCUACUGGAUGCCAACUUUGAAAUCUGCUACUACCUAAUAAUAGGACGCUGGUAUUGCUGCUACUAGAUUCGAAAUCUACACUUCCAAUAGAUCUAAACAGUAGCAGCGAAUUAACCCUCCCAACAAAUCUUGCAGUAGCAGCAAAUUCCCUCCAACAUAUCUAAACAGUAGCAUCAAAUUUACUUUACCCACAGAUCUCGCAGUAGCAGCAAAUUUACUACCUAAUAAUNNNNNNNNNNNNNNNNNNNNNNNNNNNNNNNNNNNNNNNNNNNNNNNNNNNNNNNNNNNNNNNNNNNNNNNNNNNNNNNNNNNNNNNNNNNNNNNNNNNNNNNNNNNNNNNNNNNNNNNNNNNNNNNNNNNNNNNNNNNNNNNNNNNNNNNNNNNNNNNNNNNNNNNNNNNNNNNNNNNNNNNNNNNNNNNNNNNNNNNNNNNNNNNNNNNNNNNNNNNNNNNNNNNNNNNNNNNNNNNNNNNNNNNNNNNNNNNNNNNNNNNNNNNNNNNNNNNNNNNNNNNNNNNNNNNNNNNNNNNNNNNNNNNNNNNNNNNNNNNNNNNNNNNNNNNNNNNNNNNNNNNNNNNNNNNNNNNNNNNNNNNNNNNNNNNNNNNNNNNNNNNNNNNNNNNNNNNNNNNNNNNNNNNNNNNNNNNNNNNNNNNNNNNNNNNNNNNNNNNNNNNNNNNNNNNNNNNNNNNNNNNNNNNNNNNNNNNNNNNNNNNNNNNNNNNNNNNNNNNNNNNNNNNNNNNNNNNNNNNNNNNNNNNNNNNNNNNNNNNNNNNNNNNNNNNNNNNNNNNNNNNNNNNNNNNNNNNNNNNNNNNNNNNNNNNNNNNNNNNNNNNNNNNNNNNNNNNNNNNNNNNNNNNNNNNNNNNNNNNNNNNNNNNNNNNNNNNNNNNNNNNNNNNNNNNNNNNNNNNNNNNNNNNNNNNNNNNNNNNNNNNNNNNNNNNNNNNGUACACCACUCUCUCUCUCUCUCUCUCUCUCUCUCUCUCUCUAUACCAAGGCUUCUUCCAUAAUCGAAUCUGCGUCUCUGAAUGCUUCCAAGCAGCCCACCGACGCCCACGACCUAGCUUUGAUUCCUGAUCUGAAAUACCUCGCCUCGUUGCCAAGAUCUCUCAAGCAACACAUCGAUCACCCACACACUGAAAUCCUCAAGAAUUGCGAUUUUGCUCAUUCUCGACUCCACAAGAGCUUCAAGGUCUCUCUAUCUCUCUCUUCAUUUUCACGUUCUUAGAGAAUCAGAGAAGCAAUAUCCCAAGGCAGUAGCAUCAGAGCUAGUUGGAUCCUCAACGACCUCGACUCCGUCGACCAAGUCCUCCUCUCUUCCUCUUAUUCGAAAGAGCUAUGGAGGUUUGCUGGCUAAAUUGGCAAUUUUAAUAGUUGUGUUACAUUGAAGGAGUGGGAUCCCUUGAAGGAGUAUUGUUUUGAAUUGGAAUUUUACCAAGUUGGAAUCUUUCUGAUCUUCUUAUUAUCGGUUUCACUUUGUGUGUUGUAGCUCAGGCUUAGUGUUUCUAGUUGUAUUUGGUGUUGAGAAGUGUUUAAUUAUGUGCUCCAUUUGAUUUUUGGUAGAAUUUGUGGUUUAGGUUUGGGAUGUUUCAUUUGGGAAAAAGGAAGGGUUGAUUGGUGACGCUAGAAUUCUUCUUUUCAAUAACAAAAAGCAAUUGAAAACAGUAACAACGAAUGUAGUAGAAUCAUCGACAAAAGUAGUAUCAUUGGCAAUAGCAGUGGGUUGAAUAGUAGCAGUCGACAGUAGCAACAACAUUCCAACCGGUAAUAGCAGCAAGAUUCUAAGCGACAACAACAGCAACACUCCAAUCGACAAUAGCAGCAACAUUCUAAUCCAUAGUAGCAACAACAUUCAAGCAAGUGUAAUAGCAGUAACAUUCCAGCAAGUGUAGUAGCAGUAAAAUUCAUUGAUAUAUUCUAGCAAGUGUAGUAGCAGUAACAUUCCAACAAGUGUAGUAGCAGUAGCAGUAGCAGUAGCAGUAGCAGAGUUAACCUUCAUUGUCCAACCUAAUAAAAUAUUACUGACCCCCAGUAAACUUCUUAUCCACCCCAUAACAUAUUACUGACCCCUAGUAAACUUCUUAUCCACCCCAAUAACAUAUUACUGACCCCUAGUAAACUUUAUUACCUCUUAAAAACUUGUUUGUGUUAGGUUCCCACGACAAAACCUGACCAAAAUCUCUAGUAGAUGGUCAUUGGCAUCGAUGAUGGACGUCACCAAUGAGAGAGAGAGAGAGAGAGAGAGAGAGGAUCGUCUAAAGGCGGAGGCGAGGUGUUGGUGCGUGACGGAGAUCGGAGGCGGCCGUGGUGCUUGGUGGAAGAUCAGAGGCGGCCGUGAUGCGUGGCGGAAGAUCGGAGGCGUCCGUAGUGCGUGGCGGAGAUCAGCAAGGUGUUGGCUAGCUUUGGAGAUCAGAGAUCAGAGGCGUUAGCGUUGGAUAAGAUCGACGUGUGUGGAGGAGAUCGGAGGCAGCCGUGGUGCGUGACGGAGCUCGGCUCACCGAUGUAAUCGACUUCAGAUCUACGGUGUAGGGUUUAGGAUUUGCAUCGUCGACUUUAGAUCUGCCAAUGAGGAGGAGGCCGUGGCAGUAGGCGGAGGUAAGGAUGAGGUCGUCGGAGUUGGUGGAGGCGAGGUGAGGUCGUCGGCGAUGGAUUUGUGAGUGAGAGUUAGAGAGAGAGAGAGAGAGAGAAGAGAGAGAGAGAGAGAGAAAGCAUAUUGUGAGUGAAUAAGAGGUGGAGGGAGAUGUGUGAGAUAGUUAGGUUAAGGUUAAAGAAGUAAUUUUGGUAAGAUUAAUUGUAAUAGGCAAUGAAUAAAGUUUUUUAUUGGAAUGAGCAACAAUGCCUAAUAAUUAGUGCUAAAUGGGUAUUAUUCCGAUGUUAAUCCUUGCUACUAUUUCUAUUGGAAUGUUAACCUCUGCUUCUACUUCUACUGGAAUGUUAACCCCUGCUUCUACUUCUACUGGAAUUAAUUGCUACUACACUAAGUUAUUGAAAAUCUGCUACUGUAUUCUAUUUACUGAAAAAUCUGAAAAGGAAAGACUUUUCUCUUCUAAAAACAUAAUUAAUUAGUGUAGGGUUAAUUUGGUAAAUUAAACCAUGACACAUGACAUGUAGAGAAAAGAUUGUCCUUAAUUGUUAAAAUGCUGGUGCUAUUAACAUAUCUUAUUUUGCUAUUCACACAUCUCCUGCAUGAAGUGAACCAAUCAUAGAGCAACUUUAAGUGGCAACUGUAUAAAUACAAUA
rnacentral:lncRNA from 1 species